rnacentral:lncRNA from 1 species
AAUAACACAUGAAAUACGAGAAAUAAUAGGAAAUAUGGGUAAUAAUAUUGCACACAUAGUUGAUAGACCACGUGUCAAGCACCCAUUUAUUUCAAAGCACUUAUUAUUAAGUCCUAGACUCCUCCUCUCAAGCAUGGCUAUCAGGUACGUGGGAAGUUUGUCAAAUGCAUGGGUUCUUGCUCGUCUUUGGGAGACAUAUCAGCAUGCUUGGAAAGAGAUACACGCAAGACAAUCAACACAAGAUUUGCUUUAUUUCUAGGAUGCAUCGGCAUGCACUCUACUUAUAGAACUCCAUAACCCAGAGAUUACCAAUAGCAAGUUCACAACUGAUCCCACCAAACCCAGCGCUAGUAGCCAGGGUCAUGAAUUCAUGCCUUGUUCUCUCCUUUCCACCGGGACUUUGAAUCAUCAUAAGCACGUCAAAAUGGGAAUUUGAUUUUGAUUCAAUGCUUGUAUUAGGAACUUCUGGAAGCAUUGACUCCACAACGAUUACCUUUCCAUCUUCUGGGAUGCUUUUGUAGCAAUUCUUCAACAACUUCAAGCAAUGUUCAUCAUUCCAAUCGUGCAGUAUCCACUAUAUAAAUUCUCAUAUUAAUCAAACUAUUGUUUGUAAAAAUUUAAUUUAAGGAACUCCUCAUAAUAUGUCCGCAAAUUAAAUUAAAAACUUACCUUCAUAAUAAUGGCAUCACCUUUUGGAACACUUUGGAACAUAUCACCCCCUACAUGCUCAAUACCUGUAAAAUAUUAUACAAUUAAGAAAUCAGACAAUUAGAAUUAUGCCACUCUAUUUUCAUUAGCAAGAUGUAUUACGUCAAGAACUGUUUGCUCAAACUUAAUUAUGCCAAUGUUAUGGAAGUUCCUGAUAUACAGGCACACACAACAGAAGAAUUAUACACACACAUAUAUGAGAGCAGGUUCAAGGGAUUUUUUUUAAUACAAUUUUACAUAUAAAUUUUUAACAAUUAGGUUAAAGUUUAUCACAUGGUUAAUAUUAAAACUGCAUGCAGUUUUAUAAUUCUAAAAAUUAAUCAACUAGACGCAAGUCCUUACGUCAAACAAUAAACGUGAAGCACGACGCUCUUUCCUCUCUCUUAUCAUCUAAAUUUAUUUAAACUAAGUAAUUUCAUUCAAAGAUUGAAAUUACACUUCAUUUCGGAGGAAGAUCUUCCAAUCAAAUUACAGGCAACUUAAAAUUAAAAGCUGCCUUAGCUAACACGAGUAUGCGUGUUGCAGGCUCUUCGGAUGAACUGAAUUCUAAAUUAGCAUUGUCCUUAAUUUCCUCUUGAAUGUCCAACAACACUUAAAAGAUUUCCUUUGCUUGACAUCAUGUUUAGGACAUUCAUAUAUUUCUCUUUUUAACUUAUGUGCUCAUCUCCUUCAAUCCUCCCUCUACUCAUUAUAAAACAUUUUUUUUUCCGAUGGCUGUUGGAUGGAUGUUACUACUACAAAUUAAAAUAUAGUACUUCCCUAGUUCUCUGUAUGUUUACUUUAGUUAUCCAGUAAAUCGAAACGUGAUUAGAUGACUAUGCUUUGUUAAUCUUUAAAAAAAUAUAUGUAGAAACGAUUGCCAACAUUUUUUUUUCCAAUAUUUACAUUUGGUUUAAUAAACAAAUUUAUGUAGAUAACAUCUUUUUUUAUGGCUACAUGGAUGUGUACCUUAGUUCACUGGUAAUUUAGAGGGAGAAAUAAAGGGUAAUACAAAGGUGAGAGAAAAGUAUUUUACUUUUACUAUUAAAUUUAAUAAUAUGACACCUACGCGAAUUAAUUAGUUUUUUAAAAUAACAAAAUUACACGUGAGCUUUAAUAUUAAUCCUUGGAUGAACUCUAUUAGAAAGAAAUUUGUUUCUAAAAGUAUCUUUUUUAAACUUGCCCCCAAAAUAAGGAAUAUUCUAAAAAAAUAAAAAAGAAAACAAACAUUUUGAGUAUUAUCCUUAGUUUAUCCUUUAUUUUAAUAAAGGAAGGAACCCUUAUAUAUAUAUAUAUAGUAAUGAUCUAAUCCAAAAUUUUGGGUUUUGUUAAAAACCGAAAAAAAUCAUAAUUUCAAAUGGUUCAAUAGUCCAUUAUACUAUUAAAUCAUAUGACUUACUAGAUUUUUCGGAAUUUAACAAAAUUUGUGUAGCGAGAGAGAGAGACAUUCGAAAUCCUGUUAGCUUCAAAUUUCCUUUUAUUUGUUUGUUUCCCCUUGAUACAAUUAACAAAUAUGUCAAAACCUGUGAAAUCUAAGGGCCUGAGAAUUUCAUUUGACAUAAGUCUCUUUAUUCUCUAUAUGGAGAUAUGACUAAAUCUCUUGUACUAUAAUGCAACUGAAUUCUCAUUUGUUAAUUUUCUCUUUACACCUUGUGUACUUAAUUGCAAAUAUUCAUUAAAUGAAGCAAUUGUAUCAAGCAUAUAAAGAUUAUCAUCACCUGACAAAGAACCAGAACUAACCAAUUUUGAAUUAUGAAACAAACUAAAUUUUCCAUUCCCAAAUGAACAAAAAAAACCAAAUUUGUCCAAACCAGAAAUAGAAAUCAAAUUCCGUCUAAAAGAUGGAACAAAAAAUGUUUCAUCAAGAUUCAAAUAAAAUCCAAUUUUAACAAUAAUCUAAAUUCCAAUGCUNNNNNNNNNNNNNNNNNNNNNNNNNNNNNNNNNNNNNNNNNNNNNNNNNNNNNNNNNNNNNNNNNNNNNNNNNNNNNNNNNNNNNNNNNNNNNNNNNNNNNNNNNNNNNNNNNNNNNNNNNNNNNNNNNNNNNNNNNNNNNNNNNNNNNNNNNNNNNNNNNNNNNNNNNNNNNNNNNNNNNNNNNNNNNNNNNNNNNNNNNNNNNNNNNNNNNNNNNNNNNNNNNNNNNNNNNNNNNNNNNNNNNNNNNNNNNNNNNNNNNNNNNNNNNNNNNNNNNNNNNNNNNNNNNNNNNNNNNNNNNNNNNNNNNNNNNNNNNNNNNNNNNNNNNNNNNNNNNNNNNNNNNNNNNNNNNNNNNNNNNNNNNNNNNNNNNNNNNNNNNNNNNNNNNNNNNNNNNNNNNNNNNNNNNNNNNNNNNNNNNNNNNNNNNNNNNNNNNNNNNNNNNNNNNNNNNNNNNNNNNNNNNNNNNNNNNNNNNNNNNNNNNNNNNNNNNNNNNNNNNNNNNNNNNNNNNNNNNNNNNNNNNNNNNNNNNNNNNNNNNNNNNNNNNNNNNNNNNNNNNNNNNNNNNNNNNNNNNNNNNNNNNNNNNNNNNNNNNNNNNNNNNNNNNNNNNNNNNNNNNNNNNNNNNNNNNNNNNNNNNNNNNNNNNNNNNNNNNNNNNNNNNNNNNNNNNNNNNNNNNNNNNNNNNNNNNNNNNNNNNNNNNNNNNNNNNNNNNNNNNNNNNNNNNNNNNNNNNNNNNNNNNNNNNNNNNNNNNNNNNNNNNNNNNNNAACUGUCUUGCAAUCGCCAACAUAGAUAUAUCUUUCACCAUCACUGGGUUUUCGGCAACUCAGGCAACCCUGCAUAGAUAUAGUGAUGUGAGUGGUUGCACUAGAAUUUAUUCACCACGUGUGUCUAGAUACCAAAGUUAAAUUAACCUCAGAACAAACCAAACUAAAAAGCAUACCUUUCUUAGCACUCCAUGUGUGAUAAUUAGUGUAAUGCUUCUUCUUAUGCCCUUUAGCCCCAUAGAAGAAACAACCAGUACCUUCAUGAUCAUUUGGUUUCUUUUGUUAUUUCUUUUGAGGUGUUGUAUUUGCACAUUCCUUAUUUUUCUUCAUUUUCUUGCCCUUAGAGAUAGAGUCUAGGUGAGCACUUUUUGCCUUAUCUUUUUUCAACAUAUCCUUUUCCUAAACACAAUGUGAUAUGAGCUCAUUCAGAGACCAAGUCUCUUUCUGACAAUUAUAGCUCACCUUAAAUUAGUUAAACUGUGUUGGUAAGGAUAUUAAAAAAAAUGCACUAGUAAGUCCUCAGAGAGCUUAAGUUUAAGUGCUCUUAACUUAGAAUCAAGAUGAGACAUCUCCAUAAUGCACUCGUUGAUAUUGCCUUUACUCGUAUACCUCAUUGAAAUUAGGCUUGUCAAGAGCGUACCAAUUUCAGCCUUUUUGUUCUUGACAAACAUUUGUUCAAUUUAUGCAAGAAACUCUUUAGCAGUAGUUACUUUUUCAAUCAUUAAGCCCCUGAAUGCUUCUAGAAUGGUCUUCUACUUAUCAUGACACACAUGCGAUUUGAUCUCUCUCACCUUUCCAUUUAAUUUCCCUUUUAUCACCAGGGGUACUCUCACCCGUAAGAGGUGCGAAGAAUCAACCCUUAACGCAAGGUCAAGAUCCAUGACUACAAGAACUAUUGAGAGGUUCUUGUGCCAUGAUUUGAAGUUAGAGCCAUUUAACAUAGGAAUAUAAUUCAUGUUGGCGGUAAUAUUAGUAGCAAACAUAAUUGAACAAAAAAUAACAAACAAACAAAACAAGCUCAUAUUAGUCUUAAAACAAAAAUAAAUUCAAAUAAAGAUAAUCCCCAUCUUAAGAUACUGGACACUCCAUUAAUAUUCAACUUGUAAUUGAUAUCUUGGUGUAGUAAUCAAACAUUGAUAAUAAGAACAUGUCAAACAAUUAAUAUUCCUUUGGCCGAUUUAUUGCUCACAUGCAAAACCGAAUAAUCAUCACAUGUUUAUUACCAUAGGUGCACAUGUAAUUCUAUUAAAUAUGGACAUUCCUUAGAGCCGAUCGAUAUUUACAGAAAUUACAUAUACAAAAGCGUUUAUAUUCUAAAAUAAAUUAAUUCUUAUAAGAGACCUCACUUUGGCGACAUGCUGCUUCAAUUAAUUUAUCUCAAAAUAUAUAUAAACCUACCAAUAUUUAAAUUUAAAAUUGCACAAAAAUUACCUCAAAAAUUAAAAAAAUUCAGGUCAAAGUCAAAGUUUGACCAGUCAACUAUCAAAUGUUGAUCGGUUUAUACUGCUGAUCACUUUGAAUUGGACUCGUUCAGGUUAGACCGAAUCGGACCAAACCAGUCCUAAAUCAGAAACCCUAAUUCAUUUUCCCUUCUUCUUCUUUGGUCGCCUUCCCACCUUAACCUACAGGCUGCGACUUAGUCGUCGCGACCUCUCCUUCCCGUCGCUAAGGGUGUUCGUGGAUCAGAUUUUGUGGAUUAGACAUCAAUCUAUAUCUGAUUCACGAUUUUACGGAUUAUAAAUUUUUAAUCCAAUCCAAUCCACGGAUUAGUGAAAUUCAAUCCAAAUCAAUCCAUACGUCUGCGGAUCGGAUGCAAAUUUGACCCAAUCCAUAUCCAAUCCAUCAUUUUACGGAUUGGUUUACGGGCUAAAAAAUUUUACUCAUGUCCUAUCCACGAACUAACUAAAUAAAAAAAUUAAUAUAAAAAUAAUUUUACUAUCGAUAAAAUUCAAAAUUAAAUAAAAUUUAAAUUAAUUAAUUUUUUAAAUAAAGGUAAAAAAUACAUUCAAAGUUUCAAACUAUAACACACCAAAAAAAAAAUCUCAUUUGUUUAGAUCAGUACAUGAAAAUUAAUUGCUAAGGAAGAUAUAUUUUUUAUUUAAUUAUUUUUAUUUUAUAUUAUUAUCAGAUAAGACAUAAUAUGGUGUUAAUAUAACUAUAUUUUAACUUAUUUAUUUAGUAGUAAGAAUAAUGUUAUAUUUACAAGUUUAUUUUUUUGCGGAUUUGUGGAUUUUUGCGGAUCCACAGUAGUAAAUCUAUAUCCAAUCCACUGACUGCGGAUUUUCAAAUUUUCAAUCCAAUUCAAUCCACCAAUCCACGGAUCAAAAUUUUACGGAUUAGAUUUCUGCGGAUCAGACGGAUUGAGCGGAUCGAAUUGGAUUUUGAACUCCCCUACCCGUCGCAGCCUGAAGCCGUGACACAGCCGCCAGCUAAAACCUUGAAACAUUUUUUUUCCUUCAAUUCCCUUUCCCUUUAUACCACGACUAGGGGUGGGCAAACGGUUCGAUUUUAUGAGCAAAAUCAGAAUGGUUUUAAAAUCAAGGAACCGAUUGGUUAAACCGAACAGAACCAAAAAACCAAUCGGUUCCUUGAUUUAAUUAUAAAUAAUUUUUUAAUUGAAAAAUAAAUGAAAAUAUAUAAACUAAAAAUGAAAAAACAAAUCACUCAAAAAUCAAAAUCUCAAAUCCCUAGCUGCGUUUCCCCAAUUUGCAACCCACAACCUCUCUCUCCUCUCCCACUCAUCUCCCACUCAUCUUCCACGCCUCCCUCCGUCGCCUCUUUGCCGCGUGUUUCUCCAUUACCAGACAGCACAGAACUUCAGCUCAGCCCCUCUCGGCUUCUUCCUCGUAACCGUCUCUCCCUCGCGUUAGCUCAGCCCCUCUCUUCCUUGUCUGCACAGCACCUAGCACAGCCCUUAUCUUCCUCGCGUGCACGGCUUCCUAGCACAACCCCUUAGCAGCGACACAACUCCUCCCCUCAAGCACGAUGACAGCCCCUCACACGCGGUGUUACAGCCUAACACAAUCCCUCACACGUCGUGUUGCAGCCUAGCACAACCCCUCUCUUUGGUGCUGCAGCCUACAAGUGUUAUUUUAUUUUAAUUUAUGCCAUGGCUUGCACAUAGUGUGUAUAGUGUAUACUGUUUAGUUUCUGCUAGUGUUACUUGUGUUAGGGAUUGACUAUUUGUGGACUGUUGAUGUAUACUUGUUGGUGGAGUUAAAAAUGGUGGGUAGAUAUAGUGGUUGUGGAGGCUUGUGAGUUGUGGCAGUGAACUGAAAUGGUUGUAACUUGUAAUGUUGUAUUGUAUAUUGCAGUCGAAAAUUGAACAAUUGAAAAUAGAUAAAUGUAUAAUGCUUCAAUCAAUGAAAAAUUAGAAAUAAUAUUUGUUAUUUAACUUAUUUGGCAUAAUGAUUAAUGACUUAAUUAGCUUCGCGAGGUUGCAAUUUGAUAUUGGCAAUUUGGCAUGGAGAAUUCAAAUUAAAUUAAUAAGUAGUGGAAGUAUAUUAUGAUAUGUUGACCUAAUUUGUUAAAUUAAAUUAUGAUUUAUUAGCUAGUAGUUAAUUGAACUUUAAUUGAUCUUUUUGGCAUGGAUGUUUUAAAUUAAAUCAACAAUUAUUCGAAGUAAAUUAUGAUAUGUUGGCUUAAUUUUUUAAAUUAAAUUAAAUUAAAUUAUGAUAUGUUCGCUAGUAGUUAAAUUAAAUUAAUAAAUUUAAUUGAACUUUUUGGCAUGGACAUUUUAAAUUAAAUUAACAAUUAUUGGAAGUAAAUUAUGAUAUGUUGACUUAAUUUGUUAAAUUAAAUUAUGAUUGGCUAGUAGUUAAUUUAAAUUGAAUUGAUCUUUUUGGCAUGGAUGUUUUAAAUUAAAUCAACAAUUAUUGGAAGUAAAUUAUGAUAUGUUGGCUUAAUUUGUUAAAUUAAAUUAUGAUUUGUUAGCUAGUAGUUAAUUUAAAUUGAAUUGAUCUUUUUGGCAUGGAUGUUUUAAAUUAAAUUAACAAUUAUUGGAAGUAAAUUUUGAUAUGUUGCCAUGUUGGCUCAAUUUAUUAAAUUAAAUUAAAUUAUGAUAUGCUGGCUAGUAGUUAAAUUAAAUUUAAUUGAUCUUUUUGGCAUGAACAUUUUAAAUUAAAUUAACAAUUAUUGGAAGUAAAUUAUGAUAUCUUGCACUAGCUUAUUAAAUUAAAUUAUGAUAUGUUGGCUAGUAGUUAAAUUAAAUUUAAUUGAUCUUUUUUCAUUUCAAUAACUUGUUAAUAAAACAAUAUUACUUAUUUAUUUUUAUUUUAUUUAUUGUGUAUAUCUAAUUAUUCAAGAGUUCAAGACAACCUCGAUUGUGUACCCGAUGAUCUUGAGUGUGAAGUUGAAGUUGAUGAUAGUGAAAAUGAUUCGCCAACAAUUGUCACUAGCAGAAACAAGAGGAAAAAGUCUUUGUCAUCCAAACCGCCACUACCAAGGAAAAAAAUGGCUCCAAGAUCAACAGUGUGGCAACAUUUCACUAGACUUCUAGAUAAUGAUAAGAAGUGCAAAUGCAACUACUGUGGUAAUGAAUUUGAAUAUGGCUCGGUAGGGUACGAGACUAGCACUUUGAGGACUCAUUACCAAGAAAGGUGUCAAAAGUACCAAGAACCUUCAGAAAGACCAAACAACUUUAACUCAAAAUGUCGGUAGUGAUGAAAUUGUAGCAAGAGAUUUUAGUUAGGAUGCUUAUAGAUGAGCAACUAUGAAGAUGAUGUUCUUGAUGAAUUGCCUUUUUGUGUUGUGGAGAAUCCGGGUUUUAAGCAUUUUUGCAGUGUGGCGGCUCCUAGAUAUCUUCUUCCAUCACGAAGAACCAUUACUAGGGAUACUCUUGAUAUGUAUGUUGAGGAAAAGGCUAAGUUGAAGAAUUUAUUGGUUGGGAAUAAGCAGAGAGUGUCUUUGACCACUGAUAUUUGGACUUCCAUUAUGACAGUUAGCUACAUGGUCAUCACAGCUCACUUUAUUGACAAAGAUUUGAAUUUACAUAGAAAGAUUAUCAGCUUCAACAUGGUUAAUGAUCAUUCAUCGGAGACAAUUGGUAAGCGAAUUGAAAAAUGUUUGAUUGACUGGGGCAUAGAGCGAGUAUGUGCUGUAACGGUUGACAAUGCAAGUCCAAAUAAGGGUGCUCUUAGGUACUUAAUUGAUCGACUAAAGACUUGGAGGGAUGAUGCCUUAGUGUUGAAUGGGGAUUAUUUGCAUGUUCGUUGUUGUGCGCAUAUAUGGAAUUUGACUGUGACUGAAAGGUUGAAGGAACUUGAGCCGAGUAUAGUUAGUGUUUGGAAUGUUGUGAAAUAUGUGAGGUCUUCCACUACCAGGAUGCAAGCAUUUCAAAUUCGUGUGCAACAAGAGAAGAUUAAUUCCCGAGGAAGUGUGAUUUUGGAUUGCCCUACUCGGUUCUACAUAUUCCAUGUUGAGUACAUCAUUGAAAUUUAAGCCGGCAUUUGAUUGGAUGGCACUUGAAGAUAACCUUUAUGAUGCUUAUUUCAAUGAAAAAGAGGGGGGGAGGGUAAGAAGAAAAGUGAGGGGCCACCGCUGUAUAGUGAUUGGGAGAGUGCUCGUCGCAUAGUUAAAUUUUUGAAGACUUUUUAUGACGCGACUUUGCAAUUUUCUUCUUCUUUGAAGGUAAUAUCACAUCUUUAUUAUGCUUUUGAAUUUUGAUAUAUGAUAUGGAAUUUAUUUUAGCUUUAUUAUACUUUUGAAUUUUGAUAUAUGAUAUGGAAUUUAUUUUAGCUUUAUUAUGCUUUUGAAUUUUGAUAUAUGAUAUGGAAUUUAUUUUAGGUGACAUCGCACACUUGUUAGAAUUUGACAUGUCAAAUUGAACAAUCUUCGGAAUUGUUGUCUACUAAUAAUGAUAGCCUUUUGGGUUUGAUGGUUAUUAAAAUGAAGGAGAAAUUUGAUAAGUAUUGGGAGGGCUGUUUCAAGAUAAAUAAAACGUUGAUUGUUGCUUCUGUGCUUGAUCCACGGGGAAAGAUGAAAUUUGCAACACAUUGCUUUGAGAAAUUAUAUGGCAAGGAUAGUGCCAAAUGUGUUGAGAUGAAGGAAAUGGUAAAAGAUUUGUUGACUAAGCUUUAUAAGUCUUACAAUGCACAAUAUAAACCGUGUGGUAGUGGGAGUACAAGUGGAAGUGCAAGUGGAAGUACAAGUGGAAGCCAAACUUUAGCUAUUGGAAGUGGAAGUGGUUCGAAUUUUUGGGAUUUAGGUGGUGAUGAUGAUGUUAUGAUUGAGGACCCUUUCUCCAAAUUUAGUAAGGUGGUUGCGGUUAGUGAAGGUAGCCCGGAAUUGUGUGCUUGUGUUAUGGUGGAUGUAGCUAUGGCUUGUGUGCUUGUGUUAUGGAGUUUUAUCAAUUAUUGAUGCACUAUUAUGGACUUGUUAUUUUUUUUUGGGAUAUUAUCAUUCGUAUACCUUAUAGAUACUCUAUUAUCAAAAAUACUAUAAUACUUUGAGGGUGUAUCAAUCGUCCAUCCUAAAUUAACAAAAGUUAUCUGCCGACCACUAAACCGUUAGCUGCCAUUUAAAAGUUAACGGAAUAAUAGUGAAUUGAUGAUUUUACCCCUUAAAAUUAUCACUUGUAUACCCUUAAAUUCUUUUAUUAUCACUUGUAUACCUUUAAAUUAUCACUUGUAUCAUAUGAAAAGACCAAAUUACCCCUCUGGCGUUAUCCUAUUUAAACGGCAAGUAACGGUUUGGUGGACGGCAUAUACAUUUUGUCAACUUAGGGUGGACGAUUGAUACACCCUCAAAGUGUUGUAGUAUUUUUGAUAAUAGAGCAUUUAUAGGGUAUAUGAAUGAUAAUUUCCCUUUUUUUUGUUGCCAUGGACUUAUAAUUUGUAGUAGACUUUUAAGUUUAAGCGUGUUUAUGAAUUGCGAAUAUUUGUAUUGGGAAUUUUUAUUAUAUGGCUUGUGUACUUGUGUUAUGGAGUUUUAUCAAAUAUUGAUGCACUAUUAUGGACUUUUUUUUUUUAGGUUGCCAUGGACUUAUAAUUUGUAGAAUUGUCAAUUGUAGUAGACUUUUAAGUUUAAGUGUGUUUAUGAAUUGUGAAUAUUUUGUAUUGAGACAUUUAUUAUUUCGCUUUUGAUUUAAUAGUUUUAUACUUGUUUAUUCAUAUUAUAUAGUGUUAUUAAUAUUAUAUGUGUAGAGUGUAGUUUGGUACUUGGUAUUGGUAGUUAAUGGGAGUGUAAAUUGCAAAAUUAAGUAAAAUUAGGUGGAAAGUAUAAAAUCUGAUAAUAUUAGGGUAAAUCUAUAAAAUUAAGAAAAUGAAAAAUCUGAACCGAACCGAAUUUAGGAACCGAACUGAACCAAACCAAAUAUUUCAGUUCAGUUCAGUUCGAGUUCGGUUCACACUCUUAAGGCUCGAUUGAUUUUGGUUCGGUUCGGUUCGGAGCCCGAUGUUGGAUUAUUCACAUAUAAGUCCAAUAUUGGAUUAACGAUCCAACAAUAUUGGAUUAAAAAUCCAACAUUAUCCACCCAAAUGCCAGAGCAAUCUCAUGCAUAAUUUUCCUUGAAAGGUCAAACAUCAACAAGAGAUCAAAAGGUGCAGUAAGAUUUUUUGCCAGAUCAUGAACUGUAGAAAAGUCCUAAAAACGAGACAAUCAAUGUUUUGAAAAAAAAAUUAAAUGGGAAUAGUGUCCCCGUUAUAAUCCCCAUUCAAUUUGUGGAUUUUUGAGGACAUGCCCAACCUAUGCUCAAUAAAACUUUUUGAGGUAUGAGGUGGGUUUGGGGAUUGCUUCCAAACUGCAUUCAAGUUCGUGCGUCAUGAUCCCCGUCUCGAACCCGGCCCAUUCCUAUCACUACUUAAUAGGAUCAUUAAACACAAAACUAAGGACUGAAAAGUUGAAAUAAAUGAACCAAUAAAUGAGAAAGACUAACUAAAAUUAGAGACAUAUGAAAUAAACUUGGAAGAAACGUCUAUUAAAUUGAUAUUUAACCAAAAGAAUUGCAAUAUGAUUAACAAAUUUUAAAAUGUUUUCUCAUUCAAUUAUUUUUUAUGUUUAUUAUUUAAAAAUUUCCUUCUUUUUUUCAUUUAUUGAAUUUUUUAGCAUUAAAAAUAAAAUAUAAAAAUUAUUUAAUGAAAUACCGCCAUACGAGUUGUUAAAAUAUUUAUCAGAGGUUGUAUGAAAUUGUAGGAUGACCCUAAGAAAAGAGAAAAACAUUUAUUUGUGGGACCCGACCGAUCACGGAACAUGGGUUCGAAACAUGGAUCCAACUACCUUGCAAUAGUUGCAAGGUACCACAACUUUUGUCUUUUUAUGCAAUAAAUUUCAUUUGACCUCUUACUUUUCUUUUUUUAAUUUAUUUUUAAUUAUAAUUUUAUUUUUCUCUCUCAUUCUUUCCCUCCACUCCAUAGGUGGCCCAAUCUUUUUUCCUUUUAUUAUUAUUAUUAUUAUUUGCUUAAUGAUUAUUUUAAUUAAAAAAAUCUAAUGAAUAAAAAAAUAUAAACCAUAAGCUAUUAACAAUUAGCCUAAAGGAGUAUAAAAGCAAGCAUUGAGUUUGGGCUUUGGCUAAAUUUUGGAAAAAUUUUUUUAACACUUUCAUUAAAUUAGAAAAUUAAAACAAUUUGAUAUAAUUAGGAUUCCAUCGGGAUCCCGAUUGAAGUCCUGACUAGUCCUGAGUUUUAAUGAGAAUAAAUUUAAUCUCAAAUUCUUAUUUAUUUUAAUUAUUUUUUAAGUCAUAUACCGUUUCAUGUACCAUUUGGAACAGGAUUUGGGAUUCCGAUUGGGAUUCGAUUUUUUCUACCAACUUUAAUUGGCAAAAGAGUUUUAAUUAGCUAAUUGAGAAUGUUAUGUUAAUUAACAAAGUUAUAAUAAUCUACGAUUGUUAUAAGAAUCUACAAUGUAUAACUUAGGAAUAGUAAAGCUCCUAUUAUUUAGCUUAUUUGGGUGUAUAGGCUUAUUGAAUUAAUUCAUACCAAUAUAAUUUGAUUAGAAUCGAAGUAUCUUAAUUAUGAAUUUUAUUCUUCUACUCUUUUGCAAAUGUUAAUAUUGAAAUAUAACUGUGCAACCCAAGAGGGGGGUGAAUUGGAAUUUUAAAAAUCAUCCUAGCAAAUCCACACAACAAGCAAUCUAAUGUCUUAAUAAAAAUUGAAAGCAAUAAGUUCAAUCAAAGUACAAUAAUUAAAGAGCAAGGGAAGAGAAAGCAAACUCAAGGAUUUUUACGUGGUUCGGUAAUCCCCGCCUACGUCCACGCCUCCAAGCACACCGGGCUUGAGGAUUUCACUAUCCAAGCCUUUCCAAGGCUUCAAACGAUUACAAAUGACUUCAAGGUGUCAAUGAACCUUUACAACAAGAGAUUAUAUCUCCAAUUUCUUCACCCCAAGUGUUUCUCACACUUGUACUCUAACAAUUUGAUGUAAAAUGAAAAAUACAACAAUCAAUCUCUCUUUAAGAGUGGAUAUACAAAUUGAAGAACAAAGAUGAUUUAAUGAAUGAUGAUUCACGAAGUUGAAACUCAAUAUAUGUUGUGUACACUUGUUCUUGCUUGCUUGGAUCACCAAAAAUGAAUUGGUUUUGAGUUUAUAUAGUUUGAGCUCAAAAACUAGCCGUUAUGCACAUUUUGGUCGUAACCGGAUUACCGGUUAUGGACAUCAAGAAUUCCGCUUAAUGUUACCAUUACAGCCACAAUUUUGAAUUUCUGAACAUUCGGAUUGCCGCUUUGUCACAUCCGGAUUUUCGCUUAUACUCAGUAGCUUACUGCCCAACAACCGGAUUUUCGUUUGUCAGGAUCCGGAUUUCCGCUUUCAAUUUGGAUACAUUCUGCCCAAAAUUCGGACUUCCGUUUGUCAGAAUCUGGAUUGCCGCUUGCUAUAGUGACAACUACAGUGAACUAUUUUCUAAAAUUAUAGUUUGACCCCAAAACUUUAUAAAACUAUACUACGGCCCAAAACGUUAUAAAACUUUACAAAUAAAUCCAAUUUCAUAAUUUUUAAAUAAUACUUUGUCAAUCUCAAAACUUUUUGAAAUUAUGAUUUCACCCAAACUAUGUGAAAUUAUAAAAUGACCUAAAAUAUUUAAAUAGUUUCAAAUAGGUCCAAAUCCGAAAUUUAAAACACUAUUAAAGAUUUUUAAAAUACUUUCAUUUUAGUCCAAAAUACUUUAAUUCCAUAACAUCAUUUUCUUAUUAUAAAAGAACAAUUCAUAAAUCUUUGUUUAAUCAAUACAUGUGGUUUGUUAUCAUCAAUAUCAAUAUUUAUAGCCAUAUAGGCUAACAAUCUCCCCCUUUUUUAUGAUGACAAAACACAUUAUAAAAAAGUUUAAUCUAGUUAUGAAAAGCUCCCCCUAAAUCAAUGCAAGGUAAAAAAAAUGAUUUGAAAAAAAAAAAAAACUCCCCCUACAUACAUGCAUACUCCCCCUGGAUACAUGUAUAUUUUCAUAACACUUUUUAUAACACAUAUUCAAUUAUUCUCCCCCUCAUCAUCAAAAAGAAAAACUUAAUUGGCAAAGAAAAAAUAGCAAAUUUUUAUAAAUUUAAAAACAUGUAUUCUUCUCCCCCUUCAUCAUCAAAAAGAAAAUGUAAAGGAAAAGAAUAAAAGUAGCAAAUUGGUUACCCACGUUGUUUGAGUAGAAAUUUUGAAAGAAUCUCCCCCUAACAACAAGCAUCACCUCAAAUACAAAUUUAGUAAUAUUACUCACAAAUUAUCAUCAUCAUAUAAUCAAAUACCAAUUAUCAAAACAAUUACUCAAAAUGCAUAUUAUUCUCCUCCUUUUGAUAACAUCGAAAUGAUAUAUUAUUUUGUCUCCCCCUUUGGACAACAAAAAAAAAAACAAUUCAAAAUGCAUAUUAUCCAAAAUCAUAUUAUAUGCUCCCCUAAAUAAAUGGCCAAUUUAAAAAUUUAACCGAAAUGAUUUUAUCCAAAAACAUAUUAUAUUUGUCUCCCCCUUAAAAAUGAACAAAUUCUCAAAUACACAACAUGGUUAAAAACACUUCCAUAUAAGCUUAAACAAUAAUAACCAACCAACAACUCCUUCAAUUUAUCAAGCAAAGCAUAUAUAAUCAUCAAUUACCAAGAUCAUCAAGAAAUCAAAUCAUUCCAAGUUUAUGCCGAAUUUUUUGAAAAUUCUUCUUCAUAAAGAGGUUUUGAUUUCUUUACCAAAUUGGCAUGCAUAUUAUCAAAUAUUCAAGCUCCAUAAUUAUCAAUCACAUUUUAUAAAUAAAGACAACUAAACUCAUCAAAUAUCUAAUGUGACAUUUCAAUAUAACAAAAAAAAAUCUCAUAUGCUUAAAAUUCUUGAAGUAUAUGUAUUUCUCUCUUUUUCGAUAUCAUUUAAAACAAGUAAGACAUAUUCAACAAUACAUCGAUAAAGUACAAAAAAAAAUGCAUUCAUUCACUAAUCAUAGAUUGCAUAAGAUCAAAGCUUCAUCAAAUACAAUGUAAUCAUCAAUACACAUUCUUUAUCAUCAAAACUUAAGUAAAAACAUAAGUACAUAAUGGCAAUAUAUAAAUCAUCAAAAUCAACAUAUGCCAAUAUAUAGAUCAUCAAAAUCAACAUAACUAUUAAGAAAAGCCAUCAUUAUGAGCUAAAGAACAAGUGAUCAAAUCCAUUAUUACAAAUGUUUAUAUAUAUUUCUAAAUGAUGAUCUAGUAGUUACAUCUUGUGAUGGAUCUCCUAAAAUUAAGUUCGUAAGGUGAGAAGAAUCAUAUAAUUCAAAAUCAUAGCAAACAUCCAUAUAAUCCAAAAUGCAAAAUAAAAGAAAAAUAAAAUAGUAAAUGAAAUGUUAGUGUGUCUAAAUACAAGCAUAAAGGAUUUGAAGUGAAAAAGGAUGAGAUUGAUGGAGUUUAGAGAGAUAUUGCGUGAGAGAGGAAGCGGUUUUUAGUGAGAGAGUAAGAAAUGGAAUGCCGAAUGAAGAAGGAAGAAGAGCAGUACCCAUUUAACCGCGAAACCGGUUUGCCAGAAGUCACUAACCGGCUGUCCGGUUAGUAUCCAAAAGCUGGAAAAAUCGAAACCGGUUUGCUGGAUGAGUUUAACUGGAAAUUCGGUUGGUUCCAGCAAAUAUUUCACGCAAAUUCAGUUUUCCGGAUAACACGAACCAGCUUGCCGGUUGGAUCCAGAAGAUAGCAAGUGAAAAUCUGCUUGCCGGUUUGCCAAAGUGUAGCUCGAAUCCAGAAUUUCGAAUUGACAGAACAGGAAAUCCGGUUUGUUCCAGAAGGCUUUCCUUGCGAAUCCGGCUUUCCGGUUUUGCUAACCAGUAGUCCGGUUUGAGGUAGAAAGUGGCCUAUUGAAUUUGGUUUUCCAGAUUUUAAGAAUCGGUUAUCCGGUUUUGAGGCAGAGGGAAGGCUUAGCAAAUCCAGUUUUCCGGAUUGAAAAUCUGGUUAUCCGAAUGUUGUCCCGAGAGCAACCAAAGCUAAUCUGGUUUAGACUUGGAAAACCUUUUGUCUCUAAUUGAAUAUUGGCUAGCUCUUAUACUUGUAUUACACUCACCAUUUUAUUUUUGGCUUUUAAAAUUGAUUAAUUUUAAAUCAUUUUGAGAUUUAAAACUUUUCAAUAAGCCAUUUAAUACAUGAGACAUAAAUGCAUACAAGACCAAACAUAUGAAAUCGUAUCAAACAAUGAUGUCAAUUUUAUAAGUGAAUGAUGAUAUAACACAAUUAACGACACAAGAAUUCACACAUAUAAUUCAUUCAUCAUGUAUAUAUUUUACACAAUCAUGAAACAUAUAAGCAUUCAAAGAUUAAUAAUUCAAGCAUAUCAUUCAUUUAUCAAGCUUAGGCAUUACAUAAUCAUCAAAAUCAAACAAAGCUAUCAUGAUGAGUUGACAAGCUAUCAUCUUAUAUAUAUAACCAUGCAUCAUGAUAAAGCAUUCAAUGUUAAACACAAUGAUAAUUCAAUCAUGUAAACAUACAAGCAUACUUUCGCAAAUUCAUUUAUCAUGGUUCAUUCAACAAAAUUAAUAUGGCAAGAAUUGUUACCAAAACAAUUAAAUCAUCUUGCCUCAUCUUUUUCUCCUAGAUCAUACUCAAAUGAUUAUCCUCACAAGCUUCAUCAAGGAACUCUCCACCAUUCCUUGUUUGUGGUACCUACAAAAGAAUAUUCAAGUUGUGCCCUUUGGUACCCAAAUGCUCUUGGGUCCUUGAGUGUUAGCAAUGGUUCCUUUUGGAACCCAAAUACAUUUUACUUCAUAAUAUACUUUUCUUUUAAUAGGACAACCAAGCUUCAUGUGACCGUUUUGAUUACAAUAAUGACAUACAACUUGAUUGUUAAUAGAUGUACUCUUCACAAAGUAGUUCUGAAAAUACUUUUGUUUCAAAUUUGGCUUAUAACCAAAUCCUCUUUUAUCAAACACACAUUUUUUGUGAAUUAAUCAAGUUAUCCAACAUCUUUUGCCCAUUUGUAAAUUUUAUGACAAUCUCAUUUAAUUCAUUGCUCUUCUUCUUAAGCAUUUCAUUUUCCUUUUUCAAGUCAUCUAUGUGAUAUUUUAAAUGCUCAUGUGAAGUGCUAGUUUUCUCAUUUGAUAAUGCAACUCUAUCAUGCAAUGUUUUAUUCUCUAAUUCUAGGCAUGUAAUCUUUGCACAUAGAGAUUCAUUUUCAUUUUUGAGCUCUACCAUUUUCUUUUUAAGACAUGCAUUCUGUUUACCAAUUUUUAUCCAAUUAUCAUGUAAUUCUUUAAAAGCAUCAUAUAAUUCAUCAUAAGUAAAAAGAUCAUUUACCUCAUCAAGUUCAUCAUCCGAUUCAUCUCCAAUUGCCAUGAGAGCUAGAUUUAUCAUUUCUUGAUGCUCUUCAUCAUCACUUGUUUCCUCAUCGCUAUCAUCCCAUGUGGCUACCAUUGCUUUCUUCUUGAGCUUGUUGAGAAGAGGACAUUCCGUUCUUAUAUGGCCAAGUUUCUCGCACUCAUAACAUUUGAUUAAUUCCUUCUUCUCCUUUCGGUUCUUGAGGUCUCUAAAUUUUCUUCGCUCACCGGAUUUCUUAAAAAGUUUUCUGAACCUCCUAACCAGCAUAUCCAUCUCUUCCUCAUCUAGCUCGUUUUCCUCAUCACUCUCAUGUUUCGAGGUUUUGAGAGCAAUGUUUUUCUUUUUCUCCUCAUUGCCUCUUUCGGCUUCCAAGUCUUCCUCAUAAGAAAUAAGAGAACCAAUUAAAUCAUCAAUAGGUAAGAUAUUUAAAUCCUUGGCUUCCUCAAUGACAGUCCUUUUUUGUCUCCAUUCCUUAGGUAGAGACCUAAUAAUUUUCUUAACCUUAUCCCUAUUUGAAAAAGUCUUUCCUAGGGCUCCUAGAGUGUUCACUAUGUCCGUAAAUCUAAUAUACAUAGAAUACAUACUCUUAUUUUGUUCCAUUUGGAACAAUUCAUAUUGCCGAGUGUACCUACUAAUUUUAGACUCUUUCACUUGAUUUGUGCCUUGAUAAACAACUUCAAGUUUGUGCCAAAUUUCAUUAGCACUCUCACAACUAGAUACUCUAUGAAAUUCUUUCUUAUCUAGUGCACAAAACAAGGCAUUCAUAGCUUUGGAAUUUAGAGUAACUUUUCCCUUUUCCAAUUCAUUCCAUUCCCGUGAAGGUUUUGGAAUAUCUUCCCCGACUUCGUUUCUAGUCAAAGGCAUAAAUGGACCAUAACAAACAAUUUCCCAAAUUUCAUAAUCUAAAACUUGUAAAUAAAUUCUCAUCCUAGUUUUCCAAUACGGGUAGUCAUUACCGUCAAAAAACGGUGGUCUAAUUGUGGAUUGUCUUUCCUUAAAGAUUGAGUCAUUAUGGGUUGCCAUGGAUCUUUAACUCUAGACGGUUAAGUCUACACAAGAGCACCUCGCUCUGAUACCAAAUGAAAUAUAAGUGUGCAACCCAAGAGGGGGGGUGAAUUGGAAUUUUAAAAAUUAUCCUAGCAAAUCCACACAACAAGCAAUCUAAUGUCUUAAUAAAAAUUGAAAGCAAUAAGUUCAAUCAAAGUACAAUAAUUAAAGAGCAAGGGAAGAGAAAGCAAACUCAAGGAUUUUUACGUGGUUCGGCAACCCCGCCUACGUCCACGCCUCCAAGCACACCGGGCUUGAGGAUUUCACUAUCCAAGCCUUUCCAAGGCUUCAAACGAUUACAAAUGACUUCAAGGUGUCAAUGAACCUUUACAACAAGAGAUUAUAUCUCCAAUCUCUUCACCCCAAGUGUUUCUCACACUUGUACUCUCACAAUUUGAUGUGAAAUGAAAAAUACAACAAUCAAUCUCUCUUUAAGAGUGGAUAUACAAAUUGAAGAACAAAGAUGAUUUAAUGAAUAAUGAUUCACGAAGUUGAAGCUCAAUAUAUGUUGUGUGCACUUGUUCUUGCUUGCUUGGAUCAUCAAAAAUGAAUUGAUUUUGAGUUUAUCUAGUUUGAGCUCAAAAACUAGCCGUUAUGCACAUUUUGGUAGUAACCGGAUUACCGGUUAUGGACAUCCAAAAAUCCGCUUAAUGUUACCAUUACAGCCACAAUUUUGAAUUUCUGAACAUUCGGAUUGCCGCUUUGUCACAUCCGGAUUUUCGCUUAUGCUCAGUAGCUUACUGCCCAACAACCGGAUUUCCGUUUGUCAGGAUCCGGAUUUCCGCUUUCAAUUUGGAUACAUUCUGCCCAAAAUUCGGACUUCCAUUUGUCAGAAUCCGGAUUGCCGCUUGCUACAGUGACUGCUACAGUGAACUAUUUUCUAAAAUUAUAGUUUGACCCAAAAACUUUAUAAAACAGUACUACGGCCCAAAACGUUAUAAAUCUUUACAAAUAAGUCCAAUUUCAGAAUUUUUAAAUAAUACUUUGUCAAUCCCAAAACUUUUUGAAAUUAUGAUUUCACCCAAACUAUGUGAAAUUAUAAAAUGACCCAAAAUAUUUAAAUAGUUUCAAAUAGGUCCAAAUCCGAAAUUUAAAACACUAUUAAAGAUUUUUAAAAUACUUUCAUUUUAGUCCAAAAUACUUUAAUUCCAUAACAUCAUUUUCUUAUUAUAAAAGCACAAUUCAUAAAUCUUUGUUCAAUCAAUACAUGUGGUUUGUUAUCAUCAAAAUCAAUAUUUAUAGCCAUAUAGGCUAACAAAUAUGUUAAACAUAUUCUUACUAUUUUGAAUAUUAAACAUUGACACACUAAUAUAAUAUCAUAAAAAAUAGUAAUAAUUGGAAAAUUUCGCUAUAAUUUGGGUUGAAACUUAAAUUAAUAAUCUGGAAUUAUAUUUUUUUAUUAUUUUACGUUGAAGUUCCAGCCUCCAGGUACUAAACCAAAUUAAUGGCUUGGGCUAAUGAAAGGAAUAAUUGGUUAAUGCUUUUCUAACUUGAACUAACGAUAUCUAUUAUUUCAUUCUAUGAUUAUUUUUUAUUUUUUUAAUUACUUUCGGUUCCAGUUCAUGGUACAUGAGAUACAUGAGAUGAAGAAAUUAGGAAUUGGNNNNNNNNNNNNNNNNNNNNNNNNNNNNNNNNNNNNNNNNNNNNNNNNNNNNNNNNNNNNNNNNNNNNNNNNNNNNNNNNNNNNNNNNNNNNNNNNNNNNGUAAUUUUUUGGAAUUUUAAAAAAUAUAGGGACUAUAAUGUUAAUUACCAAAUAGACACAUCCUUACCAUGGACGCUACUUUUGCAUUAAAUCGGACGGUGAGGAGCUAAAGUCACAAAAAGAUAAAAAUUCUGGUACGUUGUAACUGUUGUAACUAAGGCGAAUCCUUAAAACAUCUGACAAAGGGAGUACUUUUCUAUAAAAAAUUUAUCAUUUACAAUUUUUUUUACCAUCUCAUUUUGUCACUAACUCCUUUUGCCUUUGGUCAGAGCCACAAGCAAUGAUGAUGAUCCAACUGACAGUUAAUUAUAAUCCAUGAAUUAUUCUUCUUUUGUGUAAUUUUUUUUAAUUUUCUAUAUAUAUUUAUAGCACAGUUUAAAGUUUGAAGAAUUUGGUGGAAAGAGGAGCGACUACAAUCUAUACAUAACUUGUAUUUUUAAAAGAAAUUAUCUAUGUACUACCGCUAUUUCGUGAUAUAUACAACUAAUCACUAUAAAAUUUUAACUUUUUUUGCACUACUUUUGUUUUUAAACUUGUAUCAAUGAACCACUUUGACACUAAGAAUCUAAAUAAAAUAAUUAUUUUACUCCUAAAUGAAUUAAAAGACUAUUUUAUCCUAUAAAAUUUUUAAAAACAAAAAAAAUUAUAAUUACAAUACAACUAAUUGAUAGAAUUUUAUUGAAAAAUAGAUGUGUAAGAACCAUUUAAUUAAUUGAUAAAAUAUUAUUGAUUCUUUUAAUCAUUUUGACCUAAAAUACAUGUACUACUCAUCUCAAAUAUUUUUUUUUUUUGGUUUUUUUAAUCAAUCAUACAAUCACAAUUAUCAAAUAAUUUUCAUUGUUUAAAUUAAUCACCAAAAUAAUAAUAGUCUCAACCAACUUUGAACAAUAAAAAAAACUAUAAUUACAAAAAUUAUUGUUUAAAAAUUAUAAUUAUAAAAAUUAACAUAUUGGAUUUUGGUAUUUAUUUGUUUUAUUAAAUUUAGAGCUAUUCUUGUAAUUAUAAUUUUUUUAAAAAAAAUUGUAGAAUAAAAUGAUCAUUUAAUUUAUUUAGGGUUAAAAUUGUCAUUUAAAAAAAAUUCUUAGUGUCAAAGUAGUUGAUUGAUACAAGUUUAGAAAUAAAGGUGGUGCAUAGAGAAUUUUCCUAUUUUUAAUUUUACUCAAAUUAGUGCCCUAGUCUUGAUAUUAGCCAUAAAAUUUAAAUAUUUUGAGAAUAUGAAUCAAGUGAAAUGGCUUAUAUGCCCACAAUGAUUAAAUUAACUUAACAAUGAAUUAUAAAUUAUGACAAAAAAUUACCUAACAUGUAUAUGUAUGUAUGUAUGUAUGUAUGUAUGUAUCUUUUAUAUUCACAAGACUUAUUAGGGUAACAAGUUAUUUGUCAAUGGUAUUUGUGUUUAAAAGAGGAAAUUUUUUUAUAUAGGGUAGAGUGAGUUGGAUUUUAUGACAAAAGGUUAAAACAAAAUGAAUGCAUAUACCUACCCGUGGUAUAUUUUUAGGUACCAUUUAAUCAUCUUUUGUAAUAUCCCAACAUAUAUAUUGCAAUGGACACAUAUGCCCAAAUAUUAUUGCUAUGUUAAUUUAUAUAUGAGCAUAUUAUAUUUGCCUCCUCUUUAUAUAGUACUACAAUUUAUGUGGGUGCUCCAGUAGUCACAUAUGGCCAAUUGUUAUUGCAAUUUAAAUGGACACUUUAUACAACUAUUAGGGGCAUUUAUGAUAAUUCUCUUACUUGUAAAUUUUCUCUAUAAUUUACAAUUCAUUAUAAAUUAAUUUUAUGAUUAAGGGUAUAUCAGUCAUUUUAGUUAAUCUAUAUUCUCAAAAUAUUUAAAUUUUGUGGUACAUCAAGACUAGUGUAGAAAAGUAAAAUAAUUAUAAAAUUAAAAAUGAUGUAACUUGAGGGAGUUUGAACCUGUUCUAAAAUAUGAAGGUUUUUUUUGUUUUAUUUCUCGAAACAACAAGGGUAAUUCUCAUUUUUCCAAUUAGUUUUGGAACUCUAUUAAUAACAUAUAUUAAUUUCUUUAUUAUUUAACAAUGGGAUUAUGAAUACAAAUCAUGCUAGGAUAGGCAUAAGCAUGCUGAAUGACACGAGGCAAGUCGAAAUUAAUGACUUUAAUAUAGGGGUAUGCCUGAAAGUGAAAGCAAUAAAGGUUACUCUACGACUGCCACCAACAUCGACAGGGUGCUUGAUGUGGUUGAAACCCUAGUAAGCCUUAUUAAUCCCUUAGUGAUGCUGUUAAUAAUGAGAGCAAUAUGGUUAUAACAGUGGCGGAUUCAAAAAAAAAUUUAUUGGGAAUUUAAUUAAAUAAUAGUAAAAUAUAAAAAUUAAAAUUUUGAAUAUAUAAAAUAUUUGUUAAUAUAUUUAUAAUUGUUUUCAAAGCAUUUUUAUAUUUUUAAUAUGUUAUCUAAUAGAUUCAUUGUAUUAAAUAUUUUUUUUUUCAUAAACAACCAAACUAUUAUUCAUCCCAUUCAAUUCUAGAGAUGAUUCUUGACGAAUUUCAUUGCCGAAAAUGUUUUCUUUACUGUUGCGGCAAACUAGAAGAAUUAUCCUUAUUUUUGGAAAUAGAAAAAUGUUUUAGACGGUGGGCUAUUAUUAUUUUUAAUUAAAGUGUAGGCUUUAUAAUUCUUAACAAUUAAAGUUUAAAUUUUAUGGAUUUUUAAAUUUAUAGAAUGGGGGCCAUUUAGAAACCCAAAAUAAUUUUUCCUUUAAUUCUUUGAUUUUUUUUUGGCUUGCUUGUUGGGGCUCUGUUCACAUGUUGAAUCCACCACUGCAUUAUACACCGCUGUUUCAAAACUUUUAGGGAACUUUACCCAUUUGACCACUUUCCAACUUUCAAUAUAAAAAAAGACUUCACUCUAGUUUUUCUUACAAUAACAACCAUUUACAAGGUUCUUAGACCAAAAUACCUCUAAAACUAAACAAACAAACCCCAAACUCCCAAGCAACAAUCGAACAUCUCCACACACCACCAAAAUACUCAUCAUUUCACCUCUCCCACAUUAUCCAACUAUCACUCAGCCUCCCUUUUAUCUAUCUCACAUUCAUCAAACUAUUAUAUUUAUCAAAGUAUUGAAGACAAAAUCAAGCAAUAAACUAAAGAAUAAUAAGAAGUUAGGGUUAGUAUUUCUUCAAUAUCUAUCUUUUAUUUUUUGGUUGGGUUUAAUACAAAAGAUCGGUUGCUCAUUUUACUACAAUGUGGGUACAUUAAAUGGUUAAUGUGAGGUCAGAGAUUUAUAAAUUAGUAAAAUUCUGGCAAAAUUCGACGAAAAUGGGUUUUGAACAAUGUUGAACACGAAACCUAGAAUCCAGGUGACAAGUACCUGUCACCCAAACUUAGAAUAACUUGUCGUACUUGUCACCUGAAUUCUCGUAUUCAUCACCCAGGUGACAAAAUACUGCAUGUUGGGCGAUUAGUGCUCAUGUCACCCAAUAUACAAUCGCAUGUAAUUUGGGCGACAUUAUCUAUCACCUGGGCGAUAGUACUGUCAUCCGGAUCACCCGAAUUUGUUGAUAAUUAGUUAUUUAAUUAAUAUAGUAAUAUUAUUGUUUGCAGUAUUUUUAAUAAAGUAUUAUUAUUAUUUUGCAUCAGGUUAAUAGAGUUGGUAGUUCUUAUGAUGUAUUUUGAUAGAGCGUGGGAGACUUUGGAGGAUGGUCGUAUGGAGUACGAGAAUGGAAAAGUUACUGCAUUUUGUUUCCAAAACGAUGUAACAUUUGAACAAUUUAUUGCAAAGUUGUAUGAAAUUCUGAAGAAAAGUCCGGAUGAAUAUUCCCUCUUAGUAAAGACAAAUGUGAAAUCAACUCAUCCGACGAAAUCCAUUGAUUCCUGCUUAUAGACAUAGUAGACGAUGAAAUGGUGAGAGUGAUUAUGCGUAUGAACUCUGAUCCAAUUAACUAUGAGUGCACUCUUAUUUAUGUAACGACAAGUCCUAAAGUUCCGAUAGAACUUUCUUUGAUGCCAUCAAUUCAAACUUUAGCCUUUAAACACUGCUCCACAUUCCGCUCCCAUAAUGAUCCUAUUGAUGACAAUGUUGUUAAUACAGAUGUGAAUGCAUGCAGAAACAUAUAACAUUGAAUCCCAAAUGUAUUCUAAACAUUGCAAUAGUCCAAUCAACAUUUUGGAGGAUGUAGAUCGGUUUCAAGAAGUUAAUGAUUCAUCUCAAAAUCAUCUUAUCAGUCCAAGGACCUGUAGCCAAAACUUGUAGCCAAAGUCAGUCUAUUAGUCUAAUGGCUUGUAGCUAAAGUCGAUCUAGAGUUCCAAGUCUAAUAGACCCACGGCAGUUGGAGGCUCUAAUUGUACCAUCAGAUUGGAUAGCUUCAGACAUGGUUAAUGGUUCUAUUUACAGGGGUAUUUUUGUGGGCCAUACCAAUUAUUCAGCAUGAAAAAACUUAAAGUAUUGUGCUCCAUCGAAAUACUAAUCACGUAUUUGUCACCCAAGUAUUUUUUGUGCAAAUUUUCCACAUUACCACAUUUCAAUCCUGUCACCAAGCACCAUUCUCGAAGAGAGAAAUGUAACAUCUCGUUGCCAAUCCUAAACCACAUUUGGUACUCAUCAUCAACUUGUUUCAUGACUAGUCUGAGCAACAAAUAAUGUACAAGAUUGUUGCUAAAUCCAAGGUCCCCCAUCGUUAGAAAAUGACCAAAAUUGACUUUUUGAAUAGGCUAAAUUGAGUAUCAGUUAACUGGGUCUGUAUACACGUAAUGACAAAAUUAAAUCUCGUUAAAUUCGAAACGCAACAGGCAAAAUGAUCCUCGAUUGGUAUCUUCAAUGACCAGUGAUGCAUCUACUUGUCAGACAUAUCUAAGCAAUAAAUUAGGACAACAUUAGCAUAAAUGUUUCAAAAACAAAAACAAAACUGAAAUAGUCGGAAAACUUUAGGAUAACAUUAGCAUAAAUGUUUCAAAAGAAAAACAAAACAAAAAUGAAACAAUUGGAAAACUUAGGCGACAGCAUGAUUCAGUUGUUGUCACCCUACGUUGCCCGAUACAUGGGCAACAGGAUAUAUCGUCCAACCAAAUCUGGGCGACACAAUUCUGUUGUCCAGAUUUAGUUCCUAUCGCCUAGAACGCAGGCAACAACAUAUAUUGCCCAACCAAAUCAUGUCAUCACUCAUUUGCAUGCCUGGACGAUGCAAGCUUGUCGCCCGCGUUGCUCAGCCUCCCAUGCCACGCAUGGCCAUUUGGUUAGGUGAUGGAGGGGAAGCCACCCACUUUGCCCAAGCUUAACAUGGCCAAAUUUUAGGCAACACAAGCAACCACUCAUGUUCUUGAUUGGCUGGCACACCAACUUUCUCUUUAACCUCAAAAUAAUUCUCAGUAUAGAUCAACAAUUUCUUAGAGAUAUUUAAACAAAUACUUGGUGUGCCAUUUAUUAGAUAUCUUAAUCUUAAGAAAAUUGUAAUAUUUUCAUACCCAAUACACACCCUAAUGAUUAACUAUGAUCAAUGGUGAAUCAACUAGGCAAUUUAAACAAAAAAAAUAUUCUAAAUUAAUGAAAAAAAUUGUGAAAGUACCUAAGCUGCCAAAACCGUAAGUGAAUGAACUUGCUGGAACCAAACUAUAACUCACGUAAAUUGCCACUGGAAGUGAAGGAAAUCGCCGCUGGAAGUGAAGGAACUCGGAGGAACUCAAGAAACACCGAAAGUGAAGGAACUCCGGUGGGCGUAAUUGGAGCGAUAUGAGAUGUUUUUAGCUGAAUAUUGGGUUAAAUGUUUUGUUUGUUUUGUUUUGAGAAUUUGUAAGUGGUUGUUGUUGUAAGAAAAAUUAAAGUGUGGUCUUUUUUUAUAUUAAAAGUUGGAAAGUGGUCAAAUGGGUAAAUUUUCCAAAAUUUUAUUGAACCUAGGUUUCAAUCCGAGGUUAUCAUAAGGCAUGUGUUCCAUGGUUUUGAUUCAAUGGAAUUCCUUAAUCCUCCUUUAAGAAUUCUUCUUUCAGUUGGUACCUAUAUAUAGACCAAUUAUUUUAUCAUUUUUAAAUUGACAAGCUCGAUCUCACCCCAUUUACCUAAGAGAAACCAUGAAUCAAAAUAGAAGAACUUUCUCCACCAAUGAGUAAAUAUUUCAUAGUAAUCUCAUUAGACCGUAUGUCUUUUUUAUAUAUCUAGAUAAUAGAUAGGACCAUAAACUGAAAUAUUCUAAAACUACAAAGAUAGUUAUUAAAUCGUUAGCACCCAUAAAAACAUUCCUCCUAACACCAAAUUUUGUGCCUAGUUUCGAAUUUAAUUAAUGCAAGUGAAUGAUUUCGAGUACGAAAGGUGCAAAUCAGCACCAUUAUCAUUAUGAUUGAUUUUUUGUUUUUUUUUUUGUCAAGAUCAUUAGUAUUACGAGAGGAUCAUAGUGUUAUAUGAAGUCAAUGAUUUUGAAGAGAAGAAGCACAUAAAGUAAUAGAUAGAGAAGAGAUCUUGACAUAUUGCUAUACUAGAUCUCAUUCACAAAGAAAGAUAUACUUAAAUAGCCGAUAAUUUACCUUGUUCUAGAUUAAAAAAACAAGAAUUUCCUUUGGUCGUAUUAAAAAGCACAUCGAAAUGUACAUCAAUACACCAUUUUACACUCUAUCUUAUUUGAAAUAUAUUGAGUGAUUGGUGCGUAUUCCCUCGAAGAUUCUUGUUGAGUGUGCGAUUGGUGGAAAAAUAAUCAAAACCCCCUGUUGUUUGUCCAAUUUAAUCAUUUUCCUCUCAUAUUUUAAAAUCUCCUACUGUUAAAUAUUUAAAUGUAACUUCUUGUAUAUAUUGUUGUAUAUUGGGACAAGGUUGUCAAAUUUUCUCGAGCAAAUACAUUUUUUUAAUAUUCUCUGUGUCCCAAUAUAUAUAACAAGUUACAGAAUCAUUAAAAUAAACAAAAGUUUUAAAAAAUUUACUAGUAGUAUUCAGAAACGUAACUCUGACGGUUUAAUCUUGGACCUUUUGGAUGGUGUGUUGUCUUGAUAAAAUUAAGAAUAUUCAUUUGAUAUUCAUUUGUGACAAACCAGAAUUCCAGAUGUCCAGUUAAUUUAUGAAAAAAAUAAGUGCCUUUGUCUUUGAACAUUACGUGUUUCAUAAGGUAUUGAUCACUUUCAACGGCUUGUAAUUGGGUAUAAUAAACUCUUUUUUUAUCUUCUUCUCCUUCGUUGUUUUUUUCUCUUUUCCUUUGCUACUAUCGUUGUGAUUGAAACUUUUUGUUGUCGUGAUCAUUAAUUAGUGUCACAAGAGAAUUGUUUCAUUGAUUUGAUGUAGGUUGGUUGCAUGAGACAAGCAGGAUACCCUUUAAAGGUCAUAAUUGAUACAACAAAUAUUUGUUUUGGGCAUAUAAUAUACUGUUUUGAAGUUUGAGAAGAGACAAAGCAAACCCGGAAUGGUUUGCACAGUUUUGCCACAUGGUCAAAUCAAAAAUUUUAUUUUCCUCCUGUCAUUUUUCAGUUUUAAGAUAUUUUUCUUUUUUUUAAGAUUUGUAUUUUUCUCUAGAUGUCUAAUUUGAGAGUCGUUUGUUUUGUAUUUCUUGUUUAGAUUAAGAGAAUCUUAUUAUAAAAUAAUAUUUCAGAUUUGCUUAUUUUAAUAAAUUCGCGAUAAUUUAGGGUUAUUAUAUAAUGAGACCCAAAACCCUAGUUUUGUUAAUUUAGACUUUUUCAAUAAAACUUUUAUUAUUCAGAAAUUUUGAUUCUUCUAUCAAUCAACUUUAAGCGUUUCUGCAUCGUCAAUUCACUUCUAUUUAUUUCAUCUAAUCCAUAAAGUUAAAUUACAACAUAUAUAACAUGAACUCCAUGCAUGGGCUUUAAUGGCGGAACUCGGAAAAUUUUCAGGGGCCAAAUCUUUAGUGGCGUAAGCAAUAUGCGUAAAUUGUGCACAUAGGGUAUUGAAGAAAUACCAUAGCAGAUAAAAUAUUCAUGCUCAAUUAGAUGGCUGUGAGUAUUAAUGGAAAAAAAAAAGGCCAAAACGAAAAAGCAACCAAAAAAAAAUCUAGGGGCCCUAGAUUUAUUAACAUCGGACUUUUAAAAAUUGCAUGGGCCUUGUCUAUUUAUUUUUUAUUUUAUUUUUGGUUAUUAUUAUUUAUUAACACUUUGACUUUAUUUCAGAUUAACAGUUAUAUUUUUUUUCCUAUAUAUAACGGUUAUGUAUCACGAGUGCAUAGGCUAAAUUAGUCUUUUUAAUCUAAUUUUUCAUAUUUUAUUCAGAAAUUCCAAAAAAUUUCCAAACUCUGCCAGAGGCAUGACCCCUCUAACCUUAUAAAGCUCCACUGCUAGCUUCAAUUGAUUAUCAUCUUUUGCAUUCUCUGCUUAAUAUCUAGACAUCCUUUAGCCCUCUAUGAUAAAGCAUUGACCAUGUAUUUUUCAAUCAUCUUUCUUUUACUGGCCACUCGAGUUGAAAUCCUAGAGAGAUAUAUGCUAAGAAAUUAAUUUGAAAUUUACCCAGCCCUGUCUUUUAAAUAAACUAAAAAAAAAACUUUAGGUCUCUACAAAAUAUAUUUUCAAGUUUACAUGGAUUAACAAGCUUUAGGAAUGAUAGUAGGAUAGGGUACGGGUGGAGAGGCCUCCUCCAUUCUUGAACCAAUUAAAAAUUUAGCCCUCAUUCCCCAAUGGAUUUAAUGGGGUUGGGUGAAUCUCUAUGUACGGAAUAGUUUAUCCAUCCCCGCCUUAUUCUCCAUUUAUCUACUUUAUAGUAGAUUUUUAAAUAUAAAUUUCAUGAAAUAAAAAUUAAAAUGACUCAAAUAAAACCAUCACUUACAUUGUAAAGUAUUUAAAAUUAUUAAUAGUAAAUCAUGUUCAAUUUAUUGGAACAAUAUCUUGAAUCACAUAAAAAUGUAAAAUAUUUGAAUAAAUAACAAAAAAAUUUGGAGCCUACCUUUGAGCUCCUGCAUCAAUUCAACAAAAGAGAUAAAAUCCCCUAUAUAUGGCACUACAAGAAAAAGUACCUACUAUGACAGUCCUCUGUGUAACAGUUUUUGGUCUGGAGGCCUACAACAAUAUGAAAUACAAGUGUGCAACCCAAGAGGUGGGGUGAAUUGGAUUUUUAAAAAUUAACCUAAGCAAACCACACAACAAUUUAAUCUAAUGCCUUAAUGGAAUCAAAAACAAUAAAUUCAAUAAAGCACAAUAAUAAGAGAGUAAGGGAAGAGAAAAUAAACACAAUGAUUUUUACGUGGUUCGGCAAUCACCGCUUACGUCCACGCCUCCAAGCUCACCCAGCUUGAUGAUUUCACUAUCCAAGCCUCCCAAGGCUUCAAAUGCUUACAAUUGACUUUCAAGGUAUCAAUCAACCUUUUCACCAAGAGAUUAUCCACAUUCUCUUAACUCAAGUGUAUCCCAACACUUACAAUCACUCAAAACAAAUAUUACAAAUGUGUUUUUUCCUCACACAAAAUAUAUGAUUACAAAUCCAUACUCAAUGUGUGAAUAAAUGAAUCAAGAACAAAUUUAAAGCUUAAUGAAUGUUGUAUUCUCGCUUACAAACUCAAUGAUAAUGUUGUGAUCUACAUUUCUUUGAAUUUGAUUGAGCUUAUUUAUAGUUGGAGCUGAAAACUAGCCGUUAUUGACUUUCUGUUCGAAGUCGGAUUGCCGUUAACUCAAAGUCAGAUCGCUGUUUUGAAUGGUCUAAGUUACCAUUAGAUAGAAUUUCAAAUUGUUAGAUCGCCGUUUUCAAGAUGUCGGCUCGUCGUUAGUGUCCAGAGGCUAAUAUUUCAAUUCUGUGCAAUGUCGAUUAGCCGUUAUCUAGAUGUCGGAUCGUCGUUAGUGUCCAGAGGCUAAUCUUCAGCUCUGUUCGAUGUCGGCGAGCCGUUAUCAAGAUGUUGGAUCGCCGUUUUCUACAGUAACUGCUACAAUGAACUAUUUUGCAAAAUGACACUUUGACCCCAAAACUUUAUAUAACUGUACUAUGGCCCACAACGUUAUAACUUUUACAAAUAGGUCCAAUUUUAGAAUUUCUAAAUAAUACUUACUAUUUCCAAAACUUUUUAAAAUUAUGAUAUGGCCCAAAAUGCUAUGAAUACUUUUCAAAUAAAUUCUUCUCCAAAAUUUCAAGCAAUACUUGUUGAUUUCAAAGUUUUCAAAACUUUUUCAAUUAAACCAUCAACUUGAAAAACAACUAAUUUCAUAAAAUCAUUUUUUCAUUAAAUAUAAAACCUUUAAAAUGUGAAAAUAAUGAUUUAUUUAAAAUGUAUAAAAAUAAUUUGAGCUUUUAAAAACUUAAUCAUUCUUAAUUUUGUUUGUUAUCAUCAAAAUCAACCUUAUGAAUACAUAAAUGUUAACACAAUAAAAUCAUGAUCGAUUUACUUUCUGUCAUACACUUAUGACAUAGCUGUGAUAGAAAUAUCAUUUAUCAAGAAAUUAUGAUAUAUUGGUGAUAUAAAUAUCAUAUAUCAAGAAAUUAUAAUAGACUAGUGAUAAAUUAUUUGGCUAUCAAGAAUGAAAGACUGAUUUUUUAUUUUGACUUUAAUUGCGUGGGUUUGACUUAAUUUUUAAAAAUAUUAUAUUACUAAAAAAAGAAGUGAAACGAUGUCGUCUCAGUUGUAUGCCAAAUUAAAAAACAUUAUGUUUUGCAAGUGUUUGAGGAAAACCAGAAACGUAAAUAACAAAAAAUAAUAAUAAAAUGUUGUGUUUUGUAAAGGGGGGAAACAAUUUUGUGAGAAAAGAGGCAAAAAUUUUUCUAAGUGUUUAGAAAAUUUGCAAGCGUCAUUGUGGAAUCUCAAAAUCGAUUAGCACACUUGUAGCAAACCCUCAAAGGCCGGCCAUAGCAAACUAACGACACCCAAACACCCAUCGUUUCAAAAUCGUUUUGGUUGUUUCAUUGAAUCGUCUCUCUUUACUGCAGUUGUCACUGAACCAUCUCUCUUUGUUGGGACGAAGUCAGUGCUAAUCGAAACCCAAAUUGGAAUGAGAACAACAUACAUGGUACUUUUAUUGACUGAAAGAAACCCAAUCGCUUACCAUGAAAGAAGACCCAAAUCAUUGUUGCCGAAGUUGAAACCCUAGGCUUGACGGUGAAUUGAAGCUUCACACCAACUAGUGAGUCGUUUCUACAUUUGCAUGUAUUUAAUUUUGACUAUUUAUUCAACUUUUAUGUAAAGUAGUAAAUAAUUUGUAAAAAAAUGAAAUGUAUUUGCAUGUAUUGCAUAUAUUGCAUAUAUUUCGGUAAUCAAUUUACUAAAUAAUUUCCUAGGAAGAUAGUCUUUAAAAAUAUUUUGAGUUCUGUUUUAAGUUGUAAUCGUGCAUUGCAUAAUGUUGUUAAUUUUUUUUAUUCUAGGUAAUUCUGAUUUAUAUUCAUGUGUCUGUGUGUGAUUUUUUUUUCUAGCUAUUUCUGAUAUUGAAGCUUUGUUAAGUUAAAUGAGUGUUAGUGUAUGAAGAUGGUGAUAAUCUGCAACUUAUAUAUCUUUAUGUUCUAAUAGUUGAUUCUUUAAAUAUUGGCCUAAAAUGUCUAUAACAAAGCCUGAGGAGGGAUUCGUAGUAAUUGAUUCUAUUAUGUAAAAUUGAGGGAUUCUCACAUCUCAUUGUCAUCUACCUAUGCAUGAGGUGUUGUAGCUAUUUUGCAUCUACUGGUAUUGUUGUUACUAUUGUUGUCUUCAGUCGUAACAUUUGCGUGUCAAAUAUAAAUAGUUGUGAUUGCUGCAUAAACGUGACAGUUCGAUGUUCUUGAUUUGUUGAAGGCUUUGUAUGAAGGUACUUGAAGCUUUCUUUGUGUUUGCUUUCAUUUUUGUUCUACUGAUGUAUAUUAUUUGAAGUUGUAGUUUAUUAUUUCUUCUUAGGCUUACUCAUAUGAUUAAUGUAAUUUCUUGGUACCUUUUUAGCCCUCUUGAAUCCAAGUUUUGGAAUUCUAUCAACUGAUCAUUCAAAAUAUAUUUCAGUAAUAAAUAUUGUUGUUGGAUUUGUACCUGGAAUUGGAUAUAGCAGCAAAUUGUUGUGUUUAAUCUGGUAAGUUCCAUUUCUUAUCCUCUAUUAUUUGACUUUUUGAAGUUGUUAUGCACUUGCUUAAAAUUUACAUAUCUUUAAAUUUAUAAUUAUGAUACUAUGUAAUGUGUUUGUUGUGGGGCCUAUCUUAUUUAUUAUAUUUAUAGUAUAAUAGGAGAGUGAACUUUUGAAAAGUAUGAAUUUCAAUUUAUCAGCUUUCUUGGUUACUAUAUUUGUAAUUUUGAAAUUUGUUUCUGGACCAUGACCAUGCUUUUCCGUAAAGUAGGUUGUUUCUUUAAUAUAAAAGAGAAAACUAUAUAGGCCAAAUUGUGUUUAAUUUGAAAGGCCUCAUGUAGGUUUAACUUUGUUUAUUUCACAUGGUGUUGUAACAUUAGACAAAUAUUCUAAGUAUGUACAUUCUUUCUUUGUUUUAUGUAUAUGUCAGGAACAUUAAUUAUUAAGCCAAAAAUGGAUAAAUCUUGGAUUCAAUGUAAUCGACUGUCGACUGAAUAUGAAGAGGGUGUCGAGAAAUUUAUAAAUUUUGUUAUAAAAAAUGCUGGAGGCAGUAGUGUCAUUAGGUGUCCAUGCCUUGAUUGUUAGAAUUUAUCAUUUGAAACACCUACAACUGUAAAAGAUCAUUUAUAUAUGCAUGGUUUUGAUGUGAAAUACGACAAUUGCUUUUGGCAUGGGGAAGAGAUUCGUAAGAGUCCUUCUCCUCAAAGAGAAAACCAUUUUCAGCAAUAAAAUAUAGAGUUUGACAAUGAUAAUGAGUUAGAAAUAGUUAAUGAUGCUUAUAAGGGUUGUUGUGGGGACCCUAAGGCAUUCAAAGAGUUGCUAAAAAAAACUGAGAAACCCUAAUACCUAGGAUGCACAAAAUUUGCUAAGUUAUCCUUUUUAGUGAAAUUGUUCAAUGUGAAGGGUAGAUUUGGGUGGUCUGACAGUAGCUUUUCUGCAUUGUUGAAUGUUUUAGCAGAUGCUUUCCAUGAAAAAUAAUGAAAUUCCAACCUAUAUGUAUGAGGCCAAAAAGACAAUGUCAGCUUUGGGCUUAGAAUAUGUUAAAAUUCAUACUUGUCCAAACGAUUGCAUACUCUACAGAAAAGAGUAUGAAGGUUUUUUUGAAUGUCCUACUUGUGGGUUACGUAGAUGGAAGAAAAAAGAUGGUAUUGUAGACUAAUAUAGGAAAGCGGUUCCUACAAAAACUUUAUGGUAUUUUCCUCUUAUACCUAGGUUUAAGCGCAUGUUUUAGUCAUCAGAAACUGCUAGGGACUUGACUUGGCAUGCAAAUGAGAGAAUGGUUGAUAGUAAACUCCGACAUUCGGCUGACUUACCAUCUUGGAAGUUAGUAUAUGAGAAAUGGCCGAUCUUUGCAUCUGAUCCUAGAAACCUUCGCCUAGCUCUAUCAGCUGAUAAAAUCAAUCCACAUAGCUCUCUUAGUAGUACAUAUAGCUGCUGGCCAAUAAUUCUUAUUACUUAUAAUCUUCCACUAUGGUUAUGCAUGAAACGAAAAUUCAUGAUGUUGUCCCUCUUGAUUUCUGGUCCUCAACAACCGGGUUUAUACAUUUAUGUGUAUUUGCAACCUCUUAUUGAGGAUUUGCAAACUUUAUGGGAUGUUGGGGUGGAGGCAUAUGAUGCCUACAAAAAUGAGUACUUUAAUUUGCGGGCUGUAUUACUAUAGACAAUAAAUGACUUCCCGGCAUAUAAAAAUUUAGUAGGAUGUACUGUUAAAGGAUAUUAUGCCUGCCCAUAUUGUGGUGUAGAAAUACCAAAAUGUAGACUUAAACACAGUGGAAAAAAUGUAUACAUUGGGCAUCGCCUUUGGCUUCCUCAUGGUCAUAAAUUUCGGUUCCAAGCAAAAACCUUUAACAAUAGUGUGUGUGAUGAAACCCCUCCAAAACUGUUAAACGGUGAGGAAAUUUUCCAGCUGGUCAACUCUAUUGAUAAUAGAUGAGGGAAAAGCAAUAGUAAAAAGCAUAAAAGUGAGAACAAUGAUGAUCUCGUGUGGUGGAAGAAGAAAUCCAUAUUUUAUAAUUUAGAGUAUUGGAAGCACUUGCUUGUGUGGCAUCAAUUAGAUGUUAUGCACAUUGAAAAGAAUGUGUAUGAAAACAUCUACGGUACACUGCUACAUAUUCCUGGAAAGUCCAAAGAUGAACUGAAGUCGAGGAUGAAUCUCUUGGAAAUGAAAUAUAAGCCCAAAUUAGCACCACAAGUUAAGGGAAACAACAAUCGUACAUGGCUUCCUCCUGCUUGCCACACCUUAACUAAGGAGGGAAAAACCUUAAUGAAGAAGAAGUGGACAGGAGUGUUCUUUGGAAGAGAGCUCGGCAAAUGAAAAAUAGAGGAUACCACCCUGAUUUUGAACCAGUUAUUAAAAAAAUCGUAAGAAAUUUUUUGCUUACUACUGUAAUUUUAGAUGUGAUUACUUAUACUUUGAUAACAUUAACUUACUUAAUUCAUUGGUGUGGUAGGAUAACUGGAGAUGGAAGCUAAAAAAGGAAAGAUGCGGCCAUCCGGAAAAAAUGAUAUUCUCACACAAUCUUUGGGAAAAGCUCCAAAAUGUGGUCAUAUGCAAGGAGUGGGCAAGUUUGUAACCCUGUCUCUGUAUUUUCAAACUUGCCAGAGGCCUGCUGAUAGAGACAGGCAAAGAGAGAACCGUCUAUGGAGGGAAUCAAUUAACCGGCAGUUGGAAGAAAUAAGAAAAACACAUCGUCAUUCAGAUAUAGCAAGUUCCAGCUACCCUCGCGUGCCUGUUGAAAACAAUAAUGCUGUCGGAGAUGAUGGCCUAGAGUCCGUUCAAGCUGAAGCAGUUGCUGAAACACCAAAGGUCAGUUUGUUUACUAUUUUACUUAUUAUUUCUGGAUUUAUUUUGUUGCAAUUUUACUUCUUCUACUUAACUGUAUAUACUUGUUGAUGGAUAAGGGUUGCUGUAGUUACUGUUCUUACCUGUUGUUUGUGGAUUUAGUUUGCUGUAUGUUUACUAUUUAUACAUAUGUUGUUUCUGGAUUUUCUUUGAUACUGUUAACUACUUUGUAAGAUAAAUUUAGAGUAUUUAGAAACUACUUAUGCCAAUCACACUGAACAAUUAUGUUUGUAGUAGCUUGAUCAUUUGAAAAAAAAAAGAAGCAAGGGACACCUAAAAACACAGUAGAUAUGAACUUGCCAAUAGUAAACUGUAAGAAAGAGACAAACAUAGCAAACAAAAACAAGGAUACACCUGCCAAAAAACUCGCUGUCAUUGCAAGAAAGAGUCCAAGAUUGAACCCAACUGAAAUCUCAGUGGAGAUGCCUGAUGAUUUGUUACAAGGAAAAAAAAAUGGCAACCCUAAAUAUCAAGGCACAAAAAAACAUUUAAACUUUAAAUCAGUAGAACAACAUAAUGAUAUAAUAAAGAUAAGACAUACAAAUGCUGUAAACACAGACCAAGGACGAGGGCAAAAAAGUUACAGUGAAGCCUUUGCCAGCAAGGAGGAACACAAGGCAUGCAGGAGGGGUACAACGAAACAAGAUUCCGUUGCUGCAGUUGUUUGGCAUAAUGUGUAAAGCUAAGAUGUCAGACCAAGAAUGGAUUCCAUAUCUACUGGAUGAUGUUGUUUUCCAAUUGGAAGGGAUUAGAGCUCAUAUUGGGCGGCGUGACUGCAGUGCAGUUCUGUCAAUGGAUGCUAUAAGAGUAAACGUAAUCGAAGUCUAUAUUGCGUAAGUGAUUUAUAAUCAUUCUAGUUUUAUGUGUACUUUUUAUAGGAGUCCCAAUUAAUGGACUUUAACAUUGUUUGUCUUUUGUUUAUCAGGAUGUUGUAUGCUUCCAUUCUCCAUGGGAAAAGAGGAGUCAAACUAUUUGGAUUCAUCCAUCCAGGUCUAGUUUCACUAGGCGAAGAACGUAAUACUACUGCAUCAUUUGACCUUAAGGCAUGUGGAGUUUGUGAUCGGUUGAAAAAAAUGAAGAAGUGACAAUUCAUCUUUAUGCCUUAUAAUCCCUAGUAUGCUCCUUUAAUACUUUUCAACUCAUAUUAAUUUCCUUUCUUACCUUAAUUUACUGAAAUUGCUACCUUAAUGUUCUUUAUUUUAUUAUAGUUAUCAUUGGGUGCUGGUCAUCUUUGAAGUGUUGAAAAAAGAAGUUUAUUAUCUCGAUUCUUAUGGGGGAGAUCCUUAUGAUGAUUUAAAAGAGCUCAUUAAAGUGUAUGUUCAAUUUUUUUUUAUUACCAUUGUCAAUAUGAAAUUACUUUUACAUAGUUUACAGAUACUUUGUUACAAUUUUUUUUUUUUUUUUGUAUACAACUCUAUGACAAUGUUUAUAGCACAAGAAGAUUAAGAGAAAUGAAAUUAUAAUAAGAUGGUCAGAUCUGUAAAGGUAAAAAGUAUUACCUUAACUAUAAUUAUAUAUUACCAUGCUUAAUUGUUAUUAUAAUGAACUGUGCAAUUGUUGAUUGUGAACAGGUCCCACAGCAACCAGCAAGUUCAGUCGUGUGUGGAUUUUAUGUCAUGAGAUUCAUAAAAGACUUAAUUAAUGACUUCUCUUUGCUAAUGAACAAUGUGAGUUCCUUGAUCAUAAUUUUCUUUAUAAAAAAGAACAUGUCAUGUGUUAAAGUUUCACUACAUAAUAUUUAUUUUUCAUAAACAGUUCAACGGAAAGACAACAUAUUCCGAUGCUGAAUUAGAUGAAGUCCGUAUUGAGUGGGCAAACCAUUUUUCUGGAGUACUUGUUAUGUGAGGUAACCCUUACCUAUUAUGUUGUUAUUGUGAGUUCAUUGAUGAAAUAAAUUAAUUUACUAGCUAUAUUUUACUUAGGCAGUUAUCUAGCUUAUUAUACUUCUAUGUUGCAUUAUGAUGAAGAUGGUGGGUACUGCUGGAGUUGACUAGUUUUUUUCUUUGUUUGGAAAAUAGCUCCUGGAUAUUGAUGCAAUUUUACACAUUUCGGUUGUUCUUAGGUUGGAUUUUCACGUUUGGGAACUGCUAACCUUGUCUGAUCAAUAUGUUUGGCUUCUUCUUGUGUUACUGGAAAUGUUGCUAGAAAUGAACUAUGUUGUUGCCUUUCUUCAUGUUGGUAGAAAUGACUCUGUUGUUGGCUUCCUUAUGCUACUGGAAUGGAACUGAUCAUGGUUCAUUGGUGUUAUACAUGUUGCUUGAAUUUAGUUUUUAUAUUGUUAUAAUACUCCUCUUCUAUUUAUGUUGGACUUGUCACUCUCAAAUUUGAUUAAAUUAUGUUUGCUGACAAUUAUGAAUAAUUAGUCAAUGUUAUCCAUUUCAUUUUCUUUGUCAGUGAUUUUUAAUUGCAAUAUUAAUUUUAAUAAUCUAAUUAAUUAGCUAAUUUAUGAUAUAUUAAUUUCUAAUAAAUCAAUUACAGGAUUGUUAUUAAAAUGAUAAUAUUUUCAUGGUGCAAACAAAAUACCCAAUUUUUAUUAAUUAUAAUUUCAAUUUUUGAUUUAAUUGAAAAUUUUCAUUUAAUUAUAAUUUGCAUUUCGUGACAAAUUUAAUUUUCCGGCCAAAAAUUCAAAAUAUGGCGCACAAAUUUUUUUAAAAAAGAGCCAAAUUCAAAUUUAUUAUAUUCCCCUCUAAAUAAAGUUAUGACAGUUAUGUGACUGGUAAUAUCUAUCACAUAUUAUGACUAAUAUUGUUCUGUCAUCAAUUCUUGACGCUGGCUACAAUGACGGUAUGAACAACCGUCAUCCACCCCUACUAUGAUAGUUUUUGCCUGCAUAGUAGGCAUUUUUUCUUGUAGUGUGGGGAUUAGGGUGGGAGUGGGAUGAGAAGUACAAAACUAAGGCCACCUCAUUAAGGAUUUGAGGAUUAUGUUUCCUGGCCUAUUCCCCAUAAACUUAUCAAAAUUUAUCUCAUUUAGAAUGUGCCCCUUGGAGUCCCAAACGUAUAGAGAAUUUUGCCUCCCAUAGCAAGCUUAGUAUGCUGGUUACAAUACUCAAGAUUAACCGUUGAUUAUUCAUCACUAUGUCUAUUAUUACAUACGACCUCAUAUCUAUUAUGAGUGUAUACUAGAAACAUAAAAUGACAUAUUGACUCUUAUACGUACCUCAUUGUAGUUGCUUAACGUCUAGUAACAGUAGCGAAAUGUACAUCAAUACAUCAGUUUCCACUGUUAUGAGUGUACAUUGUUUUUGCGAAACAAAAAAUAUUGGCUGCUCGGUGUGUAGAAUUCUUGCCAUUGGUGUAUGGAUUUCUUGUAAAAUAUUGGUUUGUGCUCAAUGUAUAUUUAUUUCUCAUUAGGCGGUUGGUGGAAAAAUUAUCAAAUCUCUUACUGAUAAAAUAAAUUUUUUACGUCUUUUAUUAUUUAACCCCUAAAAAUUUUAUUGAUCAAAAGUUGGUGGGUUUUUAAUGAUAUCAGGAAUAAUAUAAUAAAAGACACAAAAUUUUGAAAUUUGACAAUGUCUUUUUAACAUCUUAUGAUCUACAUUGUUUUAAAAAAGUAGGGGAAAUAAUUAUUUUUCUCAAACAAUAGGGAGAUUUUGAUCAUUUCUCUCAUUGCUAGUUGAGAUGUAAAUGUAGAGGACUAAAGAGUGUGUGUAUUUAUGCUGCGAGCGCCUUUAUUUUUUUUUUUAACACGAACAAAUUGUUAAGCUAUGGAGUUUAAUAACAUUAAAAACUGACUCUAUUAAACCUCAUAUCUUAAAAGCCUAUCCGCAUAAAAAAAUAAUAAUAGGGUGUCCGCACUAGAGAAUGACUAUAUAUAUAUAUAUAUUCAAAUAUAGUUGUUAAAUUUUAAUUUUGUCAAGCAAACACAUUUUUUUUUAAUAUUCUUUUCUUUUCUUUCUCAAUAUAUAACAAGUUAUAUCACUACAAUAAAUAUUAUCUUUUACAACCAAUCAAAAAUGAUGCGAAAACACAAUUACAACAUUUAUAAAAAUGUCCUAACGAAGGAUGCAGUAAAUAACAUCAAACUUUUGUAGCCUUUUUCAGCUGCAGUAAGAAACACUGCAUAAAAUGCAGUUUUCUAGGCCAUUUGCUAUAAGAGUAAAUUGCUGCAAAAAUUAGUAAAUAAAUAUGGAAAUCUGCUGCCAGUAAAAUUGAUAACAGUUCAAUCAAUUAAGAAUAAUCUCCAUAAAAUCAUUUGAACGUGGCAUCCAUACAACAAAAGUUUAGUUGAAGAUUGUUAAAUCUCUACACUAAAUAUAAUACUCAAAGUGUAAACUGAAACUCUUGCCCAGGUUAAUGUUUUUUUCCCUUGACUUGUAAGAUUCAAGUAUAUGUAUGAACAAAAUUAGAAACUAUAAGCCUACUCCAACAAGAUGUUCCUCAAAUAGUUUUUUGAGAUCUUUUAGUUCCAUUUUAAUUUGUGCAGUAUGAGACUUGCUAAGUGCUUCUAAAUUCAUCAUCGUUGGUGUAACUCCAAAUCCAGCUCCUCGUAUACGCCCAUUACGUUCUUUUCCUAUCACAUGGGUCAGAGCAUCAUCGUGAAUUGUUGAGGCAUCUUCACUCACAUGUGUCCUCUGAUAUUCAUUAAUUGUUUUUGAAUCCAUGGAGAAUUUUGAUUGUUAAUAGCAAAAAAAUAAGAAUAAAGAACUAAAAAAUCAUAAAGAAUUUAUCACCAGUUUUUUAGCAACAUCCUCAUUAAUUGUAGUCCUGUCCUUCUUAGUAUGUGCACGAAUCCACACAUCAACUCUAGUUAUCGGUGAGUUUGGUCUCUCUUGCAUCUAAAAUAUGUAGUGGAGAACAUUUUAUUACUCAUCUAAUUUUUUGUGUAAUAAUAAAUAAACUUAAUGAUAUGAUUUUUCUAACCAUUUCAUGUCUUAAACGAGCCAUCCCUUUUCGACUUGUCCUGUGGAUGUUAGUUUGUUUUGAUCUCAUUUUUUUAAACCUCUUACUCUUCAACUAUAGUAAGAAGAUAUGUUAGAUUAAUGACACUAUUCUUGUACACUAAUAAGAAAUUAUACUUGUACAUUAAUUGGGAAAGAAACUUACUUUAAACCUUUACCAUUGUUGCUCAGAUUUAAUGUUCCUUGGUCUCAAGUCUUUCAAUGCCUCAAGCUUUCUUGUUACAUCAUUGCUUUUAACCAAUGCUCUGAUUUUAUGUGUUAAAACUGAUUUGUAAUUCCUCCAGCUCCUACCCAUUGCACUCAUUAUAUAUCUUCUAUGACUUCCAUCAACAUUAAAUUGUUGCUGCAUUUAAAGGGAAAAUAACAUUAAUAAUUAAAUUUGAUAAGUUAAAUAAUAUUUACCACAAAAGUAGGAUGCUACCUUAACACAAGUCCAAAGUCUUUCUCUUAAGUCUGAUUCCACUCUAUGCCAACUAUCCAAGGUCAACGGUACCAUUUGUCGUACUAAAUAACCAAUAAAAGAAGAUAACCUAUUUGAAUUUCUACCAACGGGGUUAUUAUUGGUUGCUUCGAAUUGAGAUAAGUGGAUUCAUGCAUAACGUUUAUGAUAUAUAUGUACGAAUUUAUGUAUGAAAAAAAUAAUGUUGUUCAUAAGGAUUGGCAUAUUUAUAGUUUUGAAGUAUUUUGUUGUUAUAGUUUAUAAUAAUGAUUUACAUUUUGGUUUAAAGUUUAUUUAAAAUGUUUUCUUAAAUUGUUUUUAAAAAAAUGGCUUUAAAAUACUUGUGUUCCAUAAAUUGUUUUUCCUUAAAAAUUAUAUAACUUGUAAAGCUUUGCCAAUUAAAUUUCUUAUAAGAGACUUAAUUGAAUGAUUGAUAUUGAAAGAUUGAAAAUUAUUUUAAGGUUUUGGCUCAUUGUCCUUAGUUACCAAUACUGAUAUGACUUAAUAGUUAACUGUAUUGUGUGCUCCUAUUGACGAUUAUUGCGGGGUAAAGUACCCUGAUUGAACUACCAACCGGCUCACCAAGAGUACAUGUGACACUAUGAGGCAUGAGCAAAAUUAAACAAAUGAAAGGUUGUAUUGACAAAUGAUUAUUUAUUGAAAAUGGUCAUUAUGUUAUGACAUUAUUGGUUAUAAAUUUUACUGUAUAAAUGUAUUAGAUUAUAAAAUGAUUACUGAUUCAUGGCACUUAAUAAUUAUUAUUAUGUACUUCAUCCUUAUUAGCAACCUUAUGUAUGAGUUUACUUACCAAGCUGACGGCUCAUCCCUUGUCUCCAACAUUUUGCAGAGUGAUGUUAGAGAUGGUUUUUAGAGAAAAGAUUUGUUAGCCGAAAGCUUUGGACAUUUUCGUGAUGGAUAAAUUGUUGCUAUUUUGGUUAUUAUUUUAGAGCUGAAUUUGGUAUUGGAGGAUUAUUGUUAUAUUUAUUAUUUUAGAGACUAUGUUUCGACCUUGGACAUUAUUGAUUUUCUUUUGGGAAUAGUAAUAAGAAUUAAUUGUUUAGAGAUUGCAUUCUAAAUUUCUUUUAGAAUUCUUGGGAAAAUUUGGGGUGUUACAAAACUAUUGCUCAAGAUUGUUCCAAAGCUCAUGAGAAAUUUUAAAGUUUAGCAUAAGACUGAGAAUUUCCAAACUGAUAGAGGACAUCAGCCAGCUCAGUAGCACUUGAUUCUUUCUCUUUUAGGCAGUGAAUGCUAGAUUUUCUUAUGUAACUUCCGCAGUGGAGUUGUUAGUUUCAUCAGGAAGAAACUGAUCUAGAUAGUGUUUGGAACUAUCAAGAAGAUCUUCAAGUCCAUUAGCACGAACUGAAGUGAGAGUUUGAGAUUUCCAUAUCAUGUAGUUUAAUAUAUCAAGCUUAACAAGUGAGGUAAAGGUGAAUGAGGAAACAGAGGACACUAUGUUUGGAUUUGAGCUUGAAGUAGCCAUAAGAGCUUAUACAUCUAGCUUUGAUACCAAGUUAAAGUUUGAGUUCUUGUCUGGUUAGUGAAAUGAGGGAAAAUUUAGAAAGUUGUGAAUUGAUUCAAUUAUAUUAAUACUGCUUCAUUAAAAUCCACUUUUCCAACCACAGACGCAACCAAUGAGAUACAUAACCAGUGAGCUAGAUGCAUAGAGUUGUAUGUUUUGGUGCAACUCUUUGUUAUGAUGUAUAAAAAAUCGCCAUCACAUUUCAAUUGUUUUCUAUGAAGCUAAUGAAAUUUUUGUCUGUCAAAGUAACCAUGUCGUUUUCAUUAAUAAGUGGUGGCAGUGUGGUGGCAGCGCCUUGUGGUUGGCCAAGCGGUGAGUAUCUCCAAGGUUUAGAACGACCGUGACAUAAACUUGACUGGGGGAUGACAAAUUAUAAUAUUGUUGAGUAAGAGGUGUGAAGGUGCUAAGGAUUUUGAUGAGAAGAAGAAAUGAAAGUAAGAGAAAUAGAAAUGAUUCUGCUCACUACAAGAAAAAUGUUAUUUUAUUACAAAAAAUUUCGUCAUUAAAGAUAACAAAUUAGUCAUCUUAUAUUUUUUAUGAUAAAAAAUAUAUCGUUACACGUUAGUCGUCGAAAGACUGUCUUAAAAACUUCUAGCGACCAGAAUUAUUUUCGUCAUAUUAAAGAUAUGUUUUUGUGACAAAAAUUAUUGUCUUAAAAUUAAGUUAAAAUUGUCACAAACAAUAUUAAAAAAGAUCGAAUUAGAUAUUCAAAAAAGCAAUUAAUGACACUUCAUAUUUGUCACAAUUGUUGAUUUAUAGUGACUAUAGUAUUUGUCUCAAGAGUAUGUAAAUAGAGUCUCAAUAAUUAUUAAAAAUUGUCAUUUUAGAGGUUUGGAUAUACAAUUAGCAAUGCUAUUUUUCUGUUAUUGAAGUUCACGCGGCAAUAUACAAUUGGUAAUUAAUUUAGUCUCAAAUUUGUUAUGAAGGCGGUUUAUAUAGUCUCACAUAAAUUUUAAUAACAAUAUGUAGUUAUAGAAAUCAAAAUUUAAUGACAAAAGAACUUUAAAGUGAAAAAUAUUAUUAACAUAAAUACAAUUCAUGACAAAGAAAUCUAAAAUCUAAAAUGUAAAAAAAAAAAAAAUUCAUGUCCAAAAAUAUGAUUACAUUGUAGAAGAAAAAUAAAAGUAACAUUACACAAACGGAGAGAUAUGUAAACCAUAGUUGUUUCAUGAAUUCUUCAACUUCCUUAGAUUUGCUAUUUUCUUCCUUGAUUUUAAUUUUUGAUUCUCGUUUUGUUGAGUCAAUGUUGUGGUAGAUGAUGACUUUAAAGGUACAUGUCAUUUUAAAUCUUUACAAAAUUAAAGAUUUUCCCCAAAACUAUUUAGCAAAUUUAAUCAUAUAUUACUUCAAAAUAAUAAUAUAAUCAAAAGAUUACAAGCACAUAAUCAUCCUCGAUUCACUUGCACAAAUUUUACAUCCAAAACUCUUUAAAUUAAUCUAUCAAAUAGUUGGAGUCAAACUUGAACCAAAUUAAACUAUUAAGCAGUCAAUGAAUCAAUAUUUAUAAUAAAUAUAAAAUUGAAAGAAAUAAGAGAUUGAGUAAAUAAUAAUAAUAAUAAUAAUAAUAAUAAUAAUAAUAAUAAUAAUCAUCAUCAUCAUCAUCCUCCUCAUAAGAUAGCUUACACAUUUAGAUUUUGUAUGGAAACUACUUGAACCUUUUACGCUCACUUUAAUACAUCUUCUGAAACAAAGUAAUCUGGGAGAGACUCCACAUAAAAGAAGAUAAAUACAUUAAUUUUAAUUAAACAUACAACAACCACAUUAGGGGAAAAAAACCAAGGCUUGUUGACCUUUAUUAGUUUAUUUAAUCACUUCAUAUAUGUUUCCUGGGAAAUUCAACAACAUUUUGAGCAAAUUGUACCAACCCAAGCUUCAACACCAUCCUGCGAACCAACAUAUCAAGCUUCAUAAUAUUUGAUAGUUAAGAUUUUGUUCUAUAACUCUAACUUAUAAUUAUUGGUUGGACUUGAAUAACUUAUUAACUCUUUUUCAUUAUAUUAAUACUAGCUAAAAUUUUCUUUAAAAAUUAAAGAAAGAUGAUUAAUUACAUACCAAGAUGAAGUGAACGAUAAUAGAAAUAUCCCAAUUUUCUAAGUUCUUACGAAGAAUUUUUUUGGUUGUUUUGGUGUUUGGCGGGGGGGGGAGNNNNNNNNNNNNNNNNNNNNNNNNNNNNNNNNNNNNNNNNNNNNNNNNNNNNNNNNNNNNNNNNNNNNNNNNNNNNNNNNNNNNNNNNNNNNNNNNNNNNNNNNNNNNNNNNNNNNNNNNNNNNNNNNNNNNNNNNNNNNNNNNNNNNNNNNNNNNNNNNNNNNNNNNNNNNNNNNNNNNNNNNNNNNNNNNNNNNNNNNNNNNNNNNNNNNNNNNNNNNNNNNNNNNNNNNNNNNNNNNNNNNNNNNNNNNNNNNNNNNNNNNNNNNNNNNNNNNNNNNNNNNNNNNNNNNNNNNNNNNNNNNNNNNNNNNNNNNNNNNNNNNNNNNNNNNNNNNNNNNNNNNNNNNNNNNNNNNNNNNNNNNNNNNNNNNNNNNNNNNNNNNNNNNNNNNNNNNNNNNNNNNNNNNNNNNNNNNNNNNNNNNNNNNNNNNNNNNNNNNNNNNNNNNNNNNNNNNNNNNNNNNNNNNNNNNNNNNNNNNNNNNNNNNNNNNNNNNNNNNNNNNNNNNNNNNNNNNNNNNNNNNNNNNNNNNNNNNNNNNNNNNNNNNNNNNNNNNNNNNNNNNNNNNNNNNNNNNNNNNNNNNNNNNNNNNNNNNNNNNNNNNNNNNNNNNNNNNNNNNNNNNNNNNNNNNNNNNNNNNNNNNNNNNNNNNNNNNNNNNNNNNNNNNNNNNNNNNNNNNNNNNNNNNNNNNNNNNNNNNNNNNNNNNNNNNNNNNNNNNNNNNNNNNNNNNNNNNNNNNNNNNNNNNNNNNNNNNNNNNNNNNNNNNNNNNNNNNNNNNNNNNNNNNNNNNNNNNNNNNNNNNNNNNNNNNAUCAAAAGCGACGUGCUAAAGGAGGGACAGCGCUGCUACCUCUGCAAAAGUGAAGGACAUUGUCCCAAGGACAAUGGUCCCUAGCCGCCUACCCGACAGAUACUGCAGAGGUACCCUGAACACUCUCCAGCGCACGCCACGUUUCCAAAAGAUGAGAUACGCCGCGAACAUGCAAAUAACGGCCCAAAAACAAUUAUAAAGAGGUAAAAGGACGUUAGCCAAAAAGGGUAUGCCACGUGGCAGCUGAGGUACUCCAUAUAUAAAGGUGCCUAGGUUUCAUUCUCCAUCAUGUUCUCACUCACCAUUAACACUCACACUCCGAAAAUAGAGGUUUUCUUCAACCUUAAACCCUAAAUUUACAGAGGGCUGGCCAGCUCUCUUUACCAUAAAAGCUUGAGUUUGCUAACUUGAGCGUCGGAGUGUGAAGCCGGGGUACCCCGGCUUCACCUCUAACCUCAAUUUCACUUUUUGCAGGCGUGAAGCUCAUUUGGAAGGACACCUCUCUUGUUUCUGACAUUCCACCAUUGUUACUACUCUCUCUCUCCCCUUCUCACCUCCCCCGGAUUUUAGAUACACCACACCGCACACAACAAACCAGUGAGGUACCCCAUCUCCCCCAAAAAUAUAAAUUUAUUGUUCUAGACUGGUUUGGCUUUUCUUACCCCAAAAUCAGUUGAAAACAAUAGGUAAAGACGACUAUUUGUUAAACUAAUCUUGAAAUAAUCAUUCACACACACCAGCAAUUGGAAGAGGGGUUGGGGUGUUGGGAAGAUAACGUUGGGUAGUUUUGAACGUGAAGUGGCCACUUAAUGUGUCUCUGAAAAUUUAGGUUUUAUUUAAGUUUUAUUUUUUCUAAUAUAUAUAUCCAACUUAAAUAACUAUUAUAAGGUCCUUCUAAAAAUAAAAAAGAAGCAAUUAUAAGGUUAUUAUCAAUGGUUUGAAGAAAAAAAAGUCAAUCAUCAUUUUUUAUUAAUCCAAGUUAAUUAUUUUUAGGCUAUUAUUUUAAUUUUUAUUAAUCUAGCAUUGUUAACCAAAAUUUGUAUGAAGCUAAACAAUAAUGUCUCUCUGAAAAAGAAAAAAUAUCAAUUAUUAUUCUCUUUUUUUUUUAGUGACGUAAUUUUCGUCAUAAAAAAAUUAAUCAGAUACUAAAUAAUUUGUCUCUGAAAAAAUGGUCAUGAAAUACAAUAUUACUCAAGACAAAAUUUUAGACUAUUAUUUUUUAGUUUUGUUACAGUAAGUAAUUAUCUAUGACAAAAAAAAAGGGUCUUAAAAUUAAUCAAAUCCAUAUUAGUUUUGGAGACUAAUAUUUUUCUGUCACAAAUUAUUUGAUCAAUUUCACAUCUCUUCUUCAGUUACGAAAUAAUAAUGUCACCUAUAAUUAAAUUUUGCUACCGUAUUUUUUUAUCAUAAAAGAUGAUAUUUUGUCAGAAAAUGGUCAAUUUUGGAGGGAAGUUUUUAAGCAAAAAAAAUGCAUGUCCUUUUGCGACUAAUUUUAUGUUUGUCGUAAAAUAUUUGAUUAGGUGACAAAUUACUGGGUCGUAAAAUAAAUAUUAUUGAUUACAAAAUAUAACAUAAGCCAAGAUGAGAUUAUUGGCUACGGUUUUAAAAAACAAUCGUCAUAAUAAAUACUAUUUUAUGACAAAAGCUGUAAAAGUCAUAGAAGAAGGCAUCUUAAAAACUCAAAUUUCUUGUAGUGGCUGUUGUCAUUUAGUUAUUGCUUUUUAUGAUAUUCAAAAAAGUGUUGAGAAAGAUGAUCAUGUUCUCUGAAGAUAAAAUCUAAGUAUUCGCCCUACUUCUUGCCUUUGAUAACAUGAAAUCUUGUAUGAAGUGAAUUGUUGCUUGAUAAAGUUAAGGAUACCAUCCGACAAUGAUAUGCUUACAAAAAGUAGUAUAAAAAAUAGCUCACCAUCACUGAAAGAUAGAUAAAAUAACCAGAGAACAAUUUUUUUUUUUUUUGUCUUUUGUACUUUUUGUACUAAAUUGUAUGAUAUUUUCAAUACAUGUAUCACUAUUUUAUUAUGUCUUGUUUACCAGUUUAGAGACCUAUGUGGCUUUUGUGUUUGAAUAGUAUGGUAUUUCUCAAAAGUCAAACGAGUCAAAUUGUACAAUUCUGAGAAAAAAAGAAGGUCUUCUAGGACCCCUUUUUUGUUUUUUUUUUCUUAACAAGACAUAAAGUGAUCUUUAUUUUUUAUUUUUUUUGAAAUCAUGUGAUUUUUAGUUUGAUAUUAUGAUUUACUUUGUCUAAUUAACUGAGUUUAUUUAGAGAAGACUUUUUUUUUCUUUUUUUGCUUUUAGAAAAUAGAAAAAUAGAUUUGGUCUAUUAUACAAAUAGGAAGGCCUUACAUUGAUGUUUCUUUUUUAAAUACUAAUUAAUAUGUUGGUACAUGAGAUCUACUAAUAUUUAAAAUCACAAAUUUAUUGGGACUAACUUAGAUUAAUUCUCUAUUACAGUUUAGAUUCUAUUCCAACAUAAGGAUAUAUUUAUAAUAUAUCAUCUCUAUUUCAUUGUCUGGGUACAUAAGUGAGAUUUUUUGUGAAAUUUCUUGCAGCAUCUUGAUGAGUUCUGGUGGUGGCAGCAUCUUGCUAUUGACAGAGCGGGGAGUGCUAAUAUAUCCGAUGGCUGGGUAAUACGUCAUCGUUUUGUUGCUUGGGCUCGAGGAAUGCCAGGUUUAGUACGGCUUUGGUGUAGAAUUGAUUUGGUACUGAUGGCAAAUUAUUGCAAUAUUUUUGAGAGAGAGGUGUGAAGGUUAAGAUUUUGCAGCGGAGAAGAAUUGAAAGUAUAAGAAGUAGAAAUGAUUUUGCCAUUCCCAUUGCUUUCUAAUUUCGGAUUAUCGUGUGAGCAAGAUGAUAUAUAGCCGGCUAAUGGACCUUGGAGAAUUUCUAAAAGAGUGGUGAUAUUGUACCAUUCAGAAAUUUUUUUGAUGAUAAAAUUAGUAAUCGCCCUAGUUCUUGCCUUUACAUAAUAAAACCUUUGCAUGAAACAUUUGAUAGAAUUAAUUGAAUUAAAAAAAAUAGACAAAAUACUGACAAAAACAACAGUACUGAAAUAAUAAUAAUUUACUUAAUUAACACGUUAAAUGGGCAGUAAUACGUCAGUUCUGUCUCUUUAUCAUUUUCUAUAAAUUGAAGAAUAUUAUAUUCAUUUUAGACUAACCGGAACUUCAUGUGUCUAGUUUAUGAGACCCAUGUGGCUUUUGUCUUUGUGAUAAUAACACUGUAGAAUUCUAAAAAGUUUGCAAUUUUUUAAUUUUUAAUUUUUAAUUUCAUGUAUUUAAUACUUGAUUUUUCAGUUUGAUUGUGAUUCACUUUCUUGAAUUGAGUUAAUUUAGAGAAUAGCUUAAUCUAUGAUAUUGCGGAGAUUUAGUAAAAUUUUCCGUUCAGAUUUAGCCAUUGUGUCACCUUCUUUCAAUAGAUACAAAUCACCCAAAAGUUCUUGAUUUUGGUAGUUUGCGCUUUGUAUUGCAACGUACGGUGUGUUCUAUAUGAGAAAAAAAAAAUAUUAAACAUUUCUGUUGUUUUCUUGCAGUGCCACCUGAUGCUUGAUCUUUUUAGUCAUCAAAUUGAUGUUUUAUCUGUUCAUUUAUAUCAACGAGUUAAGAGAAUUAACAGUUUUCUAGAUAUUUUGUACACAUAAAAUAAUGCCAUAAUUGAAUUUGCCCAUGGCCAUGCACAUACAAGUAAUCAAAGCAAAAGAAUCCACAUUCUAAUUUAAAAGAUCAAAUCUAAUGCCACGAAUAUAUAUAUAUAUAGUCAUAACUAAAAUUUCGUACUUCUGAUGUCUAAGUUACAGACAACAACAAUUGUUUUUGUGCCCAGCCACUUUUGUCGUAAUCAUUUUGUGGGAAAUAAAAAUUGGAUCAGAUACCCUAAAAUGCUUAUUUAAUAACCCUUCUUAUUUUACAGUAGAGUUGUAUCUGACUGCUGGCUCCUUAACUUGUCUUCCAAGAAAUCCAAUGCAAAUGACUGCAAGAACAAGUAAAAAGCUCAUAUCACGACAGAAUCUUGAAUCUUCAUCUAUUAUUAUUCAGCAUUAGGAAAGAUAUACAUAUAAUAAUAAUGAAGGGUGAAAAAUAUGCACACCUUUAUGUUGCUUAGGGUCAAUUCACCAUUCAAUACAUACUUCUCGCCAUUGAAAAAGCCAUUGACAGCAAUUACCUGCAUUGAAAUUUGCAUAGCAACCCAAUUUUUCGUAUUUAAUUACGGAGGAAAUUAAAAAAAAAAGCAUUCAUAAAGAUUUAACAGAAUCUGAAGAUAAAGCAAGGAACUCACUCUUGAAGCGUGACCUGUGAUGCCAAAAUAACCAAAAAUUUGUCUCCUAUCAGUUUGCAACAAGUCCAUUUGAAAAUACACAGAGAAGCUGGCAAACAAUUAAUUUCAUCAAUUAUUAUUUAAGCUGGCAAACAAUUAAUUUCAUCAAUUAUUAUUUAAGAUCAUAAUGAUAAUUAUUUUGAAAGGCUAUUAAUUUCAGUGGGUUUCUGUUAACCAAGUUUCGACAAAAUUUUGCUUGAUCUCCCUACAUCUCUAUAUUUACCUUUCCUUUAAAAGCUUUGGCUGCCUCUUGAAAUAUUGAUUUAGUCUCAGAAUCAUGAACAGUCACAAAAAGCCAUAACUGAGAACAAAUUGUUGAACUCGUUAAGACCUGAAAAUUUUUUAAUUUUUCCAAGGUAAAGAUGAUGUAAACUAAUAAUUACCUCUUGCAAGUGGGAAUCUAAAAUCAAUGCAGCAGUUUCCCUGGUGUAAGUAAUCAUCGGAGGAAUCUUAUUCAAUGAUAUGAAGUCAUAAAUUCUUGCAUCAGUAAAUGGACCAUCUGAGAAAAUGGAGCAAAAAAUGCACAAGGGUUGUGUAAAUUUUCGAUUUUGAAGCACUCAAAAUCAUUUGUAGAGAGAGAACUUCUAAUACUAACCAAAGUGGCUAAGUUGUUUAGAUUCCUUUUCCAGCAAGACUAGAGCAGGGCGUUUGAUUUCUGGGUCAAUCAGAAACAUCUUUGCAACAUCAGCUCUAGUAGUUUGAAAGAAUAUAACAUCAGGAUGCAGCUUUGAUACGGCCGCAAGCUUUUCACUUUCCGUGCCCUAACAAACAUAAUUGAAUCUUUUGUAACAUUUAUGAUUCAAUAAGAGAUGUUAAAAUAGAAACAGUCUAAUCUAUGUUCUGCUCUUAAUUCUUUUUUAUUUGGAGCUGGCACUCGCUCGAAGAGUGUUUUGUUGAGUUGAUUUGCUUGUGUUGUAGGACAAGCGUAUCAUUGGUGCUUUCAUUGACUUUUCCAUGGCUGAUUCAGAGGUGUUGGCAUCAGUGAAGGCACUCCAAACGCAAUUUGAAGGCCAAACAAUUGCGAUUCAUCAAAACUUGUAGCAGUACAUGUCCACAAUGGAUUCUCAUCUUAAGGAUCUACGUUCUCAUAUCCAAGGGUCUUCGAGUGUUUUGGUUGCAUCAUCAGGUUCUGCACAUCGCUCUUCUCUAGUUGCGGAGGGGUAUUCAGGACACACCGAUCUCUCGCUGGUAUUACAAUCAAUGAUAAUAAAGGUUCCCAAGUUUGAUGGCUCUGACCCGAAUGGGUGGGUGUUUCGUAUUGAAGAGUUUUUCGAUUUCCAUGAAACUCCAGAGCACUUGCGCCUUUGCAUCAUCGCGUUUCACAUGGAGGGGAGAGCGGCAGCCUGGUACCAAUGGGUGAAGGCGAACAAACUAAUAACAACAUGGAAAGAUUUUCUAAUUAGUUUGAAGCAUCAGUUUGGCGCUUCAAUGUAUGACGAUCCUCAAGGUACACUUUCCAAACUUACACAAACCACCACAGUCGCAAAGUUUCAGUCAGCCUUUAAAGAUUUGAUGAAUAAGGUCACUGGAAUUUCUGAACCCUUGUUGAUCAGUUUUUUUAUCAUUGUUUGAGAACGGAUAUUCGCAAGGAGUUGAUGUUUUCCCACCCCACAUCUCUGAUAGAUGUCUUUACUCUCGCAAAAGCUAAUGAAGCUCGUUUAGAGGAGGCUAAAAUGAGUGGCCGCCCUUGGACUAAAUGGCCCCCACCAUCGGCCCCAACUAUGACCAUUUCGUCCAUCAGCAAAAUUCCUCCACCCUCACAUGUGCCUGUUCCCACCCCCACCACAAAUAGUUCCCCUGUAGUUCCCACAACACACCAACCUCCUAAACAAACAAACCUUCUAGCCCUUUUACCUACACCAAAUUUACCAGUUCGCCGCCUCACUCCAGCUGAAUUACGAGACAAACGAGAAAAAGGAUUGUGUUAUAACUGUGAUCAAAAGUACAGCGCAAACCAUCACUAUCGUAGUAAGUUUUUUAUUCUUAUGGGGACUGACGAUGAUGAAAAUGAGGAUACUAUGAAGUUGGCCAUGGCGGAGCCAUUCAAGGAAAUGGUAACGACAGAUAUUUCAAGCUUGAACGCCCUCGCGGGGCAGGUGAAUCCCCAUUCACUUCGACUGAUUGGCAAGGUUGGUAACCACUGCUUUCAAGUGCUUAUUAAUAGUGGGAGUACCCACAAUUUUAUUAAACAUGUGUUGGCUGAACGAUUGGGACUUCCUAUUCAACCCACGACUCAUUUUCGAGUUUAUAUUGGCAAUGGUGACUUCUUGGUAUGCCAACUAUAUUGUCCGCAAGUGGCUCUGACUAUGCAAGAUUAUGCAUUUACUUUGGACUUAUUUGUUUUACCAAUUGAGGGGUCGGAUGUGAUUUUGGGUAUUCAGUGGCUUCAACGCUUAGAGAGGGUGUCCCAUGACUAUGCCGCCAUGACGAUGAACUUCUAUUGGGAUGGGAAAUUGGUCAGCCUUUGUGGGGACGUCACCAAUUCACCGAGUUUAAUUACUUUUAACCAAUUUCAAGCCCUUAUGCAUAGCACAACUGUUCCGAACUUAUUUGAGCUACAAUACAUACAUUCGCAGCAAGAUGGAGGCUCCGAAGACUUAGAACUUCCAGUUUCACUGCCCACUCUGAUUUCUCACCUCCUUUACAAAUUUCACAACUUAUUCCGCCCCCCAACAGGCCUUCCCCUACACUGUUUCAUUAACUAUAGAAUUCACCUACUACCAAACACAAAACCAGUGAAUGUUCGGCCUUAUCGCUAUCUUCACUUCUAAAAAACAGAGAUGGAGAAGUUAAUUCGCGAAAUGUUGGAGCAAGGUGUAAUAAAACCAAGCCACAACCCUUUUUCUUCCCCGGUGUUACUAGUGAAAAAAAAAAAGGAUGGCACCUAUCGCUUUUGUGUGGACUAUCGUGCCUUAAAUGCGGUUACUAUCAAGGAUAAAUUUUCUAUUCCAACAAUUUAUGAACUACUGGAUGAAUUGGGUGGAGCAACCAUUUUCAGCAAAUUAGACUUGAGGGCUGGUUAUCACCAGAUUCGAGUGCACAACAGAGACACAUACUAGAUAGCUUUUCGAACUCAUGAAGGGCACUACGAGUUUCUUGUGAUGCCUUUCAGCUUGACGAAUGCUCCAUCUACAUUUCAAGCUACUAGAAAUUAAAUUUUUGCUGCCUUCUUACGUAAAUUUGUCAUUGUUUUUUUUUAUUUAUUGGUGUAUAGUUCAUCUUUGGCUGAUCAUGUCUCUCACUUGGAGCAAGUUUUAAGUUGCUUACAUAGUCAUUGUUUCUUCAUCAAACUUUCCAAAUGCCUUUUCUGCCAAGAAACAAUUGAGUAUUUGGGUCAUUUGGUUUCUACUGGAGCUAUUCGUGCAGAUCUACAGAAAAUUACAGCCAUGGUCAACUGGCCACCACCAACGUCCUUGAAACAAUUGUGAGGGUUUCUUGGCCUCACGGCCUAUUACAAGUGUUUUAUUAAAUGAUAUGCUUCUAUUGCUACACCCCUCACUGACUUAUUGUGCAGAGAUGUUUUCAAUUGGACUCCAACAGCAACCAUCACAUUUGAGGCCCUCAAACAAGGUAUGGUGGAAGUCCCAGUAUUGCGAUUACCAAACUUCGAGUUGGAUUUCAUCAUCGAGACCGAUGCAUCAAAUGUCGGUAUUGGUGUAGCGCUUAUGCAAGACAACCACCCAAUCUCCUACUUUAGUAAAAAGUUGGGACCAAAACUUCAAGUGGCAUCAACAUAUAUCAAGGAGUUACAUGCCAUUGCCGAGGUUAUCCACUAGUGGCGACAAUAUCUUCUUGGUCGUUUUUUCAUUAUUCGCACCGAUCACAAAAGUAUCAAGGAACUUCUGCAACAAGUUAUCCAAACACCUAACCAGCAGGUGUAUAUCCGAAAAUUGAUUGGUUAUCACUUUAAGAUUGAAUACAAGCCCAGUCGAGCAAACCAAGUAGUUGAUGUUUUGUCUCGCGUGCAUGAAGAUGAGCCUGUGGAGGCACCCGAGAGAUACUUUGCCUAUUUACUAUUGGUUUCCAGUCCAACUUUUGACUUGUUAGAAACUCUACGCUUGGAGAAUACCACUUGUCCAGACUUGGUACUCCUUCAUAAGCGCUUUGCCACAGGUGAGCUCUCCCCUGAUUUUUCUGUUUAUGAUGGAUUACUUUUCUUCCGCCACCGCUAUUAUGUUAGCUCUUAAUCCUCCUUGAAGUCAAUCUUGCUCCACAAAUUUCAUGCUACCCCAUGGGCUAGACAUGCUGGUAUAAAAUGAACCUUAGUUCGCUUAGCUUCGACAUUUUAUUGGCAUAAGAUGAGAACUGAUGUUGAAAAAUUUAUAGCUGCUUGCCUAACCUGCCAACAAAUCAAGCAAUCAACUCAAGCCCUAGCAGGGUUGUUAUAACCACUACCUAUUCAAUCGUUAGUAUGGGAUAAGGUCACUAUAGAUUUCAUUACGGACUUGCCACUAUCACGAGGGCUCACUACUAUCCUUGUCGUUGUGGACCGUCUAACUAAAUCAACACAUUUUGGAGCUCUACCUUCUCAAUUUUCAGUUAUGACAGCAACAGACUUAUUUGCUAACAUGGUCGUUAAACUCUAUAGUUUUCCUAGUUCCAUUGUGUCGGAUCGCGAUCCAAUUUUUAUGAGCAAUUUUUGGAAGAAGCUUUUUGAACUAAGUGGCAUUUCCCUAAGGCAUAGCAUAGCCUAUCAUUCGUAGACUGAUGGGCAAUCCGAAGUUGUGAACCGCAGGCUUGAACAAUAUUUACUAGCUUUCACUCAAGAAAAACCACAAUCGUUGGUCUCUCUACUCUACUGGGCAGAGUUCAGUUACAACUCCAGCUAUCAUAGUGGUCUCAAGAUGACACCAUUCCAGGCAUUGUAUGGGCAUAAUCCACCUACUAUCCUAGCUUACUCUAAGGGCUCUACUUCAAUCCAAGCUCUCAAUGAUGCGCUGACGGAGCGAGAUGCUCUCUUGCGCUUCUUGAAGGAGAAUUUGUGCCAAGCUCAGCAUCGAAUGACACAAAAGGCUAAUGCCCAUCGGCGUGAACUCCAACUCAAUAAAGGAGAUCACGUGCUUGUCCGCCUUCAACCAUACCGAAAGACAUCUUUAGCUCAACGAGCAUCCCUGAAGUUAGCGAAGAGGUAUUACGGACCAUUUACAGUAUUGGAACAUGUGAGGCCAAUGGCAUACAAGCUGAACCUUCCGUUAGAUUGCAAAAUUCAUUAUGUCUUCCAUAUUUCAAUGCUCAAACCCUUCAGCGUUCCAGCCCUAUCAAUAGGUUACCCUUACCUCGUGAUAGCAUCAACAAUCGACCACUCUUAUACCCAGCUACUAUUUGUGCCCCACGGAUAGUCUUGCGUCAUGGGAAAGAAGUUCAACAUGUUCUGGUGCAGUGGUCAGAUAGCGCUCCAGAAAAUGCCACCUAGGAAGAUUUCUUUGAGUUUUCGCGCCUCUAUCCUGAUUUCACCUUGAGGACAAUGUGAUUUUUCAAGCGCCAGGGAAUGAUACAACAUUGCCAAUCUCUUUGGAGUGGCCCAAUGCAUCUCUUGCGGAAUCCUUUAAAGAACGGGCUGAAUCACACCAGGAGGAAGAUACAACUAGGCCCAACACAGAACCUGUUGCAGGCCCAUCGCGAAUGAGAAAACCACCUAGCUGGCUAAAGGAUUAUGUUGUUUGAGAAUCAGGAAGUUGUGGAUUCCUUUCUAAAAUCUUUUAUUCGUUUGAUAUUUUCUUUUGGCUUGACAAUUGCUAUUUUUUGUAACCACCUUCUGUUAGAGGUUGCUGGAGGUGAAGCAUAUAAGCAUUGUAAGGUUUAAAAAGCAAAGGAAUGAAAAUACUCAGUUCUCUUUCUUCUUUGGAAUUUCCUUUCUUCUUAACCUCUGUUCUGCUCUUAAUUCUUUUUUAUUUGGAGCUGGCACUCGCUCGAACAGUGUUUUGUUGAGUUGAUUUGCUUGUGUUGCAGGACAAGCAUAUCAGUACCGUUUGUGCCACGUUCUCUUAAUAGAAAAAUAUAACCCAAAAGUUCUUGAUUUUGGUAGUUUGUUCUUUGUAUUAGAACGUACGACGUGUUUCAUGAGAAAAAAUAAUAAAAAUUUGCUCUUACUUUUCUUGCAAUCUAACAAGGUGCUUGAUCAUUUUGGUUAUCAAUUGAUAUUUAUCUAUUGAAUGCGGUUAUCAAUGAGUUAAAUGAAUAUAAUUAAAGGUCCGAUAGAUAUUUUUAUAUAUAGAACAUAUGCCAUUAUUUAAUGUGACCUCUGCCGUUAAACAUAUGAAGGCACGAAUAGUGAUUAACUAGAAUAUCUAAGUUAAACAGCACUUCUUAUUGCAUCCAAUCAUUUUGUGGGAAAGGGAAAUUGAAUCAUAUACACUAAAUUGCUUCUUUAGUCAUCAUAUCUGGUACUGGAAGUCUAGCUAAUGACUUUUGCUGAAGUUGUAUUUGAGAAAGAGCUGUUUUUGAUUGUUGGUUCCUCAACUUGUCUCCCAAGAAAUCCAAUGCAAAUGACUGCAGGAUCUCAGAUCAUGACAGAAUUGUGAAUCUUAAGCCAUUUUUCUGCAUUAGGAAAAAAAAUAUAAUAACAAUUAUGGUGAAAAGAAUGCAAACCUUUACAUUGCUCAGGGUCAGUUCACCAUUCAAUAUAUACUUCUUGCGUUUGCGAAUGCUAGCGACAGCAAUUACCUGCAAGUAAAUUUGUACAGUAACCCAUUUUUUCAUAUUGAUGUAUAAGACAAAAGCUACACCGCAAUCAUAAAGAUUUCACAAAAUCAAGGUAAAGCAAGAAACUCACUCUUGAAGUAUGACCUGUGACACCGAAAUAGUCAGAAAUUUGUCCCUUAAGUUUCGGGUACAUUUGCGAAUACACAAAGAGAAGCUGGCAAACAGUGAUCAAGAUAAUAUAAAAUCAUAAUGAUAAAAUUAUGUUGACAGACAAUUAAUUUAAAUGGCUUUCAGUUAUCAAGUUUCAACAAGUUUUUCUUGAGCUCGCUACAGAGAUUAAUCUACCAAAUACAAGUCUCUGCAUUUACCUUGCCUUUGAAAGCUCUAGCUGUCUCUUGAAAUAUUGAUUUAGCCGCAGAAUCAUGCACAGCCUCAAAAAGCCAUAACUGAGAACAAAUUCAGGAACAUGUUCAAACCAUAAAUCUUUCACAUUUUCCCGAGGAAAAGAUGUAAAAUGAUAAUUACCAAUUUCAAGGGGGAAUUUAAAAUCAAUGGAGUAGUUUCCCUGGAGUAAGUAAUCAUCGGAGGAAUCUUAUUCGAUGAUAUGAAAUCAUCAAUUACUGAUAUAGUAAAAGAACCAUCUGAGAAAAUGAAGCAAAAAACAGACAGGGCAUGUAUAAAUCUUCCAUUUGAAGCACUCAAAAUCAUUGGAGAGAUUAUUUGUUUUACGAACCAAAGUGGCUAAGCCGUUUAGACCCUUUUCCAGAAAGACUAGAGCAGGGCGUUUGAUUUCUGGGUCAAUCAGAAACAUCUUUGCAACAUCAGCUCUAGUAGUUUGGAAGAAUAAAACAUCAGGAUGCAGUUUUGAUGCAGCCGCAAGCACUUCACCUUUCAGGCCCUAAAAUGUUUUGUCAUAGCAGUAACAGAUGUUAAGGGAAACACUAAGGCAAUUGCUCAAAUCAUACGAGUGAGUAUGGACCUUUAAAGAGUUAAGGAAUCCCAAAGCAAUUGUAGAUUGAGCUGUCAAAUAAGUGCUCUGCAUUCUUUGUUGUCAUCACAGUGUAAAGAUCCGGCCAUCUUCGUCUUUAUAUAAUUCACAAUAGCAUCCCUUAAAAAUAAAAACGAUCUCGUUAUUAACAAAUGCACGAGCAUAUAAUAGACUUGCCCCUUUUCACUUUUCCCACUUCUCAACAACUAUAACAGAUUUAAAAGGGCCAUAUUGAACAAAAAGAUCCAACAAAAGAAAACACUUGUUCCAAAAAAACUCGCUUCUUCCUGUCAUGGUAGUAAAUAUCCACAUGUACUCCAUUAACAAAGAAAUAAAUGGUUGGAUAUCCUUGAAUUCCCCAUCUUUUUGCCAACUCGAUCUCGUUGAUAGCAUUAACUUUUGCUAGCACUGCUUUGCCCUUCAGCUCAGUGGCAGCGGCUUCAUAUUCUGGAGCCAGUUUCUUGCUCCAGAAGCACCAUGGUGCAUAAAAAGCCACCAUCACAUGCUGAUUCUUGGCUAGAACAUCACUAAAAUUCUUGUCACUUAAAUUCACUGCAUCUUCUUUUUCAUCAAUAGUCGGAGUUAAGUUGUACUUUCGAUCUUUGAAACUUUCAUAAGAAUCUAAUGGUGCAACGGUGUCUCUGGAAGAGAUUGGAGGAAAUUUCUUGAAUACAGAAACACACAAUACAUAGCCUCCAUCAUAAUCUAUUUUGUAAACACAGAAAGGCGAAAGCCGAAACACAAUGAACAAAAGAAAAAUCGUAGUGGAGAGCGCAAGGAGAUGAGCUUUAGUUGACAUUGUUGAGCAGCCGGCGUUGAGUAGGUGCUCUGCAAUUUGUACUUGACGCUUCAAAUAGUUGUUUUAUAGCAAUGAUCCUGUCAGCAAUGCAAAUUUAACCACGAAUUGCUGGCCAGUGACAAGAUAAUUAUAAUUAAAUGCCUCCUUUUUGGUAUGUAGUUUCACACAGUAGACAACAAGCUAAUAAAUAAUAAAAUUUAUUUUGAUUUCUAUUCAGAAAUUACACUAUUAACAUCCCGUGACAGAAAGAAACCCUCUAUCCACCACUAGCUUUAUAAAGCACAAUCGACAAAGACAAGAUCCAAAUCUCUAGCAGAUGAAACCAAUGUUCCUACGAACAUCACUAUGCAACAGGAUUACACUGAAUCUUGAAAGCAACAAAUGAAUGAGAAUAUUCUUUUGCAGCCAUAUANNNNNNNNNNNNNNNNNNNNNNNNNNNNNNNNNNNNNNNNNNNNNNNNNNNNNNNNNNNNNNNNNNNNNNNNNNNNNNNNNNNNNNNNNNNNNNNNNNNNAUUUGUUGAUAAACUUAAUGAAUUUCUCCAAUUAGUUCUUAUGGGAUCAGCUUCAGUAUCUCUGAGACCUUCAGAGUUGCACAAAUUUACCGCCAAUUAGAACAACAAUGUUGAAGACAUAUGUAUUACAAAUAUCACAUAUACAAGCAUAUAAUGUGACAUGAUAGAGUUGUAGUUGCAUCACAAACCAAGAUAUAAUAUGAAAGAAUUUUGAGAAAAUAUAUCAUUGCUCACCUCGAAAUGCUGUUGCAAUACAGGUGAAUGUUGAUGCAGUGUUGUAUAUAUCUUCUCAAGUAAGCCUAUGAGUGCAUCCACUUGAUCGCCCAGCAGAUCCACCUGGAAUCCAAGCCGCGUAAUGAAUCUUAAGAAAAUUUGCUUGAAACACACUUCAAAUGUACAUUCAUCAAAUCCAAGUUAAAUUCAGUUUGUUUAUCCUAAAAAAAAAAAGAAAGAAAGAAACUAAGGUGAAUAAAACUGAAAUUGCAGCUCAAAACCUCAGUUUCAGCCUUUUGGAGAUUCUUGCUUCUUCUGAUAAAUGCUGUUCUGUAGAGUAAUUCCCGCUUUUGUACUGAGGAAACAAGCUCAACAAGCAAAUCUAAUUGAUGCUUCAUCUCUUCCAACCUGUACAAAAGUAGCGCAGUAAAGGUCAAUCACUUGUUCAAACAACUAAUAUUUGAUGGAACAUAAAUAUCGUAACACAAAUAGCCAUAGUCAAUGUUCACAGUAAGAUUAAAUUAAAGCAUUUGAGGGGAAAUAUAAAUGUAAACUGAAGUACCUCAAAACUGUCUGCUAAUUUUUCUUGUGCUUGGAGCUCAAAAUUUCCAAAUACUUGUGAAAACUCCAGUAUAGGUGUAAACAUGGAAUCCAAUUGGUUUCUAGAAAUCUCUUCAUUUUUUUGUUGGAAAGUUAUGGAAUUUUUGUCAUGCACAUUAUCUGCAGGAAUCAUUUGAUUAUCAACUCUUUCUUCAUCAUAGUCGGCUGUGCCUAAACUAGAUUCCAACUCACUCAUUAUUGUCUUACUUGUAGCUAACCGAUCUAGGCUUUCUCAAGUUUGCUUCUCACCGAAGUAAAAGUGGACUCAUCCUCAUCCAUCAGUUCUUGAAAGAUCUCAUGCUCGUUCAGCUGUUCAGUUUCCAUUUCCACCCAGUCAAGUUGUUUCUUGUGUUCAUUUACUUCAGAACUUGCACUUACCAUUAGAUCUCCAUCUUCUUCCAAACACUUCAAUAACAUAUCUAGUUUUUCGAUAAAACUAUCCUCUCCAUUUCCCUCAAAACUUCCGUCUAUAUUGUUGGGGGAACUUUUGUCUUGCUUCCGGGCUUCUCCUUCCGUGAAACAUAGGCAAGCAUCUUUCAUCGUCUCACGAAAAACAAAUUCCUGUAUCUCAUGUCUAAAGAGAUACUCAAUGUUGCAAGCAUCUAUCUCUUUCUUCCACUCAUCAAUAGUUUCCCCGAAUAAAACCAUCUACACAUUCUCCUUCACAAAAUAUUCCGCUAUUUUAAGUGACUUGUCAGGAACCUCAACCUCUUAGAGUUUUGUAAAUGUGUAGUUCGCAGUAUUCACAACAUCUCUGAAGGUCUCAUCAAAGACAGACGAGAAACCUCUUCUGUUAUAAGCCUGCCAAUUCUAUAGUUUCCAAUUUUCUAAUUCCAAUCCUUGCAAAUUUCCUGGUACAAGACUGAGCAUAUAUCCUCACUUAAAGAGCAUUCAUCUCGAAAAUGUUCCAAUUUCCUAUCCAGUGCAGAGCAAAACCCCUUAACUGCCUCACUGCAUACAGUAUAAUAUAUUUCCUCUCUCAUCUGAGCCUCAAACUUGUUACUUUCAACUUCCUCUUUCAACAUCCUUAUUUCAAUUUGUAGUUCUUCAUUGGCUGCAUCAGCGACUGACGCGUUAUUCAUUUUCUUCCAGACGCCAUCCAAAUUGUCAAUGUCCGAGUUCAUUUCUUUUCUCACAUCAGAUUUCAAUAGGUUUUUUGCUGCUGAGGAUUCGUCCCAUUGAUCACCUCCAUAUUCUCCAAAAGUCUCAACCAACCUGGCAUUGCAGUUCAUUAAAUUAUCCAAUCUUACAAUAACUUCUUGGAUUCUUCUUUUUAGGCUAACCGGAUCCUUCUCUCUUCUUAAGUUUGAACACCCUUUUUCUGGAAGCAUUUCUCGCUUCAACCAUUUAACCUCUUCACUUUUUCUCCGAAUAAUAAACUCGUGACUCUUUAUGAUCUUAGCAACAGAUUGACCAACACCCUCUUCUGAUUCUACUUCUUCAACCUUUGAGGAAAAAUUCGCACAACUGUCUCCUUCUGAUAAAGAUCUUCGCAGCCUCGGAGGAAUAUUCCUCUCAAUAUUAGUUUUGGUUGAAGAUUUUAAAUUCUCAUUCCCUUUUGCAGCUUUCAGUUGAGCCUCGUUCUGAUUGAUAAAGCUCUCAAGCUCAUUACGCAAGCACGUAACCUCCGUCAUCAAAUCUGACAAAUGCUCACUCAAGCUCAUGAAAACUUGCUUCUCUUGCUUCCUCAUUUCCAUCUCAAAGUUCUCCUUAAAAUCGUUAACAAAACCAUUAAUCAAUGUACAAAUUGCAUCCUUCUCAAUAGUCCACCUCCAUUGCUGCUCCUGGGGCCCCAGCUCAGACAAAAAAAUCGCAUUCUGCAUUUUCCCAAAAGCCUGAUGCAAAGUCUCUUUCAAAAUAUUAAUAUCAGAACCCAUCUGCUCAAUCUUUUUGUGAUCAAUACCGCCAUUCUUUUCCUCAUCAAUAACUUCAUGCUCGAUUUGCAAGACUUGUUGAUCAACUGAAUGCAUCAACUCAGAAAUUUCACUAUCUCUAUCCUCAUCCCGACUUCCAGGACUGCUCAUACUGAGCUCAGCGACACCAUCGCUCUUUGUUCUUUCAAGCUCCACUUUAGCAUUUUGCAAGGCAACCAAUUCUUUUUCCUUCGCAUCCAAUGCUUGCCUAAGCUUCAACUCAUUUUCGAACCUCUCCGUCAAUUCCUUAUCCUUUUCGCGGAGAGCCAUUUCUGAAUCCUGAAGGCGACACUGGAGACGGUCUUUAAUUUCUUCCGAGUCUGCCAGGACUUUUUCAUGGCAGCUUUCAAACAUGUUGUUGUCUGCAUCCUCCUGGACAAAUUUCAUGCACCCUUCUAGCUGAAUUACUGCAAGUUCAUAGAAUUUCGAUAUCUCAUUAAAGCGCUGAAUGACGCCAUCUUUGGACUUUACUUUGCCGUGUGCUCUGUCCAUUGCGUAGUGCACAAUCCACGUCAUUGUUGCAUCUGUUAAAGAAAUUCUUAGUGUGCCUUCUAGCAAUCCAAAAAGACCAUCCAUUUUUUUUUUCUUUUUGUUUGGUUCAUCUAUUGAAAAUGAAGGCUAUGAAGCAAUAGAAAUGUGAAUGAGAUCUCCUGUUUUUAUGUUUCCUUGAAAAUUGGAGAUCUAAUUGACUUGUUCUAACUUGUUACUUGUUACACAUACGUUGAAGAUGUGACCAGAGUUAUUCCUAUAUUUCAUUUAAAUACUAAUGCAUAUUAGCGUAUAUGCAAAGAUAACAAGGAAUUGACAAUUUUAGGGAACUCACGUUAAUUUUUUACCUUUUUUUAAUAGAAUUUUUUAACAUUCAAUCAAUAGGAUUUGUUGUAAAUUUGAAGGUUAUGAGACCUUUAUUACUUGAAAUGACUGGUUUGUCCUUCGUUUCCUUCGAGAGCCCAAAAAGUUCUAAACGUUCAACGCUCAAGCCAAUAUAUUUUUUUUUUUUUGUCUUAACCACGAGGUAUCCCGGGGAGGGCCCCAACUGUGGGAGGCACCUUUAAAUCCGUACCAUAACCCAGACUAGAAGUUCCCACUUGAACCGAGAGACACAAGUUCUCCCAACAAAGGCGACUUUCCUGCGACUUGAACUGGAGAGCAAACUCAGUUAAACCACCUAAGGGUGACUCCAUUGCCAGUGGAGCCAACACUUUGUUGGUAACGCUCAAGCCAAUAUAGACGGUUAAGAUGUCCUCCUCAAUUAAUUUGAGAGGAAAAUUACAGAUAAUAUGUAUGGUUUGAUGAAGGAGCAAAGGAAUAUUAAAAAGGUGUAAUUAACAUUGCCAACGAACAUGCCCAACAUUAAUUUAUGAGCGCUGCUAUUCACCCAGAUUUUAACCUCGAAACGCGCCCCGAAUUUUAAAACGCACCGUUUUGAUAAAAUUGAAAAUGGUGCGUUUAACCCAUGUUUCUUCCUUUCCUUUCUUUUGCCAAACCACAGAAACGGACCUUUGCUUCCUUUUCGUUUAAUCCUAUCAUCUUGUGGUCACUGCCGCUGCUGCUUCCUUCAAGACCGAGCUCUCUCCCGCUGCUUCUUUCUUCAAGACCGAGCUCUCUAAGCCCCUCACUGCCGAUUUUAACCUUUGCUUCCUUUUGGCUUCACGAUCUAGAAGCCAUCGCCGCUUCCUUCAAGGUCGCUGCCGCUGCUGCUUCCUUCAAGACCGAGCUCUCUGCCGCUGCUGCUUCCUUCAAGAGGGAGCUCUCUGCUGCUCUUGCUUUCUUCAAGACCGAGCUCUCUAAGCCCCUCACUACCGAUUUUGACCUUUGCUUCCUUUUGGUUUCACGAUCCUGAAGCCAUCGCCGCUUCCUUCAAGGCAGUUUGCUCUCUCUAAAUAAUUUCAAUAAGUUUAAAUUUAUUUUUAAACAUUUAAAUAAUUUCAUAUAAAUUUAUUUUUAAUUAAUACAAAUUAAUUUCAUGUAUCGUUAAAUGUUCCUUCAAGACUCCAUUGUGUUUGCUGCUGAUUGUGUUUGUGUGUUACUGGUGCUGGAAUUAUCUUGCGGCUGAUUGUGUUUUUGUGUUACUGGUGCUUGAAUUGUUGCUGGUGGAAGUGUAACUGGUGCUGGAAUUGUCUCAGCUGCAUGAUUUUGCUGGGGACAAAUCCGGUUGAUGACAUUCUCUUUUGUUGCGGCUGCAUGUUGUAGAUAUAUUUCCCGCUAAAGGGGCAUGUGCCACCAGAAAGAUUGGUGAAGCAUUUGAAUGUUUUCUUGUAUUUUAGUUUAGUGUAUGAUGACUCUGUAUCGUGCAAUGAUCAUGAUUCUUUCUAUCACUAAAGAAGAUAAAGAAUCAUGAUCAUAAAAUCUAAGUAUUACGAAUGCAAUCUUCAUCGCAAUUGAACAUUGUAGAACUAUUUUCUAAAGUUGAAUGAAAUCAACAUAUUCACGCAUACAGCCCAGCAAAAGAAAAUUUCGCUCAAUGAAAACCGACACCAAUGCUUUGGCUGAAGAAACAACGUCCAAGUUCAUUCAAAUAAUCCUAAAUCCGUAAUUAUUUAAUCUACCCCCAGCGCAAGUUAAAGCAACAAAACUUCACAUCCACUCUCAUUUAACACUCAAUACCCUGUCUCAGCAUUUUGUCAAUCACCUUCCAUCCACCAUGGUUCAGCAAGCUUGCAAACAGAAUGCCAUCAAAUGCGGCUGUGUUCUGCCGAUGAAGGAUGCUGACAGAAUAAUGUGGGGGAGUGCUGCACUCAUUGAGGAAAGAAGCUAUAAGAGAAUUGGCAGCAUCUCAUAUAUCAUUUAAUUCUUUGCAUGUCUAAGAAUGCCACUUGAUAGCAAAGUGAUAAAUAUUUACUUGAGCAAGCAAGUAAAAGCAGCACUGAGCUCAUAAUAAAUAAAUAAAUUAAUUAAUUAGAGGUUCGAUCAGGGCAGCAAGCAAAAAGUUUGGAAAUUCAGAGCAGAAAGCUGUGGUUCACGCGCAAAUAGAAAGACAAACAGAAUGCUCACGUGCUGCACAGCUGGAAUAGUAUUGAAGCAAAGCAAAACGCACCGGUUUUGCCAAAAUUCGGGGCCCGAAUUCAGGGCUGAUGUCGGGGUAAGUAGCUUUUCCCUUGGUUGUUUCCUACAGCAGCCACUACAGAUCUCAUUAAGCGCCAGAAUCUAACUCAGCGGCAGGGCGCGAACCAUCACUGCCCUUGGUAGCGCGUGAGGCUCUUUCUCUUAGCCACUCCACCACCUCUCCAGAAACCAACUCAACGUUCUGCUCAGGCUCGGCAAUCAGCUGAUGCCACGUGCCUGGAUAAAUCCUCAGCGUCUUAUCCUUACUGGCUGCAUGUUUAUACAACUCUUCAACGCAGGCGGGAUCGCAAACGACGUCGUCUUCCUCUUGGGGCUCAUUGAGUAUUUUUUAUACUCAAAUCCCUUGCAAAUCCCUCGACACGCGCAGCAACUCCAGCACGGUCGCCGCACGCGGCCUUGGCACCGACCUCCUGGGGCUCGACAACACCAGCUUCCUCUUCCACUCCUCCUUGAAGGAGACCAUCGGGAGAGAACCGUGGGUGGGACCUACGCGCCAGGAAGGCACCAGCCAUACGACUGCGAAGAGAAGGUGCUCGAAGGGCCACGGAGGCUUGAAUUUCUGGCUAAUCCCACACAUGGCCCCAUUCAAAAUCAAACCAUCCCACGCGCCCGUCUGACGGAGCGUGGAGUAAAGAGCUAUGGCCCCACCUAAGGACUCGGAAUACAAAAACGCGGGCAAAUCGGGUGCGUGUCUCGGAAUGACAUAUUACAUGUUAUAUUAAUUAUUUGGGAUGAAAUUUAAAAUAAAUAAAUUUAGUAUGCUUGCUUUUGCAUAAUUUUUUUUUUGUAGGGUUAUUUUGGAUCUAAUAAUUUAAUUUAUAAAUAUAUUUUUGUUUUAUCAAUAAUAACAUUUAAUUUGCAACUGCUAGGGAUCUCUACUCCCUAGUGUUGGCUCGAGGAGAUCUUGGCAACAACCAUUGCAACAAAUAUAUGACAAGUUUUAUCGCGACAAUUACUUGCUAAUUGAUUUCUUUGCACUUGAUGUACAACACAUAUCAUAUUAUAUCAAUUUUAAAGCUAUAUGCUGAGAAUUCUAACAUAAUCAAAUGCAUAUAGGAGCAAUUAAUUGAUAAUCAACACACCAACACUACUAGAAAAAUAGGCUACCAUGACAGAAUUUUUGUGAUAGAUAUUAGAAAAUUAGUCAUUUAUCAUAAGAAUAUGAUAGACAUAUGAUAGAAUUUUCGUACAUCAUAAAUUCAUGACAGAUUUCUGAUAGAUUUUUUAUAUAUCAGAUAAACAUGAUAGCGUAUUAAUAUUUAAUCAAACCAUGGGUUUCGAGUGGAAUUAAUUUGGACAUAAAACGACACCGUUUUACAGAUUUAAAACAUUUUUAAAAUAAAAAUAUUUAUUUAACAUUUAAACGCUAUCGUUUCAGUAUAUUGUAAACCACAAACACAAAAAAAAUUCUAAGUGUUGGCACCUUUGACCCAUCACUCCAUCAGCAAGGGCUGAGAAACCAAAGCAGUGAAACCCCUCAAAAUCCGUUUAUUAACAUAUUUUAAUCUGCAAAUUGGUUUUGAAAUCCGUUGCAUGGAAACCGAAAUCAUAGUUUAUGCUAUUGAAGGAGCCUUCCCGUCCUUAUUUUGAACCCCCAUUAUCUUUAACCCCCAUUAUUUCGAACCCAUUGUUUUUAGGAACAAAAUCACCACAUAUGCUCAUUGUUGCGCCUUCGCGUCCAUUAUUGAAGCUGUCGGUGUCACUAUUUCUUUGUAUUGUUCAAUCGGCGUUGGAGAAGCCAUCCUGUAAUCGCUGAAUCCCUAGGUUUGUCAUCAAUUAACUUUUUUAAAUUUUAUUCAGAAUAAAUUAAUUGGUCAUUAUAAAAUUAAUUGUUAGUUUUGUUGUUAUUUCCCUUAUUUGUUCAUAAUUUAUGCCCUAGGUUUAUCUUUAUUAUUACUUUUUAAUUCUCGUUUGUUUCUGUUGUUAUAUUUUUUGUUUAUUUUUUAAUUCAAGAAGCUUAUACUUUGUCCUUCUAUUAAAUCUAGAAAUCGCUCAAUCAUUUAAUUUAGCAUGUCCUCAUCUUUUAUUUAAAAAAAAUUUGUUCUAAAUCGCAGGAUUUCACUGCCCUGUUCCCUUUCAAACUCGAUUUCUAACAUCAGGUUUGUUCAAUUUUUUACUUGCCUUUCCGUUCAAUAUUUGAAAAAUGUUUGCUGCCAAUGGUUUGUAUGAAUAUUGUUAUAUUCUGUAAAUUUUUAGUCAGAGCUUGCAUGUGUGUGAAGUGAUUUUGGUUGAUGAUAUAGUACUUUUCAUUUACUAGUGUCUUUUGUUGGGAUGAAUCCGAAACUGUGGUCCAAUGGUGUUAGACAUUUUCUUUAAUGAUUGUGAGCUAGAUUUUGUGUAAUUUAUUGAGUUAAAAAGUAAGGCCCCCUUUUCAAUUGUCUUUUUUAUGUUUGAAGGAAAUGGUACCAUGUGGGGGCAAGUUUGGUCAUGUGGACCAAGUAAUGUUUAGUUGGUUAUAUAUAUAUAGUCUUGUGGUCCAUUAAAUGCUGGAUUGCUAGAAUUUUUUUUUAAAUAAAUGUUAAAUGUAUGUGGGCCAAGUUAUUUAGGAUAUUAUUAGUUGGGUAUGGUUAGUCGGUGGUUUUGGUCAAUGAUGAUAGCAUGUUGGUAAAGUUACAUUUGUUGCACAUGAUGACAAGUUUUUUUUUAAACUUAUUUAUUUCAUUGAAUUUAUAAAUUGAAUAUUAAUAAUGUUUUGUUGCUUAAUUUAUUGAUAAUGGAAACCGUUUAUCAUUGCUGCCCAUUAGUACAUUGUGUUGAAAUUUAUCUCAAUUAUAUGUCAGGUACUAGACAAAAAAUGGAUAAAUCUUGGCUUAAAUAUGAUAGAUUGUCCGAUGAGUAUGAGGCUGGUGUGGAAAAAUUUAUUAAGACUGCAGUUGAAAGUAAUCAAGAAAUUAGUGUUGUUAGGUGUCCAUGUGAUAAAUGUCAGAAUUUAGCAUUUCAUAGGCCUAAAGAAGUGAAAGAUCAUUUAAUUAUAUGGGGUCUUGAUAUGUCAUACAAAACAUGGGUUUGGCAUGGGGAAGAUAUCCGCAACAAAUCUCCUGACAAUAUAGGUUGCCAAAAUGACAGUGGAUAUAUGGAUUAUGAUGGUGGUAAUACUGUUGAAAUGGUGAAGAUGCUUUUAAGGAUUGUNNNNNNNNNNNNNNNNNNNNNNNNNNNNNNNNNNNNNNNNNNNNNNNNNNNNNNNNNNNNNNNNNNNNNNNNNNNNNNNNNNNNNNNNNNNNNNNNNNNNNNNNNNNNNNNNNNNNNNNNNNNNNNNNNUCUGAUUAGUAGCUUUUCAGAAUUUGUUGAAGGCUUCUUUCGACCAUGUUACGGAAAGGAAAAUGACUUGCCUGUAUCAAAUGUAUGAACCCAAAAAGGACAAUGAGUGCUUUAGGCUUAGAGUAUAUCAAAAUUCAUGCAUGUCCAAAUGAUUGUAUACUCUAUAGAAAGGAGUAUGAAAGCCUUUCUAAUUGUCCUACAUGCGGUGAAUCUAGGUGGAAGAAAAGAGAUGGUAGUGUUGCUGCUUAUAGGAAGGGGGUUCCUACAAAAGUGUUAUGGUAUUUCCCUCCUAUACCUAGAUUUAGGCGUUUGUUUCAGUCCUCACAAACUGCCAAAGACUUGACUUGGCAUAUAAAUGAGAGGGAAAUAGAUGGUAAGCUUCGACAUCCAACUGACUCACCGGCAUGGAAGUUAGUUGAUGAAAAAUGGCCUACCUUUGCUUUAGAGCCUAGAAAUCUGCGUCUUGCCCUAUCAGCUGAUGGCAUUAAUCCUCAUAGCUCUCUUAGUAGUACGUAUAGUUGCUGGCCCAUUCUUCUUGUAACAUACAAUCUUCCACCCUGGUUGUGUAUGAAAUGAAAAUUUAUGAUGUUAUCCUUAUUAAUUUCUGGUCCACAACAGCCCGGUAAUGAUAUUGAUGUGUACUUGGCACCACUAAUAGAGGACUUGCAAACUCUAUGGGAUGUUGGUGUGGAAGCUUAUGAUGCCUACAAAAAAGAGUUCUUCAAUUUACGGGUUGUACUAUUGUGGACUAUAAAUGACUUUCCCGCUUAUGGGAAUUUGGCGGGUUGUACGGUUAAGGGUUAUUAUGCUUGUCCUUAUUGCGGUGAAGAUAUGCCAAAAUGUAGACUUAAACACAGUAAAAAAAUGCUUAUAUUGGCCAUCGCCGUUGGCUUCCUCAUGAUCAUCCCUUUCGAACUCAAAAGAAACCUUUUAAUAAUAAACAUGAAAGAGAGCCUCCUCCGAAACCAUUGAAUAGUGAGGCCAUUUUUUGAAAGGUGGAGAGUAUUGAAAACAAAUGGGGUAAAGUGAAAGAUAAAAAGCGCAAAAAAAGAGGCGAGAAAAAGGAUGAUGAUGACGAUCGUGUUUAGUGGAAGAAAAAAUCAAUAUUCUUUAAGUUAGAGUAUUGGAAGUACUUGCUUAUUUGUCACCAGUUAGAUGUUAUGCACAUUGAAAAAAAUGUUUGUGAAAGCAUCUACGGAACAUUACUAAAUAUCCCGGGAAAGACCAAAGAUGGCAUUAAGUCGAGGUGGGAUCUAAAAGUUUUAAAGAUUAGGCAGAAAUUGGCACCUGAUGUUAAAGAAAAUAAUCGUACUUUUUUGCCUCCAGCUUGUUACACCUUGACCAAAGAAGAAAAGAAAAGGUUUUGUGAAGUAUUAAAAAGCAUAAAGGUUCCUGUAGGUUAUUCUUCAAACAUUCAGAACCUAGUGUCAAUGAAAGACUUAAAACUGCAAGGUUUAAAGUCUCAUGACUGUCAUGUUCUCAUGCAACAACUUUUACCUAUUGCUUUAAGGUCUAUCUUACCAGAUCAUGUUAAAUAUGCCAUUAUUAGAUUGUGCUUCUUCUUUAAUUCCUUAUGCGCAACGGUUGUUGAUGUGACCAAACUUGACCAAAUGGAAGAAGAUAUUGCGCUGACCUUAUGCUUGCUGGAAAAAUGCUUUCCGCCAUCCUUUUUUGACAUAAUGAUCCAUUUAACCAUCCAUUUAAUUAAUGAAGUUAGACUAUGUGGGCCGGUAUACUUAAGAUGGAUGUACCCAUUUGAGAGGAACAUGAAAGGCCUAAAGGCUUAUGUUCGAAACCGUAAUAACCCUGAGGGAUGCAUAGCUGAGAGUUACAUUGCCGAAGAGGCUCUGGAAUUUUGUGCAGAAUAUGUUUCAAAUAUGCGUACAAUUGGGCUUCCUCCUGGACAUGUUGAAACCUCUUCAAUUGAUAAGCCUUUGCCUGGUGGAAAAUUUGAGCAUGUUGAUCAUUCCUUAAUUCAUCAAGCGCACCUAUAUGUAUUGCAAAACACAGAAGAAGUUCAGCCAUUUAUUAGGUUUGUUAAUGUUUAACCUUUAAUUUGUUCCUUUACUGAAUUAUUUUUAAAGAAUUUGAACAGUAGCUUAAUAUGUAAAUGUCAAAUAUGUAGUGAGCACAUUCAAUGGCUAAAGGGUCAUCAUUCACAAAAAGCCAAGAAUGAGAGAUGGUUGAGCAAUGAGCACAACCGCACCUUUUCAACUUGGCUUAAUAAGAAGGUUAAUAAUAGAUGUUCCAUUAUAUAUUCUUUUUAGUAAAGUUAUUGUCAUGUUUAUACAAUAAUUCAUUCAUUACGAUUAUUAUUAUGUAGGUAUAUGAGAUGAUAGAUGAUGAUGAAGAUGUCUCGAACAUCUUGAGGUGGUUAUCUCAAGGACCCCGUCCUUUUGUAGUUAAGCACCCAGGAUAUGACAUCAAUGGGUAUCGUUUCCAUACUCGGGAAUGAGACGAACAACGAGUUCAUCAAAAUAGUGGAGUUAGUCUUAUUGCAGUAACUUUACAAGUAGCAAGUGCCAAAGACAAAAACCCUAUUCUUGGUGACAUGUCUUACUAUGGAGUUAUUAACGACAUAUGGGACCUUGACUACCAUAUGUUUAGAAUCCCUUUGUUCAAGUGUGAUUGGGUUCAAAAUAAUGGGGGUAUUAAAAUUGAUGAAUUUGGCUUCACUUUAGUGGACUUAAAUCGCCUGGGUCAUAAAUCAGACCCAUUUAUAUUGGCUUCACAAGCAACACAAGUCUUUUAUGUCACUGAUCAACUUGAUAAAAGAUGGUCAGUUGUAAGUCAUAUACAUCGUAGAUGUGUUCCAAAGAAGACAAGUGCUGAGGAUAUAGAUAUCAUGAUGGAACACAACCCUCUGACCAAUGGGUUACCAAAUAUUGAAAAUUUAAAUUACGCGGACAGAUAUGCAAGAGAUGGCAAGCAUGGCAUCUGGAUUGAUGCUUGAAAAAGCUGAUGGCAUUUACUGCUUGUAUGUCUUAUAAUAGUUUUGUGUUACGUUAUCUUUUAUUAUUAUAUUUUCCUUGUAUUGACUUUAGAUUAACUUUUUUGACAUUAUUUAUAUGUUAUAUAAUGUUCUAAUACUAAAUGUGCAUUUAUUGCAGGAGCAACCUUAUGGAUAAAGGAAAAGGACUUGCUGAUGAACUCUCUAACGAGGAAAGUAUUGAUUAUUUGGGUAAUGAAGAGGUUCCUAAUGAAGAUAAUUCAAGGGAUGAGGAGGUUCCUGAUGAGUUUCCUAAUUCAGAGGAUGAAAAUGAUGUUCCGAAGAGCAGUUCCACUGUGAGAGGACCAACUAAAAACUCUGGCAGGAUGAGGAUGAGUGGCGGGAAGCUUGUAGUGAGGUACAAUGGGCUCGGUGUACCUGUUGGCCCUGAAGCUACUGAAUUAGCAAGCUUUAUUGGGCUGUUGGGCCGUACUUCUAUUCUAGAUAUUAACCAAGAAUGGAGAAAGAUUACUCCAGAUUUAAAAAGCCGUUUGUGGGAGUUUAUUAAGGUAAAAUGAUUAUUUAUAUUUAUAUAUCAGAAUUGAAUAAUGUAUAUGUUAAACUAUUUGAUCAUUAUGCUAUGUAUUUUUCUCAGGAACGUUUUAUUGUUCAUCCAAAUAGUAAGAAGCAAGUUUUCCAAGCACUUGGUAGUGCAUUCAGAAACUUCAAGUACUUGCUCACCACAAAGUAUAUCUUGCCACACAAGCACAAUCGUAAAAGGCUGAAGCGGCCACCUUUUCAGUACAGUCAUAUUCCUCAAAAUGUUUGGGAUAAAUUUGUGAAUUCUAGAUUGUCCACUGAGUUUGAGGUGAAUAAUUUUAAAUGUUAAACAUUUAGACAUUUCAUAAAACCAUCUUUAAAUCUAAUUAUGGAUUGUUUUAUGUAGAGAAUUAGGCGUCAACAGCAAAAUAAGAGAGCUAACAACAAGUGGAACCAUCGUUUAAGUAGAAAAGGAUAUGCUGGAUUGCUUGAUGAAAUUGUAAGUACUAUGAUACUAACUUGACCAUUCUUGUAUAGCUAUUGGUAUAAAGAUGGUUGGUUUGAUGAUGAUAAAUUGGCAAACCUUUUGUUUUAAUUUACUGCUUGCAAUUCAUGGUUAGUUAAGGAUGCAUACCAGCUGUGAUAUUAUUAUUUUUUUAAACUAUAGUGCUCGGAAACUGGACUUGUCGAAACUGAAGUUGACAGGAGUGUAGCAUGGAAGCGUGCUAGGAAGAUGAAAAACGGUGAAUAUGAUCCUGAUGUUGAUUCAGUUGUGAAGAAGAUUGUAAGUAAUAGCAAGGUUUUUUUUUUAAGUAGGUUCUGUUGGAAAAAAAUUGAUAUUCAUCAAUAUGAUUAUUAUGCAAUUAGGAUGUACUGGAAGAGAAAGCUAAAAAAGGAGAAUUUAAAGCUGAUGCAAGAAAUGAUAUUCUUGCACGUUCAAUUGGAAGGCCUGCCACUUCUGGACAUAUGCAGGGUGUUGGGAAAUUUAUAUCGCCUAAGAUGUACUUUGACACUCCAAACAAUUCAUUUCAGAUGCGACAAGAGCGACUAAACAUACUAGAGAGGUUAGAUAAGCAAGAAGCAGAGUUGAGUGAUCUGAAGAAGAAGAUUAAAAAGCAACCUCGACAUUCAGAUGUUGGAAGCUCAAACUUUCCAUUAGAUGAGCAAACAAUUGAAGAUGAAGCUGAAGAAAUGACUGCUCGUAAUGAGGACAAGGUAUGAUACAGAUUGUUGUGCACAGUCAAGUUAAAAAAUGACUUAAACAUUGGAUUUUAGACAAUUUUAGCCGUAGUCAAAACCGUAAUAACAAACCUUUUUUUUUUUUUUUUUGGCUUGUCAGUCAAUCGGCAUGACAAGGAAUGGAUCACCUGCAAAGAAGAAGCACGAAACGUUGACAAAGAAAAGGCAAUCACCUAGGAAGAGGAAUGAGUCACCAAAGAAGCAAGUGACUGCUGAUUGUCCUGGAGACAAACCAGAAACUCCAACGAAAAGGCAAUCACCAAGGAAGAAACAAGAAUCACCAAAGCAGCAAGUGAUGAAGAAAAGGCAAUCACCAAGAAAGAAGAAGGAAUCACCAAUGAAGCCUCACAAGAAACCAAGAAUGACUCUUGAUUGUCCAAGAGACAAACCAUGUAGUCCAAAGAAGAAGACAUCACCAAAAAAGCCUCAAGAGAAGCCACUGUCAAGAAGAAGAACAAGGAAUUAUCAUAUUGUGCAUAUGAACCGGGUGCCUGGGCUUGUAAUAUUUGCAAAUCUUUGUGAAAAGAAGUUGGCUCAAAUGGGUUAUUAUGUACCUUAUCAGUUGGAUGAAGAGGUAUACAAGCAUCCAACUAAAGCACAUAUUGGUCUCGAUGAAUGUCAAGCAUUGAUUUCGAUGAAAGAGCUAGGAGCAAAUCAUAUGCAUCUAUACAUCGCGUAAGUUUACAAAAUCAUAAUUACUAGUUUAUUUUCAAUUUUUAGUUUAUUACUUCCUUUCUCUGGUUUCUUUUUUUUAUAGUGAUAUUUUUUAUUGGCAACAUUCUCACUAUUUCAUCAUCUUAAUUGCAUCAGGAUGUUGCAUGCACACAUGGCGAAUGAUAUAGUGGGUAGACCAUUUGGGUUCAUACACACAGGACUCGUAUCAUCAGCCCAUGAUAAGGAUGCCUUUGCUACAAGGGUAAAAAGAGCACAAUUUAUUGCCGAACGGUUGAACAAAGCAAACAAAGGGCAAAUGAUUUUCAUGCCAUAUAACCAUGGGUACAGUUCUAUUUACUUUAUAUUGAUGAUCAUUUACUAAAAUUGAUUCAUAAUUUCAAUUUCUUUGUGUAAUAGUUUCCAUUGGGUGUUGAUUGUAAUUGAUAUGACGACAAAGCAAGCGUUUUAUCUGGAUUCUACGAACAACGAUUUGGGUGACGACAGUGACCUGAAGGACAUAGUUACCAAGUAUGGUGAUAUUGUAUUUUUAAUAUAAUUUUAUGUAUCAUGUUUAUUUACUUACUGCAUGUAUUAUAAUGUAGUGGGAUAUCAAUGCAUGUUGCGGUGACUGGUAAAAAAAGGGUGAAACCACAGAUCACAAAAGUUUUGGUAAACAAUCAUGACUUUCUUUUUUCUUCUUUUUUUUUGGCAGCGCAUGACUUGUUAAUAUUUAAUCACUUGAAAGAAUUCAUAUGCAUAUGUAUUAAUGAUUAUUUUGUUGAUGAUAUAGUCCCCAAAUCAACCAGGGAGUACUGAGUGUGGAUACUAUGUGCUGAGGUUUAUGAAAGACAUAAUUGCAGACCCGAGUUUACUUCUCCAUGAUGUAAGUACACAUUCUUUCAGAUGCAUUGUCGGAUUUCUUCACUUAAUACUUUUAACUAUAUAUAGUUUACUUUAGUCUAACAUGUGAUCAUCAUUUCACAGUUUAAAGGGAAAUGUGAAUACACUCAAAGUGAGCUUGAUGAAGUGCGUCUCGAGUAUGCUUCCUUUGUGUCUAAGCUGAUAGUAUGAGCAGUGGAGUUGAUGAUGAUAUUGUUUGAUAAAGUCUUAAGUGGCAGUGAAUUUUGUAUGCUGGUAUUGUUCCAGAUGAUAGUGAAUCUUGAUAAAGUCUAAGUGGUAGUGAAAUUUGUAUGCUAUAUUGUUUGAUAAAGUCUUAAGUAUAGUAGUGAAUCUUGAUCAGCCUGGUAGUGUUUCAGAUGAUAUAUAGUGUUGUGAUGUUUUUGUAUGCUGGUAAUGAUCCAGAUGGUAGUGUUGGGAUGUAGAUUUGUGAUAAUUGAAUAGAUGAUGUUUUGACAAUGUUAUGGUUAUUUCAAGUGAUGAUUUAGUGAUGUUUUGAUAAUAUUGUUGAGAUAAUUUGGAUGUAUUGAUUUUAUACAUAUUGUAAUUUUUAAAUUUCAAUGGAAUUUAUAAAAUUAUAAAAUAAUAAUAUUAUUAUUAUUAUUAAAAAUAUUAAUAUUAUUUAAAAUAUUACAAAUUUAUGAUUUAAAAAAAAUUCUUUUAAUAAUAUUAUUAUUUUAAAAAAAAUCACAUCGUGACACCAUAUUAGAAUCAUAAAGUUGUGACACAUAAUUACGCGCCAUAAUUUAAAAUUGAAUUAAUAAUACCCGCCAAAAGAUUUUUCACAAUAAAAAAAAUUUACCACUAAAAUAUUAAAAUGACGUUGCUUUUGUUGUGACACAUUUGUGAUAGAUAUAAGCUGUCACAUAUACCUAUGAUAGAUAAAUUACUGUCACAAGUUUGUGAGAGGGGCUACAAUGACAGAUAGAAACUCUGUCAUAAACAGGGUCGGAUGACAGAUAUUCUCUGUCAUGGUAGCCCAUUUUUCUAGUAGUGCAAUUAGAAAAGCUAAACAUGUGUAAGGAGUUUAUUUAGUAUCAGUAACAUACUAGAAAUAUGAUAAAGUUAUGGUGAGACAUCUAUGACAAAAAAAUAAGUCAAUAUUCAAUUAUUAAAUAUAAAUUAUCACUAUAUUUGGUAUUGAGGUGUUGUGAUUAAAAAAAAAGAGAAAGUAUGGUAAUAUGUAAUAAUUUUAAAAGUUAUUAUGACUUUUUAUUGUAUAAAUAAAAUAAACUUAAUNNNNNNNNNNNNNNNNNNNNNNNNNNNNNNNNNNNNNNNNNNNNNNNNNNNNNNNNNNNNNNNNNNNNNNNNNNNNNNNNNNNNNNNNNNNNNNNNNNNNAGCUAUACUUUCCAAAAUAAUUAAGUAGGGCUAAUACCUAAAACAAGUCUAACAGAAUUUUUUUUUUCUAGAAAAUAAAAAAUGCAUGUGAUAUGUAAUUUGUGAGGAUUUGAAUUUACAGAAGCAGAGGAAAGAAAAGAAUUUAAAAAAAGCGAAUUGCUUUAUGAAAUAAUUUUUCUGCAUCCUUUAUUCAGAUAGCUUUAGGCUUUUUAUAAGAGCCAAUUGGAAACACGCAAUCUACGCUAGUAACUGCCCUUGGAACAACAAAAGACACCCUAGACAAUAACACAUGAAAUACUAGAAAUAAUAGGAAAUAUGGGUAACAAUAUUGCACACAUAGUUGAUAGACCACGUGUCAAGCACCCAUUUAUUUCAAAGCACUUAUUAUUAAGUCCUAGACUCCUCCUCUCAAGCAUGGCUAUCAGGUACGUGGGAAGUUUGUCAAAUGCAUGGGUUCUUGCUCGUCUUUGGGAGACAUAUCAGCAUGCUUGGAAAGAGAUACACGCAAGACAAUCAACACAAGAUUUGUUUUAUUUCUAGGAUGCAUGGGCAUGCACUCUACUUAUAGAACUCCAUAACCCAGAGACUACCAAUAGCAAGUUCACAACUGAUCCCACCAAAACCAGCGCCAGUAGCCAGGGUCAUGAAUUCAUGCCUUGUUCUCUCCUUUCCACCGGGACUUUGAAUCAUCAUAAGCACGUCCAAAUGGGAAUUUGAUUUUGAUUCAAUGCUUGUAUUAGGAACUUCUGGAAGCAUUGACUCCACAACGAUUACCUUUCCAUCUUCUGGGAUGCUUUUGUAGCAAUUCUUCAACAACUUCAAGCAAUGUUCAUCAUUCCAAUCGUGCAGUACCGACUAUUUAAAAAUUCUCAUAUUAAUCAAACUAUUGUUUGUAAAAAUUUAAUUUAAGGAACUCCUCAUAAUAUGUCCGCAAAUUAAAUUAAAAACUUACCUUCAUAAAAAUGGCAUCACCUUUUGGAACACUUUGGAACAUAUCACCCCCUACAUGCUCAAUACCUGUAAAAUAUUAUACAAUUAAGAAAUCAGACAAUUAGAAUUAUGCCACUCUAUUUUCAUUAGCAAGAUGUAUUACGUCAAGAACUGUUUGCUCAAACUUAAUUAUGCCAAUGUUAUGGAAGUUCCUGAUAUACAGGCACACACAACAGAUGUUCUCAUUUUUUAAAAUAUAAAUUUGGGGUUUUACAAGAAUUUCACAAUAGUAAACCACUGAAGAAUUAUACACACGCAUAUAUGAGAGCAGGUUCAAGGGAUUUUUUUUAAUACAAUUUUACAUAUAAAUUUCUAACAAUUAGGUUAAAGUUUAUCACAUGGUUAAUAUUAAAACUGCAUGCAGUUUUAUAAUUCUAAAAAUUAAUUAACUACACGCCAGUCCCUACAUCAAACAAUAAACGUGAAACACAACGCUCUUUCCUCUCUCUUAUCAUCUUAAUUUAUUUAAACUAAGUAAUUUCAUUCAAAGAUUGAAAUUACACUUCAUUUCGGAGGAAGAUCUUCCAAUCAAAUUACAGGCAACUUAAAAUUAAAAGCUGCCUUAGCUAACACGAGUAUGCGUGUUGCAGACUCUUCGGAUGAACUGAAUUCUAAAUCAGCAUUGUCCUUAAUUUCCUCUUGAAUGUCCAACAACACUUAAAAGACUUCCUUUGCUUGACAUCAUGUUUAGGACAUUCAUAUAUUUCUCUUUUUAACUUAUGUGCUCAUCUCCUUCAAUCCGCCCUCUACUCAUUAUAAAACAUUUUUUUUUAUUCUGAUGGCUGUUGGAUGGAUGUUACUACUACAAAUUAAAAUAUAGUACUUCCCUAGUUCUCUGUAAGUUUACUUUAGUUAUCCAGUAAAUCGAAACGUGAUUAGAUGACUAUGCUUUGUUAAUCUUUAAAAAAAUAUAUGUAGAAACGAUUGCCAACAUUUUUUUUCCAAUAUUUACAUUUGGUUUAAUAAACAAAUUUAUGUAGAUAACAUCUUUUUUUAUGGCUACAUGGAUGUGUACCUUAGUUCACUGGUAAUUUAGAGGGAGAAAUAAAGGGUAAUACAAAGGUGAGAGAAAAAUAUUUUACUUAUACGAUUAAAUUUAAUAAUAUGGCACCUAAGCGAAUUAAUUAGUUUUUUAAAAUAACAAAAUUACACGUGAGCUUUAAUAUUAAUCCUUGGAUGAACUCUAUUAGAAAGAAAUUUGUUUCUAAAAGUAUCUUUUUUAAACUUGCCCCCAAAAUAAGGAAUCUUCUAAAAAAAGGAAAAAAGAAAACAAACAUUCCAACUAUUAUCCUUAGUUUAUCCUUUAUUUUAAUAAAGUAAGGAAGCCUUAUAUAUAUAUAUAUAUAUAGUAAUGAUCUAAUCCAAAAUUUUGGGUUUUGUUAAAAACCAAAAAAAAUCAUAAUUUCAAAUGGUUCAAUAGUCCAUUAUACUAUUAAAUCAUAUGACUUACUAGAUUUUUCGGACUUUAACAAAAUUUGUGUAGUGAGAGAGAGAGAGAGUCCUUCUCUAGUAAUGAAAUCUUCACUUUUUUAAAAUGAGAAUGUUACUAAAAUAUAAAAAAAAAACACAUAUUUCAAUACAUUAGAAAUUGUGUUUUUUUUUUAAUUUAUUAGUAGCACUCUCAAUUUAACAAAGUAAAACACACACACACACACACACACACACACAUAUAUAUAGUCCUUCUCUAAGGUGGGUGCCCUUAUUUUUUUUUAUAAAUGAGGACACACUAUUAAACCGUACGAUUUAACGGUGUUCUUCAUUAAUUCUAUUAAAUCGCACGGUACAACAAAGUGUUUGCAUUAAAAAAAAAAUGAGGGUGCCCACCCUAGCGAAUGACUAUAUAUAUAUUUAUGAGAGUUGUUGCACUUUAAUAAAGUGCAAGAAAAUUGUUACCGCAUAUGGUAUAAUAGUGUAAUGUCUCGACAAGUACUCGUAUAUAUAACAUGAGAUUAAUAAUCAUACGUGGAUGUGGUGGGGCAUGGUCAAUAACAUGAGGCUGGUCGAAAUUGAUGCCCUUAAUAUAGGGGUACUUGGUAGUGAUGGCUUGAAGAGUAAUGCCGAGACUACCACCAACAUCGACCAGUUGCUUGAUGUUGUCGAAACCCUUGUAAGAUUCAAGAAUGUUGCUCAUAACCAGAGAGGUAUAGUUAUACAUUGCUGUGUUAAAAUGUUUAUUGAACUUAGGGUCCAAUCCUGCGUACUCAAAUACAUGCACUCCAUGGGCUCGAUUAAAUGGAAUUCCUCCUUCAAGAAUAGCAUCUUUGAGUUGGGACCUAAAUAAAUUCCGAAAAACCAAUUUAUCAUGCAUCGUCUAUAUAUAUGCUCCAUGCAUGCAUGCAUGGUCUAGCUGAUCAUUUACUGAGAAAAAGGGAGAAAUAGAAAUUAAUUAAUUACCAGCUCUUCAGAAAGACCUUGUCCUGAACUAUUUGUAUUAGGGGUCCUAGUAAGACGCCAUCUUUGUUAGGCACAUAGUAUUUGGAGACAGAAUUCAAACUAUAUAGUCUCCGGGCACCAGAAGCAUCAAGUGAGCAUUCAACAACGCUGUAGCUAGCCAGAAGCCUGAGAAUCCGAUCCAGCAUCAUGGGUGCGUCUUUGUUCUUGGUGAGCAAUUGGGCUGCAAUAUCUGAAGCACAGAGCUUUGCACCAGGACCAACUUUGUCUAGGAUCUCGAAAAUGCCUAGCUCAUACACCGUUUGAAUGGCCAUGGGUAGCAUUGUACCCAUCGCCAAUUGAUUAGCAUAUGCAAAGCUUUGGUCUCUUUCUCCAUCAACUAUAGAAUCCAUUUUAAGUUUCUUGAAUUUCUCCUACGCUUUGCGGGGUUUCUUGUUUGGCCAAGGGGUUAUAUAUAGACUUGUCAUUCAAAACUAUCAAGAGUUUGCCAAUAUAGACUUGGUCAUUCAAAACUAUCAAAAGAGAGAUGGGAUUGACUAAUGAAUUAAAAUUAGAACUUUGCCAAUAUUUGAAAUUUUCUUUGAGCUAUAUAAUUUAUGCAAUCUUUGAGGCUAUUUUUAUGUUUUAUUUAAAGUUUGUUGUUCUUUUUAUUUAUUUAUUUUUUAAAAAAAAUGAUGUUUGUGGGUAUCGUCACUAAAGCCAUCACGAGACUAUAACUCGUCCACUAGGGCCGUCUAGGGGUUUAAAGGCUUGUUGCAUACACUAAAUGCAUUCGCGAUUACCUGCGAAAGUAGUUUAGUUAGGAUUUACUUUUUGUUUCAUUGUUUUUAUUUUUGUUUUAAGUUUUAGUUUUGCUCGAGGACUAGCAAAAUCUAAGUUUGGGGGUAUUUAAUGAGCAUAAUUUAUAUACAUAUUUUACCCUUUCUUAUAUAUUUGCUAGUUAUUUUAUUUCUUAUUUUUAAUUAAUUGAAUUAUUUUAUUGAAUAGGGAAUUAAUUUGAGAUUAUGGAUAAAAAGGAUAUAAAAGAGCUCAAUUUUGGAAGCAUUAAAGAGGUUUUGAUUUGUUUUCUAAAUUGACAUGCUUCAGAAAUUCUAUCCUUUUGAAAACAAAUUUUUGGAAGACCUUUAACUAAAUCAUUUUUCAAAAUUUUUGAAAUUAAAUCCAUGCUUGCAUGUCCUAGUCUUCUAUGCCACAACCAACCAUCAUCAUGCAAUGCCGAAAAACAUUUAUCAUGAGUAGAUGCACACUCUAUAUUAAUCGUGUAAACAUUGCCACAUCUAUUUCCCAUAAACAAAAUAUUCCCAUCACAUGCAUUCUCAAUAACACAACUUGAUUUAUCAAAGGCAACUUUAUAACCUUUGUAGUUUUCUAAUUUUUAAAGCAUAAGAGGGGUUUUAGCCCUCUGAACCAUUUUUUUUUUAAGUGUGCCCUGAGCACCUUCUGAAUGAGUUAAAUGAAAAAAAUUUAGAAAUAUUUUUUAAAUAAUAAAACACUUGUAGCCCAAUGGUACACGUGUUACUUAGUGGUUUUAGAGACUUGAUUUGAAUCCCAAUAAUUUUUUUGAAUGUGUGCAUGGUCCUCAAUAUUUUUCACGUUCAAUAUAAAAUUAAUUGAAGAAAAAAUGUUGGCCUAGUUAGAGGUAGGUUAUAGGUAGGUAGGGUUUAAAAAAAAAAGUAAAACUUUAUUUGCGGGACGCAAUUAAAAAACAUGGGUCCGAAACAUUUAUUGAAAACUAAUUUAAGAGAAAAUGUUGGCUUAGUUAGAAGUAGGUAACAAAUAGGUACGAUUUCAAGAAACAAGUAAUACUUUAUUUGCAAGAUCCGAUUAAAAACAUGGAUUUGAAAUACUAAAAAGAGUAUUUUUUGUAUAAAAAUUUGAGGAGUGUUAGCGACAAUCGCCUAUCGUGACUAGUGUCUUGGUCCUUAAUUUUUUUUUUUCACGUUCAAUAUAAAAACUAAUCGAAAAGAAAAUGUUGACCUAGUUAGACAUAGGUAACAAGUAAGGUUCUAAAAAAAGAGUAAUACUUUAUUUGCAGGGCCCGAUUAGAAACACAUGUCGAAACAUUAAUUAAAAACUUAUUUUUAUAUAAAAUUUUAAGGAGUGCUAGCAACAGUUGUCCUUACAGAUGAUUGAGACAGUCAUUACCAAUCCCUCUCAAAUUUAAGUGUUUGGUCCAGCCACCGAAGAGAACCCAUGUGUGAUUAUGUACUAUAGGUGCAUUUGGUACAUUGUUAUUAUAUUAUAUGUUUUGCAUUAUUUUAAUACAAGCAUAUUGUAUUAUAUUGUAUUGCAUUAACACUUUAUUUUAUUAAUAUUGUGCAGCAUUUAGUGCUAUAUUGUACUAUAUUAAUUUUUAAUUAUACUAUGUUUGGUAUUGCAUUGCAUUGUACUAUAUUUUUUUGGUUAUCAUAAAAAUUAUAUUUUUAGAAAAUAAAUAUUUACUUUUUGAUAAAUUUGUCAAAAAUUCUUUUUGUCAAAAAUAUUUUAAUAAACUUUUCAAUGAUAUAUCUUUUGAAGUAAAAAUCCAAGUGAAUAAAAUAGAUAACUUAAAAAAUAUCCUAACAUAAAUAAAUAAUUAAAACAUAUAGGCUUUGUUUAAAAAAAAGACAUAAUAGAGAUAAUUAGUACAAAAGUUUGCACAUACUAUAACAUAGUCACAAAUAAAAGGAGUUGCAUUUUUAAAACGGGUUGCUUUGUCUCAUACAUCAAAUCAAGAUAAAUAAUUGUGCAUGGAUAGAGACAAACACAACUUUCACUCAAUCCUUCGAUAAGAUGUAUUCUUUCCCAACUAUCCAAAUGUUAGUUAAUUUGUGACCACUACUCAUCCUCGCAAUCAAGAAUUUAUUCUAUUACAUGUCUAAGAAAAAAUGUUAUUAAAUGGACAGCAAAAGAACCACAACUACAUCAUUUCGAAGCAAUGUACAUAACAAAUGGACUUAUGUACCAAGCUUGGCCGACCAUGCAUGUAUGUUAUGCAAAAUAUUGCACAAUAUGCAAAAAUGUGGUUGCAUGUGUGGAAAUUUAACCACAUAGGUAUAAUAAGUGCAAUUUUACUAAGUUGGACGAACAUGCCCCAUAAGCUAUCUAGAUGUAAGGGGAUGCUGAGAUGGGCGAUAGGAGAAUGCAAAAUGGAAGCUGAUGCCAAGUAGUUGUCGAUGUAGAGUUUAUGUCAACUUAGGAGUGCUUACAAGUUCCAAAGAUGAACCAACAUAAUUUUAGUUCUAAACAUGCACUGAUGUUGAAAGAAACAUGUGAGAUGAAAAGCUGAUGCCAAGUAGUUGUCGUGUAGAGUUUAUGUCAACUUAGGAGUGCUUACAAGUUCCAAAGAUGAACCAACAUAAUUUUAGUUCUAAACAUGCACUGAUGUUGAAAGAAACAUGUGAGAUGAAAAGCUGAUGCCAAGUAGUUGUCGAUGUAAAGUUUAUGUCAACUUAGGAGUGCUUACAAGUUCCAAAGAUGAACCAACAUAAUUUUAGUUCUAAACAUGCACUGAUGUUGAAAGAAACAUGUGAGAUGAAGUGCCUCGAGAUGCUGUAAAUGCAGUGGGAUCUCAAUCAAAUGCAUGAUUUUUUGGGAAAAAAGCUUCUUACAAUAAGAUCACUGAAAAACAUCGAUCAUAAUAUUAUCACCAUCAUUAUUUUCCCCAUUUGUGGAAUGUGAGAGUUGAUUGUGAGAAUUUUUUUAUCUUUGUAUCAUGUGACUGAGAUGCUGGAACAACUUUAACCAUCUUUCAAAUACAACUCAAAGAUCAGAAAAUACAAACUGUUGAUGAAGAAAUCUGGUCGGCUAUUGCGUGAAUAGGUGCCCACACCAACACUUAAAUUGUUAUUGAGGAGAUGAUUUAACACUACAACUUUACUGAAUUAGUAGUUGUAGGCAAAUUAACAUGCAUGAAAACCAUGUGCGAACAGGGUGGAUAAAAAAGCCCAUCUGGCCCAAGCCCGCAAGCUUUCGGCCAAUCUUUCUAUGCGAGGAAUUAGAUAAGAGCUUAAGAGAAAAUGCUCGGACUAGGCCCAGCACUCUAUUUUUUUUUUACAAAAUAAAUUUAUAAUUAGAACAAUAUAUUAAAAUUUAAAAAUAAAAAAAAAACUUAAAUUCUUAAUUCAUAAAUCAAUAAUGAUUCACAAAACCUAAAAUUAUAAUAUUAAUCUCUCUCUAAAGCAGUAAUUAAUUAAGAUGAUGUUUAAAUUAGAAAAUAUAGUAUUAAAAAAAUUAAAUCUUUAGCAUUUAUUUGCUUAAUUUUCUUCAUAUAUUAUUUUAUUUUAAAAUAUUUAAUUUUUUUAAUUCAUUGUUAAUUAUAACAACUUGUUAAUUAUAACAACUUGUUAAUUAUUAAUUCAUUUCAAAUUUACAACAAUUAAAAAAAUAAAAAAUAAGUGAAACUCCAAGCAUAGUCCUCAUGCUUCUACUAAAAUGGGCUUGGGCUCGGAAAAGCUCGGCCUAAGCCCACAUUUUGUCAUCCCUAUGUUCAUAUUAGGUAGGAUUCUCAACUUCAAAUUAUUAAUAUUAGGGGCUGCAAAAUGAAUAAACGAAUCGAAUUUGAAUCAACUUAAUAAACGAAUUGGGUCAAAUUUUGAUGGAUUCGAAUUUGAUUUAUUUAAUAAGUAAAUCGUAAUUUUAUAAUUUUAAUUCAAUUUAUUUAUUAAAUGAAUCAAAUAUUCAUUCACAAUUCAUUUAAUUCAUUUAUGUAGAAUAAUUAUUUUUGUCUUGUUAUUACAUCUUAUAAUUACGAAUAAAAAUUUAAUGGUAAAUAAAUAAUUGAAUCAAACGGAUAAUAAAUGAAUAGUGUCAUAUUCGAUUGAUUUAUAGCAGUUUAUUAAAAGAAAGAAUAAAUCAGGGAUCACAAAUUUAGAUUCGAUUCGUUUAUUUAGUAAAUUGAAUCAAAUUUAUUUAUUUAUUAAAUGAAUUAAUAUUUUCAAACUCAAAUCUAAUUUAAUUUGACUCCAGUUGGAUUGAAUCGAAUAAAUAAAUUUUCGUCUAAAUUGCCACCCCAUAUUAAUAUGCCUACAAUACCAAGUGGACGGAAGAUGUCAUAAAAAUCUUUAUGGACUCUUAAAGCAUUUGCUAUCGGCUGACGCUGUUAAACACAUAAGAAAUUCAAGAAAAUUAAUUAAACAUGGCUUCAUAUCAUUCUACUAAUCAGCCAGACCCAGCUGGAACUGAUCACCCAUCAGCCAAUUGGUGAUGGGUACUAACAAGCUUUAAUUGCAAGCAGUGAUUGAGCGACUUCCGGCAUUUCAAUUGUGAUGCCAAUCUGGAACUUGGUUGGAUCUCGCUCGUGUCUUUGACCAAAAGCAAAGGGCUCGUGGACAUUAAACAAAAAGAAUUGUUUUUUCAGACCUUAUCAGGCCAUUUACUUCGUUGUGUUGAAGGCUUUGUUUCAAAGCCAGAGACAAAAUCAAUAUAUAUAUAUAUUGUUAGGUACAGAUAUUCGUAUUUUUUAAAUAUGAAUUUAUUAUACAAUAUAGUAAAUUCUUAUUUAAAAUAUGAGAACAUUCGCACUAAAAUAUAUAUAUAUAUAUAUAUAGAGAGAGAGAGAGAGAGUCUCCUUCUUUUCUAGCGAAAACAUUUUCACUUUAUUAAAAAUUAAAAUGUCACUAAAAUAUAAAAAUAUAGAUUUAAUACAUUAAAAAGUUUAUUUUUUUCUUUUAGUAUAUUAAAAUUUAUGUUUUUUAUUUUUAUUUUUUAUUGAUAUCCACACCUUAAUAAAGUGAGGAUGUCGGCCUUACUAUAUAUAUAUACUAGGAAAUAAAACCGCGCUUCGCGCGACUUUAGAAAAUGAAUUUAGUAUUAUCAAUUUUUCUUUCUUUACACUUGAUAAAACUGAUAAAAAAUAUAAAUUAUUAUUUUUUAAAUAAGGCAGCCUUAUAAAACUAAUGUUAUUUAUGAAAGUUAACUAUUUUUUUGUUAACUUUAAAAAUAAAUAUUAACGUGUAUAGUCUAAGUGUACAGACCUUAUACCUUUUGUAGUUGAUAAGUUCCAAAUUAAAUUUUGUAAUUGAGGAUCCUUAGCGUUGAAUUAUAAAAGAAAUAAGUAAAAUACAUGUAAAGACUUUUGUAAGUUAUUUCGCAUCGUUUGUAGCUGCGUAGGUGAGUAGUUGUUUAUAUCAAGCUUGCAGCUAUGACAAGUUCCAAUGGGGAUCAGCAACACCUAGUGCCAAAAUGUUCUUUAUCUGUAUAUAAACCAUGUCUCCAUGGAUUAGAGAGAAUGAAAAGAAUGCUUCUUCACGUACUAUGUUCUUUGGCAAUUAAAUCCUCCAUAACAGCUUGGAAAACUCAACCAAACUAUCAUUUUGCUGUCUCGAUAGUUCCUUUGAUUUAUCCAUUUGUCUACUAAAUAAUUAAAACACAUAAUAAAAAUCAUUAUUAUAGGGUGAAGUAAGAGCUUGCAAUGUAUAAAUUAAAUUUUAAAAUAUAAUCUAAAAAUAAGAUACCUUGAUUUUGUGAGCUGAUGUGUGAAUAUUUUGAAAUACUUCUUUGUAGACAAUGUUUUUUAUGAAGGUUCGGUCUUCUACCUCUUGAUCGGCAUUUAGUAUGGUCAAUCCUUCUCUUGUGGUAACUCGAGACAGGGCGACAUAUAAUUGACCAUGAGUGAAUACUUGCUUAGGGAGAUACAAGCCAACAUGUUUAAGAGAUUGUCCUUGGCUUUUGUUGAUCGUCAUGGCAAAACAUGGUGCCAAAGGAAGUUGUCGUCUGUUAAGCUUGAAUGGUCAUCUUGAUUCAUUCGGAGACAUAAUAAUUCUUGGGAUUGUGACAUUUUGUCCAAUAUUUGUUCUAGAAAUGAUGUCACCUCUAAUGGACCAUUUACCAAGACAAGUGACAAUCAAUCUUUUGCCGUUGCAUAUGCCUUCUAUUUGAUUUAGAUUUCUAAGAAGCAUUACGGGAGCACCUUCCUUAAAUCGUAUGUCAUGAUUAGGGAUGCCAUUGAAUUUCAAACUAUUCAAAAAUUCAGUUGGAUACAGAACAUCUUCAUCAUUUGUGUUUGCGCUUGCUUUGCAUAUACUGUCUGAGCUAAAAAGGUUCUCCCUUGACCAGGUAUUAUAUUCAUAAUCAUCUCAUUCAAUUCAUGCACCAUUUCAUUUUUUGGCGUUAAUAUUGCUCUUUCUUUCAAAUAUGCUAGAUCACUGUAGUUAUGCCGAAUUGAUGGGUAAAUAGUGUCGACUAUUGAUUUCAUCAGAUUUUCUGAUGGUUUUUUACAGAUAUCAGAAGGUAGUUUAACUAAAUCUCUAUCAAUGUCAUCAUAUAAUGAACCAUCUCCAAUCUGCAACAACCAUUUGUCAAAAGAAGCUAUUUUAGCAGCCUCAGAGCCACUUACGCUUCCAUUAUAGAGCCUCAUAUUUUGUUUGAGCUUAUAAAUUUUAAAAAAUGGCCAUAAGUAGGAUGAGUUAAGUGAAGCAUCAACAAUGUCUGCUCUUGUCCCCUUUGGCACAACUGGCAAUAUUUGUCAGAAAUCGCCACCACAUACUAUUGUAAGUCCUCUAAAAGGUUUGAUAGAACUAUUUUCAUACCUUGUUCUUAGAAUAUCUCUCAAGGUUCUAUCCAAAGCUUCAAAGCAUAACUUAUGUGCGAUAGGCGCUUCAUCCCAAAUGAUCAAAGAAGUUUUCAUAAGAAGUCCAGCUAAUAAGGUGCCUUGUCGGAUUUCACAAGUGGACUCUUCUGUCACAUCUAAAGGAAUAUGAAAUCACGAAUGAGUUGUCCUACCAUUAGGCAAUAACAAAGUUGUUAUACCUGAAGUUGCAACAGGCAAGACUAUUUUAGAAUGUGAUAUGAGCUUUGCAAUAAUUGUAUUCCACAAAAAUGUUUUACCAAUACCACCGUGUCCAUUGAUAAAAAAUAAAUGCCCUUUUUCAUUCUCAACAGAAUGCAUUAUUGCUUCAUAGGCUGAUUUUUGGCAAGCAUUUAGAGCAGCAAACGAUUUCUCAUGCAACUUCUUUAAUUGAUCACGAUCAUAAUCAAGCUCUUCAUUGACCAAUCGGUUACCUGAAUCUCUUAUCAAAGAAGAAUUAGGAAGUGGCAUUCCAUCUAUGUCUCUCAAACUUUUUCCCAUUUUCAACAUGAUAGUUUCAAUCUCCAACAAUGUGUAUGCUUCAACUUGUUGCUCGGUUAACUGAAGAUCUUUCAAUCUGAAUCUUUUCCUUUGCAAUGAAGUUAUGUCUUCUGAUAAAGUAGUAUAAUUAGAUUUCCAAAGUUGGGAUGCAUCAGAAACCUGACAAUGAAUGAGUAUCGUGACAAAAAGAUGUCUUAAUUCAUUUCCAGUCGCCUAUAUUGCAGCUUCAGUCAAGCAGUCGAUCCAUUCUUUAUCAUCUUCUAAUAAUCCCAAAGCAUAGCACGCAGCUUUAAAAGUUGGAUAUGUCACUCCAUUUACUGUUCUAAUACUUUCAAAUGAAGUGCUUCCUUUUACAAAAUUGAGCAACAUUCUCAUAUAAAAUCGUUCUCCACUUGAGGGAUGUGCAAAGUAAAUUCUUCUGAUUGCUAAGCCAUUUUUUCUCCUAGUCCAAGUUUUGUCUUUUGAAUUCCAUACCCAACAUGUAGGGAAAUCAGAAUAAGUUAACUCUCGUACAUCAUCAUAUAUCUUGUUUGCUUCCAACCAUUCUGUGAACUUUGUUUUUUCUAUUCCAGGUAUGGUAAGCACAUUUUGUAAGCACUUGGAUUCUUUGAAUAUUACUGUAUGCUCUCCCAGUAAAUGGAAUGGUAAUCUUUCAACUGCCGGCUUUCUGUAAUGUAUGUCAAAUUGGAAGAUUCGCCAGCAAGCUUCGGUUGCUGAUAUAUAUCUAUAGUCCAAAUAUGUUUUGAUCUCGUCCAUUUCUUGGGUAGUGUCAAUAGAUUCCAUUGUUGCAGUUGUUCUAUCAGACCCUUUAUGGACAUACUUGAAAAGAUAUUUAACUGAUCUCGAGUAAUUACAAAUCUCAAUAUUAAUAUGUGCAUCAAAUUUGACAAUUAAAUUCCUGUGAUAAGGGACCACAUAUCGAUUAUCCAAGAAGACACCUUUCUUUUCGACAUGAAUACCUGUAUUUCUCCUUUUAUAGACUAUAAAGCCAUUUGUAUCCACUGUUGUCUGAUCAUUAAAUUUUUUUGGAAAAUGUUUUGUGCACUUGUCUUGCAUCAUGCAUGGAGAGUGAGAAUUGUGUUUUCCACACGGUCCAUGAAUCAUAAAUUUGUUAACUGCAUUAUAACCAUCAGAAUCAACAUUUAAGUCAGGGAUUUUUGCACUUAUUAUUUUAUCAAUAUAGUCUGCAGAAGGAUUUUUCAUUGUUGGAUGCAAAAAAAGUAGUAUGUGUGCAUGGGGCAAGCCUCUUUUUUGAAACUCAAUUGUAUAUAGACCUGCCACAACAUGGGGUAAAAUUUAAAAGUUAGAAAUAUUGAUUUCAAUUGUGAAAUUAUUGUUCUUCCCUGCACUUUUCAAUAACAAAUGAGUUGAAUUUGUUAUGGAUAUGAAUUUGAAGUGAACUUACAUGCAAUUAUUUUUCCAAACGGUUGAUCCUUUUUCAGAUCUUGCAUUAGUUGGAAUAAUUUUAUCUCGAAAACUCUGCAUAUGAUAUCGACUUGAUUGUCAUCAUUCUUUUGUCCAACUAAUCGGAGCAUGUUAUUUAUUUCUUGCCACUUUGGGUUGCAAGUGAAAGUAAAAAAUAAAUCAGGAUAUCCUGCCCAUUUACAAAUUGCCAUAGUAUCUUGAUAAUUUUGUAUUCUAUAUCGUGGUCCCCCCGUGUGUGAUGAAGGUAGAAUAAUCAAUUUUCCAACUUUCGAACAAUCAAAAUCACCUCGAUGAACAGCAUCCAUCAAACCAGAGAAAAGGUUUGAUCUAAGUUUUUGUUGAUUAUUCUGGAUCCAACGAAAUCUUUCUUCUUCAAUUGCCAUGUAACAAUCAAUUAUAUAUUGUUGGAAUAGUCUACCAGCUUGAAGUAGAGUGUGUCCUUAAUUUAAUCUUUGUUGCAACCUAAAGCAAUAAUAUUGCCUCAUUGUCAGCUUUUGCCUCUUAAAAGGGCUAUCAGUUACGUCUCUUAAAGAUAUGUCAGGUCUAUAUCCAUCUUCGCCAUAAGGAUAUAUUAACGGGUAUGUCAUGGGCAUGAAACUUGGAUGCAAAUCUGUGAUUCUUCGAAGUCCCUUUGUACGAUGCUCUAUAAUAACAUCGCGUUGAAAGUUCGCUUCACUGAAAUCACCAACUAUUAAGCCUGUAACUUAUGAAACUAUUGGCAUAUUAUAUCGACGGCCAUCUCUUGCUCUACUAUUAAGGAGUCGUAAACGGAAUGUAGAUUCUGGUUGUGUUUUGUAUCUAUCCCUUGCCAUUCUAAAAGAUUUGACCAAAUUAUUAUGUUGGUCCAACAUUUUAGAUAGUUCAUGAAGAAUUUCGUGAUCAAUUUCUGUCUUCAUUCCAUGUUUUAAUAGAGUGUUGAUUCUGUUGUCUGUCUCAUUUUCAGUAUCAUAGAUAUAAAGCUGAGCAAACUGUGGUUUUUUCCCAACUUUUGGCAACAAAGAACCAAUGUGAUGAUAAUUCUGACCGCUCAUCCUGAAAACAUAAGGACCUUUUGAUCGAUUGAUUGAUGCAUCAACUCAACCUCCCAUAGAUGUGAAAGCAAACAUGGAGUUAAAAGCCCUGAUAUUUUUUUGAAAUUUGGAACCCUUUUGUCCAGAAUCCGCCUCGAGAAGAUAUUUGAGUAAAGGAGGUGUUUCUUUCAUGAAUGGAAUCUGUACACGACCUUCCAUACAACAAAAUGUGAAUUUGGGAUGUGAGAUGAUGAGCAUAUAAUACAUACAUAUUUUACCAUUAAUUAAAUAAUUGCUAGUUAUAUUUAUUUUUUAUUUUUAAUUAAUUGAAUUAUUUUAUUGAAUAGGAAAUUAAUUGGAGAUUAUGGAUAAAAAGAGCAUAAAGGAGUUUAAUUUAUAAGCAUUAAAGAUUAAUUGAUUUUUGGAAGGAAUUAGACAUACAUGCAUGUGGAAAUCAAGCCAAGGAACCGAAUUCAACAAGUUAAUUCAUCAUGCACAUGCGGACAAAAGAGAGAAAUUGAUUUUAGCUUUAAGAAGGGACCCCACGUGGCUUUCAUAAAUGGAAAAAGUAAACCUAUUACAAUUCAAAGUGCCCACGUGAGUAAAGCAAAACAAAUAACUUCCAAACCCUUUUGGCUUUAGGAUUGACAAGGUGGGGCCCAUUUUAAAGGCUAUAUAAGAAAGCUAAGCUCUUGGCUUUUAGAGGGAAGAUGAGCCGCCAAGAAGGGAGCUGCAAACGCAAGACGCAAGACUGGGCAGCAGCAGUUUGGCUUCCAUGAGUGAUUUUAUUUCUUUUGUUGCUCCCAAUUCAAGUAUGUCUAACUAAUUUUUUUAUACUGAUGUUAAAGAUGAAACCCUAUUCAAUGAAAUAAUUAUCUCUUUUUAUUUAAUUAAUUCCCUAUAUAUGUUCUUUGAUGAUUAUGGUUUUUAUUUCACAUGAUUAAUUGGAUGUUAAUAAAAUCUUUUCAUCAAUUCUGUCAUGCAUUAUUGAUUGUUAGGAUUAAUAUUCGAUUAAAUCUAUGCUUGGAUUUAUAAAAUUUUUACAUGAUUAUCUUUGAUUCUAUGUUUUUAAUUAAAUUGUUUACAUGGAGUGCUUAGGAAACUUUGACUCUUUGUUAUUCAAUAUGUUUACAUGGGAUGCUUAGAUAUCAUACUAUUAAGUAGAAAAAGAACCUACAUUAGAUUUAAUUACUUGGGCUUAAUUGCUAUAUCCAUGAGAUGACAUAAAUUGAUUUCGAGUUGUCACUCUAAAAUUGGGGAUUAAUUAAUAAUUAGAUAAUUACUAGUUGAAUAGUGGUAGAUUCUGAAACCUUGGUAAUUCUUAUUUUAUUGAAUUUUCCUUUAUUUUAAUUGCUUCCUUAGUUUAAUUGGUUUAAUUUUCUUAGAAACUCAAUUUGGUCAACUAGGUUAGAAUUAAUAUUAAUUUUAGAUUUAAAUUAGACUUUUCAAUUUAUAACAAUCCCUGCGGGAUCGACCUCGUUACCACUAUUCUAUUUCUAGAUUCGUGCGCUUGCGAAUAUAUUAAAAUUUUCACAACAUGAGACCCUUUUGGUUUUCUUGUUCCGUUCCUCGUACCAUAAAAUGGCACCACAAUAUUGACAUGUGUAUGUAGGGGGUCCAAAAUUCCAAGGCGUUGUAUAAUGAACUGUCAAAUUCAACAAAUAAUAAUAUUGUAACAAAGUAUCUUAUUUCGUCUAAGUGAAUAUGGUAAGAAAAAAUAUUACUAAAUAUAUUAAUAUUUUCAUUGUACAUGUAGUUUCAUGCAAAUAUGCACCAUUAUUUGAUGUUACACCAUCCAAUGGAAAGCUUGUGGACUGAUCUAUAUUCUCAUCAAAAGAGAGACACGCUCUUUUUAGUUGUCCAUGUUCAACUGCAUAUUUUUAAAGUUCCAAAAGCAAUGAAUAAGUUAUUAGUUUCAAGUAUUACAAGCAUGAUGAAUAACUAAUAAAGCUCGAUAAAUGUAAAUAUAUAUACGUACCUGUGUGAAGAAGGCGAUUUCCUCUGUUUGUUUGACUCUUUGGAUUUAUAUGUGAUGAUGUUUUAUUAUUAUCAUAUCCAGCUUUACCAGGAGAUUGAAGGAAAUUCCCAACUGAAAUAUGUUAGAAAUAUAUAUAUUUGUUAAUAUAUAUUAACAUAAAUAAUUUAAAUUAUAUAGGGAUAAUUUUUGUAAUUUGUAUAGUAGGAAUAAAAAUAAUAUUUUCAAGAAUCACAUACCGUUUGAGUGAAGCAAUUUAUUAUAACUUCUAAUGUCGUCCAACUUCAUAAAUUUUGUGUAAAAAUUCACAAUUUGUAGCAUCAAAAUUAUUCUCCUUUUUAAAUCAUGUUUGUAUCGAUUAUGAAUAAUCAUAAUUUUCCACUUAAAUCUUGCAUGCUUGAAUAUGGCCUUCUGCACGACAACAUAUCCAUUGUUUAUUGUGUCACACUGGAAAUUUGAUGCAUAUUUCCUAAGCUUUAAUUUCAUAAUCCUUUCGUGCCGAGCUAAAGAUGAAAGUUGAUGCCGCAAGAGACAAACUUCUGGCGGAAUAUUCCUUGAGUCAUCGAAAUCAUUAAUAGUUGCAGAAAUCAAUUCCAUUUAUUCUGGUGAACAACAAAGUGAAUUCAAUAUCACAAAAUAUUCUAAAAUUAACAAAACGUUUUAUUACAAAUCAUAACAAGAGAAACCGAAAAUAUAAAAUGUUUUUUUCAAAAGAGAUGAAAAAAAUAUUUUUCAAUUAUUGAAAUAAGAAUUGCAAUGAAUUUUUCAAACGAAUACAUACCAUAUGUUAGAAAGAACAAAAAAAAAUCACUAAAAACAAAACAAAAUAAAAUGGGAUUUAAUUUAACCAAUUCAAUUUAAUUUUAAACUCAUGCAAGUGUCACAUUGGCUUAAUUUUUGUUGUGCUUAUAGCCAGGAAUAGAGGCUUUUAGAUUACUUCUUUAUUAGGUUAUUAUUCUUCGAAUUUGGUGGGUACAUUGUGAGCUUUUUCAGUUGUGAUAUUAUCAAAUCAAUCCAUGCAAAAUAAUCAUUAAUGUAAUGUUUUUGUUAUUUUCAAACCGAUAAAUAAUUAUGAAUUGUUUCUAUAAUUGUGUAUUUAGAAACAACGUUAACACAUUUUUUCAGAACAAACUUCUAAGUUUGAUUGAUUUUAGAUCUAAUUACGAUACCCUAAAUUAAUAUAGAAAGUCAACAAAAAUCUACUUUAACAGUUCUAAUGUAAAUUUAAAGGCAAUUAAUUUUGAGUAAAUAUGAACUAAAACAAAACUUGAACAAAAUCUGAAUUUAUGUAUAAUAUUAAGGUAGCCACAUUGCAUUUGAAAAUGUCAAUUAGUGGGAUCUAAAUAAAUAAUCACCUUGGAAUUUUUUAAUGGUUGUAGGAGUUAAUAUUACAAUACAUGGGCUGUCAUCUUUGUUGUACAAAUUUCGAUCAAACAUCUCCCCCAACUUUUUCCAUAAAGUAAUCUUUGAUAUCACCGAGCUAUCCAUAAAAAUUGCCACAAGUGAAUAAUAUAAAGAGAAAAACUCAUUAUAAGGAUAUCGUAUUAUCAUUAAAUUUGAAAGUUUUGAAUUACGUUAUUAUACAAUUGGUUACUUUUUUUAAUUCCAAAUCACCAAUAUUAUUAUUCCCUAUUUCAAUAUGAAUAUUACCACUUGACUUUUUUAUUUGUGUUUAUGAAGAGGUGGGGUGUGAGGAAAAGAAAAAAAAUGUUUUUCUUAAGAAUUAGAAAAAAUAAUUAGGCAAUAAUUCAAGGAAUUGAGGUUGUUCAUUCUACAUUCCAUUUGGAUUUAGAGUGAUUUUCAUAGAUUUUUCUUUUAUUAAUUAUGCUAACCGUCAAGUACUGUUGUUUAUUCUAUUGCGUUUGGGAGAAGAUGCUUGGGCUGCCUAGAACUUAUUUUCUAAUUAAUUUUUCUUGUGAAUACAUUGAAUAAUCUCAAAGGGCUAUAUCCUUUUUCAUUUUACUUUAACGGUUUUUCUUCAACAAAUAUUGGAUGUAUUUAGUGAAAAAGAAAAUUAAAAAUUAGGAAAGAACUAAUAAAAUUAGUGAAGUCAAAUUGUCGAUCAAUUCUUAUGAUAAAACAAUAAUUAAAAAAUAUAUAGUCAUAGUUUUCUUGAUUAUAUUCGACUUAUUAAUCUGUUAAAACUUUUUAUAUCUUUUUUUCCAACUUCCCCAUUUGGUGAACUGUAAAAAUGAUAUGUUUUUUUCCACCAUUUGUCUCUAUCUUUUUUCACUCACAAAGAGUUAAUAGUUAUUAAUCAAUUAAUUUUUUUUGUUUGCAUAAGAAUUAAUAAUAUUGCAUACAUGUAUUGUGAAAUAAUUGUUUGUUCAUAAUUAUUUUUUGCAUUUUUUUAGAAGUCAAUAGUCAAAUUAAUGAUAUUGAAUUAAGACAUUUCGAAGUUUGCUAUUUUGUACUUCUAAGAUUUCCUAGAAAUGCUUGCAAAUGGGAGGCAUUAAUUUUUCUGUUUACUUUAUUGAAUUUCAUAAAAUUCAAUUCAAGCCAAAAAUUGAAGGUUAGAAAAGCAGUUGGAUAGUUUCAUAAAAUUAUUAUUUUAUCAUUUAAAAGAUAUGUACCACAUCAAUUAAGACUAAACAUUAGAAUCAUUAGCAUUGUUCCAAUCACACAGGCAAAAUCUAUCACUCUAAUAGUCAAGUACAUUGUACAAUGCAGUCGAGAACAACUUAAGCAUUUAGUUAACCUUUUCUAUCUGUUUAUUUCCACAAAACACCAAAUAUCCAAAUUGACACUGGAUCCUCCGAGUCAAAUAUAGCUAGCUCACGUUCAGAAAAGACCUGCCUCUUUUGAUUGUACCUCCUGCAUGCGAAUUAUAUAACAAUUAAAUAAAACUACACCAGAGAUUAAUUAGUCAAUAAAUAUAAACACGAGCUAAAACAUGUGUCUACUAAUAAUUCUUAAACGGGUCAAAGCUUUCAAAGUUUGCAUUGAAAAAUUAAAGUGAAAAUCUUCAAUACCUCCACGUGUAAAUCGUAUAAAUUAGACAACCAAAGAUUUUUCUUUCUUACCUUAUGCUUUUUCGCAAACAAGUAGAUAGCAACAAUUGUAAAGACAAGUGAGCAGUAAUCUGUUAAAAUAAAGUAAUCCGAUGUUAAUGAAAAUAAGAACAACAUAUUAUGUUUAAAACUAAGUUUUUAUAAUAAUGAAAUCGAGUAAAGUUAUUCGAUAAGGAUAAACAAAUAGAACGCAUUGACAAAUUGGCAUCAAAUUAAAUUGAUCCAAAGAAAUUGAGAUGCUAAAAUUUGAUUACGUACACAUUGAUUUUCAAAUAAUUAAUCCACACAUUGUUUUAUUCUUCAAACAUCUUUAAACACAAGAGCCAACACUUUCACUCUUAUAUAUUACUGCCAUAGUAACUUGAACUUGGUGAUCAGCUUUUUAAUUGAUUUGCAGUAGCUCACAAUUAAUUAAGCUUGAUCAUCAGUAGCUAGUAUUGAUCAUAAAAAUAUUUGUUUAAUUUACAAUCUAAAGUUACGCUCCAUACUCUAUAUAUGUGAAUUAUAUAUUUGCAUCAUCAACAUUAACAUUAUAAAAUAAUCUGUGCAAUAGGAUGCUCUUGGAGUAUUUUAUUUUCAUCACAAAAUAUAUUAAAAUUAUAUUAGACAGAGAAUAUAUCUAACACUUUCUAAACACUAAUAUAUAAUAGUUUCUACAAAAUAUGAAAUAUCUGUACUAAAAUACCAAAAUAUAAAUAUAUAUAGCCUAAUUGGAAUCAAUAAUCAAACUUCAAACAUGUCAUACUCUAAAGAAAUUAAAGCAUGAUAGUCUGUGUGUUUGACAUAUUCAACUAAAUGUUUGAUGAGAAUCUGUGAUUGUUAACAGCCAAUAAUGGUUUCUUUAGCAACUCAACUCAACUCAGCAAAACCACAACCAAUUACAUUUACCAACUCAACUCCUCGCUUCCCCAAUUUCCAACAUUCUCUUCACAUUUACAAAUGGUAGGUGGUCCUAUAAAUCCCAUUCAAGAAUGAACAAUUUUUUUCAGUUCCUAGUAGGUGAAGUUUCUUCCACAUUUACAAAAAUUUCGACAGCAUCUCCCCAUAGUUCUCCAAGUACACGACCUAGAUUUAUCCAUUCAUCUAGUAUGUACCCAGAGAACAUGAGGAGCAGCUAUCGAAAUUUCCUUUUACGUGAAACAAAACUUCACCUACUUUGAACUAAAAAAAAUUAUGCAUUCCCAAACUAUCCAAGUCGGGACAAUUCAAGAAUUAUUAAUAGACAUAUGAUCCUCUUGUCAUCCUAAGAUGACACGGAUAAAACAUGUGUCUACUAAUAAUUCUUAAACGGGUCUGAGCUUUCAAAGCAUGGAUGAAAAAAAAACGUAAAUCAAUAUAUAUAUAUAUAUAUAUAUAUAUAUAUAUAUAUAUAUAUAUAUAUAUAUAUAUAUAUAUAUAUAUAUAUAUAUAUAUAUAUAGAUUGCUUACAUAGAUUGCUUGGAUCCGAGAACUUUACAAUGAAAAUGUUUACAGUUUUGUAGAAAGGAAAAAUAACAAGACAGGAAUAGUUUUCCUUGACGUCUUGAUCCUGAUUUCCCGAAGAGAGAGAGAGAGAGAGAGAGAAAGUCUAGAAAAUGUAAACAAAGCUCUCCCCUUAAAUGUUACAAAGCUUUGAAUUUAAAACAACUGAAGCUUGAACUAUGGCGAGUUUGUAGCUUCAACUGUAGUGAAACUAUAGCUUUAUUCGUCCACUGUAGCGAAGCUGUAGCUUUACACAUGCGUGGUUGGUGAGUGGAGAUAGCAUCAUUGUGAAUGGACUUAGCUUUAUUGGCUUUUGCUGUAGUUUCACAUGCGUAGAUGAUGGAGCGGGAUCGUCAAGACAUGUGGGGGACAACAUCAUUCUUCUUUACAACUUUGAAAGAAAAUAAAAGAUGGGUGAAGAGACAUGUGCGCUCUCACUUGUGUCCAGAGGACCACCCAUAAAAAUAAUAUAUUAUGAAAAUAAUUACAACAGAGUAAUUUUUACAAAGGGGAAUACAAUCGUUAAUUACAUGAGUAAUAAAUACAAGGAAAUAAGGGAAAUAGGACAAUCUUUACUUUUUUUUUAACAAAGCUUUAAUGCUUUAAUGGAGAGAAUAUUUCGAAGCAGUCAUCUUCGUUUUCAUCUCCGAGGGAGAUAAACGGUUCAGCUUCUCCUGAGGAACUUGAUGAAGAACUUGCAGCAGAUGCCUUUGAUCUAGUGGCAAGAAGUUGCUGCAUUACUUUGAAACAUUCAUCCUCGGUUUUGGCACUAGCCAGUAGGGAUUGGGCUUUUGCUCUUUGGGCAAGGAAAGUGCUUUGGGCUUUGGUUACAUCUUUACUUGGGGCAAGGAGGCCUCUUGUAGAAAGCCAGGAUUGGACCGUGGCUUCAGACAAUUUUGACUGUUCGUCAAAUUUAGACCACCAUUUGACUUUAAAGGUUCUUAGUAAAACUAGUUGGGUGUCUAUGGUGUGGUAUUGGAAAUUCCACAUCCAAACCCAGGGAAGGAAAAAGUUUGUACAAAAACAGAGAAAAAGAGGAAACCUCUUCUCAGGCUCAGAAGGAACAUAGUGGGCUUUAAAUAAAUUUAAACAUUUGAUGGCAUUUUGGGUUAGAAUUUCUGGGUUUGGCCCAAAAUAGUUCCACCAAAUUUGGAACCAAAUUGGAAGGCUUUGAACGGUUAUUUUUUAGUUGAAGAAAAAUAACCAAGAGUGAGACUUUUUUGGAUUUUGGAUAAAAAAAUGUAUUAAACCAAGCCUACUGAUAAUCCCAGUAGGAGAAAGAUAAGCAGUGGUUAGGCUUCUUUGAAAAUUGGCGGGAAAGGUUUUUGGUUUGUGGAGUUGUUCACCCCACUGAUUUGGACUUAAGACUUUAAGAAUGGUAGCCGUGGAAUAGGCUAGCUCAGAAUGAGCUUCACUAAGAAAGAAAUGUUUAAACUUUACUGACUCAGUGAACUCAAGUAUGCUUUGGUAGAAAGACUGGAGUUUAGAUAAAUCCCAUGGUUUGAAAAACCAGCCUUUCGGAAAAAUCUUUGAAAUUGCUUGAAAUGGAUCAGAAUGAUAAAACCCAUCCUCCAUAGAUAAAACAUUUUGUUGAUAGGCUUUAUUAAACCAAUCCGAUGAUUUUUGUGAAAGCUUUGAUUCAGAAACAACAAUUUAUGAAGAAGAGCUUUCACAAGAAACAAUUUCUUUAGAGGAAGGGGGUUUUGAAAUUGUUUUAGAACUAAGUUUUUCUUUUUCAAGGAUUUGAGAAAGGGCUUUAGUUUGAGAAAUAUUUUGUAAGGCGAGCAUAAGCUCUGGAGACUUUGUAAUGGAGUUCAUCCAUUCUUUUACCUGAUCUUCUGAGGUAAUGGCUUUAUAUUGGGCUUCUUGUUCUUCAACCAUUUCAAUCCAAGAUUUGAUAGGCAUGGCAGAAGAAAGUAAUUUUUCUUUGGAUGGGGUUGAUUGGGGUUCUUUGGAGGUUGUUUGUGAGUCAGUGUCUUUAAGAACAGCUUUACCCUUGUCUUUUUUCUUGGGCGGCAUUAUCUGUUUUGAAGAAAUUCCCUAGUUAAAAAAUCAGGGAUAGAAUUUGUAUCUCCUUUAAUAAAUUCAAUAUCAAAAUCAAAAACACUUAAAAUGGCUUGCCAUCUUGCAAAAAUUUGUUUUGAAGCAAUAUUUUGAACAUCUUUUUCCAAAACAUGUUUUGCAGCUUUGCAAUAAAUUCUAAGCAAAAAUUUUUGAUUUAACAAAUCGCUUUGAAAUUUAGAAAUGCAUAAUACAAUGGAAAGAAUCUCUUUUUUAAUAGUAGAGUAAUUUCUUUGACAUUCAUUCCAAUGAGCAGAAAUAUAUUGUACUAUUUGUUCUUUAUUAUUAUCGGAUUGCUUUAAUAUACCUCCAUAACCUAAAUCUGAUGCAUCAGUUUCAACAAUUUUAGGCAAUGCAGGAUUUGCAAGGAAUAAACAUGGAAUAUUCUUAACAUAAUUCUUUAUUAGUCUAACGGCUUUCGUGUGCUCAUCAGUCCAUGCAACAGGGUUCUUUUUCAAUCUGUCAUGCAAGGGUUUUGACAUCCUGUUGAUAUUGGGACAAAAAUCAAGGACAUAAUUUAAACUUCCUAGAAAUCUUUGCAGUUGAGUUUUAUCAAGAAUUUUAUCAAGAAAUUUAUCAGCAAAUAUAAGAGAUCGCUCAAUAGGAGUAAUGGUUCCUUUGGAAAUGUAAUGACCUAGAAACCUGAUUUUUGUUUGAAACAAGGAAACUUUAGAACUAGAAAUGGCUAAGCCGGCCUUUCUAGUGGCAAGGUAGAAAGUCUUUAAAUGUUUGAAAUGUUGUUCAAUAGUUUGGGAAAAGAUUAACACAUCAUCAAUAUAGACAAUGCAAAAAUCAGAAAAAGGAUUAUAAAUAUCAUUAAUAAUUCUUUGAAAUUCUGAAGGUGCAUUUUUUAAACCGAAUGGCAUCACAAUCCAUUCAUACUGUCCAAAAGGAACAGUGAAAGCAGUUUUAUAACGGUCUUUAGGAUGAAUUUGAAUUCGCCAAAAUCCCGAUUUCAUAUCAAAUUUUGAAAAUACGAAAGCAGAAUGUAGUUUUUGGAGUAAAUCUUUUUUGUUAGGUAUGGGAUACCUAAUCCAUUUUAAUGCUUUAUUAAGGGGUUUGUAAUUUAUUACGAGUCUGGGUGUUCCUCUUUCUAUUUCAGAGUUUUUGUUAAUAUAGAAAGCGGCACAAGACCACGGAGACCUAGAUUUUACAAUGAGUCCUUUUGACUCCAAGUCUUUGAUUUCAUCUUUGUAAUGCUGUUCUAAUUCCAUGUUCAUUUGAAUAUGAUGGGCUUUAGUAGGUAUUUGUUUUUCAUCAAAAGAAUUUUCAUAAGGCAAAUCUACCAAAUGUUGUUUUCUAUUCCAGAAAGCAGAUGGUAGGUCAGCACAUAUUUCUUUUUCAAUGAGAUUUCUGAAAUCAGAGAUUUUUCUUUUUAUAAAAUCAUUUUGUAAUUGGGUUUUGAUUCUUUGUAAACUCAAAUAUUUUUUUAAACAAAUAAGGUCAUUUUUUUUUGAUUUAAGGAGUGUAUAAAUUUGAUUCUGAUAAACAGAACAAGCUUUAACAAUAUUCAAAUUUCUUGUUUUGGGUUUUUCAAUAAAAGAGAAAACAAGUUUUUUGAUUUUUGCUUUAAAGGAUAUACUAUCAUAAUUGACAGUAUAAGGGGUAAUAAGGUUUAUGAAAGGAACAAGCUUUAACAAUAUUCAAAUUUCUUAUUUUGGGUUUUUCAAUAAAAGGGAAAACAAGUUUUUUGGUUUUUGCUUUAAAGGAUAUACUAUCAUAAUUGACAGUAUAAGGGGUAAUAAGGUUUAUGAAAGGAGUUCCUAAUAUAACAAAAUGAUGAAUGUCAUUUGUUAGAAGAAAGGAAGUCCGAAAUUCAAAACCAUUAUUAUGCACUGAGACAUCAACUUUAGAUUUGACUUUUAACUUUGAAUUAUUAGUGGCAGAAAGUCUUUCAUUUGCUUUUUCAUGAAAUCUUUUAGGGAUAAUAUCUUCUUUAAUGCAGUUUAGAUCGGCACCGGUGUCAAAGAGGGCAAUAGUGUCAAUCUCAAAGGCUUUAGAAAGAAUUAAGGUGAUUUUAAUCAAAUAUUUUUUCGUGGUGAUUUGCUUUAAGACAAUCAGAAAAUCAUUGGGUACAGAUUCAAUGUUUUCAAGAUUUUGUUCAUUAUCACCGUCAGAUUCAAUUUCUUUAUCAGAAUUAUCCUCUAAUUAUUUUUGUAAGAGGAGUUGGAUGGUUUCAGAAUCAUUCUUUUAUUUUUCUUUUAAUUCCUUUAUUUCGAGUUUGAUUUCUUUAAUCUCUUUUUGAAGGUCUUGGAUAUUGGGAAUUGUUUUCUUUGUUCUCUUUUUAUCCAAGAUUUCAGUUAGGUCAUAUGUAUUCUUUUUAAUUAUUGGAGUUUUGGAAGUUUCUGUUUUAUUGUGUUCUAAGGUCUUUAAAAGCUUAUCGAGGUAUUCCUUUUGAAGAUUUAGAUUAGAAAUAUGUUUAACCAAUUCAAGUAAAGUUUCUUGUUCCUUAGUCAACACAUUGAUUUUCUUUAAGUAGGAUUCUGAGUCAGAAUCACUAUCACUGGAUACAGAUGUAUCUGAGUCAAUUAACUCAUCAACCUGUAGAGGUUCACUGUCUCCCGUCAUGGAAGACUCAGAGUCAGAAGACUCUAUCAAUAAAGGGGCUACUUUAGAAAGGAUUUCUUCAUCAAGGCCAAGCUCCUGGAGCUUUCUGUUCAUUCUGUAAAAUUUUACAGUGUGGCCUUUCUUUCUACAUUUGUAACAUGUGGCUUCUUUAUAAUUAAAGGGGGUUUUUGUUGUGUCUUUAAAGGUUUUCUUUUUAGAGAAAUAGGGUUUCCUAUAAGGCUUCGAAGGUUUCUUAUGGAAGGGUUCUCUAAAGUUUUGGAAGGGUUUCCUAUAGCUUUUAGAUUUGUGAUGUUUUUUGUAAGGUUUUGAAGAACACUUUCCAUCACAUUCUUUAGAAGUGGAAGUUUUAAAGGGAUCAUAAUUGAAUUGCUUGCAGAAACUGCCUAAUUCUUGCUUAGAUUUCCUAAGCUCCCAUUUUAGACGUUUCUGAAGUUUCAAAUCUUGACAAAUCUUUAAACCUUCCUUGUUAACAAAACUGACAAGUUCACUGUAGGUGAGCUCAUCAUAAGGAAUACGGUUGUCAUAUAAGGCUUUAAUAGAAUUCCUAACCUUUUCUCCUAAUAGGGUAGGUAAACCUGUAAGGAAUUUCUCUUUCCAGGUUAUAUGAUUUGCAUCAUCCCUAAGGAAGAGUCUGGUAAAGAAUGUGGUUUUGUAACUUUGGAACUCACUAAGUUUCCUACACCUCAAGUUAUGUAGUAACUCAAUAUUUUUAUCUUUUAGGUGUGAAGGAUCACCUAUGAAAUGAAGAGAUAUAGUCAGAAUCAGGGUAGCAACAACAUCCUGAAUAGGACUAUUGAAUUCAUCAAGGAUGGGGGCACCAUUUUCAUCUGUCUGAAUUGCAUUGAGGAUAUUUAAUUGUUGCUGUUUAGUGAGAAGGUGAUCCCACCAACCUUUAAGCUGACCAGUAAAACCAGCAAUGAGAAUUUCUGUAAUGGCUUUGUCAGAAGUUCCCGACUGAGUUUUAUAGGCAUUAGCUGCCAUGGUCAUCUGUUGCAACAAUCCUAGUAUGUUGUAUUCAGACAUACCAUCAAUAUUCCACUCAUAGACAGAAGAUGCAUUGAAUCGUGAUUGAUUUAAUGCUGCAGUCUGUUGUCUAUGGCUAGGUCAGGUGGAGACUUGACAGUAGGUAGAGCUAAUUCCCAAUGAAUUUUGUUGGCUUUGGAAACAGGUUCUUCUUUAAAGGCUUCUAUAUUAGAAGAGGCUAUAGACACAUUGUCUUGUUCUAGUACAGCAAUUAUGCUAGAUUGGGCACUGUCAGGGGCUAUUUGGAUUUUACUAGAAAAGAAAGAAGAAGCUUCUAUUCUAUCUAGUUGUUCUUUAAUGGCUUUAGCAAAAUAGCUAUAGUUGACUUCUGGAAUUGGUUUUCUAUUCUAGUGAACUGCUUUCCUAUUGUGUUUAGAUUAGCAUUACAGAAAUUAUUCUGUUGGAUAAUACUAUCUAAAUCUGAUUCUGGAUCUUUAUGGAUUUUAUAGGGUGAGGCUUUAAUUUCGAUAGGAGGCUCACCAUGUUCAAUGAUUAGACUCCUAAGAGGUGGAUGCUCAGAUUCUAUGACUCUACCAUUACCAGAGAGGUUCCACUCAGUGGUUUUCUUUCUAACAGUAAUGGGAUUUGAUUCUUUAAAAGGAUAUGAAAUGUUGUUAUUUGAAGCAUACAUCUCAAACCAAUCAAAAAAUAAUAUAUGAACUUUAUGCAGAUUUACAAACUCAUAGUAAGUUUCUUGAAUUUCUUUUCGUUGGUUUAAGAAAUGUUUAAAAAAUCAAAGUCUUUUUUCUUUAUUAGUGUCAGAAUAAAAAUCAUUAUGAAGAAGAGUUUUAUCUAAUUCAAAGUCUUUUUCAAUGACACGAAUCACAUUUUCUGUGACAGCAGAAAACGUAGGAGAGGUUGGAGGAGAAGGUUCCUUCUCUUCCUGGCUUUGUUCAUGUUGACAGCUAGUGUAAAUUGGGUGAGGAACACUAGUGGUAUAGUCAACAGAGUGAAUAGAGGAACUAGGUAUAUCUGAGGUAGAAAACCUAGGUUGACUCUUUACUGGUUGGAAAGGGAGAUUUAUAACGGAAGGAAUCUUUGAAAAUUUCCUUUCUAAUGAGGGAAUACUUGAGCAUGAAUCUUUAUCAGAGAAUCUAGAUGAUGUAGAUCUCCUAAAUGAUAAUUUGACUUUACCAUUUGAAUACUGAGUUACAUUUUGCAACUCUGUAUUAGGCUCAAGUUGUUUUGGAAUCACUGGUGCAGUGGCUCCUUCAAGAAUUCAUUCGUCUGGAAGAUUGACAUCUUUCCAUUGGAUUGGUUUUGGAAUAACGGUAUUAGCUUUAGACAAGUCAGUCUGCAAGAGAAGAGUCUCAUCUCUUUUUCACUGGAAUUUAUGUUGCGUGCUAAACGCAGAGAUCAUGUCUUUGUAAGAAAUUUUAUAGAUUAAUGCAACUGGAACAGAUCCCUCAAUCAUGUGAUAAUUAUGGGUCUUGAUUUGCAAAAUCAUGCUUUUUAAAAUGUUUUUGUCUUUUAAAGAAAUUGUUAUAUUCGGGUAACAAUUAAAUGAAAUUGGACCUUUACAAAGGCUUGAUUCUUUACUACUUAGUAAAGAAUCAUCGAAAAAGAUGAAUCGCCCAUCUCUUAGGACAGCAAGAAUGGAAGUAUUUAAACCUUCUUUUGUUAAGGGGUUUAUACCAACUUGUAUUAAACCAAUGUGAAUAUAAUUAAAUUUUUAUCUUUUAGUUUCUUUAAAGAGUGCUCUGAAAAGAGAUGAAUAGUUUCAAAUGGCUUUGAGAGAGUUAUGUCUCGUUCUUCAGUUUUUAUAACAUAAUCAUUGUUUAAAAAAUCAAGCUUUUUUGUUUUGUAAAUCAUUUCUAUAUUAACUUUUGGUAAUUCCCAAUUAUCAAUUGCUUUAUUAAAGUCUUCAAUUAUAAAUUCUUCCGAAUUCACAACAUUCUUUGAAUCACUAGUUCUUCCAGAAGAAGAGCUAGAAAAGGAUGAUGCUCUAUAGAGUAGAGAAUCCAUGGAUAAAACCUAUAUUCUAGUUUUAGUCUUGUCGGUAUGGCUACAAUCCAAGGCUAAGAAUUGGUUUUACUGCCCUCAACCAAAUCGGGACUUACGACCAAAUACUACCAAGGCACACAGAGGUAACACUCACCACAUAAACAAUGUUCAACCAAAACACAAGUCUUUAAACACAAAGUCUCUAUCCUAUAUUACACUAUCCUCCCCUUGGCUCUGAUACCAAUAAGAAAAUAGGAGAGCUUUGUUUACAUUUUCUAGACUCUCUCUCUCUCUCUCUUCGAGAAAUCAAGAUCAAGACGUCACGGAAAACUAUUCCUGUCUUGUAAUUUUCCCUUUCUACAAAACUGUAAACAUUUUCAUUGUAAAGUUCUCGGAUCCAAGCAAUCUAUGUAAGCAUCUCUCAUCUAAUCUAUUCAAAGUUUCAAAUGUAUGUUUAAAUUUCUGCAAUUUAUUUAAAGCUUUUAAUUUUAUAAAAACUGCUACGUUCCUCUAAGGCAAAGAGACCGGAUCUCUGCCCUUAGUUGUAUCUUCUCUUCUCCCUCUAUCCAUUCAGAAUACUAUUUCUGGGAUCCAGAUCUAGUAUUAUCUUUGAGCCUUUAGAUCUGUUGCUAGGCUUGCUUAAAGAAACUUUUUAAAAUUAUUUUGGUAUAUCGGCUAGAAAACAGAACGUGCGAGAUAUUGAUCUGUUCUAAGUCAGAUCUGGUCUUAAAGGCAGAUUAAGUUCUGCAUCGAUCUGGUAACAACGCAACGUACCGAUCUAAUUAAGCUUAAUAAAUUUAAUUUUCUACUUAUUAAUUGCAUUUUAAAGUUGUAAAAUUUUAAAUUAUACCUAAUCACAUCCAUCAUUCGAUCCUAUUUCCUUACUAUAGAGACUUUGUGUUUAAAGACUUGUGUUUUGGUUGAACAUUGUUUGUGUGGUGAGUGUUACCUCUGUAUGCCUUGGUAGUAUUUGGUCGUAAGUCCCGAUUUGGUUGAAGGGCAGUAAAACCAAUUCUUAGCCUUGGAUUGUAGCCAUACCGACAAGACUAAAACUAGAAUAUAGGUUUUAUCCAUGGAUUCUCUGCUCUGUAGAGCAUCGUCCUUUUCUAGCUCUUCUUCUGGAAGAACUAGUGAUUCAAAGAAUGUUGUGAAUUCAGAAGAAUUUGUAAUUGAAGACUUUAAUAAAGCAAUUGAUAAUUGGGAAUUACCAAAAGUUAAUAAAGAAAUGAUUUACAAAACAAAAAAGCUUGAUUUUUUAAAGAAUGAUUAUGUUAUAAAAACUGAAGAACGAGACAUAACUCUCUCAAAGCCAUUUGAAAUUAUUCAUCUCUUUUCAGAGCACUCUUUAAAGAAACUAAAAGAUAAAAAUUUUAAUUAUAUUCACAUUGGUUUAAUACAAGUUGGUAUAAAUCCCUUAACAAAAGAAGGUUUAAAUACUUCCAUUCUUGUUGUCCUAAGAGAUAGGCGAUUCAUCUCUUUCGAUGAUUCUUUACUAAGUAGUAUAGAAUCAAGCCUUUGUAAAGGUUCAAUUUCAUUUAAUUGUUACCCGAAUAUAACAAUUUCUUUAAAAGACAAAAACAUUUUAAAAAGCGUGAUUUUGGAAAUCAAGACCCAUAAUUAUCACAUGAUUGAGGGAUCUGUUUCAGUUGCAUUAAUCUAUAAAAUUUCUUACAAAGCCAUGAUCUCUGCAUUUAGCCCGCAACAUAAAUUUCAGUAAAAAAGAGAUGAGACUCUUCUCUUACAGACUGAAUUGUCUAAAGCUAAUACUGUUAUUCCAAAACCAAUCCAAUGGAAAGAUGUCAAUCUUCCAGACGAAUGGAUUCUUGAAGGAGCCACUGCACCAGUGAUUCCAAAACAACUUGAGCCUAAUACAGAGUUGCAAAAUGUAACUCAGUAUUCAGAUGGUAAAGUCAAAUUAUCAUUUAGGAGAUCUACAUCAUCUAGAUUCUCUGAUAAAGAUUCAUGCUCAAGUAUUCCUUCAUUAGAAAGGAAAUUUUCAAAGAUUCCUUCCGUUAUAAAUCUCCCUUUCCAACCAAUAAAGAGUCAACCUAGGUUUUCUACCUCAGAUAUACCUAGUUCCUCUAUUCACUCUGUUGACUAUACCACUAGUGUUCCUCACCCAAUUUACACUAGCCGUCAACAUGAACAAAGCCAGGAAGAGAAUGAACCUUCUCCUCCAACCUCUCCUACAUUUUCUACUGUCACAGAAAAUGUGAUUAGUGUCAUUGAAAAGACUUUGAAUUAGAUAAAACUCUUCUUCAUAAUGAUUUUUAUUUUGACACUAAUAAAGAAAAAAAACUUUAGUUUUUUAAACAUUUCUUAAACCAACGAAAAGAAAUUCAAGAAACUUACUAUGAGUUUGUAAAUCUGCAUAAAGUUCAUAUAUUAUUUUUUGAUUGGUUUGAGAUGUAUGCUUCAGAUAACAACAUUUCAUAUCCUUUUAAAGAAUCAAAUCCCAUUACUGUUAGAAAGAAAACCACUGAGUGGAACCUCUCUGGUAGUGGUAGAGUCAUAGAAUCUGAGCAUCCACCUCUUAGGAGUCUAAUCAUUGAACAUGGUGAGCCUCCUAUCGAAAUUAAAGCCUCACCCUAUAAAAUCCAUAAAGAUCCAUAAUCAAAUUUAGAUAGCAUUAUCCAACAGAAUAAUUUCUGUAAUGCUAAUCUAAACACAAUAGGAAAGCAGUUGACUAGAAUAGAAAACCAAUUUCAGAAGUCAACUAUAGUUGUUUCUCCUGUUACAUCAAAAUCGGAUUCUGACAAAAAACUUAAAGAGCCUAUUUUCAAACCUUUUCAGGUUUUGAAAACUAGUCAAAAGCUUGUACAAGAGUCAAAAUCAGAUUUUUCUAAAGCCAUUAAAGAACAACUAGAUAGAAUAGAAGCUUCUUCUUCCUCUUCUAGUAAAAUCCAAAUAGCCCCUGACAGUGCCCAAUCUAGCAAGAUUGGUGUACUAGAACAAGACAAUGUGUCUAUAGCCUCUUCUGAUAUAGAAGCCUUUAAAGAAGAACCUGUUUCCAAAGCCAACAAAAUUCAUUGGGAAUUAGCUCUAACUACUGUCAAGUCUCCACCUGACCUAGCCAUAGACAACAGACCUGCAGCAUUAAAUCAAUCACGAUUCAAUGUAUCUUCUAUCUAUGAGUGGAAUAUUGAUGGUAUGUCUGAAUACAACAUACUAGGAUUGUUGCAACAGAUGACCAUGGCAGCUAAUACCUAUAAAACUCAGUCGGGAACUUCUGACAAAGCCAUUGCAGAAAUUCUCAUUGCUGGUUUUACUGGUCAGCUUAAAGGUUGGUGGGAUCACCUUCUCACUAAACAGCAACAAUUGGAUAUCCUCAAUUCAAUUCAGACAGAUGAAAAUGGAGCCCCCAUCCUUGAUGAAUUCAAUAGUCCUAUUCAGGAUGCUGUUGCUACCCUGAUUCUGACUAUAUCUCUUCAUUUCAUAGGUGAUCCUUCACACCUAAGAGAUAAAAAUGCUGAGUUACUACAUAACUUGAGGUGUAGGAAACUUAGUGAGUUCCAAAGUUACAAAACCACAUUCUUUACCAGACUCUUCCUUAGGGAUGAUGCAAAUCAUAUAACCUGGAAAGAGAAAUUCCUUACAGGUUUGCCUACCCUAUUAGGAGAAAAGGUUAGGAAUUCUAUUAAAGCCUUGUAUGACAACCGUAUUCCUUAUGAUGAGCUCACCUACGGUGAACUUGUCAGUUUUGUUAACAAGGAAGGUUUAAAGAUUUGUCAAGAUUUGAAACUUCAGAAACGUCUAAAAUGGGAGCUUAAGAAAUCUAAGCAAGAAUUAGGCAGUUUCUGCAAGUAAUUCAAUUAUGAUCCCUUUAAAACUUCCACUUCUAAAGAUUGUGAUGGAAAUGUUCUUCAAAACCUUACAAAAAACAUCACAAAUCUGAUUGUGAUGGAAAUGUUCUUCAAAACCUUACAAAAAACAUCACAAAUCUAAAAGCUAUAGGAAACCCUUCCAAAACUUUAGAGAACCCUUCCAUAAGAAACCUUCGAAGCCUUAUAGGAAACCCCAUUUCUCUAAAAAGAAAACCUUUAAAGACACGACAAAACCCCCCUUUAAUUAUAAAGAAGCCAUAUGUUACAAAUGUGGAAAGAAAUGCCACACUGUAAAAUUUUGCAGAAUGAACAGAAAGCUCCAGGAGCUUGGCCUUGAUGAAGAAAUCCUUUCUAAAGUAGCCCCUUUAUUGAUAGAGUCUUCUGACUCUGAGUCUUCUAUGACGGGAGAUAGUGAACCUCUACAGGUUGAUGAGUUAAUUGACUCAGAUACAUCUGUAUCCAGUGAUAAUGAUUCUGACUCAGAAUCCUACUUAAAGAAAAUCAAUGUGUUGACUAAGGAACAAGAAACUUUUCUUGAAUUAGUUAAACAUAUUUCUAAUCCAAAUCUUCAAAAGGAGUACCUCAAUAAGCUUUUAAAGACCUUAGAACUCAAUAAAACAGAAACUUCCAAAACUCCAAUAAUUAAAAAGAAUACAUAUGACCUAACUGAAAUCUUGGAUAAAAAGAGAACAAAGAAAACAAUUCCCAAUAUCCAAGACCUUCAAAAAGAGAUUAAAGAAAUCAAACUCGAAAUAAAGGAAUUAAAAGAAAAAUAAAAGAAUGAUUCUGAAACCAUCUAACUCCUCUUACAAAAACAAUUAGAGGAUAAUUCUGAUAAAGAAAUUGAAUCUGACGGUGAUAAUGAAUAAAAUCUUGAAAACAUUGAAUCUGUACCCAAUGAUUUUCUGUUUGUCUUAAAGCAAAUCACCACGAGAAAAUAUUUGAUUAAAAUCACCUUAAUUCUUGCUAAAGACUUUGAGAUUGACACUAUUGCCCUCUUUAACACCGGUGCCGAUCUAAACUGCAUUAAAGAAGAUAUUGUCCCUAAAAGAUUUCAUGAAAAAACAAAUGAAAGACUUUCUGCCGCCAAUAAUUCAAAGUUAAAAGUCAAAUCUAAAGUUGAUGCCUCAGUGCAUAAUAAUGGUUUUGAAUUUCGGAUUUCCUUUCUUCUAACAAAUGACAUUCAUCAUUCUGUUAUAUUAGGAACUCCUUUCAUAAACCUUAUUACCCCCUAUACUGUUAAUUAUGAUAGUAUAUCCUUUAAAGCAAAAACUAAAAAACUUGUUUUCCCUUUUAUUGAAAAACCCAAAACAAAAAAUUUGAAUAUUGUUAAAGCUUGUUCUAUUUAUCAGAAUCAAAUUUAUACACUCCUCAAAUCAAAACAAAAUGACCUUAUUUGUUUAAAAAAAGAUUUGAGUUUACAAAGAAUCGAAACCCAAUUACAAAAUGAUUUUAUAAAAAGAAAAAUCUCUGAUUUCAGAAAUCUCAUUGAAAAAGAAAUAUGUGCUGACUUACCAUCUGCUUUCUGGAAUAGAAAACAACAUUUGGUAGAUUUGCCUUAUGAAAAUUCUUUUGAUGAAAAACAAAUACCUACUAAAGCCCGUCCUAUUCAAAUGAACAUGGAAUUAGAACAGCAUUGCAAAGAUGAAAUCAAAGACUUGGAGUCAAAAGGACUCAUUGUAAAAUCUAGGUCUCCGUGGUCUUGUGCCGCUUUCUAUGUUAACAAAAACUCUGAAAUAGAAAGAGGAACACCCAGACUCGUAAUAAAUGACAAACCCCUUAAUAAAGCAUUAAAAUGGAUUAGGUAUCCCAUACCUAACAAAAAUAUUUACUCCAAAAACUACAUUAUGCUUUCGUAUUUUCAAAAUUUGAUAUGAAAUCGGGAUUUUGGCAAAUUCAAAUUCAUCCUAAAGACCGUUAUAAAACUGCUUUCACUGUUCCUUUUGGACAAUAUGAAUGGACUGUCAUGCCAUUCGGUUUAAAAAAUGCACCUUCAGAAUUUCAAAGAAUUAUGAAUGAUAUUUAUAAUCCUUUUUCUGAUUUUUGCAUUGUCUAUAUUGAUGAUGUGUUAAUCUUUUCCCAAACUAUUGAACAACAUUUCAAACAUUUAAAGACUUUCUACCUUGCCACUAGAAAGACCGGCUUAGCCAUUUCUACUUCUAAAGUUUCCUUGUUUCAAACAAAAAUUAGGUUUCUAGGUCAUUACAUUUCCAAAGGAACCAUUACUCCUAUUGAGCGAUCUCUUAUAUUUGCUGAUAAAUUUCCUGAUAAAAUUCUUGAUAAAACUCAACUGCAAAGAUUUCUAGGAAGUUUAAAUUAUGUCCUUGAUUUCUGUCCCAAUAUCAACAGGAUGUCAAAACCCUUGCAUGACAGAUUGAAAAAGAACCCUGUUGUAUGGACUGAUGAGCACACGAAAGCUGUUAGACUAAUAAAGAAUUCUGUUAAGAAUAUUCCAUGUUUAUUCCUUGCAAAUCCUGCAUUGCCUAAAAUUGUUGAAACUGAUGCAUCAGAUUUAGGUUAUGGAGGUAUAUUAAAGCAAUCCGAUAAUAAUAAAGAACAAAUAGUACAGUAUGUUUCUGCUCAUUGGAAUGAAUGUCAAAGAAAUUACUCUACUAUUAAAAAAGAGAUUCUUUCCAUUGUAUUAUGCAUUUCUAAAUUUCAAAGCGAUUUGUUAAAUAAAAUUUUUUUGCUUAGAAUUGAUUUCAAAGCUGCAAAACAUGUUUUGAAAAAAGAUGUUCAAAAUAUUACUUCAAAACAAAUUUUUGCAAGAUGGCAAGCCAUUUUAAGUGUUUUUGAUUUUGAUAUUGAAUUUAUUAAAGGAGAUACAAAUUCUAUCCCUGAUUUUCUAACCAGGAAAUUUCUUCAAAACAGAUAAUGCCGCCCAAGAAAAAAGACAAGGGUAAAGCUGUUCUUAAAGACACUGAGUCACAAACAACCUCCAAAGAACCCCAAUCAACCCCCUCCAAAGAAAAAUUACUUUCUUCUGCCAUGCCUAUCAAAUCUUGGAUUGAAAUGGUUGAAGAACAAGAAGCCCAAUAUAAACCCAUUACCUCAGAAGAUCAGGUAAAAGAAUGGAUGAACUCCAUUACAAAGUCUCCAGAGCUUAUGUUCGCCUUACAAAAUAUUUCUCAACUAAAGCCCUUUCUCAAAUCCCUGAAAAAGAAAAACUUAUUUCUAAAACAAUUUCAAAACCCUCUUCCUAUAAAGAAAUUGUUUCUUGUGAAAGCUCUUCUUCAUAAAUUGUUGUUUCUCAAUCAAAGCUUUCAAAAAAAUCAUCAGAUUGGUUUAAUAAAGCCUAUCAACAAAAUGUUUUAUCUAUGGAGGAUGGGUUUUAUCAUUCUGAUCCAUUUCAAGCAAUUUCAAGGAUUUUCCCGAAAGGCUGGUUUUUCAAACCAUGAGAUUUAUCUAAACCCUAGUCUUUCUACCAAAGCAUACUUGAGUUCACUGAGUCAGUAAAGUUUAAACAUUUCUUUCUUAGUGAAGCUCAUUCUGAGCCAGCCUAUUCCACGGCUACCAUUCUUAAAGUCUUAAGUCCAAAUCAGUGGGGUGACCAACUCCACAAACCAAAAACCUUUCCCGCCAAUUUUCAAAGAAGCCUAAAUCACUUCUUAUCUUUCUCCUACUGGGAUUAUCAGCAGCCCUGGUUUAAUACCUUUUUUAUCCAAAAUCCAAAAAAGUCUCACUCUUGGUUAUUUUUCUUCAACUCAAAAAUAACCGUUCAAAGCCUUCCAAAUGGUUCCAAAUUUGGUGGAACUAUUUUGGGCCAAGCCCAGAAAUUCUAACCCAAAAUGCCAUCAAAUGUUUAAAUUUAUUUAAAGCCCACUAUGUUCCUUCUGAGUCUGAGAAGAGGUUUCCUCCUUUUCUCUGUUUUUGUACAAACUUUUUCCUUCCCUGGGUUUGGAUGUGGAAUUUCCAAUACCACACCAUAGACACCCAACUAGUUUUACAAAGAACCUUCAAAGUCAAAUAGUGGUCUAAAUUUGACGAACAGUCAAAAUUGUCUGAAGCCACGGUCCAAUCCUGGCUUUCUACAAGAGGCCUCCUUGCCCCAAGUAAAGACGUAACCAAAGCCCAAAGCACUUUCCUUGCCCAAAGAGCAAAAGCCCAAUCCCUACUGGCCAGUGCCAGAACCGAGGAUGAAUAUUUCAAAGUAAUGCAGCAACUUCUUGCCACUGGAUCAGAGGCAUCUGCUGCAAGUUCUUCAUCAAGUUCCUCAGGAGAAGCUGAACCGUUUAUCUCCCUUGGAGAUGAAAACGAAGAUGACUGCUUCGGAAUAUUCUCUCCAUUAAAGCAUUAAAGCUUUGUUAAAAAAAAAAAAGUAAAGAUUGUCCUAUUUCCCUUAUUUCCUUGUAUUUAUUACUCAUGUAAUUAACGAUUGUAUUCCCCUUUGUAAAAAUUACUCUGUUGUAAUUAUUUUCAGAAUGUAUUAUUUUUCUGGGUGGUCCUCUGGACACAAGUGAGAGCGCACAUGUCUCUUCACCCAUCUUUUGUUUUCUUUCAAAGUUGUAAAGAAGAAUAAUGCUGUCCCCCACAUGUCUUGACAAUUCCGCUCCAUCAUCUACGCAUGUGAAACUACAGUAAAAGCCAAUAAAGCUAAGUCCAUUCACAAUGAUGCCGUCUCCACUCACCAACCACGCAUGUGUAAAGCUACAGCUUCGCUACAGUGGGCGAAUAAAGCUACAGUUUCGCUACAGUUGAAGCUACAGACUCGCCACAGUUCAAGCUUCAGUUGUUUUAAAUUCAAAGCUUUGUAACAUUUAAGGGGAGAGCUUUGUUUAUAUUUUCUAGACACUCUCUCUCUCUCUCUCUCUCUUCGAAAAAUCAGGAUCAAGACGUCAAGAAAAACUAUUCCUGUCUUAUAAUUUUCCCUUUCUACAAAACUGUAAACAUUUUCAUUGUAAAGUUCUCGGAUCCAAGCAAUCUAUGUAAGCAUCUCUCAUCUAAUCUAUUCAAAGUUUCAAAUGUAUGUUUAAAUUUCUGCAAUUUAUUUAAAGCUUUUAAUUUUAUAAAAACUGCUACGUUCCUCUAAGGCAAAGAGACCGGAUCUCUGCCCUUAGUUGUAUCUUCUCUUCUCCCUCCAUCCAUUCAGAAUACUAUUUCUAGGAUCAAGAUCUAGUAUUAUCUAUGAGCCUUUAGAUCUGUUGCUAGGCUUGCUUAAAGAAACUUUUUAAAAUUAUUUUGGUAUAUCGGCUGGAAAACAGAACGUGCGAGAUAUUGAUCUGUUCUAAGUCAGAUCUGGUCUCAAAGGCAUAUUAAGUUCUGCAUCGAUCUGGUAACAACGCCACGUACCGAUCUAAUUAAGCUUAAUACAUUUAAUUUUCUACUUAUUAAUUGCAUUUUAAAGUUGUAAAAUUUUAAAUUCUACCUAAUCACAUCCAUCCUUCGAUCCUAUUUCCUUACUAUAUAUAUAUAUAUAUAUAUAUAUAUAUAUAUAUAUAUAUAUAUAUAUAUAUAUAUAUAGUUGAGUUUAUUAACAUUGCCUGGGUUUAGCGGAGAAAAUAUGAAGAAGAAGAAGUAGUUUGGGCAAAAAUCAAAGGGUUUUGAUUUUCAUUAUUGAUCAAUUGAAAUAGUAGAGUAGUGGACCUUCUCAGCUAGUUCCAUAGAUGUUAAUAAAUCUAAAAUUUGUUAGCACUUAACAUUUGCUAAAGAAACCGUUUUAAGUUUCAAUUCUUUAAAUUAAUGUUAAUUAGAUUUGACAUUGAAGAUUAAUUAUUCACUAAGGCUUAUCAUAUUUAUAAAAAAAUAUAAAACGUUGCAUAAUUAAAUAUGGGAUUAUGGCAUUAAAAUUAGACCUUAGUAAUGGCAUUGGUGAGGGAAGAUGAAAGAAUUCCUUCCUAUAUUAAUUAGUUGAUGUAUUUUAAGCCACUCAAGUUCAAUUGUUGGCUUAAUAAAAUAAAUGAAUGUUUCAAGACUUAUAAUUAAUUAUUAUUAAUGGUUAUAUAUUGUUGAAUUUAAAUAGAAAUAGGAAAAGACAUGUAAUCUUUUGUAAUCUAAUAAUCAUUUUCUAUUUAUUUUCUAUUUUUAAUAUUUUGUAAUGUAAUUAUUUUUUAAUUUAAGCUAAUAUAUUAGAUAUUAGAGAAUAUAAAGAGAUGAGAAAUAAUGAUGCCACAAAUCUUAAAUACUUAAUAUUUAUAGAAUUUGAAGAAGCCAAAAAGCACUAAACAAAAGGUUGCAUAAUUAAAUAUGAAAUUAUGACAUUAAAAUUAGGCCCUAGUGGCAUUUUUUAUAAGUUGAAGGAACCUUCCUUUCUAUAUUAAUUAAUUAAUGCUUUUUAAAGCCAUUAAGGUUUAAUUGUUGGCAUAAUAAAAUAAAUGAAUGUUUCAAGACUUAUAAUUAAUUAUUAUUAAUGGUUACAUAUUGUUGAAUUUAAAUAGAAAGAGGAAAAGACAUGUAAUCUUUUGUAACCUAAUAAUUAUAUUCUAUUUUUAAUAUUUUAUAAUGUAAUUAUUUUUUAAUCUCAACCAAUAUAUUAGAUAAUAGAGAAUAUAAGAAGAUGUAAAAUAGUGAUGUCACAUCACCUCUUGUAGUUAAGGCUUAUAAUUAAUUAAUAGAUAUGGAUAACAACGUGGGUGCUGUAAUAGUAUUGAUUUCUCAACCAAAUCUUCUGUCUUUUACCCGACUUUCAUUUUUCUAUUGACGGUAGCUAACUAUUGUUUUCUUAUUAUUUCUUUUAUCUAGGUUUAAAUUUUAUGAGAAAUUUGUCAAUUUUCAAUUAUUGGGUGAAAUUGGUACGCAAAUGAUGUGUUUUAUAGCAAUUUGCGUCUUUCUCAUCUUCAAGACUAUCAUUAGUCAAUAAUGUUGCUAUUACCUCAGGCUCUCGUGAGUCUAAACGUUUUCUAAUUAAUUGAAAAUGAUAUAAUGAUUAAUUAAUUGUUGAUAAUAAAACCAAUUUAAUACGACGUCUCCGCAUUUCUUUCUUUAUUUCUUUUAAACCUCAAUCAUUGUCAAAACUGUUAAUGGGUUGCAAUUAAACACUUAACAAAUCUUAAACUUGUUGUUAGCAAUUAACAUUUGCUAAAGGAACCGUCUUAAGUUUCAAUUCUUUAAAUUAAUGUUAAUUAGAUUUAAGACGAAAAUUAAUUAUUCACUAAGACUUGUCUAUAAAUAAAAAAGUAGAUACAAAAUGUUAUAUAAUUAAAUAUGAGAUUAUGGCGUUAAAAUUAGGCCUUGGUAGUGGCAUUGUUGAGGGAAGAUAAAAGAACCUUCAUUCCUAUAUUAAUUAAAUUAUAUGUUAUGACGUGAAAAAAUAAACAGUCCAUUUUUGUAUUUUGUAUUUUGUAUUUUCUGAAGAUUUGAAACAAUGUGCUUUCUUUUCGGAGUGAUAAUAAUUGGAUCCAUUGCUUUUUCCUUUUAAUGUUUUAUAAACAUAUAUUGUCUAUUUGCAUCAAAUAAGUCCCAAUCUCUUUUACAAUCGCUAAUAAAACACCUUUUAAUUAUUAAACUAUAAAUAUGUGUCAUUCAAAAUCCAAUUUUGUUGAAUCUAGAUUAAGUGUUAAUCUUUUUUUUAUUUAUUUUUUGAUAUGUGUAUAUUUAUAACAAUAUAAUAUUAAAAUUUAGUUGUAUCUAUAUUGUUAUUUAAAAACUAUUAAUCAAACGACAAACCUUUAUAAAAUUCAUCACAAAAAUUAGAUCAACAUUGAAUCUUUAUUCAAUCUCGGUUAGGAGCCUAUUUGAUAUAAAUUGAUAAACAAUAUCCUUAUUUGAUAAAAUAUAGGGACAUUGAUAUUAUUAUUAUCUAGAUUUCCUUUUGGCUCUUUUUCAAUGCUAUUUUUAGAUUUUAUACGUUAUCAUCUUUUCUUAACUUUUUUAUUCUUGAAUACAAUAACUGUCAAAAACCAACGGUUCAAAUGAGCUUUUUUUGUGUUUGAAUUUUCAAAGUUCCCACUUAUUUUAUUUAUUAUUGGAGGACAAUAAUGUUUUCUUAGGCAACUAAAAUGUAAAUUAAGUAAAACAUUCCUCCUAAAUUAGUUUUGGGUAACUUUGGAAUUUAAGGCUAGGAACAUGUUGGAUGUUAAUAUAUCAAAAACAUAGCAAAACACAGAGUUUUCAGGUGCCCAAUUCAUUAGUUUCAUCAUUUAAGUCCUCGUGCGGGGACUUGAGUCACUUAAUUUGACCAAGUUGAUGGCUGGUUAAAAUGGUUCGAAAGAGCAAGCGAGGGCAACAAAUGAACGAAAAAAAGAUUUUCGAUUUUGCAUUACAAAUUUUAAGUUUAUAAAGCCGAUCAACAACAGACUUUGGGAGAUUGAUUUGUGAUGGAAGAUAGAGAAUUAGGAAGGGUUUCUUCUUUGAAGAGUUAAAAAAUUUGAACUUUAAAAAUUUUCAAUAAGUACAAAUAUAAUAUGAAUAGUUUCAUUUGUUCAGUAGACCAAUCAUAUUAAAAUAAUGUUAGUAAGGAAAAUAAUUUAAAAACUAUUCGUAAUUAAAAUAAUUUUAAAAAUGUAAAUUACCUUUCUCCCCUCAUUUUUUAAGCAAAAAUAAAAAUAACUUGAAGUUUUUAAAAAUAAUGAAGUAAUUUAAAAAUAAUCAAUUUGGAAUAAUUCAAAAUUUACCCAAGAGAUUAUUCACAAUAUCAAUCAAUGAAUUAGAAACAUUAUGUGUUAAGUGGUAUAAGCAUACAUAUAACUAUUAUUUUUAACUUAUUGAUCUCAAUCUUGAGUGUUCGGAUUAGAUCUUUGGGGUUUCAUUUUUCAGAUUUCGGUGAUUGAAAGUCUGAAACUCAAAGUAACAAAAAUUAAAUUUAUAUUUUAUCGCAAGUGAAGUGUAGAGAUUAAUCCAAUUAUUUGCGUCUAGCGUUUCUUUUUGUUGCUAUCACUCUUGUUGAUGAUGAUAAGCCUUUUUUUGCAUUGUCACUACCAAUUUAUUAUCUACAUUCAUCUAUAGAACGAAGCAAGAUGCCAAGAAAGAAAUCUAACACAAGAAAAAUAAGUUCUCUCAAUCAUUCAAAACAAAUACAUACAUAGACAGAAAAAUAAGACAUAUCAUAUCACACUUAAAUAUUACCACUCUAAAAAGAAAAAAGGUCAAAAGACUAACACACAUGUAAAAAGACGACCAACAACAACACUAAACAUGUUUUGUGUAUUGAUUACUUCCACCAUCACUAACUUCAUCAUCAUCAAUAAUUUGGUUUUUUCUCUUUCUAUUCUUACCAGCAUUAGUAACAUGAAAAUCUCCUAUAGAAUCUUCCAAAUUAUUUGAUAAGAUAUCAUGAGGAUCCUAUAAUUUUUUAAUCAAGGAAAUUAUAAUUAUGAGUAAAUUGAACAUGCUAAUUUUAAUCAUAAAGGAAAACAACUGGGAAAUAAGAGUAAAUAAAAUUACCAUUUCUUGGGAAUGUCCUUCCUUUCUUUCACAUAUUUCCACAUUUUCAUGAUCUGUAUUGUUUUUUUCCUACAAAAAACAACAAUUAAAUAUUUUUUUUUAACAUUACAUAUAUUGCCUACAAAUUGAACCUAGCAUAAGUAGAUAAUACCUUUUUGUCCUUCUUCAAUUCUUGUUCUAGCUCCAAUUUCUCAUUAGGGGUGAAAAGUUUUGACACAGUAAAAUUCUCAAGUCUCUCUUUCAAUUGUAAUAAUUCAAUUUCAGUUUGUAAACAAAAUCUUUUCCACAAAGGCUUUGAAUUUCUGCAGGGACAUCCUUUACUAUAAUAAAGGUAGUCUAUUAAACAANNNNNNNNNNNNNNNNNNNNNNNNNNNNNNNNNNNNNNNNNNNNNNNNNNNNNNNNNNNNNNNNNNNNNNNNNNNNNNNNNNNNNNNNNNNNNNNNNNNNNNNNNNNNNNNNNNNNNNNNNNNNNNNNNNNNNNNNNNNNNNNNNNNNNNNNNNNNNNNNNNNNNNNNNNNNNNNNNNNNNNNNNNNNNNNNNNNNNNNNNNNNNNNNNNNNNNNNNNNNNNNNNNNNNNNNNNNNNNNNNNNNNNNNNNNNNNNNNNNNNNNNNNNNNNNNNNNNNNNNNNNNNNNNNNNNNNNNNNNNNNNNNNNNNNNNNNNNNNNNNNNNNNNNNNNNNNNNNNNNNNNNNNNNNNNNNNNNNNNNNNNNNNNNNNNNNNNNNNNNNNNNNNNNNNNNNNNNNNNNNNNNNNNNNNNNNNNNNNNNNNNNNNNNNNNNNNNNNNNNNNNNNNNNNNNNNNNNNNNNNNNNNNNNNNNNNNNNNNNNNNNNNNNNNNNNNNNNNNNNNNNNNNNNNNNNNNNNNNNNNNNNNNNNNNNNNNNNNNNNNNNNNNNNNNNNNNNNNNNNNNNNNNNNNNNNNNNNNNNNNNNNNNNNNNNNNNNNNNNNNNNNNNNNNNNNNNNNNNNNNNNNNNNNNNNNNNNNNNNNNNNNNNNNNNNNNNNNNNNNNNNNNNNNNNNNNNNNNNNNNNNNNNNNNNNNNNNNNNNNNNNNNNNNNNNNNNNNNNNNNNNNNNNNNNNNNNNNNNNNNNNNNNNNNNNNNNNNNNNNNNNNNNNNNNNNNNNNNNNNNNNNNNNNNNNNNNNNNNNNNNNNNNNNNNNNNNNNNNNNNNNNNNNNNNNNNNNNNNNNNNNNNNNNNNNNNNNNNNNNNNNNNNNNNNNNNNNNNNNNNNNNNNNNNNNNNNNNNNNNNNNNNNNNNNNNNNNNNNNNNNNNNNNNNNNNNNNNNNNNNNNNNNNNNNNNNNNNNNNNNNNNNNNNNNNNNNNNNNNNNNNNNNNNNNNNNNNNNNNNNNNNNNNNNNNNNNNNNNNNNNNNNNNNNNNNNNNNNNNNNNNNNNNNNNNNNNNNNNNNNNNNNNNNNNNNNNNNNNNNNNNNNNNNNNNNNNNNNNNNNNNNNNNNNNNNNNNNNNNNNNNNNNNNNNNNNNNNNNNNNNNNNNNNNNNNNNNNNNNNNNNNNNNNNNNNNNNNNNNNNNNNNNNNNNNNNNNNNNNNNNNNNNNNNNNNNNNNNNNNNNNNNNNNNNNNNNNNNNNNNNNNNNNNNNNNNNNNNNNNNNNNNNNNNNNNNNNNNNNNNNNNNNNNNNNNNNNNNNNNNNNNNNNNNNNNNNNNNNNNNNNNNNNNNNNNNNNNNNNNNNNNNNNNNAAAGUCAUAGUUUCUUGAUUAUAUUCAACUACUAAUCCGUUAGAAUUUUAUAUCUCUUUUUUUCCAACCCAGCUCCAACGAUCUCAAUAUCACCCAUAGCACAUAAACUUCUGAUAACAUCUGUAAUAUUAUGGAAAAAUAACAUAAACAUGUUAAAACAUAAGGAUUAAUAAUUUCUAAUAUACACUUAAAGAUUAACAAAUAUUAAUAAUUAAAAAAAUACUGAGAGGAUUGUGUUAUCAUUCACACGUAAAUCAAUCAAAUUCAGAGAUACGAAUUGAAAUCCAUUAAUCGGAAUCUUGACAGUUCCUUCUUCUACCCUCUUAAGAGAAGUUAUAACCAAGAAAAUAAUCUUAUACUGAUUUGAAAGUGGUAUGUACUCGCCUAUAGUUGAAACAACUUUCAAAUUCUUGACAUUGUACAAAGAACCCUCACUCAACAUGUGCUUAAACCUUGUCACUAAAGUUUUCCUGAUUGUUGCAUGCAUUAGAUUUUCCUACGAAAAAAAAAACACAUACUACAUUAAGUGUGAAACAAUUGGGAAAAAAAUUAGAGAAAACAAUGGGAGAAUGAAUUUUUUAUACAACAUUUUCAUCAAUAAAAAUCAUAUCAGCACUAAUCAAUUCUCCAUUUUUUUUAGUAUUAGUAGACUCCCACUUCCUACAAAGCCUAACCCUUAUCAUCCAACUAUCUUUAUCAUUGUUCAACUCAUGAAGAAAAGAGUACUCCAUGAAGCACACAAUACCAAAAAUUCAAAUAAAUCAAACAAUAAAAAUACAAGUAUUUUUCUAAAGAGUGUGUUGAUUAAAUAAAUAAAAAGACCCUAAACAUAACAAAUCUUAAAUAUUUAGUGUUUAGAGAGCUUGAAGAAGCCAAAAGGCACUAAACAAAAGGUUGCAUAAUUAAAUAUGAGAUUAUGUCAUUAAAAUUAGGCUCUAGUGGCAUUGUUGAGGGAAGAUGAAAGAACCUCUCUUCCUAUGUUAAUUUAUUGAUGUAUUUUAAGCCACUAAAGUUUAAUUGCUAGCAUAAUAAAAUUUGAAGGAGCCAAAAGACACUCAACAAAAGGUUUCAUAAUUAAAUAUAUGAUUAUGACAUUGAAAUUAGGCCCUAGUGGCAUUGUUGAAGGAAGAUGAAAGAACCUCUCUUCCUAUAUUAAUUAAUUUAUGUAUUUUAAGCCACUAAAGUUUAAUUGCUAGCAUAAUAAAAUAAAUGAAUAUUUCAAAAUACUUAUAAUUAAUUAUUAUCAAUGGUUACAUAUUGUUGGAUUUAAAUAGAAAGAGGAAGAAACAUGUACAAAGAAUAUCCACUAAUAUUUUAGAUAUUUUAAAUAAUAGAAAAUAUAAAAAGAUGAGGUUGAGGGAAGAUGAAAGAACCUCUCUUCCUAUGUUAAUUAGUUGAUGUAUUUUAAGGCACUAAAGUUUAAUUGCUAGCAUAAUAAAAUUUGAAGAAGCUAAAAGGCACUCAACAAAAGGUUGCAUAAUUAAAUAUGAGAUUAUGACAUUAAAAUUAAGCCCUAGUGGCAUUGUUGAGGUAAGAUGAAAGAACCUCUCUUCCUAUGUUAAUUAAUUCAUGUAUUUUAAGUCACUAAAGUUUAAUUGCUAACAUAAUAAAAUAAAUGAAUGUUUCAAAAGACUUAUAAUUAACUAUUAUUAAUGGUUACAUAUUGUUAGAUUUAAAUAGAAACAGGAAGAAACAUGUACAAAGAAUAUCCACCAAUAGUUUAGAUAUUUUAGAUAAUAGAAAAUAUAAAAAGAUGAGGUUGAGGGAAGAUGAAAGAACCUCUUUUCCUAUGUUAAUUAGGUGAUGUAUUUUAAGGCACUAAAGUUUAAUUGAUAGCAUAAUAAAUUUUGAAGAAGCCAAAAGACACUCAAUAAAAGGUUGCAUAAUUAAAUAUGAGAUUAUGACAUUAAAAUUAGGCCUUAGUGGCAUUGUUGAGGGAAAAUGAAAGAACCUAUCUUCCUAUGUUAAUUAAUUCAUGUAUUUGAAGCCACUAAAGUUUAAUUGCUAGCAUAAUAAAAUAAAUGUUUCAAAAGACUUAUAAUUAAUUAUUAUUAAUGAUUACAUAUUGUUGAAUUUAAAUAGAAAGAGAAAAAAAAGUACAAAGAAUAUCCACCAAUAUUUUAGAUAUUUUAGAUAAUAGAAAAUAUAAAAAGAUGAGGAAUGAUAUAUAUUAAUAAAGUUACUAUUUAUUAAAUGAGUUAAAUACAAUCAAAUUAAUUAUGAGAAGAUGAAAAGUUAAUUUUUUUAAAAAAAUUCUCUAUUUAUUAGAUAAUAGAGAAUAUAUAAAUAAGCAAAAUGGUGAAGCCACAUCACCUCCUCAAGUCCCAGCUUUAUAUAUAUAUAGAUAGAUAGAUAGAUAUAAUCUUUUAAUAUUUUAACUUAAUUCCCGCAUUAAAAGCUAACUCUUGCAUAAUUACCCUAAAGAAUCAGCUUAACAGAAGUACCAAUUUGUGAUAGUGUACUAUGUGUCGUACGUUUAUGCCACUGGAGCCACAUUCAAUUUGUGCUUGGUCCUCAAUUUUUUUCACGUUCAGUGUAAAAACUAAUUGUAGAGAAAAUCUAGGCCUAGUUAGAUGUAGGUUAGAGGUAGGUAGGUUUUAGGAAUAGGGGUCCUCUUAAUAAUAUACAGUGCUGUAUGAGAUACAGCGGAAGUUUAGUUUUUGUUUUUAAUAAAUUAUAAUUUUGAGUAUGUUUUAAAAUAUAUUUUUAUGUUGAGAGGGAUUUUGAUAGUCUCCUAAAUUAAAUGAAGUUUUUAAUAUUUAGUUAAAAGAUGAGGUAGCAAUGUGUAAUUACCUUGAUAUCUGCCAGCUAUGAGGUUAUACCAUUUAUUUCGGUGACCAUUUAAUGCCUAAAAUCAUCACCCAGCCGUUAUAUUAUUUUUUUAUUUUGACAUUAUAAAUCUAUAAAAAUUUUGUAAUAUAAAAAUUAGUGAAACCUCUUUGAUUUUUAUCGUUUUGGGAGUUUAUGUCUCUUUGAUCAAUUCUAUGAUGGUGCAGUGCAGUCUACACAUAUAGACCAAUAACAUAUCAAUUUUGUUUUUCUAAGCAUUUAGAAGAAAUCAACUCCAAAAUGCACCAUAGAGGAAUUCAAAUUGUAUCCAUCAAUAUUGAUAUGAGAAUUAAAAUAGUUUAUCAUUCUAAACCUCAGAUAGUUUUCAAACAAUUAUAUUAUUUGAUAGUGCCAAGUAUCAUAUUGUCCAUAAAAUAUUGUUGUUUUUAAUAUUAUUUGUACUAAUGACUCAUAUAAUUAAUAAUACGAUUUAAUUCUUGAUAUGGACAACUAUAAGAUAACAAUAUCUAAUUAAAAAUAUUUCAUACAAAUUUCUAUCAAAUUAAUCAAAUUACUUUUUAUGGUUUCAUUUACUCACUAAUUUGAAAUCACAAAAAUUUCUUUGAGUUGUUAUCGGAGCUUAUACAUGAUUACAUGUAACUUUAAUACUUGACGAUAUUGUUUUACUACUAGCAUUAUGAUUUAUGAUACUAUAACUCUUAACAUAUAUUAUUAACAUUGUUAAUAAGUAUAUUUGUUAGCCAGUACUAUUAUUAUUAUUUGUAAAUAGAACACAUAAAUGAUAAUUUUAUCAGGCCUCCAAACUCGAACUCAAAAUAUUUUUUUAACUCAUUUUAUUUUAAUUUAACCAAAUAAUAAAUAAUAAAAAAUAAGACCCUAGGUCUAAACUCACGGCCUCUCUCAAAGCACUAGACUCUACCCAUCAUCACCUCCAAGUUCCCAACGGAGCUUCCUUUCCUGGCCGUGUCCAAAAGACCAAGCUUUGCCGUCAACACCAAAACACCAAGUUUUCAAACUUUUCCGUUAGUUUGUGUGUGCUCCAUUGAAAUUGUAUGGCACAGUGGCCACUGGGCAGAAGAAAACAUGUUAAGGAAAAAAAAUUCUCACAAGAACCAACUAGCUAUAAAAUGCAAGAAAGCAUCAAAUGCGGCAUAUUAUUUAUUAGCAUACCUUUCAAUAUUCCUUUUAUUCACCUCUUGGUUAUCGGCACCGACAACACCUAGAUAUUAAAUAACACGAAGCACUGAAAAUGCAUCUCCAACUCUUUCACCUUCAAAUUUAAAUGGUGAUUUGUCGGGACAAGAAAUCCUUUGGUGAAAACCAUCACCUAUAUCCAAAAAUAUUCAUGUUAUAUCACAAAAAAUCAAUAACAAAAUUAUGCGGAAGCGUACUUGAAUCCAUAACAUUGAAUUGCUCUCUAGGAUUGUGUGGUUGGCCUUCCAAAUCUACAUGUUCUCCUAGAGAAUCCUUUAAGUUUCCUCAAGGCUAUCUUUCUGACGAUUGGAUUUCAGAAAGAAUAUAAAAAUAUGUGUGACCUGAGAACCAUAACCACUUAUCUAGACAACUUUUUUUCUAUUGUCUUUACAUAUUAAAUGCCCAUAUCCUAUUAGAUAUAUUAAAGUCCAUAACACCGAAAACUUAAAUAAACCAUUUUUAAUUGGGCUUAACCUUAUAUGACAGUCUGUAACACAUAAUUAUUCACAUAUAGGCCCAAUAUUGGAUUAAGGAUCCAACAAUAUUGGAUUAAGGAUCCAACAAUAUUGGAUUAAAAAUCCAACAAUCUCCCACUUGUGCUAUAUGUGUAACCUUAUAAUUAUGCUUUGUAAAUGUAACUCAAGAUCGAAAUGCACCACUAAUGUCAUUUUAAUCCUGAAAGAGUCUUUCAAAGAAACUAGAGAGAAAGUUUCUUUAUAGUCAAUGCCUUCUUUCUGUGUAAAAUUGUUUGCGACAAGACGCACCUUGUAUCUCUCUACAUUACCUUUCGAAUCCCUCUUGGUCUUAAAUAUUUAUUUGCAACCAAUAGGUUUCGCACCUUCUGCCAAUGGGACAAGAUCCCAUACGUCAUUGUCUUUCAUGGAUUUUAUCUCCUCAUUCAUGGCAUCAAUCCACUUCUGAGAGUUAAAACUUUUCAUGGCCUAACAUAAAUUGAUUGGAUCAUCUUCCAUCACUCCAAUGUCUACCUCAUGUUCUUAGAGAAAUAUAAUAUACCCCUAAAACUAAGCAAACAAACCCCCAACUCCCAAGCAACAGUCGAACAUCUCCACACACCACCAAAACACUCAUCAUUUCACCUCUCCCAUAUUAUCCAACUAUCACUCAACCUCCCUUUUAUCGAUCUCACAUUCAUCAAACUAUUAUAUUUAUCUAAGUAUUGAAGACAAAAUCAAGCAAUAAACUAAAGAAUAAUAAGAAGUUAUGGUUAGUAUUUCUUCAAUAUCUAUCUUUUAUUUUUUUUGUUGGGUUUCAUACAAAAGAUCCUCAUUUUACUACAAUAUGGGUACAUUAAAUGGUUAAUGUGAGGUCAUAAAUUUAUAAAUUAGUAAAAUUCUAGUAAAAUUCGACAAAAAUGGGUUUUAAACAAUGUUGAAGACGAAACCCAAAAUCCAAGUGACAAGUACCUGUCGCCCAAACUUAGAAUGACUUGUCGUACCGGUCGCUUGGAUGCCGGUAUUCAUCACCCAGAUGACAGAAUACUGCAUAUUUGGCAAUUAGUACUCAUGUCACCCAAUAAACAAUCGCUUGUAAUUUAGGCGAUAGUGCUGUCAUUCGGAUCACCUGAAUUUGUUGAUAAUUGGUUAUUUAAUUAAUAUAGUAAUCUUAUUGUUUGCAGUGUUUUUAAUAAAGUAUUAUUAUUAUUUUGCAUAAGGUUAAUAUAUUUGGUAGUUCUUAUGAUGUAUUUUGAUAUAAUGUGGGAGACUUUGAAGGAUGGUCGUAUGGACUACGAGAAUGGAAAAGUUACUGCAUUUUGGUUCCAAAAAGAUGUAACAUUUGAACAAUUUAUUGCAAAGUUGUAUGAAAUUUUGAAGAAAAGUCCAGAUGAAUAUUCCCUUUUGGUAAAGACAAAUGUGAAAUCAACUCAUCUGACGCAACCCAUUAAUUCACUACCUAUAGACAUAAUGGACGAUGAAAUGGUGAGAGUGAUUAUACGUAUGAACUCUGAUCCAAUUAACUAUGAGUGCACUUCUAUUUAUGUAACAACAAGUCCUAAAGUUCUGAUAGAACUUUCUUUGAUGCCAUCAAUUCAAACUUCAGCCUUUAAACACUACUCCCCAUUCCGCUCUUAUAAUGAUCCUAUUGAUGACAAUGUUGUCAAUACAGAUGUGAAUGCAUGCAAAAACAUAUAACAUUGAGUCCCAAAUGUAUUCUAAACAUUGCAAUAGUCCAAUCAACAUUUUGAAGGAUGUAGAUUGGUUUCAGGAAGUUAAUGAUUCAUCUUAAAAUCAUCUUAUCAGUCCAAGGAUCGGUAGCCAAAGUUGGUUUAUCAGUCUAAUGGCUCGUAGUUGAAGUCGAUCUAGAGUUCCAAGUCCAAUAGACCCACUACAGUUGAAGGCUCCAAUUGUGCCAUCAGAUUGGGUAGCUUCAGACAUGGUUGAUGGUUCUAUUUACAAGGGUAUUUGUGUGGGCCAGACCAAUUAUUCAGCAUGAAAAAACUUAAAGUAUUGUGCUCCACUGAAAUACUGAUCACGUAUUUACCAACCAAGUGUUUUUUGUGCAAAUGUUCCACAUUACCACAUUUCAAUCAUGUCACCAAGCACUAUUCUUAAAGAGAGAAACGUAACAUCUCGUUUGACUAAAAAUGAAGUUGGGGAAGAUAUUCCAAAACCUUUACGGGAAUGAAAUGAAUUUGAAAAGAGAAAAGCUUCUCUAAAUUCCAAGGCCAUGAAUACCUUGUUUUGUGCACUAGAUGAGAAAGAGUUUCAUAGAGUGUCUAGUUGCGAAAGUGCUAAUGAGAUUUGGCACAAACUUGAAGUUGUCUAUGAAGGCACGAACCAAGUGAAAGAAUCUAAAAUAAAUAGGUACACUCGACAAUAUGAAUUAUUCCAAAUAGAACAAAAUGAGAAUGUGUACUCUAUGUAUACUAGAUUUACGGACAUAGUGAACACUCUAGAAGCCCUAGGAAAGACCUUUUCAAAUAGCGAGAAAGUUAAGAAAAUCAUUAGGUUGCUACCUAAGGAAUGGAGACCAAAAAGGACUGUCAUUGAAGAAGCCAAAGAUUUAAAUGUUUUACCUAUUGAUGAUUUAAUUGGUUCUCUCAUUUCAUAUGAAGAAGAUUUGGCAGCUGAAAAAGGGCAUGAGGAAAAGAAGAAAAACAUUGCUCUCAAGGCUUUAAAACGUGAGAGUGAUGAUGAAAGCGAAAUGGAUGAUGAGGAGUUAGCAAUGUUGGUUAGAAGAUUCAGAAAAUUCUACAAAAAAAAUAAUGAGCAGAGAAAGUUCAGAGGCUAUAAGAAUAAGAAGGAGAAGAAGGAGUUAAUCACUUGUUAUGAAUGCAAAAAGCCUGGACACAUACGACCGGAAUGUCCUCUUCUCAACAAACUCAAGAAGAAAGCUAUGGUGGCCACAUGGGAUGAUAACGAUGAGGAAACAAGUGAUGAUGAUGAGCAACAAGAAAUGACAGAUUUAGCUCUCAUGGCCGUUGGGGAAGAAUCAUGUGAUGAACUUGAUGAGGUAAAUGUUCUUCCUACAUAUAAUGAAUUACAUGAUGCCUUUAAGGAUUUGCAUGAUGAGCUGAUGAAGAUUGGUAAAAAGAAUAUAUGUCUUAAAAAGAAGAUGAUAGAGCUUAAAAAUGAAAAUGAAUCAUUUAGUGCAAAGAUUACUUGCCUAGAAUUAGAAAAUAAAACAUUGCAUGAUAGCAUUGUAUUAUUUAAGAAUUCUAGCACUCCACAUGAGCACUUAGAGUCACACUUGAAUGACUUGAAAAAUGAAAAUGAAAUGCUUAGAAAGAAGAGCAAUGAACUAAAUGAAAUUGUGUUAAAAUUCACAAAUGGACAAAAGAUGUUGGACAAUUUGCUAAACUCACAAAAAUGUGUAUUUGACAAAAGUGGCAUUGGUUAUAAACCAAAUUUGAAACAAAAAUUUUACAAGAGUUAUUUUGUGAAGAAUACAUCUAUUAACAAUCAAAUUGUAUGUCAUUAUUGUAAUCAAGAUGGUCAUAUGAAAAAUAGAUGUGCAGUGAAGAGAAAUGCAUAUUAUGGUGUGAAAUGUGUUUGGGUUCCGAAAGGAACCAUUGCUAACUCUCAAGGACCCAAAAAGGUUUGGGUACCUAGAACUUGAGAUUUUUUCUAUAGGGCUUGAAGAAGAAGAAGAAUAAGUGGUACUUGGAUAGCGGUUGUUCAAGACACAUGACAGAGAAUUAUUCUUGGUUUUCAAGUUUUACUAAGAUCGAAAAUGGUGGAGAUGUAUCGUUUGGAGAUAAUUCAAAAGGAAAAACCAUUGGGAUUGGAAAUGUCGGUAAUGUAUCCUCUACUCUCAUUGAAAAUGUGUGUUUGGUUGAAAACUUGAAACACAACUUGCUUAGUAUUAGUCAAUUAUGUGAUAAAGGAUAUAUAUGUUAUUGAGAAUGCAUGUGAUGGGAAAGUUUUGUUUGUAGGAAAUAGAUGUGUUAAUGUCUAUACCAUUAAUAUAGAUUGUGUAUCAACAAAUGAUAAAUGUCUCUCCGCAUUGCAUGAUGAUGGGUGGUUGUGGCAUAGAAGAUUAGGUCAUGCAAGCAUGGAUUUGAUUUCAAAAAUCGUGAAAGAUGAUUUAGUUAAAGGUCUUCCAAAAAUCAGUUUUCAAAAAGAUAGAAUUUGUGAAGCAUGUCAAUUUGGAAAACAAAUCAAAACUUCCUUCAAAAGCAAGAAUCAUGUCUCUACUUCAAAACCACUUCAAUUACUUCACAUAGAUUUGUUUGGACCUUCUAGAUAUGCUAGUUUAAGUGGCAAAUUUUAUGCAUUUGUAAUUGUGGAUGAUUAUUCUAGAUACAUAUAGAUAUUGUUCUUAGCUAAUAAAGAUGAUGCCAUUGAUGCAUUUCGAAUUUUCUAUAAAAAGGUUCAAAAUGAAAAAAGGUUAUUCUAUUACUUGUAUUAGAAGUGAUCACAGUAGAGAAUUUGAAAAUCAUGUUUUAAAAAAUUUUUGUAAUGACUUUGGCAUUGAACAUUAAUUUUCAUCACCUAGGACUCCACAACAAAAUGGAGUAGUAGAGAGAAAGAAUAGGUCUAUUCAAGAAAUGGCUAGGACAAUGUUAAAUGAAAACUCUUUACUUAAGUAUUUUUGGGCCGAAGCCGUCAACACCGCUUGUUAUGUUUUAAAUCGUGUGUUGAUUAGACCUAAUCUUAAUAAAACUCCAUAUGAGCUUUGGAAAGAUAGAAAACCCAACAUUGGCUAUUUUAAAGUUUUUGGAUGCAAAUGUUUUGUUUUGAACACAAAAGAUAAUCUUAGUAAAUUUGAUCCAAAAUCUGAUGUUGGUAUUUUUCUUGGUUAUUCAAAUUCAAGCAAAACUUAUAGAGUUUAUAAUAAAAGAACUUUAGUGGUGGAAGAAUCUAUGCAUGUUACAUUUGAUGAGUCUAACCCCUCAUCUACGGAGAAAGUCGUUGUUGAUGAUAAUGCAGAAGAAGAAUAACAAGGAGAAGCAUCAAAUGACAACCAAGAAGACGCACCACAUGGAAUUCAAAAAGAACAUCAUGAAGAAACAAAUGUAGAGCAAAAUGAAGGUACUUCUCAAACACUCCCCAAGGAGUGGAGGUAUGUUUCCUCUCACCCUAAGGAUGUAAUUUUAGGAGAUCCCUUACAAUAUGUUACCACUAGAUCAUCUCUUAGGAACACAUGUGAGCAUGCUGCAUUUAUUUCUCAAAUUGAACCAAAAUCCUUUGCGGAUGCGGAAAAUGAUGAAUCUUGGAUUAUGGCAAUACAAGAGGAGUUGAAUCAAUUUGAGAGAAACAAUGUGUGGGAGUUAGUUCCUAAUCCAGAACAUCAAUCUAUUAUAGGCACUAAAUGGGUAUUUAGAAACAAAAUGGAUGAAUCCGGUAUGGUUGUAAGAAAUAAAGCUAGAUUAGUGGCUCAAGGUUACAACCAAGAAGAAGGAAUUGAUUUUGAUGAAACUUUUGCACCUGUAGCAAGAUUAGAAUCCAUUAGGAUGUUGUUAGCAUAUGCAUGUCAUAAGGAUUUUAUUUUAUAUCAAAUGGAUGUCAAGAGUGCUUUCUUAAAUGGUUAUAUUAUGGAGGAAGUUUAUGUGAAACAACCUUCUGGCUUUGAAAAUGAAAAAUUUCCAGAUCAUGUGUAUAAGUUAUCUAAGGCUUUGUAUGAUCUAAAACAAGCACCUAAAGCUUGGUAUGAUAGGCUUAAAAACUUCUUGUUGGAUAAUGAUUUUUCGAUGGGAAAAGCGGACACAACUCUAUUUGUUAAGCAUAAGAACCAAGAUAUACUUAUUGUUCAAAUUUAUGUUGAUGAUAUUAUUUUUGGUUCUACUAAUGAGUUGUUGUGUAAAGAUUUUUCAUCAUGUAUGAGCAAAGAAUUUGAGAUGAGUAUGAUGGGAGAGUUGAAGUACUUCCUUGGACUUCAAAUCAAACAAAACGAGGAAGAAAUUUUUAUAAAUCAAGCCAAGUACGUGAAAGAUCUACUCAAAAGAUUUGGCUAUGAUAAUGGAACGACAAAGAGCACUCCUAUGAGCACUACCAUCAAGCUGGACAAAGAUGAGAAAGGUAAGGAAGUUGAUAUCAAGACAUAUCGAGGUAUGAUCGGAUCCUUACUCUACUUGACUGCUAGUAGGCCUAAUAUUAUGUUCAGUGUAUGCUUGUGUGCUAGAUUUCAAUCUUGUCCUAAAGAGUCACACAUGCUUGCUGUCAAACACAUUUUUUUAUAUUUGAUUGGCACCAUUAAUCUUGGGCUUUGGUAUCUUAGGGGAACUCAUAUUGAUUUAACUUGUUAUUCGGAUGCUGAUUUUGCUGGAUAUAAGGUUGAUAGAAAAAGUACUAGUGGAACAUGUCACUUCCUAGGCCAUUCUCUUGUCUCUUGGUUUAGUAAGAAACAAAACUCGGUUGCGCUUUCAACCACCGAGGCAGAAUAUAUUGCCGCAGGUAGUUGUUGUGCACAAAUUCUUUGGAUGAAACAAACCCUUAGAGACUAUGGUAUUAACCUUAAUCAAAUACCUAUCUUGUGUGACAAUACUAGUGCUAUAAAUCUUUCCAAGAAUCCCAUUCAACAUUCUAGGACUAAACAUAUACAAAUUAGACAUCAUUUCCUUAGAGAUCAUGUUCAAAAAGGAGAUGUUGUAAUUAAAUUUGUUUCUACUGAAAAUCAGCUUGCAGAUAUCUUUACAAAACCUCUUAGCGAAGAGCAUUUUAUAAAGAUAAGACAUGACAUUGGAAUGAUGAAUGUUGCAUCUUAACUUAUGUUUUACUACAUGGCUUGAUAUAUUUGUUAUUAUAUGGAUUUAUGCUUCAUGUAUUAGAUAGCUUGAUAUGCUUGUAAUUUUAUGAUUUUAUGUUUCAUGCAUUAAAUGGCUUAUUGAAAAGUUUUAAAUCUCAAAAUGAUUUAAAAUUAAUCAAUUUUAAAAGCAAAAAAUAAAAUGGUGUGUGGAAUACAAGUAUAAGAGCUAGCCAAUAUUCAAUUAGAGACAAAAAGAUUUCCAAGUCUAAACCGGUAUACCACUUCCUCUCAUUCGAAAAACCGUUUUUCUUGUUGAUUUCUCUCGGGACAAAUUCCGGAUAACCAGAUUUUCUAAACUGGUGAGCCGCAUUAUCUUUGGUUGCUCCCGGGUCAAUAUUCGGAUAACCGGAUUAUCAAUUUGGAAAACCGGAUUCACGUAUGGCCUUCACUGGAUUUAACCGGAUAGCCGGUUCUGUAAAUCCGGAAAUCCGAAUUCAAGCUGCACUUUGGCAGCAUUCUGGAUUCAUUCGGCCAACCGGUUAAGGAAACCGGUAAGCCAAUUUUAACUUGCUAUCUUCUGGAUCCAACCGGCAAGCCGGUUCGUGAUAUCCAGAAAACCGAAUUCGAGUGAAGGACUUGCUGGAACAUAAUCGGAUUUCUGGUUAAACACAUCCGGCAAGCCGCUUUCAGCUUUAUAGCUUCUGGACACCAACCGGUUAGCUGGUUAGUGACAUGCGGCAAGCCGGAUUCGAAGGCAUUUUUAAAGUGUUCAUCUUUCUUCCUCAUUCGGCAAUCCGGAUCUUGUUCUCUCUCUAAAAACCGAUUCCUCUCUCUCAUUUUUCACUCCCAAAUCAACAAUUUCUACUCGAUUUUGAUGCAAAUCAGUCCAUAAAUCCUAAUCCCCAUCCGUUCUUAUGCCUAAAAUCACACUCAAAAUCCAUUUUCAACAUCUAAAUCUUUAGAUCCGAAUUUCAACUUAAGGUUUAACUGAACUUUUCUCUCUAUAAAAUUCGUCCCCUCAAGUUGUUUUUUUUAUCCAAAUUGCUUCCCAAAAUUACUUUCAAUCUUCAUCAUCUUCAUUUUCUUUGCUGUUUUCAACUUCAAAUCCAUCAAAAUCACAAUGUCAAGCUCUCGGCCGGUUAGAAGAAAAGGCAAAGAACCGGUUCAACCAACCAACCGGUCACGGCAAGCAGGGGGCACCUCUAAUCAAUCCAAUUUCGAGUCCACACACUUUCAGAACAAGAACCAUCUGGCCAAACAUUUUCACGAACAGUUCCUAACUCGUGAGGUACUCAAAACCUUUUUUGUUUUACCGGAUUGGUUAAAUCAUCUUAGUAUUAGCAAUAGAACUUUAUUGCAAUUAUUGGAAGAUGUUAGUUGGCUUAAUGCACUUGUUGUUGAGGAAAAUGUAUAUCCUGACAUGGUGAAAGUGUUUUACUAGAAUAUGGAUUGUUCCGCGGAGAAAGAGAAUCGAGUAAUCACCACAGUUGGAGGAGUUUUGAUUGAGUUUGAUGAUUCGGAGUUGAACUCCAUCCUAGGAUCUUCCAAUGAUGGCCUAGAAAUUUUUUCACCUAGGAAACCUCCUGACAUUGAUGACUAUGUUUCUAUUGAUGCUGUUAAGAAUAUAUGUCAUCGUGUCAACCUUUCCGAUGAAGAUUGUACUAUCCAUUUUCGCACCCAAUGUCUUUGUCUUCAAACUCGGAUAUUACUUCGUUUUAUUCAGAGUAUUGUCCUCCCUAGAUCAGGCCAUUUGGAUGAGGUCUCUCAUAUGGAUGUCGCCUUGAUUGAUUGUAUUCUUAGACAUCGUCCAGUCGACUUAGGAUAUACCAUUGUCUGAAACAUGCUUAGUAUACCUAAGUUGAUUACCCGUUCCCUUCCAUAUGGUCAUUUCAUUACCUGAAUCCUGAAAUUUUUUGAUGUACCGAUUAAAGAAUCGCCGUGUAGACCAUCUAAGGGUAUCGGGGAUGAUGCUAUUUUCGGCUCAGGCUUUGAGUGGAAAAAUGGCACUUGGGUCAAAUACACUGAGAACAAGUUUACCUUUCUUGCUCCAAGUGAUGAUCGGCCACUUAAUGUUGUGGCUCCAGCCGAUCAGCUAACCAUUUUCUCACUCUCAUUUCGGGGGCAGUGUAGACGCCGAGAUCCUCCCGUGAUUGCUUCACCUCCACAGCCUCCUACCUCUGAAGAUGGUACUCUUCAGCAGCUUAUGGAUGAGGUGCGGACACUCUCGGUGCGGCAGACUGAGUUUCAGCAACAGCAGCAGCAGCAGCGGCAGCUACAACAGUAGCUCAUUCAUGGACAACGCCUUCUCUUUGAGCACUUUAGCAUUCCAUAUCCGUAUCCACUUCCAUCACCACCUCCAUAGUCUCUUAUGCUUGUAUUUGGACACACCUACAUUUCAUUUUCUGCAUUAUGUUCUUUUAUUUUCGACUAUAUGGAUGUUUAUUAUGCUUUUGGAUUAUGUAUUUGUUUUGGAUGAUAUGGAUUGUUUUGAUUGUUUGUUAUGGAUUAUGGAUAUUUUUGAACUAAUGUUCUUAUAUUGCGAUUUUGAUGAUUGAUAGAGGGAGCUCUUAUUCUCUUAUUCUUGUAUUCUUUUUUAUGAUGAAGGGGGAGAAUAAUUUAAUAUGAGUUAUAAAAAGUGUUAUAAAAAUAUGCAUUUAUCCAGGGGGAGUAUGCAUGUAUGCAGGGGGAGUCUUUUUAAAUAAUUUUCAAAUAAUUUUUUUUUACCUUGCAUUGAUUAAGGGGGAGCUUUUCAUAACUAGAUUAAAUUUUUAUAAUAUGUUUUGUCAUCAUAAAAAAGGAGGAGAUUGUUAGCCUAUAUGGCUAUAGAUAUUGAUUUUGAUGAUAACAAACCACAUGUGUUGAUUAAACAAAGAUUUAUGAAUUGUGCUUUUACAAUAAGAAAAUAAUGUUAUGGAAUUAAAGUAUUUUGGACUAAAAUGAAAGUAUUUUAAAACCUUUGAUAUUGUUUUAAAAUUUCAGAUUUGGACCUAUUUUAAACUAUUUAAAUAUUUUAGGUCAUUCUAUAAUUUCACAUAGUUUGGGUGAAAUCAUAAUUUCAGAAAGUUUUGGGAUUGACAAAGCAUUACUUAAAAAUUCCGAAAUUGGACCUAUAUGAAAGCUUUCAUAACGUUUUGGGCCAUAAUAUAGUUUUAUAACGUUUUAGGGUAAAACUGUAAAAUUAGAAAAUAUUUCACUGUAGCAAUUACUAUAGCAAGCGGCUAGCCGGAUCCUGACAAACAAUAGACCGGAUUCGGGCAGGAUGUUUCUGGAACUUAAACGGCUUACCGGAUUUCACAAGCGGCAUACCGGAUGUUCAGAAAUUCAAAAUUGUGGCUGUAACGGUAACAUUAAGUGGCUAACCGGAUGUUCAUAAACGGCAAGCCGGUUAUGACCAAAAUGUGCAUAACGGCUAGUUUUUGAGCUCAAACUAUAUUAACUCAAAUCCAACUCAUUUUUAAGCUCUCCAACAAGCAUAAACAAAAAGCACACGAGAUAUCUUGAGCUUCUAAUUUGCAAAACACAAAACAUUGAAUCAUUACUUGUUCUUCAUUUUUGAAUAUCUACUCUUUGAGUGAGCUUUAUUGUAACUUUCAUUUCCUCAUCUCAAUUGUAAGAGUUUAAGUGUGUGAGACACUUAAAUGAAGAGAUUGGGAGAUAAUCGCUUUGUUGUAAAGGUUCAUUGACACAUUGAAGUCAAUUGUAAAUGGUUGAAGCCUUGGAAAGACUUGGAUAGUGAAAUCCUCAAGCUUGGAUCGCUUGGAGGCGUGGACGUAGGCGGGGUUUGCCGAACCACGUAAAAUUUUGUGUGUUUGUUUCUCUUCUACCUUACUCAUUAGUUAUUGUGCUUUUAUUGAACUUAUUGCUUUCAAUUUUUAUUAAGACAUUAGAUUGCUUGUUGUGUGGAUUGGCUAGGAUAAUUUUUAAAAUUCCAAUUCACCCCCCCUCUUGGGUUGCACACUUAAAUUUCAAGCUUAACAUGGCCAAAUUUUAGGCAACACGAGCAACCACUCAUGUUCUUGAUUGGUGGGCACACCAACCUUCUCUUUAACCUCAAAAUAAUUCUAAGUUUAGAUCAAUAAUUUCUUAAAGACAUUUAAAUAAAUACUUGGUGUGCCAUUUAUUAGAUAUCUUAAUCUUAAGAAAACUCUAAUAUUUUCAUACCCAAUACACAUCCUAAUGAUUAACUAUGAUCAAUGAUGAAUCAACUAGGCAAUUUAAACAAAAAAUUAUUCUAAAUUAAUGAAACAAAUUGUGAAAGUACCUAAGCCGCCAAAACCGUAAGUGAAUAAACUUGUUGGAACCAAACUAUAACUCACGUAAUUGCCAAUAGAAGUGAAAGAAAUUGCUACCGGAAGUGAAGGUUACUCUAUCAGAGCGAUGUAGCUAAAUUGGGCCGAGUAUUGAGAGGUUUUUCCCAUACUCUACUCGUGCGAUGAUGAUCCCGACGAGUAUUGAGAGUUAUUUCCCCUGGGUACUAUUUGGUGCAGUUUGUGAUGUAUGUAUGUAUGAAUUCCAUGUUUGCUGAUGUAUGUUAUUCAAUGUGGAGUUAUGUCACAUAAUUAUGCAUAAGCGCUAGUACACUAUAUUAUUAUUAUUAUUUUAAUAUAUAUAAUUACAUCCACUCACUGAGCCGCAAGCUCACUAUUUUCCUAUUUACCCCUUUCCUCCCAGGAUUUCGCAGGAUUUCGUUCAGAUCAAUUCUAGUUAAUUAAGGUUGGGCCACGAGAUGUAUUGCUACAUGUCUUGCAUUUUGAGCACGUUUAUGUUGCUUAUGUUUUAUAUGUAAAUAUACAUGAAAUGUCAAUAUGUACAAUGAGACAUAAGCUAUGCAAGUUUUGAAUUCAUAUAUGGUUUUAGAAAAGGCACAUAGGUGGUUAUGUGUUUAUAGGAAAGACCAUAUUUUAUACACAUUUUCAUGAAUUAAAUUUGUGCUACAAGUUUUAAUUAUUAGUCCGUACGAUUCACCUCAAUUCUAACAUGCAGUUUGGGGCGGGUCGUGUUAGAUUUGCCCUUGAGCUCAGUGGCAACGGCUUUAUAUUAUGGAGCAAGUUUCUUGCUCUGGGGGGCCCAUGGUGCAUAAAAAAGGACCAUCACAUGCUGAUUCUUGGCUAUAACAUGACUAAAAUUCUUGUCACUCGGUUUCACCGCAUCUUCUUUUUCAUCAAUUGCCGGCGGCAACUUGUGCUUUUGAUCAUUGAAACUGUUGUAAGAAUCUGAAAGUUCAACAGUGUUUCCGUAAGAGACUGGAGGAAGUUUCUUGAAUACGGAAACACACAAUACAUAGCCUCCGUCAUAAUCUAUUUUGUAAACACAGAAAGGCGAAAGACAAAAAAGAACGAACAAAAGAAAAAUUGUAGUGGAGAGCAUAAGGAGAUAAGCUUUUGUUGACAUUGUUUGAGCAGUUGGCCUUGUAUUUGAGAUCUUCAAAUAAUUGUUAGCUAAUGACAAGAGAGAAGUAAUUAAAUGCUCCUUGUAUUAUUUAUUUUCAAAGAUGCAGACAAAAGGCUAAAAAAAUUUUUUUUUUAAAGUAUUUUGACUUCUAUUCAGAAAUUACAUUAUUAACACAUUGUUGAUAGAAACAAAACCCUCUAGCUUGACAAAGCACAAUCGAUAAAGACAAGAGCCACGUCUCUAUCUCAUAAAACCAGUGUUUCUGUAAACAUCACUAUGGAAUAGUACUAUCACCGAAUCUUGAUCAUCUCUUAUUACAAUCUUUAAAAUGCAUCUGCUUGGACUUUGUAUUAAAAACUUUCUGUAUGUGAAUGGAAUGACUACAUUUGUUCGCAAAUUUAAUUAAAUUCUCCAAUUAGUUCUUUCUUGAUCAACUUCAUUAUUUCAGAGGCUUAUGCAGAAUUACACAAAUUUACCACUAAUCGGAGCAAUAAUGUCGAAGACAUCUUGUUACAAAUAUCACAUACUAAUGAAAACUUGCUUCUCUUGCUUCCUUAUUUCAAUUGGGACCAAAGUGACAUUUCUUUUGAGUUCAAAAAGGGAAAACAUCUCUGUGUACCGUUUGUGUCACGUUCUCUUAAUAGAAAAAUAUAACCCCAAAAGUUCUUGAUUUUGGUAGUUUGGUCUUUGUAUUAGAACUUGCAACCUGUUUCAUGAGAAAAAAUAAUAAAAAUUUGCUCUUAUUUUUCUUGCAAUCUAACAAGGUGCUUAACAAUUUUGGUUACCAAUUGAUGUUUAUCUAUUGAAUGCAGUUAUCAAUGAGUUAAAUGAAUAUAAUUAAAGGUCUAAUACAUAUUUUUAUAUAUAGAAUAUAUGCCAUAAUUUAAUGUGACCUCUGCCGUACUCGGAGCAAAAGAAACCCCUGCUAAUGGCUGCAUGUUUAUACAACUCCUCAACGCAAGCGAUAUCGUAAACGACGUCGUCCCAGUUGUGGCAUAACAACAUCGUCACCUCGACUUCCUCGAACCUCCCUUGCAAAUCCUUCAACACGCGCAGCAACUCCAGUACAGUCGCCACACGCGGCCUUGGCACCAUAUUUAUUUAUUUAUUAAUUCUAUUAAAUCCCAUUUAAUUUAAAUUAAAAAAUAAUUAAAACAAAAGUCACAUUACUUGUUUUUGUGUUAUAGGGGCCCACCUUGUAAAAUAACACAAGGUCCCUUACAGUUAUAGUUAUCUUGCUUAUUAAUCCAGUAGUGGUGCAGUCAAUUAAAUAAGCUAACUCGAAGAUCAUUUGGGAACAUACAAUAGUGGCUAUAAUAAUUAGGCAUGUAAUUAAACUAGCCCAAUUAUUUAAUUCCAAAUCUACUCCACUAAAAGAUUGGAACUGACCUCCAUAAUUGUAUACUCGAAUAAUAAUUCGUCCCAAGACACAUCAAUUUCUUUACUGCAUAAUCCUUUGUACUAUAUCAUUAAUUAAAUCGAUAUCUUAAUUGUCCAAUUGAUUUAAUUACAUCUUAUUCCUUGAUACUUAUUGAUUUUCUCUAAUGAUCAUUUUCAACAUACUAAAUAUGUUGACACACUCUGGCCAAAGAAUUCUAUGAUCAAGUGCUGAAAAUCCAUCAAGAGAUGUGUUGUACAAAUUCUAUAUUGUUAAUCUAUAACUCCAAUACUCAUAAUUGCUCCCACCAAGAUACUGGGUAAUCUUGACCACAAUUGUGUGUCUUUCCCAUUGGUAACUCAAAUGGAAUAACAAUUACAAUCAUGAAAUCAUAACUAAGUUAAGAUUAAGAUUACGGUAAAAGCAAUGCCUAUGAGAUUUAAUAAGUCUGACAGUUAUUUCAAGGUUAAUUAAAUCUCAUAUGUGAUCUAACUCAAUGUAGUCAAUCUACAUCAGUAAAUUCAUACAUGAUUAAGAUAAAUUAUUCAAUGAAUUUACUACAGUCUAAACAUAAAUAGAGCGCCCAACUUUAUUUAUCAACUACGAAUUUAAUUUAUCUAAUCAUAAAAUGACUUGUAUUUAUGUCUUCUGUGAAUCCAUAUGAUGAUUACAUAAAUACAUAUAAUAUGAUUAAACGGACCUUAUUCAAAAUAUUAUACAAUUGAAAAUAUCUCAAAUAUUUUAUUAAUCAGAAAAUAAAUUAAUAUGCUUUAAAAAAGCAUAUAAUCCCAACACUAUGGCCCCACCCAAGGACUCAAAAUAUAAAAACGCGGGCAAAUCCGGCGCAUGUCUUGGAAUGACAUACCAUAUGUAAUGCUAAUUAUUUGGGAUGAAAUUUAAAAUAAAAUAAAUUUAGUAUGCUUACUCUUGCAUAAAACAUUUCUUCUUUUUUUUUUUGGUAGAGUUAUUUUGCAACUAAUAAUUUAAUUUAUAAAUAUAUUUUUGUUUUAUCAAUAAUAACAUUUAAUUUGCAACUGUUGGGGAUUCCUAUUCCCUAGUGUUGGCUCGAGGAGAGCUUGGCAACAACCAUUUCAACGAAUCUAUGACAAGUUUUAUCGUGACAAUUGAUUUCUUUGCACUUGUUAAUUGAUUUCUUUGCACUUGAUAUACAAUACAUAUCAAAUUAUAUCAAUUUUAAAGCUAUAUACUAAGAAUUCUAACAUAAUCAAAUGCAGAUAGGAGCAAUUAAUUGACAAUCAACAUGCCAAUUGGAAAAGUUAAACCUGUGUAAGGAAUUUGUUGAGUAUCCGCAACAUAGUAGAAAUAUGGUAAAGUUAUGAUAAGACAACUGUGACAAAAUAAUAUGUCAAUAUUCAAUUAUUGAAUAUAAAUUAUGACUCUAUUUGGUAUUGAGAUGUUAUGAUAUAAAAAAAUGAUAAAGUAUGAAUACGUAAUAAUUUUGAAAGUUAUUAUGACUUUUUAUUAUAUAGAUAAAACAAAUUUGGUUUUUAGAUUAUAGCAGUAAGUAUUUAUUAAGCUAAUUAGAGUUAGAAUUUAAAAGCUAUAGCUUCCAACAAUAAUUAAGCAUGGCGAAUAUCUAAAAACAAGUCUACUAGAAAAACUUUUAUUUCUACAAAAUAAAAAAUGCAUGUGAUAUGUAAUUUUUAAGGAUUCGAAGUUAUCGCUGCAGAGGAAACAAAAGAAUUUUAAAAAGAGAAUUGCUUUAUGAAAUAAUUUGUUUGCAUCCUUUAUUCAAACAGCUUUAGGCUUUUUAUAAGAGCCAAUUGGAAACACGCAAUCUACACUAGUAAUUGCACUUGGAACAACAAAAGACACCCUAGACAAUAACACAUGAAAUACAAGAAAUAAUAGGAAACAUGGGUAAUAAUUUUGCACACAUAGUUAAUAGACCACUUGUCAAGUGCCCACUUAUUUCAAAGCUCUUAUUACUAAGUCCUAGACUCCCCUUCUCAAGCACAUGGCUAUCAGGUACCUGGGAAGCUUGUUAAAUGCAUGGUUCUUGCUCAUCUUUGGGAGACAUAUCAGCAUGCUUGGAAAGAGAUACACGCAAGACAAUCAACACAAGAUUUGCUUUAUUUCUAGGAUGCAUGGGCAAGCACUCUACUUAUAGAACUCCAUAACCCAGAGAUUACCAAUAGCACGUUCACAACUCAUCCCACUAAAACCAGCGCCAGUAGCCAGGGUCAUGAAUUCAUGCCUUGUUCUCUCCUUUCCAUCGGGUCUUUGAAUCAUCAUAAGCACGUCAAAAUGGAAAUUUGAUUUUGAUUCAAUGCUUGUAUUAGGAACUUCUGGAAGCAUUAACUCCACAACGAUUACCUUUCCAUCUUCUGGAAUGCUUUUGUAGCAAUUCUUCAACAACUUCAAGCAAUGUUCAUCAUUCCAAUCGUGCAGUAUUGUUAGAGUGCAAUUUAUGCACUAGUUUUGCAUUGCUUACUUCUUUUAAUAUCGAUGUUUUGCACUUAAUAAUAAUGAUUUACUUGUGUUUUACUUUUAUAGGUGCAAUUCUAUUGAUUUGUGAUAAAAUUGAGGUAUAAGAUGAUGUUUAAAGAUGAUUGUUCUCUUGGAGAAAUUAUGAGCGGUAGAAGAACUUUGUUGAUAAGGCGUGGGCGCGUGCUGUCAACUGCAAACCUGCAGUUUUUAGUUUAACGUGUUUUGUAUUUUUGGUUAUUUUUGUAAUUACGAAUUUAAUAUUUCAGAUAUUAGUAUUUUAUUUUAAAUAGAAUUCUAGAGUAGAAGAGAGAGAGAGUAUUUAAGGGAGGAAUCUAUUGUGAAAAAGGGGGAUUUUUUGGAGAAAAAGAAAGAAACCCUAGAUCUUAAUUUUUCUCUUAUCUCUAUAAAGAACUAAACCUAUUUUUCUGGUUGAAGGAUAAUGAAGCUUUGAUUCAUCACUACUGUGAGAUCUUUCUUGUGCUUUAAUUGUUUUAUUGCUUUUUGGGUAUUUGUUUAUUCUCUGAAUUAUUUUCAUGAUUAUGUUUGUUAAUUAGGUAAUUGGCCACUAUUUAAUUAUCAACUUAAUCUAUUGUCAAUUAAAGGAUUCAUCGUAUGAAGAAUUUAAUGUUUGUGACAAAUAACAUAGCAGAGAGUUGUGUUGUGAGAAUAAACAAUCUAAUUUAAAUGAAUCAUCAUAUGUGUUGAUUAGGAUUUGGGUCUCUCUGAUUUUUCAGGCUGUCAAUUGAUUAAAUCCUAUGAUCGUAUCUAGGGUUGUCUAUUGAUUAGGGAAAUAUCCAACGGUCGUACCUUGGUUAUCGACUAGUUAAGGAGAGAUUGGCUAUUAGAGGGUCUCAAUAGCUAUAACCGGUGUAUUCAUAAGUAAUAAUAAUCUAUAUUUGAAUCAAUGAUCAGUAGUCGAAUCAAGCUGAGUUAAUUCCUUCAACCAUAGCUUUCUCCAAUUUGAAUUACAACUUUAAUUUGCAUUCUUGUUAUUUUGAUUUGAUUUUUAUUAUUGUCAAAAAUUCCCCCAUUUUACGUUUUACGUUUCAAAAAGAUUUAAAUAAUUAUCGAUCUCUGUGGACACGACCCUGCUCAAUCACUAUACACAAUUUAUUUAGAGUAGGAAUUUAUUUUUGUUGGCUUCGACAACCAUCAAACUUUGGCGCCGUUGCCGGGGAUUGGUGUCAUUUAUUUAAUCAUUUUUACGUUUUACUUGGUGUAUGGUUCGUUCUUCUCGUACAGGUACACUUUCGUUUGAUCCUGAAAUUGAGAAGACAGCUCGCUAGUUUAGACAGCAGACGAAGCGAGCUAAGCAACGGUCCUCGUCGCCUUUGCUUUCUGAAAUAGAUACAGUACCUAAUUCAGUUGAAUCAUCUAGCGAUUUAGAAGAACAAAUGAUGGAUAGAACUGCACCUAUAGAAAGAACUCUUAGAGAGUUAGCUGAACCAAACUUGAAUCAGCAACCACUCUGCAUUCAAUAUGUAGACUUAGAGGUAAAUUUUGAAUUAAAGUCUGGUCUUAUUCAUUUGUUACCCAAGUUUUAUGGUUUUGCAGGUGAAGAUCCUCAUAAACAUCUUAAGGAGUUUCAUGUUGUGUGUUCAAGUAUGAGACCACAAGGCGUGACUGAAGAGCAGAUUAAGCUGCGUGCUUUUCCGUUCUCUUUAGGUGGGUUAGCUAAAGAUUGGUUGUACUACUUGCCUCCUGGAUCGAUUACAACGUGGAAUGGUUUGAAGAAGCAGUUCCUCGAGAAGUACUUUCCUACUUCAAGAGCUGCUAACAUCAGAAAAGACAUUUGUGGGAUCAGACAACUUCCUGGGGAGACUUUGUAUGAGUAUUGGGAGCGAUUCAAACAAUUGUGUGCCAGCUGUCCUCAGCAUCAGAUUUCUGAUCAACUUCUUAUUCAAUAUUUUUACGAAGGACUAUCAUUGAUGGAUAGGAGUAUGAUAGAUGCUGCUAGUGGAGGCGUGUUGGUAAACAAGACCCCUACUCAAGCAAGGGAGCUGAUAUCAAAUAUGGCUGCCAAUGCACAACAAUUUGGCAACAGGCAAGAUCUCACUUCAAGGAAGGUGAAUGAGGUAAAUAUUUCUUCUGUUGAAUAACGUUUAGAUAAACUUACUUCUCUUAUGGAAAAGUUUGUUGUAGGUAAUGUGCAACAGGUGAAGACUUGUAGUAUUUGUUACAAUAUGGGUCAUUCAACUGAUAUGUGUCCUACACUUCAAGAAGAACCCAUUGAACAAGCCAAUGCAGUUGGAGGAUUUCCAGGCAUGCCUCAGAGGAGGUAUGAUCCUUAUGCACAAACAUACAAUCUGGGAUGGAAGGAUCAUCCCAACUUCAGCUAUGGAGUUAGGCCGUCAGGAUUCCCACAACAGUAUCCACCAAGACAACCAGCACCUCCACAGUCAACCUCCAAGCCAGGUAUAUCUCUUGAAGAAAUUGUUAAAUCGCUUGCGACUAACACUCAAUAAUUUUAGCAGGCAACUACAGCAAGCAUUCAGAACUUGGAGAACCAAAUGAGUCAAUUGGUGACUACAGUGAGCCGUCUGGAGUUUCAAGUAUUAGGGAGAUUGCCUUCACAAUCUGAGGUGAAUCCAAAGCAAAACGUUAGUGCUGUCAUCCUUAAAAGUGGGAAAGAGUUGCAAGAGCCUAGUAAGAAAGUGACAAAGCAUAUAGAAGAUGAGCUUGAGAAGAAUGAAUUGAUGCCUCAAUCUCAAGAUGCGCAACCCAACAGAGUGAAACCCCUACAUAUUGUGAUACCUCCUCCUUUUCCAAGCCUGUUUGUAAAAUCCAAGAAGGAGGAACAAGAGAAAGACAUCCUUGAGACAUUUCGCAAGGUUGAGGUAAAUAUUCCUUUAUUAGAUGCUAUAAAACAAAUACCUCGAUAUGCUAAAGUCCUUAAGGAACUAUGCACCUCUAAGAGAAAAUUAAGAGGAGAUGAAAAAGUUCACAUGGGGGAGAAUGUUUCAGUAGCUCUCCAAAAGAAACUACCUCCUAAGUGCAAGGAUCCAGGCAUGUUUACAAUCCCUUGUAAAAUUGGUAGUGUUAGAAUUGAAAAGGCUUUGUUAGAUCUAGGAGCUUCUAUUAAUGUCAUGCCUCGUUCCAUUUAUUCAUCUUUGAAUGUUGGCCCAUUAAAAGAAACUGGCGUGAUAAUUCAACUAGCUGAUAGGUCUAAUGCAUAUCCUGAUGGGGUAUUAGAAGAUGUCUUAGUACAAGUUAAUGAGUUGGUUUUUCCUGCUGAUUUUUAUGUACUUGAUAUGGAAGAUGAUAACUCCUCUAAUUUUGUCCCAAUUUUGCUAGGAAGACCUUUUCUUAAGACUGCUAGGACUAAAAUGGAUGUACAUAAAGGGACUCUCACUAUGGAGUUUGAUGGAGAGGUUAUAGAAUUCAAUAUGAAUGAUGCCAUGAAAUAUCCUAGUGAGGAACAUUCGGUAUUUUCUAUGGAUGUUAUUAACCCUAUAGCGCAGGAAGUUUUUUAUAAGGAAAAGACGAAGACAUUUCAUGAUAGAAUGAUUUUGAGAAAGGAGUUCUCUGUUGGUCAAAAAGUUCUUCUUUUUCAUUCUAAGCUUAAACUUUUUCCGGGUAAAUUACGUUCUUGCUGGGUUGGACCUUUUAUUGUUACUAAUGUUUUUCCUCAUGGUGCAGUUGAGAUUCGGAGUCCGACCUCUGACAAAGUUUUUAAGGUUAAUGGUCAUCGCUUAAAACGUUUUUAUGAAGGUUUUUCGGUGAAUAUUGUGGAGGAUGUGGCUCUCGAGAGUCCCAAUUAUAGAGAUUGAUGCAUAAAUGUGUCUAGCCAAAGACAUAAAAUAAAGGCGCUUUUUAGGAGGCAACCCAAAAGAUUUAUUUAUUUUGAUUUUAGUUAUAUCUUUUAUUUUUAAUUUUGAUUCAGAUUUUUUUUAAUAAUGCUUUUGCUUAUUUUGACCAGAAGAAAAUUUUCGAUAAGGCGUGCCCACGUCUUAACUAAUAAGUACUUCUGUGAUUUUUAAAGUAAAAUAGUUUUAAGGCGUGCCCACGUGCUUAUUAGAAAAGUACUUCUGAAAUUUUUAGUGUCUCAAAGUGAUUCAUCACUUAAAAAAAAAAAUCACAAAUCACUGUUCAUAAAUCCCUAAUUCAAAAAAAAUAAAAUUCACUGUUGAUUAUCUUUUUCUCCCGCAGCAACCAGCAGCUGCAGCCCACGCAGUAGCAGCAACCGUGCGAAAUCAGCAGCAAUUGUGCGCGCAACACAUCCCACGCAGCAGCAGCAGCCGUGCGCCCCGCCAGCAGCACGCAACACAGCAGUGCGCAAGCAGCCCCAAGCCGCGCAGCAAGCUCCAACUGAGCAGCAACGCAACGCAACCAGCCUACGCACUGUAUUCCAGCCGGGUAAAUCGAAAUCCGUGAGUGCAAUUAUUGUAACAAUGCUGAAGAGGAAAGCAUCUAUUUCCAAGUCAUCGAAAAAGACACCCGUCGCAAAGAAAUCUAAGAUUGCCGCUCCCACUAUGGUUCCAUGGAAUACAAUUUUAGAUUCACGCCAUGCCGUGAGACAAAGAUCGAAGCAUGGAAAAGGCAUGAGUGUUUUGCCACUUGCGGAAUCCAAUUUCGGAGGGUGCCUCGCAUUCGCAACUCAACAAGAGAAAGAGAGGUACAAAGACAUUUCCACGCGCAAAAUACUUCCAGCUAAGUAUAUUCAUUACCCGACUCUUGAAAAAUUGAAUGUUAAGGAUAAUUUUGAUUAUUUGAUAGAUAAGAUUGGGUUGCGUAAGUUUAUUGAUGUUGAUUGUUUGGGUUAUGUUGAGUUGAUUAGGGAGUUUUAUGCUACUUUUCAAUUUAAUAUGCCGAAUGAUUUUACUUUACAUACCCCGGAUGUCAUUAAGUUUAGGUUAAUGGGACGAAAUUUUUCACACUCUAUCAUGGAUUUUAACCUAGCUUUAGGAUUCAUUGAUGAUGAUUAUUCUUCUAGUGAUGCAUAUUUAGGAACAACUUGUGACUUUAGCGAAAAUUUUGAGCCUUAUGGUCUUUGGCGUAAUUUAUCUGUUGAUCACAAUGCCUAUGACCCAAGUAAAUCAAAGAGUUCUUUCUUACGUGAUCAUGUUUUGAAAUGUGUGCAUCGAUUCUUAGCAUAUAUUUUUUUAGGCAAGAAAGAUCACUCAGGAGUUUUCUCUAAAACUGAAUUUUAUUUUAUCUGGUCCAUGUUAAAUGAUGUAAGGCCUAAUUUAGGUUUUUGGUUAGCGGAUCAAUUUCAAAGUGUGCUUAAACGGUAUAGGACUUUAUUUCUUGGUCCAUACAUUACUUUGUUAGCUAUAAACCUAUGUGUGCUUAAUCCCGACAAUAAUGAUUUACAUCCUGCUUGCAAAAAAGAAUUUUUGGAUAUGUCUGUGUUUGAAAGAACAAGUGUGGUCGAAUUCAAGGAGGGGAGAUUUCAGUUUACUGAACCAGGACCCACUCAACUUCCGAAGAAGCUUUAUGCUAGGAGUGGUGCUACCUCUGAUGACGAGUUUGACGACGACACUGCUGCCCCGCCAACUAUUCCUUCUACAUCCGCACCAUCUUUGAGCAUUCAGUUAGAGAAAAUGGAGCAUAAGCUGAACAAGAUGGAGCAGAAUUUGGCCGCAUACUUCGAGAGUGUGGGAUUUACCCCACCAUUUUCGCCAAACCCAUAGACGUUAUGUGGAUCAAAGCUCACAAUUCAGGGAAGUUUCUUUUUACCCUUAAUCUUUUAUCCUUACGCUUUAAUUUUUAUGUGAGCUUUGAUUAUCUUACAUUGGGGACAAUGUAAGUUCUUGGUGUGGGGGAGGGAUUUUUGCAUUAUUGAUGCCUGGAAUUAUUAUUUUCACUCUACUCAUCCUUAAAUGAUUUUGGAGUUAGUAUGCUUCAUAUAUUAUUAUUUUUCUUUUCUUUUCCUUAUCACUACUUUUUUCCCAUCUAUCUCAAAUUAUUCAUGUCUAUUUUUAUUUUACCAUACUCUUUCAUCACUCACAUUUUAUCUUUCACUUUUCAUAUUACUACAUACAUCUUUCUCACUUCUUAUCAUUUUUACCUUUUCUUUUAUAUAUCACUCAUACCUUCUUCUCAUUCUGCACCACUAUUGAUGGUUGAUUCAUUUGAAGAGUGUACAUGAUUUGAUGGCAAAUUUACCUGUAGUUGCAUCACAAACCGAGAUAUAUUAUGAAAGAAUUUUGAGAAAAUAUAUCAUUGCUCACCUCGAAAUGCUGUUGCAAUACAGGUGAAUGUUGAUGCAGUGUUGUGUAUAUCUUCUCAAGUAAGCCUAUGGUGCAUCCACUUGAUCGCCCAGCAGAUCCACCUGGAAUCCAAGCCACGUAAUGAAUCUUAAGAAAAUUUGCUUGAAACACACUUAAAAUGUACAUUCAUCAAAUCCAAGUUAAAUUCAGUUUGUUUAACCAAAAAAAAAAAAACUAAGGUGAAUAAAACUGAAAUUGCAGCUCAAAACCUCAGUUUCAGCCUUCUGGAGAUUCUUGCUUCUUCUGAUAAAUGCUGUUCUGUAGAGUAAUUCCCGUUUUUGUAUUGAGGAAACAAGUUGUUGUAUUAUGAAGCAAAUCAGUUGGUAAAACGACCAGCCGAUGUCGCGUUUUGGAAAGCAACACACUUACUCUUUUGAACGACAUGAAUGAAGGUCGUUUUGGUUUAAGUGAUGCACGAGAGUUUCACGUGCACGAUAAGUUGCUUUCUUGGUUCGUUAGAAUCAGUUAAUUUACAUGCCAGUCACGUGGGUUUCUGGGUUCGUUACUGAUUCAUUAACAAGCUGUUAUAUGCAGCUGAUUCUAACAACAGAAAGAGAGUGAGAGUGAGAGCUAUUGUGAGUUGAGGAGAUUGAAACAAAGGCUUCUUGAAAGACUCUGUAAUCAGCUUGAAAAGCUCUCUGUAACUUCUGUGAACAAUCAAUAGAAUUGGGUUCUGUUUCUCCCGUGGAUGUAAGCUAGAUUGAAGCUAGCUGAACCACGUUAACUCUUGUUCUUUUCUUAAUUCUUUUUAGUUCUAGACUCUUUGUGUAUUCUGCUGGAUUGAUUCUUGGUGCAUCUUGUUUGUUUGAUUGUGAUCUUGGAGAAGUGUUUCGAGUUGAUUGGAUAAUUAGUCACUCUUAAACACUACAAUUGGUAUCAGAGCCUGGAUUCCAAAUCAGACACAAGUAUGGCUAGUUCAAAGAUCGAUCUAGAGAAGUUUACAGGGAAGAAUGACUUCAACAUGUGGAAGGUUAAGAUGGAGGCACUACUGAUCACUCAAGGGCUAGGUGAUGCCUUAGAACCUAUCAUCAAGAAAGAAGGAUUAGAAGCCUCUACAUCAUCAUCAUCACUAAAACGAUAACAAGCUGCUGAGAUUGACAAAAAGGCAAGGAGUACCAUAAACUUGAGUUUUGGAGACUCGGUGAUUAGGGAAGUUGCAAGAGAAAGAACAGUGGUUGAUCUAUGGGCUAAGCUUGAAAGGGUGUAUAUGACUAAAUCAUUAGCCAACAGACUUUACAUCAAGAAAAUGAUGUUCACACUAAAGAUGGCUGAAGGACCAUCUCUCGAAGACCACAUUGAUGAAUUCAACCAAGUCUGUAAUACACUGGAAAUAAUUGAUGAAGGUUUAGAUGAUGAAGGUAAAGCAUUGCUUCUGGUUAGUUCACUUCCAUCCUCAUAUUCAAACUUUGUUGCACUCAUGUAUGGGAGACAGACUUUAUCAUUGGAUGAAGUUAAGGCUGCCCUGAAUACUAGAGGGCUGCAAGAAAAGUCAGGGAAUAUGAACUCUGGAGAAGUGUUGGCAGUAAAAGCAAGAACUGAUAAGUAUGAUGGGAAGAAAAAGAAGCAAGGGAACAAUAAACAAAAUACUAAAGGCAAGAAAUGUUUUCAAUGCCAGAAAGAAGGGCAUUUCAAGAGAGAUUGCCCAGAACUCAAGAACAAGAAAAAAGAAUAAAAUGGAGCUGCUGCUACUGCUGAGAAAGAGGGGUAUGAGUCAGCAGGAGUAUGUAUGGCUACAGAGCAUGUGCAAAAAGGUACCUGGAUUCUAGAUUCAGGUUGUACAUUUCAUAUGUGCCCCUUUAAAGAUUACCUAUUAAACUAUCAUGAAACUGAUGGAGGAAACGUUAUGAUGGGUAACAAUGUUGUUUGUAAGAUUGUGGGGAUAAGAAAUGUAAACUUAAAAUUGCAUGAUGGAACAAUAAAAGAGUUAAGGGAAGUUAGGUAUGUUCCUGAACUUAAAAAGAACUUAAUAUCUCUAGGUAUGCUUGACCAAAUGGGGCAUAGCAUUAAGCUUUAAUCUGGUGAGUUGAGAAUUUCAAAUGGAGAUGGGGUAGUUAUGAAAGGUUACAAAAGAAAUGGGGUUUAUGUUUUGAAUGGGGAAGCUAUAACUGGUGUGUCAGGAGUGUCAAUCAGUUCGAGCUGUGAUAACACUUUGCUGUGGCACCUUAGAUUAGGACAUAUGAGCUUGAGAGGUCUGAAAAAAUUACAGAAGCAAGGGGUUCUAGGCAGCAGUCAAAUCUCAGAACUGGAUUUUUGUGAAGACUGUGUACUAGGCAAAGCUACAAGAAAUAGCUUUGGAAAAUAAGUUCAUUCAACAAAAGGCAUCCUUGAAUACAUACACUCAGAUUUAUGGGGACCAGCACAGAUAAUUUCACUAGGUGGCAACAUUUAUUUCUUGUCUUUAAUAAAUGAUUAUUCAAGGAGAGUAUGGGUUUAUGUCUUAAAACAUAAGGAUCAAGUAUUUGGCAAAUUCAGAGAGUGAAAAUCCCUGGUUGAAAAUCAAAUUGGAUUGAAGGUGAAGAAACUCAGAACUGACAAUGGUCUUGAGUUUUGCAAUCAGGAGUUUGAUAGCUACUGUGCAGAUCAUGGCAUUGCAAGGCAUAGAACUGUAAGGCUGACUCCUCAACAAAAUAGGUUAGCUGAAAGAAUGAAUAGAACCCUGAUGGACAGAGUAAGAAGCAUGAUGAUCCAGUCACAACUUCCCAAAGGAUUGUGGGCUGAGACUCUGUUAACAGCAAGUUAUCUGGUAAAUCUAAGUCCCUCUGCAGCAUUUGACUUCAAAACCCCAUUUGAGAAAUGGCAUGGAAAACCAGCAGACUAUAGCAGCCUCAAAGUAUUUGGAUGUCCAACUUAUGCACAUGUGAGUCAAGGGAAGUUAGCUCCAAGAGCCCUUAAAGGAAAGUUCAUUGGGUAUCCUGAAGGUGUUAAGGGAUUCAAACUGUGGUGUACAGACCUUAAUCCCCCCAAGUGCAUAAUCAGUAGAGAUGUAAUAUUCAAUGAGAAAGUUGUACUGGAAAUAAAGAAACCUACUGACACAGAUGCACAAAAGGAUAAGGAGAGAACCAAGAUUCAGUUUGAGGUGGAGCCCUUCACCAGAGAAGCUUCAGAAGAUAAAGAUGAAUCUUAUCAAGGAGCUACUGAUCAAGAAACUGAUCAUGUAAAACAGACUGAAGCUCAGUAUCAGGAGUACCAGCUGACAAGAGACAGAGAAAGAAGGAAAGAGAAAGCACCUGUCAGAUAUGGAUACGCAGAUCUGAUAGCCUAUGCAUUGACAGCAUCUCAUCAAAUUGAUGAUGAUGAACCCAAGAACUACAAAGAGGCUAUCAAGGACCAUACAAAGAUGAGUGGAAAAAGGCCAUGGAUGAAGAAAUCUAUUCACUGAAGAAGAACAAUACAUGGGAGCUGGUUAAAAGACCUGCCAACAGCAGAACAGUAGGAUGUAAAUGGAUCUACAAAGUCAAAGAUGGACUAACAGAUACUGAACUUAGAAGAUUCAAAGCUAGGUUAGUACCUAAAGGUUACACACAGAGGGCUGGAGUGGAUUUCAAAUAUGUGUUCUCACCAGUAGUUAGACAUACAUCAAUCAGAGUGCUACUGGCUUUAACAGUUGUAAAAGACAUGGAGCUUGAUCAACUCGAUGUCAAGACAGCCUUUCUGCAUAGAAGACUAAAUGAGGACAUCUUGAUGACAUAACCUGAAGGGUACACAAGUCCUGAAUCUGCUGACUGUGUGUGUCUGCUGAGGAGGUCACUGUAUGGGUUGAAACAAUCACCCAGACAAUGGUACCUUAGAUUUGAUGAGUUUAUGGUCACUCAUGGAUAUCUAAGAUGCAUCUAUGAUGUAUGUGUUUACUACAAGAUCAUACAAUCAAGUAAUUACAUAUAUCUGCUGUUAUAUGUAGAUGAUAUGUUGAUUGCUUGUAGUGAAAGAGAAGAGAUUGAGGCUUUGAAGCAACUGCUCAAUUCAGAAUUUGAUAUGAAAGACUUGGGUCCAGUUAAGAAGAUUUUGGGAAUGGAAAUAAUAAGGAACAUGAAGAAGGGUACUAUGAUUCUGUCUCAAAUGAAGUAUCUAGAGAAGGUAUUUGGAGCUUUUGAGAUGUCAAGUAGCAAGUCAGUAGUAACCCCUCUAGCAUCUCACUUUAAGCUGUCUUGUUCACAAUGUCCCAGUACAGAUGAAAAGAGAAGUGAAAUGAUAAAAGUUCCUUAUGCAAAUGUUGUUGGUUGCAUGAUAUAUGCAAUGGUACUUACAAGACCAGAUUUAGCUCAUGCUUUAAGUGUUGUAAGUAGGUUUAUGGCUACACCUGGAAAUGAGCACUGGAAGGUUGUUAAAUGGGUGCUGAGGUAUCUGAAAGGUACACAAGAGUAUGGCCUAGUAUAUGGAAAAUCAGCUAGAAAGGUUGCAGGUCUCUGUGGUUAUGUUGACUCAGACUAUGCUGGGGACUUAAACAGAAUGAGAUCUUUAACUGGCUAUAUGUUUUUCUUGGAUGGUUGCCUUGUUAACUGAAAAGCAAGUUUGCAGCAUGUUGUUGCCUUGUUAACAACAGAGGUUGAAUACACUACUGUAACAGAAGCUGUCAAGGAGGCUCUGUGGCUGAGAGGGUUGACAACAGAACUGGGAAUGAAGCAGGAGACUGUUGAAGUUCAUUGUGACAGCUCAAGUGCAAUUUACUUGAGUAAGAACCCAGCCCACCAUGAAGAAACUAAACAUAUAGAUAUAAAGUUACAUUUCAUCAGAAAUGUAAUCUCAAAAGGUGUGAUUAGUAUGGUGAAAGUGCAUACAGAUGAUAAUCUUGCCGACGUGCUUACUAAGGUCGUAACUACAGCUAAGUUCAAAAGUUGCUUGGAAAAAACUGGGCUGAGUGAUUUCUAAAAUACUCAGGUUGGAGAAACCAGGAUCAGGGAGUGAUUUGUUCAAGGUGGAGAAUUGUUGUAUUAUGAAGCAAAUCAGUUGGUAAAAUGACCAGCUGAUGUCGCGUUUUGGAAAGCAACACACUUACUCUUUUGAACGACAUGAAUGAAGGUCGUUUUAGUUUAAGUGAUGCACGAGAGUUUCACGUGCACGGAUAAGUUGCUUUCUUGGUUCGUUAGAAUCAGUUAAUUCACAUGCCAGUCACUUGGGUUUCUGGGUUCGUUACUGAUUCGUUAACAAGCUGUUAUAUACAGCUGAUUCUGCCAACAGAAAGAGAGUGAGAGUGAGAGUGAGAGCUAUUGUGAGUUGAGGAGAUUAAAAUAAAGGCUUCUUGAAAGACUAUGUAAUCAGCUUGAAAAGCUCUCUGUAACUUCUGUGAACAAUCAAUAGAAUUGGGUUUUAUUUCUCCCGUGGAUGUAAGCUAGAUUAAAGCUAGCUGCACCACGUUAACUCUUGUUCUUUUCUUAAUUCUUUUUAGUUCUAGACUCUUUGUGUAUUCUGCUGGAUUGAUUCUUGGUGCAUCUUGCUUGUUUGAUUGUGAUCUUGGAGAAGUGUUUCGAGUUGAUUGGAUAAUUAGUCACUCUUAAACACUACACAAGCUCAACAAGCAAAUCUAAUUGAUGCUUCAUCUCUUCCAACCUGUACAAAAGUAGCGCAGUAAAGGUCAAUCACUUGUUCAAACAACUAAUAUUUGAUGGAACAUAAAUAUCGUAACACAAAUAGCCAUAGUCAAUGUUCACAGUAAGAUUAAAUUAAAGCAUUUGAGGGGAAAUAUAAAUGUAAACUGAAGUACCUCAAAACUUUGUCUGCUAAUUUUUCUUGUGCUUGGAGCUCAAAAUUUCCAAAUACUUGUGAAAACUCCAGUAUAGGUGUAAACAUGGAAUCCAAUUGGUUUCUAGAAAUCUCUUCAUUGUUUUGUUGGAAAGUUAUGGAAUUUUUGUCAUGCACAUUAUCUGCAGGAAUCAUUUGAUCAUCAACUCUUUCUUUAUCAUAUUCGGCUGUGCCUAAACUAGAUUCCAACUCACUCAUUAUUGUCUUACUUGUAGCUAACCGAUCUAGGCUUUCUCAAGUUUGCUUCUCACCGAAGUAAAAGUGGACUCAUCCUCAUCCAUCAGUUCUUGAAAGAUCUCAUGCUCGUUCAGCUGUUCAGUUUCCAUUUCCACCCAGUCAAGUUGUUUCUUGUGUUCAUUUACUUCAGAACUUGCACUUACCAUUAGAUCUCUAUCUUCUUCCAAACACUUCAAUAACAUAUCUAGUUUUUCGAUAAAACUAUCCUCUCCAUUUCCCUCAAAAUUUCCGUCUAUAUUGUUGGCGGAACUUUUGUCUUGCUUCCGGGCUUCUCCUUCCGUGAAACAUAGGCAAGCAUCUUUCAUCGUCUCACGAAAAACAAAUUCCUGUAUCUCCUAUCUAAAGAGAUACUCAAUGUUGCAAGCAUCUAUCUCUUUCUUCCACUCAUCAAUAGUUUCCCCAAAUAAAACCAUAUACACAUUCUCCUUCACAAAAUAUUCCGUUAUUAUAAGUGACUUGUCAGGAACCUCAACCUCUUGGAGUUUUGUAAAUGUGUAGUUCGCAAUAUUCACAUCUCUGAUGGUCUCAUCAAAGACAGCACGAGAAACCUCUUCUGUUAUAAGCUUGUCAAUUCUAUAGUUUCUGUUUUCAACUGAUUUUGGGGUAGGAAAAGCCAAAUCAAUCUAGAACAAUAAAUUUAUAUUUUUGGGGAGAUGGAGUACCUCACUAGUUUAUUGUGUGCGGUGCGGUGUAUCUGAAAUUCGGGGGAGGUGAGAAGGGGAGAGAGAGUGGUAACAAUGGUGAAAGGUCAAAACCAAGAGGGGUGUCCUUCAAAAUGGGUUUCACGCCUGCAAAAUAAUGAAAUAGAGAUUAGAGGUGAAGCCGGAGUAUCUCGGCGUUCACACUCCGACGCUCAAGUUAGCAAACUCAAGCUUUUAUGGCAAAGAGAGCUGGCUAGCACUCUGUAAAUUAAGGUUUAAGGUUGAAGAAAACCAAUUUUUUGAAGUGUGAGUGUUAAUGGUGAGUGAGAGCCUGAUGGAGAAUGAAACCUAUGCGCCUUUAUAUAUGGAGUACCUCAGCUGCCACGUGGCGUACCCUUUUUUGCUAACGUCCUUUUACCUCUUUAUAAUUUUUUGGGCCGUUAUUUGCAUGUUCGCGGCGUAUCUCAUCUUUUGGAAACAUGGCGCGUGCUGGAGAAUGGUCCAGGGUACUUCUGCAGUAGUUGUCGGGUAGGCGGCUAGGGACCACUAUCCUUGGGACAGUGUCCUUCACUUUUGGCAGAGGUAGCAGGCGGCUGUCCCUCCUUUUUGCACGUCGUUUUUUAUUCCUAAUUCUGACAAAAUCGAAUAAUAUCUUUUAGGAGGCGGAGACGUUUCUCAUGGUAGAUAUUUUCGGAGGAUUCUCUUGCAUCCGUUUUGCCGGGUACCUUGAAUUACGUGGGGUAUCUCCUAUUACGCGGGGUACCCCUAUUUGUAUGGGGUACCUCUAUUUGCAUGGGAUACCUCAUAUUAUAUGGGGUACCUCUAUUUGUGUGGGAUACCUCUAAUUGUGCAGGGUACCUCUAUUUAUACGGGGUUCUUCAAGUCAUAUCGGGCAUCUCGGAUUGUGCAGGGUACCUCCAAUUGUGCUGAAAUCAUUCCAUUAGUUGACACGUGGCGUUCUGCUAUCUUUCUUAUUUUUCCCCCAAACAGUUUCCAAUUUUCUCAUUCCAAUACUUGCAAAUUUCCCGGUACAGGACUGAGCAUAUAUCCUCACUUAAAGAGCAUUCAUCUCGAAAAUGUUUUAAUUUCUUAUCCAGUGCAGAGCAAAACCCCUUAACUGCCUCACUGCAUACAGUAUAAUAUAUUUCCUCUCUCAUCUGAGCCUCAAACUUGUUACUUUCAACUUCCUCUUUCAACAUCCUUAUUUCAAUUUGUAGUUCUUCAUCGGCUGCAUCAGCGACUGACCCGUUAUUCAUUUUCUUCCAGACGCCAUCCAAAUUGUCAAUGUCCGAGUUCAUUUCUUUUCUCACAUCAGAUUUCAAUAGGUUUUUUGCUGCUGAGGAUUCGUCCCAUUGAUCACCUCCAUAUUCUCCAAAAGUCUCAACCAACCUGGCAUUGCAGUUCAUUAAAUUAUCCAAUCUUACAAUAACUUCUUGGAUUCUUCUUUUUAGGCUAACCGGAUCCUUCUCUCUUCUUAAGUUUGAACACUCUUUUUUCUGGAAGCAUUUCUCGCUUCAACCAUUUAACCUCUUCACUUUUUCUUCGAAUUAUAAACUCGUGACUCUUUAUGAUCUUAGCAACAGAUUGACCAACACCCUCUUCUGAUUCUACUUCUUCAACCUUUGAGGAAAAAUUCGCACAACUGUCUCCUUCUGAUAAAGAUCUUCGCAGCCUCGGAGGAAUAUUCCUCUCAAUAUUAGUUUUGGUUGAAGAUUUUAAAUUCUCAUUCCCUUUUGCAGCUUUCAGUUGAGCCUCGUUCUGAUUGAUAAAGCUCUCAAGCUCAUUACGCAAGCACGUAACCUCCGUCAUCAAAUCUGACAAAUGCUCACUCAAGCUCAUGAAAACUUGCUUCUCUUGCUUCCUCAUUUCUAUCUCAAAGUUCUCCUUAAAAUCGUUAACAAAACCAUUAAUCAAUGUACAAAUUGCAUCCUUCUCAAUAGUCCACCUCCAUUGCUGCUCCUGGGGCCCCAGCUCAGACAAAAAAAUCGCAUUCUGCAUUUUCCCAAAAGCCUGAUGCAAAGUCUCUUUCAAAAUAUUAAUAUCAGAACCCAUCUGCUCAAUCUUUUUGUGAUCAAUACCGCCAUUCCUUUCCUCAUCAAUAACUUCAUGCUCGAUAUGCAAGACUUGUUGAUCAACUGAAUGCAUCAACUCAGAAAUUUCACUAUCUCUAUCCUCAUCCCGACUUCCAGGACUGCUCAUACUGAGCUCAGCGACACCAUCACUCUUUGUUCUUUCAAUCUCCACGUUAGCAUUUUGCAAAGCAACCAAUUCUUUUUCCUUCGCAUCCAAUGCUUGCCUAAGCUUCAACUCAUUUUCGAACCUCUCCGUCAAUUCCUUAUCCUUUUCGCGGAAAGCCAUUUCUGAAUCCUGAAGGCGACACGGGAGACGGUCUUUAAUUUCUUCCAAGUCUGCCAGGACUUUUUCAUGGCAGCUUUCAAACAUGUUGUUGUCUGCAUCCUCCUGGACAAAUUUCAUGCACCCUUCUAGCUGAAUUACUGCGAGUUCAUAGAAUUUCGAUAUCUCAUUCAAGCGCUGAAUGACGCCAUCUUUGGACUUUACUUUGCCGUGUGCUCUGUCCAUGACGCCAUCAUUGUUGCAUCUGUUAAAGAAAUUCUUAGUGUGCCUCAAGCAAUCCAAAAAGACCAGCCAUUUUUUUUUUCUUUUUGUUUGGCUCAUCUAUUGAAAAUGAAGCAAUAGAAAUGUGAAUGAGAUCUUCUAUUUUUAUGUUUCCUUGAAAAUUGGUGAUCUAAUUGACUUAUUCUAACUUGUUACUUGUUACACAUAUGUUGAAAAUGUGACCAAAAUUAUUCCUAUAUUUCAUUUAAAUACUAAUGCAUAUUACCAUUUAUGCAAAGAUAAUAAGGAAUUGACAAUUUUAGGGAACUCACGUUAAUUUUUUACCUUUUUUUAAUAGAAUUUUUUAUCAUUAAAUCAAAUAGAUUUGUUAUAAAUUUGAAGGUUAUGAGACCUUUAUUACUUGAAAUGACUGGUUUGUCUUUCGUUUCCUUCGAGAGUCCGAAAAGUUCUAAACGUUCAACGUUCAAACCAAUAUUUUUUUUUUAUUUUAACCACGAGGUAUCCUGGGGAGGGUCCCAACUAUGGGAGAUACUUUUAAGUCCGUACCAUAACUCAGACUAGAAGUCCCCGCUCGAAUAGAGAGGCACAAAUUCUCCCAAGAAAAGCGAUUUUUCUGCGACUCAAACUGGGAAGCAAACCCAAUCAAACCACUUAAGGGUGACUCCAUUGCCAGUGGAGCCAACACUUUAUUGGUAACGCUCAAGCUAAUAUAGACGGUUAAGAUGUUCUCCUCAAUUAAUUUAAAAGGAAAAUUACAGAUAAUAUGUAUGGAUUGAUGAAGGAGCAAAGGAACAUUAAAAAGGUGUAAUUAACAUUGCCAACGAACGUGCCCAACAUUAAUUUAUUAGUUGUUUCAAAUAAAGCAUCCACUUGGCAUGCUAUAAUUGGUUGUUUCCUACAGCAGCCACUACAGAUCUCAUUAAGCGCCAGAAUCUAACUCAGCGGUAGGGCGCGAACCAUCACUGCCCUUGGCAGCGCGUGAGGCUCUUUCUCUCAGCCACUCCACCACCUCUCCAGAAACCAACUCAACGUUCUGCCCAGGCUCGCCAAUCAGUUGAUGCCACGUGACUGGAUAAAUCCUCAGUGUCUUAUCCUUACUGGCUGCAUGUUUAUACAACUCUUCAACGCAGGUGGGAUCGCAAACGACGUCGUCUUCCUCUUGGGGCUCAUUGAGCAUUUUUAUACUCAAAUCCCUUGCAAAUCCCUCGACACGCGCAGCAACUCCAGUACGGUCGCCGCACACGACCUUGGCACCGAGCUCCUGGGGCUCGACAACGCCAGCUUCCUCUUCCACUCCUCCUUGAAGGAGACCAUCGGGAGAGAACCGUGGGUAGGACCCACGCGCUAGGAAGGCACCAGCCAUACGACUGUGAAGAGAAGGUGCUCGAAGGGCCACAGAGGCUUGAAUUUCUGGCUAAUCCCGCACAUGGCCCCAUCCAAAAUCAAUCCAUCCCACGCGCCCUUCUGACGGAGCGUGAUUAAAGAGCUAUGGCCCCACCCAAGGACUCGAAAUACAAAAACGCGGGCAAAUCCAGUGCGUGUCUCAGAAUGACGUAUCACAUGUUAUAUUAAUUAUUUGAGAUGAAAUUUAAAAUAAAUAAAUUUAGUAUGCUUGCUUUUGCAUAAAACCUUCUUUUUUUGUAGGGUUAUUUUGGAUCUAAUAAUUUAAUUUACAAAUAUAUUUUUAUUUUAUCAAUAAUAACAUUUAAUUUGCAACUGCUGGGGAUCUCUACUCCCUAGUGUUGGCUCGAGGAGACCUUGGCAACAACCAUAGCAACGAAUAUAUGACAAGUUUUAUCGCAAACAAUUACUUGCUAAUUGAUUUCUUCGCACUUGAUGUACAAUACAUAUCAUAUUAUAUCAAUUUUAAAGCUAUAUACUGAUAAUUCUAACAUAAUCAAAUGCAUAUAGGAGCAAUUAAUUGACAAUCAUCACACCAAUUAGAAAAGUUAAACUUGUGUAAGAAAUUUGCUGAGUAUCAGUAACAUAGUAGCAAUAUGGCAAAGUUAUGGUGAGACAUCUGUGACAAAAAAUAAGUCAAUAUUCAAUUAUUAAAUAUAAAUUAUCAUUAUAUUUUAUUUUUUUGAGGAAAUUAUUAUAUUUGGUAUUGAGGUGUUGUGAUAAAAAAAUGAUAAAGUAUGGUAAUAUGUAAUAAUUUUAAAAGUUAUUAUGACUUUUUAUUGUAUAAAUAAAAUAAACUUAAUUUUUAGAUUAUAGCAGCAAGUAUUUAUUAAUUUUUAGAUUAUAGCAGCAAGUAUUUAUUAAGCACAUUAGUGUUGGAAUUUAAAAGCUAUACUUUCCAAAAAUAAUUAAGCAGGGUGAAUACCUAAAACAAGUCUAACAUAAUUUUUUUUAUUUCUAGAAAAUAAAAAAUGCAUGUGAUAUGUAAUUUGUGAGGAUUUGAAUAUACAGAAGCAGAGGAAACAAAAGAAUUUUAAAAAAGCGAAUUGCUUUAUGAAGUAAUUUUUCUGCAUCCUUUAUUCAAACAGCUUGAGGCUUUUUAUAAGAGCCAAUUGGAAACACGCAAUCUACGCUAGUAACUGCCCUUGGAACAACAAAAGACACCCUAGACAAUAACACAUGAAAUACGAGAAAUAAUAGGAAAUAUGGGUAAUAAUAUUGCACACAUAGUUGGUAGACCACGUGUCAAGCACCCAUUUAUUUCAAAGCACUUAUUAUUAAGUCCUAGACUCCUCCUCUUAAGCAUGGCUAUCAGGUACGUGGGAAGUUUGUCAAAUGCAUGGGUUCUUGCUCGUCUUUGGGAGACAUAUCAGCAUGCUUGGAAAGAGAUACACGCAAGACAAUCAACACAAGAUUUGCUUUAUUUCUAGGAUGCAUCGGCAUGCACUCUACUUAUAGAACUCCAUAACCCAGAGAUUACCAAUAGCAAGUUCACAACUGAUUCCACCAAAACCAGCGCCAGUAGCCAGGGUCAUGAAUUCAUGCCUUGUUCUCUCCUUUCCACCGGGACUUUGAAUCAUCAUAAGCACGUCAAAAUGGGAAUUUGAUUUUGAUUCAAUGCUUGUAUUAGGAACUUCUGGAAGCAUUGACUCCACAACGAUUACCUUUCCAUCUUCUGGGAUGCUUUUGUAGCAAUUCUUCAACAACUUCAAGCAAUGUUCAUCAUUCCAAUCGUGCAGUAUCCACUAUAUAAAUUCUCAUAUUAAUCAAACUAUUGUUUGUAAAAAUUUAAUUUAAGGAACUCCUCAUAAUAUGUCCGCAAAUUAAAUUAAAAACUUACCUUCAUAAUAAUGGCAUCACCUUUUGGAACACUUUGGAACAUAUCACCCCCUACAUGCUCAAUACCUAUAAAAUAUUAUACAAUUAAGAAAUCAGACAAUUAGAAUUAUGCCACUCUAUUGUCAUUAGCAAGAUGUAUUACGUCAAGAACUGUUUGCUCAAACUUAAUUAUGCCAAUGUUAUGGAAGUUCCUGAUAUACUGGCACACACAACAGAAGAAUUAUACACACACAUAUAUGAGAGCAGGUUCAAGGGAUUUUUUUUAAUACAAUUUUACAUAUAAAUUUCUAACAAUUAGGUUAAAGUUUAUCACAUGGUUAAUAUUAAAACUGCAUGCAGUUUUAUAAUUCUAAAAAUUAAUUAACUAGACGCAAGUCCUUACGUCAAACAAUAAACGUGAAACACGAUGCUCUUUCCUCUCUCUUAUCAUCUAAAUUUAUUUAAACUCAAUAAUUUCAUUCAAAGAUUGAAAUUACACUUCAUUUCGGAGGAAGAUCUUCCAAUCAAAUUACAGGCAACUUAAAAUUAAAAGCUGCCUUAGCUAACACGAGUAUGUGUGUUGCAGGCUCUUCGGAUGAACUGAAUUCUAAAUCAGCAUUGUCCUUAAUUUCCUCUUGAAUGUCCAACAACACUUAAAAGAUUUCCUUUGCUUGACAUCAUGUUUAGGACAUUCAUAUAUUUCUCUUUUUAACUUAUGUGCUCAUCUCCUUCAAUCCUCCCUCUACUCAUUAUAAAACAUUUUUUUUUCCGAUGGCUAUUGGAUGGAUGUUACUACUACAAAUUAAAAUAUAGUACUUCCCUAGUUCUCUGCAUGUUUACUUUAGUUAUCCAUUAAAUCGAACAGUGAUUAGAUGACUAUGCUUUGUUAAUCUUUAAAAAAAUAUAUGUAGAAACGAUUGCCAACAUUUUUUUCCAAUAUUUACAUUUGGUUUAAUAAACAAAUUUAUCUAGAUAACAUCUUUUUUUAUGGCUACAUGGAUGUGUACCUUAGUUCACUGGUAAUUUAGAGGGAGAAAUAAAGGGUAAUACAAAGGUGAAAGAAAAGUAUUUUACUUUUACUAUUAAAUUUAAUAAUAUGACACCUACGCGAAUUAAUUAGUUUUUUAAAAUAACAAAAUUACACGUGAGCUUUAAUCUUAAUCCUUGGAUGAACUCUAUUAGAAAGAAAUUUGUUUCUAAAAGUAUCUUUUUUAAACUUGCCCCCAAAAUAAGGAAUCUUCUACAAAAAUAAAAAAGAAAACAAACAUUCUGAGUAUUAUCCUUAGUUUAUCCUUUAUUUUAAAUACAAAUUUUCUAAAUUUAGCAAGCAACAAACACUAUUUUCCUCCAAAAAAAUAAAUACAAAAUUUCUAAAUUUAGCAAGCAACAAACACUAUUUUCCUCCAAUUUCUAGCAUCCACCUUUGAAAAAAAUUAAAUCCAUCUAAUUUAUCUCCAAUUUCAAUUUAUUUUGGGUUAAAUUGUAAUUUUGAGGGGUAAAAAGGUCAUUCCAUUAAAUUCAGUAACGGAAAUUAGACGGAAGUGGACGAAUGCAACAAAAAGCAAACUUCAGGUAGCGCGCUGAAAAAAAAUGUGUUUGUGUAUUUUUUAAAAAGACAAAACAAACAGGUGGAUGAUUGUAAAUUUCCCAAGUCUUUUUGGACUCUGAAGGCAUUUGCAAUUACAUGAAGGUGUUAAACACAGAAGAAAUUCAAAAACAUUAAUUAAACACUGCUUCUUAUGAUUCAGCGGAAAAUAUUGGUCACAAAGACCAACUGGAGUUGAUAGUGCUCACCAUCAAUCAGUUGUUGAUGGGUAGUAACAACCUUUAAUUGCAAUCAGUGAUAUUGAGAUUAUGGGACUUUUGUCGUUUCAAUUGCAAUCCCAAAUGGGACCUAACCAUUGGCUAUAUUAUUAUCAUCGCUUGCCAAACCCAAAAGCAAAGCUGCAAAGGGCUUGCUGACUUCAAAGAAAAAGAAUUGUUUGUUCAGGCCAUAUUAGACCAUUUGCUUCGUUGUGUGAUGGCUGUAUUUUAAGACCAACAAAAUUAUAUACAUAUAAAUGUAUAGUCUUAUAUAUAUAUAAAGAGAGAGAGAGCUUUUAAUGAGGAACUCCUCAUUUUAUUAAAAUAAGUAUCAAAUUAAUAAAUAAGAAAAAUACAUAUUCAGAAUGUUUUAUCUUAUAAUAUAUUAAAGUUUAUAUUUUUCUAAUUUUUAAAGCUUAAGAGGGACUUCAGCCCUCUGAACCAUUAUUUUUUUUAAGUGUGCCCCGAGCACCUUCUGAAUGAGUUAAAUAAAAAGCAUUUAGAAAUAUUUUUUAAAUAAUAAAACACUUGUAGUCCAAUGGUAUAUGUGUUACUUAGUGGUUUUAGAGACUUGAUUCGAAUCCCAAUAAUUUUUUUGAAUGUGUGCAUGGUCCUCAAUUUUUUUCACGUUCAAUAUAAAAUUAAUUGAAGAAAAAAUGUUGGCCUAGUUAGAGGUAGGUUAUAGGUAGGUAGGCUUUUAAGAAAAGAGUAAAACUUUAUUGGCAGGACGCAAUUAGAAAACAUGGGUCCGAAACAUUUAUUGAAAACUAAUUUAAGAGAAAAUGUUGGCUUAGUUAGAAGUAGGUAACAAAUAGGUACGAUUUCAAGAAACAAGUAAUACUUUAUUUACGAGAUCCGAUUAGAAAACAUGGGUUUGAAAUACUAAAAAGAGUAUUUUUGUAUAAAAAUUUGAGUGUUAGCGAAAAUCGCCUAUCGUGACUAGUGUCUUGGUCCUUAAUUUUUUUUUUCACGUUCAAUAUAAAAACUAAUCGAAAAGAAAAUGUUGGCCUAGUUAGACAUAGGUAACAAUUAAGGUUCUAAAAAAGGAGUAAUACUUUAUUUGCAGGACCUGAUUAGAAACACAUGCCGAAACAUUUAUUUAAAAAGUAUUUUUAUAUAAAAAUUUAAGGAGUGCUAGCAACAGUUGUCCUUACAGAUGACUGAGACAGUCAUUACCAAUCCCUCUCCAAUUUAAGUGUUUGGUCCAGCCUCCGAAGAGAACCCAUGUGUGAUUAUGUACUAUGGGUGCAUUGGUACAUUGUUAUUAUAUUGUAUGUUUUGCAUUAUUUUAAUGCAAGCAUAAUGUAUUAUGUUGUAUUGCAUUAACACUGUAUUAUAUUAAUAUUGUGCAACAUUUAGUGCUAUUUGUCCUAUAUUAAUUUUUAAUUAUACUAUGUUUGGUACUGCAUUGCAUUGCAUUGCACUAUAUUUUUUUGGUUAUCAUAAAAAUUAUAUUUUUAGAAAAUAAAUAUUUACUUUUUGAUAACUUUGUCAAAAAUAUUUUAAUAAACUUUUCGAUGAUAUAUCUUUUGAAAUAAAAAUCCAAGUGAAUAAAAUAGAUAACUUAAAAAAUAUCCUAACAUAAAUAAAUAAUUAAAACAUAUAAGCUUUGUUUUUAAAAAAAGACAUAAUAGAGAUCAUUAAUACAAAAGUUUGCACGUACUAUAACAUAGUCACAAAUAAAAGGAGUUGCAUUUUUAAAAAGGGUUGCUUUGUCUCAUACAUCAAAUCAAGAUAAAUAAUUGUGCACAGAUAGAGACAAACACAACUUUCACUCAAUCCUUAGAUAGGGUGUAUUUUUUCCCAACUAUCCAAAUGUUAGUUAAUUUGUGACCACUGCUCAUCCUCGCAAUCAAGAAUUUCUUCUAUUACAUGUCUAAGAAAAAAUGUUAUUAAAUGGACAACAAAAGAACCACAACAACAUCAUUUCUAAGCAAUGUACAAAACAAAUGGACUUAUGUACCAAGCUUGGCCUACCAUGCAUGUAUGUUAUGCAAAAUAUUGCACAAUAUGCAAAAAUGUGGUUGCAUGUGUGGAAAUUUAACCACAUAGGUAGAAUAGGUGCAAUUUUACUAAGUUGGACGAACAUGCCCCAUAAGCUAUCCAGAUGUAAUGGGAUGCUGAGAUGGGUGAUGGGAGAAUGCAAAAUGGAAGCUGAUGCCAAGCAGUUGUCAAUGUAGAGUUUAUGUCAACUUAGGAGUGCUUACAAGUUCCAAAGAUGAACCAACAUAAUUUUAGUUCUAAACACGUACUGAUGUUAAAAGAAACAUGUGAGAUGAAGUGCCUCGAGAUGCUGUAGAUGUAGUGGGAUCCCAAUCAAAUGCAUGAUUUUUUGGGAAAAAACCUUCUUACAAUAAGACCACUGAAAAACUUCGAUCAUAAUAUUAUCACCAUCAUUAUUUUCCACAUUUGUGGAAUGUGAGAGUUGAUUAUGAUAAUUUUUUUUUAUCUCUGUAUCAUGUGACUGAGAUGUUGGAACAACUUUAACCAUCUUUCAGAUACAACUCAAAGAUCAGAAAAUACAAAUUGUUCGUGAAAAAAUCUGGUCGACUAUUGCGUGAAUAGGUGCCCUCGCCAACACUUAAAUUGUUAUAGAGGAGAUGGUUUAACACUACAACUUUACUGAAUUAGUAGUUGUAGGCAAAUGAACAUGCAUGAAAACCAUGUGCGAACAAGGUGGAUAAAAAAGCCCAUCUGGCCUAAGCCCGCAAGCUUUUGGCCCAUCCUUCUACGCGAGGAAUUAGAUAAGAGCUUAAGAGAAAAUGCCUGGACUAGGCCCAACACUCUAUUUUUUUUUACAAAAUAAAUUUAUAAAUUAGAAUAAUCUAUUAAAAUUUAAAACUAAUAAAAAAAGAAAACUUAAAUUCUUAAUUCAUAAAUCAAUAACGCUUCACAAAACCUAAAAUUAUAAUAUUAAACUCUCUCUUAAUCGUUAAUCAAUAACGAUUCACAAGAUGAUGUUUAAAUUAGAAAAUGCAGUAUUAAAAAAAUUAAAUCUUUAGCAUUUAUUUGCUUAAUUUUCUUCAUUUAUUAUUUUAUUUUAAAAUAUUCAAUUUCUUUAAUUCAUUAUUAAUUAUAAUAACUUGUUAAUUAUUAACUCAUUUCAAAUUUACAACAAUUAAAAAAAUAAAAAAAUAAGUGAAAGUCCAAGUCUGGCCCUUAUGCUUCUACUAAAAUGGGCUUGGGCUUGGAAAAGCUCGGCCUAAGCCCACAUUUUGUCAUCCCUAUGUUGAUAUUAUGUAGGAUUGUCAACUUCAAAUUAUUAAUAUUAGGAGUUGCAAAAUAAAAAAACGAAUCGAAUUUGAAUCAACUUAAUAAACGAAUUGGGUCAAAAUUUGAUGGAUUCGAAUUCGAUUUAUUUAAUAAGUAAAUCGUAAUUUUAUAAUUUUAAUUCAAUUUGUUUAUUAAAUGAAUCAAAUAAUCAUUCACAAUUCAUUUAAUUCAUUUAUGCAGAAUUAUUAUUUUUGUCUUGUUGUUACAUCUUAUAAUUACAAAUAAAAAUUUAAUGGUAAAUAAAUAAUUGAAUCAAACGGAUAAUAAAUGAAUAGAGUCAUAUUCGAUUGAUUUAUAAGCAGUUUAUUAAAAGAAUGAAUAAAUCAAUGAUCAUAAACCCAGAUUCAAUUCGUUUAUUUAGCAAAUUGAAUCAAAUUCAUUUAUUUAUUAAACAAAUUAAUAUUUUAAACUCAAAUCCAUUUAAUUGGAAUCAAGUCGAAUAGAAUCGAAUAAAUAAAUCUUCGUCCAAAUUGCCACCCCUUAUUAAUAUGCCUACAAUUAGGGCUGGGCAAAAUCGGAUUCGGAUCGGGUUCAGAUCAACCCGAUCGGAUUUCGGGUUGAUCGGGUCGAACAAAAACUCAUCCGAAUUCAACCCAAAUUGACAACCCGACCCGAUCCGAUCCGAAUUAUAUUCGGAUCGGAUCGGAUCGGAUCAAAAAAUCGGGUUUAAUUCGGUUCGGAUCGGGUUCGGUUAACAAUUCCUAAUCAAUGAUUUAACAUAUGUUAUAUAAUUUAUUACACAUUACAACUGUUCGUAUUUGAACUAAACUCAAAAAUCCAAACUCAAAACAAAAAUUCGACUGCCGCUUGCUGGAUUUCGAAUGGAACUUGGAGGAGAAACUUGGUGAUGAAGUGUGUGGAGGCGUGGAGACAGCAGAUCGGUAGGCGGUAGCAGCAGAUCUGGUCGCAGUCCUCGCGGGGCAGUAGAUCGACUGGUGGUUGGCGGCGGCGGUGAUUGUGGCAAGCAUGUGUUGGCUGCGGCUGUGUGUGUGUGUGUGUGUUUCUACUUGGCGUUGGCGAUGUUGAGUGUUGACUUGAGGGUGGGGCAGUGACCCAUGAGGCGUGAGGGAGGGGAGCAAAGGUUGGUGUGUGUCGUGUGGUCUCUCGUUGAGGCUUGAGGGGGAGGCCGUGAGGCGUGAGGGAGGGGAGUGAGGCUGCUGGGUGUGGCUGGGUGCGUUGAGUGUGUGGUCUACUGUUUUUGUGCCUCUAUCUCUACUGUUUUUGUGCCUCUAUCUCUACUGGUUUUGUGCCUCCAUCUCUGUGAUGUGUGCCGUAUACGUGUGUGGUGUGUGAGGCUGUGUAGCGUGUGGUCUGUAGUCCUGUGCUCUGUGGCGUCACUGGUGCUUGACUGCUUGUUGCUGGAUGCGUGUGUGCUGUAAUCAGUGAGGGUCGUUUACUUUCUUCUUUAAGCCAACCUGUUCAGGUUGUCGGAUCGGAUCGGAUUUCACCCGAUCCGAUUAUAAUCCGAUCGGGUUGGCAACAUUUCAUCCGAUCGGGCAUUAUAGUCAAUCCGAUCCGAUUUAUUUCGAAUCGGAUCGGGUCGGAUCGGGUCGGAUCGGGUCGGAUCGGUUAUUUUGCCCACCCCUACCUACAAUACCAAAUGGACGGAAGAUGCCAUAAAAAUCUUUAUGGACUCUUAAAGCAUUUGCUAUCGACUGACGGUGUUAAACACAUAAGAAAUUCAAGAAAAUUAAUUAAACAUGGCUUCAUAUCAUUCAGCAGGAAAUACUGAUAAGCCAGACCCAGCUGGAGCUAAUGUACUGAUCACCCAUCAGCCAAUUGGUGGUGGGUACUAACAAGCUUUAAUUGCAAGCAGUGAUUGAACGACUUCUGGGGUUUCAAUUAUGAUACCGAACUGGAACUUGGUUGGAUCUCGCUCAUGGCUUUGACCAAAAGCAAAGGGCUCCUGGACAUUAAACAAAAAGAAUUGUUUUUUCAGAUCUUAACAGGCCAUUUGCUUCGUUGUGUUGAAGGCCCUGUUUCAAAGCCAGAGACAAAAUCAAUAAAUCAUGAGCAGUAAUAUAUAUAUAUAUAUCUAUAGAGAGAGAGAGAGAGAGAGAGAGUCUCCUUUUCUAACGAGAACAUUUUCACUUUAUUAAAGUUAAGAUGUCACUAAAAUAUAAAAAAUAUAAAUUUUAACACAUUAAAAACUUUAUUUUUUUUUGUUAGUAUAUUAAAAUUUAUUUAUUUAUUUAUCUUUUUUUGACAUCCACACCUUAAUAAAGUGAGGAUGCCCUUACAAUAUAUAUAUAUAUAAUCUUUUAAUCUUUUAACUUAAUUCCCGCAUUAAAAGCUAACUCUUGCAUAAUUACCCUAAAGAAUCAGCUUAACAGAAGUACCAAUUUGUGAUAGUGUACUAUGUGUCGUACGUUUAUGCUACUGGAGCCACAUUCAAUUUGUGAUUGGUCCUCAAUUUUUUUCACGUUCAGUAUAAAAACUAAUUGAAGAGAAAUCUAGGCCUAGUUUUUUUUUUUUUUUUUGCUUAAAGGUAGGUAGGUUUUAGGAAAAGGGGUCCUCUUAAUAAUAUACAGCGCGCUGUAUGAGAUACAAUGGAAGUUCAGUCUUUGUUUUUAAUAAAUUAUAAUUUUGAGUAUGUUUCAAUAUAUAUUUUUAUGUUGAGAGGGUUUUUGAUAGUCUCCUAAAUUAAAUGAAGUUUUUAAUAUUUAGUUAAAAGAUGAGGUAGCCACGUGAUAAUUACGUUGAUAUCUGCCAGUUAUGCGGCUAUACCAUUUGCUUCGGUGACCAUUUUAUGCCUAAAAUCAUCACCCAGUCGUUAUAUUAUUUUUUAUUUUGACACUAUAAAUCUAUAAAUAUUUUGUAAUAUAAAAAUUAGUGAAACCUCUUUGAUUUUUUUCGUUUUGGGAGUUUAUGUCUCUUUGAUCAAUUAUAUGAUGGUGCAGUGCAGUCUACACAUAUAGACCAAUAACAUAUCAAUUUUUUUUCUAAGCAUUUAGAAGAAAUCAACUCCAAAAUGCACCAUACAGGAAUUCAAAUUGUAUCCAUCAAUAUCGAUAUGAGAAUUAAAAUAGUUUAUCAUUCUAAAGCUCGGGUAGUUUUCAAACAAUUAUAUUAUUUGAUAGUGCCAAGUAUCGUAAUUGUCCAUAAAAUAUUGUUGUUUUUAAUAUUAUUUGUACUAAUGACUCAUAUAAUUAAUAAUAUGAUUUAAUUCUUGAUAUGGACAAAUAUAAGGUAACAAUAUCUAAUUAAAAAUAUUUCAUACAAAUUUCUAUCAAAUUACCUUUUUAUGGAUUCAUUUACUCACUAAUUUGAAGUCACAAAAAUUUCUUUGAGUUGUUAUCGGAGCUUAUACAUGAUUACAUUUAACUUUAAUACUUGAUGAUAUUGUUUUAUUACUAGUAUUAUGAUUGAUGAUACUAUAACUCUUAACAUCUAUUAUUAACAUUGUUAAUAAGUAUAUUUAUUAGAUAGUACUAUUAUUAUUAUUUAUAAACAGAACACAUAUAUGAUAAUUUUAUCAGGCCUCCGAACUCGAACUCAAAAUAUUUUUUAACUCAAAUUUUAUUUUAAUUUAACCAAAUAAUAAAAAAAAAACAAGACCCUAGAUCUAAACUCACGACCUCUCUCAAAGCACUAGACUCUACCCAUCGUCACCUCCAAGUUCCACACGAAGCUUCCUUUCCUGGCCGCGUCCAAAAGACCAAGCUUUGCCAUCAACACCAAAACACCAAGUUUUACAAACUUUACCGUCAGUCUGUGUGCGCUCCACUGAAAUUGUAUGGCACAUUGGCCACUGGGUAGAAGAAAACAUGUUAAGGAAAAAAAAAUUCUCGUAAGAUCCAACUAGCUAUAAAAUGCAAGAAAGCAUCAAAUGCAGCAUAUUAUUUAUUUGCAUACCUUUCAAAUAUUCCUUUUUUUCACCUCUUGGUUAUUGACACCGACAACACCUGGAUAUUCAAUAACAUGAAGCACCGAAAACGCAUCUUCAGCUCUUUCACCUUCAAAUUCAAAUGGUGAUUUGUUGGGACAAGAAAUCCUUUGGUGAAAACCAGCACCUAUAUCCAAGAAUGUUCAUGUUGUAUCACAAAAAAUCAAUAACAAAAUUAUGCAGAAGCGUACCUGAAUCCAUAACAUUGAAUUGUUCUUUAGGGUUGUGUGGUUGGCCUUCCAAAUCUACACGUUCUCCUAGAGAAUCCUUUAAGUUUUCUCAAGGCUAUCUUUCUGAUGAUGAGAUUUCAGAAGGAAUAUAAAAAUACGUGUGACUUGAGAACCAUAACCACUUACAUAGACAAUAUUUUUCCUGUUAUCUCUACAUAUUAAAGGCCCACAUCCUAUUAGAUAUAUUAAAGUCCAUAACACCGAAAACUUAAAUAAAUCACUUUUUAUUGGGUUUAACUUUAUAUGACAAUCUGUAACACAUAAUUAUUCACAUAUAGGCCCAAUAUUGGAUUAAGGAUCCAACAAUAUUGGAUUAAAAAUCCAACAAUCUCCCACUUGUGCUAUAUGUGUAACCUUAUAAUUAAUCUUUGCAAAAAUAACCGUAUGAGCUCAACCUUACUUUCAUUACCCAAAUGUAUCUAUAACCAAUCUGGUCUAUCAAUCAUACUAACAUAGGAUCAAAGCGACCUUCGUUACAAUUAUCAUAACUUGAGCCAUCAAUCGUCACUAUGUCAAUACAACUGAAUGACAUGGAUCAUGAUGUGGAUGCGUAGCAUGGAAAUUUCAUGCAAUGUGAUAUCAACAUAAGCAUUUCUGACUGGUCCACCUAAAACCUUAGUGAAAUCAAACCAUACCAAAAUCAGAGUGUGAAUACACCAAAACUUUAUUUCUGCAGAAAAUAACCUAAAUAUCCAUAAACCAAAAUAACUGAAAAAUGUCUAUAUUACACGAGUAUCUAAAAUCAAAAACUCCCACUAAAACUGAAUAUCUUUCAAUGACAUGACACCCAUAUGAGCAGUGUGCUCAUGAAACAUUUUGGGUGACAAUCCCUUAGUAAGCGGAUUUGCAAUCAUGGAGUUUGUGUCGAUGUGGUCAGUAGACAAUUGUCCACUCUAAACUCUUUCUUUAACAAUUAGGAAGUUGAUGUCCAUAUACUUCGACUUCGCCGAGCUCCUAUUAUUAUUAGAAUCACUACUGAUUUAUUGUCACAAAAUAACUUGAGUGGUCUGUUAACACCAUCUACUAUGCUCAGCCCCGUGACAAAAUUCCACAGCCAUAUUCUAUGAUUAGAUGGCUCAUAACAUGUUAUAAACUCUACUGCCAUCGUAGAAAAUGCUAUAAGAGACUGUUUAGCAUUUUUCCAAGAGACAGCACCCCCAGCUAGUAGAUAGAUGUAACCCAAAGUGGAUUUCAUACUAUCUUGACAUCCAGCAAAAUCAGAGUCGGGAUACUCAACGAUCUCAAGCUUAUUCGACCUCCGAUAAGUGAGCAUGUAGUCUUUUGUUAUCUGUAAGUAUCGUAAGAAUCGUUUGGCUGCUUUUCAAUGGUCUAUUUAUGGAUUACUUAAAUAUCUGCCCAACAUCCCAAUAACGUACGUAAUAUCUGGUCACGUACAAACCUAAACAUUCAUCAGACUUCUUACUGCUGACGCAUAGGUAUCUUUUGCAUUUAUUUUUUCUCAAAAUCAUUAUUAGGGCACUGAUUGAGACUAAAUUUGUCUCCCUUAGCAAUAAGUGUAUUACUUGGUCUGCAAUCUUGCAUGCCAUAUCUCUUGAGAACUGCUUCGAUAUAACUCUUUUGUGAUAAUCCUAGAAUACCGAAGGAGCGAUCCCGGUGUAUUUGUAUGCCUAAUACAAAAGAGGCGUCAACAAGAUCUUUCAUCUCUUGGUGUCAUGCAAUAAACCUAUAUUGCUGCUGGCAAGUAAAAUGUCAUCGACAUACAAAACCAGAAAAAUAUAUUUGCUCCCAUAGAACUUAUGGUAUAUGCAAUCAUCGACUAAAUUCAUCUCAAAACCGAAUGAGAUGAUCACUGGACAUCCCUAAACAUGCAAGUGCUUUAGACUAGGCUGAUUGUCUAUCCAAAGCUCGUAAGGAGUUUUGGCAGUUGCUUUAAUUAGAACUCUGUUAAGGAUAUAUGUUGCAGUCUCAAGCACUUCUCCUCAAAGUGAUUCUAGUAAGGUAGAAUGACAAAUCAUACUCCUCACCAUGUUCUUAAGCGCCCUGUUUCAUCUUUCAACAACACCAUUCAUAAUGGCGAACCCAGCAUAGUGUACUGUGAGAUGAUACCGUAUUCCUCUAGGAACUUAGCAAAUGGUCUUUGAAUCAUCAUAUCUGCCAUAAUAUUCGCUACCACGAUUAGAUCUGAUGCUUUUGAUUUUUUGUCGAGUUAGUUCUUAACUUCAGCCUUAAAAAUUUUGAACAUAUCCAAGGACUAUGACUUUUCAUGGAGGAGAUAUAUAUAGCCAUAUAUAGAAAAAUCGUCUAUAAACGUCAUUAAAUAUUGUUGACCAUUCCAAGCAGCCGUAGGAAAUGGCCCACGAAUGUCUAUAUAUAUGAGUUCUAAGACAUUCGAAAUCCUGUUAGCUUCAAAUUUCCUUUUAUUUAUUUGUUUCCCCUUGAUACAAUUAACAAAUAUGUCAAAACCUGUGAAAUCUAAGGGCCUGGGAAUUUCAUUUGACAUAAGUCUCUUUAUUCUCUGUAUGGAGAUAUGACUAAAUCUCUUGUACUAUAAUGCAACUGAAUUCUCAUUUGUUAAUUUUCUCUUUACACCUCGUGUACUUAAUUGCAAAGAUUCAUUAAAUGAAGCAAUUGUAUCAAGCAUAUAAAGAUUAUCAUCACCUGACAAAGAACCGGAACCAACCAGUUUUGAAAUAUGAAACAAACUAAAUUUUCCAUUCCCAAAUGAACAAAAAAAGCCAAAUUUGUCCAAACUAGAAAUAGAAAUCAAAUUCCGUCUAAAAGAUGGAACAAAAUAUGUUUCAUCAAGAUCCAAAUAAAAUCCAGUUUUUAACAAUAAUCUAAAAUUUCCAAUUGCUUCUACUUCAACUGUCUUGCAAUCGCCAACAUAGAUAUAUCUUUCACCAUCACUGGGUUUUCGGCAACUCAGGCAACCCUGCAUAGAUACAGUGAUGUGAGUGGUUGCACUAGAAUUUAUUCACCACGUGUGUCUAGAUAUCAAAGUUAAAUUAACCUCAGAACAAACCAAACUAAAAAGCAUACCUUUCUUAGCACUCCAUGCGGAUAAUUAGUGUAAUGCUUCUUCUUAUGCCCUUCAGCCCCAUAGAAGAAACAACUAGUACCUUCAUGAUCAUUUGGUUUCUUUUGUUAUUUCUUUUGAGGUGUUGUAUUUGCACAUUCCUUAUUUUUCUUCAUUUUCUUGCCCUUAGAGAUAGAGGCUAGGUGAGCACUUUUUGCCUUAUCUUUUUUCAGCAUAUCCUCUUCCUAAACAUAAUGUGAUAUGAGCUCAUUCAGAGACCAAGUCUCUUUCUGACAAUUAUAGCUCACCUUAAAUUAGUUAAACUGUGUUGGUAAGGAUAUUAAAAAAAAUGCACUAGUAAGUCCUCAAAGAGCUUAAGUUUAAGUGCUCUUAACUUAGAAUCAAGAUGAGACAUCUCCAUAAUGCACUCCUUGAUAUUGCCUUUACUCGUAUACCUCAUUGAAAUUAGGCUUGUCAAGAGCGUACCAAUUUCAGCCUUUUUGUUCUUGACAAACAUUUGUUCAAUUUAUUCAAGAAACUCUUUAGCAGUAGUUACUUUUUCAAUCAUUAAGCCCCUGAAUGCUUCUAGAAUGGUCUUCUACUUAUCAUGACACACAUGCGAUUUGAUCUCUCUCACCUUUCCAUUUAAUUUCCUUUUUAUCACCAGGGGUACUCUCACCCGUAAGAGGUGGGAAGAAUCAACCCUUAACGCAAGGUCAAGAUCCAUGACUACAAGAACUAUUUAGAGUUUCUUGUUCCAUGAUUUGAAGUUAGAGCCAUUUAACAUAGGAAUAUAAUUCACGUUGGCAGUAAUAUUAGUAGCAAACACAAUUGAACAAAAAAUAACAAACAAACAAAACAAGCUCAUAUUAGUCUUAAAACAAACAUAAAUUCAAAUAAAGAUAAUCCCCAUCUUAAGAUACUGGACACUCCAUUAAUAUUCAACUUGUAAUUGAUAUCUUGGUGUAGUAAUCAAACACUGAUAAUAAGAACAUGUCAAACAAUUAAUAUUCCUUUGGGCCGAUUUAUUGCUCACAUGCAAAACCGAAUAAUCAUCACAUGUUUAUUACCAUAGGUGCACAUGUAAUUCUAUUAAAUAUGGACAUUCCUUAGAGCCGAUCGAUAUUUAUAGAAAUUACAUAUACAAAAAUGUUUAUAUUCCAAAAUAAAUUAAUUCUUAUAAGAGACCUCACUUUGGCGACAUGUUGCUUCAAUUAAUUUAUCUCAAAAUAUAUAUAAACCUACCAAUAUUUAAAUUUAAAAUUGCACAAAAAUUACCCCAAAAAUUAAAAAAAUUCAGGUCAAAGUCAAAGUUUGACCAGUCAACUAUCAAAUGUUGAUCGGUUUAUACAGCUGAUCGCUUUGAAUUGGACUCGUUCAGGUUAGACCGAACCGGACCAAACCAGUCCUAAAUCAGAAACCCUAAUUCGUUUUCCCUUCUUCUUCUUUGGUCGCCUUCCCACCUUAACCUGCAGGCUGCGACUUAGUCGUCGCAACCUCUCCUUCCCGUCGCUAGGGGUGUUCGUGGAUUAGAUUUUAUGGAUUAGACAUCAAUCUAUAUCCGAUUCACGAUUUUACGGAUUAUAAAAUUUUAAUCCAAUCCAAUCCACGGAUUAAUGAAAUUCAAUCCAAAUCAAUCCAUACGUCUGCGGAUCGGAUGUAGAUUUGACCCAAUCCAUAUCCAAUCCAUCAUUUUACGGAUUGGUUUACGGGCUAAAAAAUUUUACUCAUGUCCUAUCCACGAACUAACUAAAUAAAAAAAUUAAUAUAAAAAUAAUUUUACUACCGAUCAAAUUCAAAAUUAAAUAAUAUUUAAAUUAAUUAAUUUUUUAAAUAAAGGUAAAAAAUACAUUCAAAGUUUCAAAAUAUAACACACCAAAAAGAAAAAAUCUCAUUUGUUUAGAUCAGUACAUGAAAAUUAAUUGCUAAGGAAGAUAUAUUUUUUAUUUAAUUAUUUUUAUUUUAUAUUAUUAUCAGAUAAGACAUAAUAUGGUGUUAAUGUAACUAUAUUUUAACUUAUUUAUUUAGUAGUAAGAAUAAUGUUAUAUUUACAAGUUUUUUUUUUGCGGAUUUGUGGAUUUUUGCGGAUUCAUUGUGAAGCCGAGAUUAGUUAUAAUCUGUUAUGGACAUGCUGAGGUGUCAUAUGAGCUGGCAUAAGUGGGAUUCAAGUCAAGAGUUGGUUAGUUAGUUAAAUAACAGACUGACUCAUUGCAAGUGGAAACACACGUGAGAAGCUUACAUAUAUAAGCUGUCUCUAAGCUAGUGAAACAUAUAGAGAAAACGGAGAGGAUUUACAGAGAGAAAACAUUCGAUAGGCUUUAAUCUGUAAUCGGUGACUCAGUUGUAAAUGAUCUUCUUGUUGUUCAAUAAAGCUUCUGCCCUUGCUGGUUUUACAGCCGUGGAUGUAGGUUCCUUUGUGGAGCUGAACCACGUUAGUUUCUUGGUGUGUUGAGUAGAUUUGAUUGCUUGGUUCUUUUGCUAUUCUUGUCUUAAUCUUGUUUCUGUAAACUCUGGUUUAGUGGGUUGCUUAAUUCUUGUUCAAAGUCAAAGAAGUAAACACGUUUGCCAUAACAUUCACAGUAGUAAAUCCAUAUCCAAUCCACUGACUGUGGAUUUUCAAAUUUUCAAUCCAAUUCAAUCCACCAAUCCAUGGAUCAAAAUUUUACGGAUUAGAUUUCUGCGGAUCAGACGGAUUGAGCGGAUCGAAUUGGAUGCUGAACUCCCCUACCCGUCGCAGCCUGAAGCCGCGGCACAGCCGCCGGCUAAAACUUUGAAACGUUUUUUUUCCUUCAAUUCCCUUUCCCUUUAUACCGUGACUAAGGGUGGGCAAACGGUUCGGUUUUAUGAGCAAAAGCAGAAUGGUUUUAAAAUCAAGGAACCGAUUGGUUAAACCGGACAGAACCAAAAAACCAAUUGGUUCCUUGAUUUAAUUAUAAAUAAUUUUUUAAUUGAAAAAUAAAUGAAAAUAUAUAAACCAAAAAUGAAAAAACAAAUCACUCAAAAAUCAAAAUCUCAAAUCCCUAGCUGCGUUUCCCCAAUUUGCAACCCACGACCUCUCUCUCCUCUCCCACUCAUCUUCCACUCAUCUUCCACGCCUCCCUCCGUCGCCUCUCUGCCGCGUGUUUCUCCAUUACCAGACGGCACAGAACUUCAGCUCAGCCCCUCUCAGCUUCUUCCUCGUAACCGUCUCUCCCUCGCGUUAGCUCAGUCCCUCUCUUCCUUGUCUGCACAGCACCUAGCACAGCCCUUAUCUUCCUAGCUUGCACGGCUUCCUAGCACAACCCCUUAGCAGCGACACAGCUCCUCCCCUCAAGCACGGUGACAGCCCCUCACACGCGGUGUUACAGCCUAGCACAGGCCCUCACACGUCGUGUUGCAGCCUAGCACAGCCCCUCUCUUUGGUGCUGCAGCCUACAAGUGUUAUUUUAUUUUAAUUUAUGCCAUGGCUCGUACAUAGUGUGUAUAGUGUAUACUGUUUAGUUUCUGCUAGUGUUACUUGUGUUAGGGAUUGACUAUUUGUGGACUGUUGAUGUAUACUUGUUGGUGGAGUUAAAAAUGGUGGGCAGAUAUAGUGGUUGUGGAGGCUUGUGAGUUGUGGCAGUGAACUGAAAUGGUUGUAACUUGUAAUGUUGUAUUGUAUAUUGCAGUCGAAAAUUGAACAAUUGAAAAUAGAUAAAUGUAUAAUGCUUCUAUCAAUGAAAAAUUAGAAAUAAUAUUUGUUAUUUAACUUAUUUGGCAUAAUGAUUAAUGACUUAAUUAGCUUGGUGAGGUUGCAAUUUGAUAUUGGCAAUUUGGCAUGGAGAAUUCAAAUUAAAUUAAUAAAUAGUGGAAGUAUAUUAUGAUAUGUUGGCCUAAUUUGUUAAAUUAAAUUAUGAUUUAUUAGCUAGUAGUUAAUUGAACUUUAAUUGAUCUUUUUGGCGUGGAUGUUUUAAAUUAAAUCAACAAUUAUUGGAAGUGAAUUAUGAUAUGUUGGCUUAAUUUGUUAAAUUAAAUUAAAUUAAAUUAUGAUAUGUUCGCUAGUAGUUAAAUUAAAUUAAUAAAUUUAAUUGAACUUUUUGGCAUGGACAUUUUAAAUUAAAUUAACAAUUAUUGGAAGUAAAUUAUGAUAUGUUGACUUAAUUUGUUAAAUUAAAUUAUGAUUGGCUAGUAGUUAAUUUAAAUUGAAUUGAUCUUUUUGGCAUGGAUGUUUUAAAUUAAAUCAACAAUUAUUGGAAGUAAAUUAUGAUAUGUUGGCUUAAUUUGUUAAAUUAAAUUAUGAUUUGUUAGCUAGUAGUUAAUUUAAAUUGAAUUGAUCUUUUUGGCAUGGAUGUUUUAAAUUAAAAUAACAAUUAUUGGAAGUAAAUUUUGAUAUGUUGCCAUGUUGGCUUAAUUUAUUAAAUUAAAUUAAAUUAUGAUAUGCUGGCUAGUAGUUAAAUUAAAUUUAAUUGAUCUUUUUAGCAUGAACAUUUUAAAUUAAAUUAACAAUUAUUGGAAGUAAAUUAUGAUAUCUUGGCCUAACUUAUUAAAUUAAAUUAUGAUAUGUUGGCUAGUAGUUAAAUUAAAUUUAAUUGAUCUUUUUUCAUUUCAAUAAAUUGUUAAUAAAACAAUAUUACUUAUUUAUUUUUAUUUUAUUUAUUGUGGAUAUCUAAUUAUUCAAGAGUUCAAGACAACCUCGAUUGUGUACCCGAUGAUCUUGAGCGUAAAGUUGAAGUUGAUGAUAGUGAAAAUGAUUCGCCAACAAUUUGUCACUAUCGGAAACAAGAGGAAAAAGUCUUUGUCAUCCAAACCGCCACUACCAAGGAAAAAAAUGGCUCCAAGAUCAACAGUGUGGCAACAUUUCACUAGACUUCUAGAUAAUGAUAAGAAGUGCAAAUGCAACUACUGUGGUAAUGAAUUUGAAUGUGGCUCGGUAGGGUACGGGACUAGCACUUUGAGGACUCAUUACCAAGAAAGGUUUCAAAAGUACCAAGAACCUUCAGAAAGACCAAACAACUUUAACUCAAAAUGUCGGUAGUGAUGAAAUUGUAGCAAGAUAUUUUAGUUAGGAUGCUUAUAGAUGAGCAACUAUGAAGAUGAUGUUCUUGAUGAAUUGCCUUUUUGUGUUGUGGAGAAUCCAGGUUUUAAGCAUUUUAACAGUGUGGCGGCUCCUAGAUAUCUCCUAGCAUUUUUACGAAGAACCAUUACUAGGGAUACUCUUGAUAUGUAUGUUGAGGAAAAGGCUAAGUUGAAGAACUUAUUAGUUGGGAAUAAGCAAAGAGUAUCUUUGACCACUGAUAUUUGGACUUCCAUUACUACAGUUAGCUACAUGGUCAUCACAGCACACUUUAUUGACAAAGAUUUGAAUUUACAUAGAAAGAUUAUCAGCUUCAACAUGGUUAAUGAUCAUUCAUUGGAGACAAUUGGUAAGCAAAUUGAAAAAUGUUUGAUUGACUGGGGCAUAGAGCGAGUAUGUGCUGUAAUGGUUGACAAUGCAAGUCCAAAUAAGGGUGCUCUUAGGUACUUAAUUGAUCGACUAAAGACUUGGAGGGAUGAUGCCUUAGUGUUGAAUGGGGAUUAUUUGCAUGUUCGUUAUUGUGCGCAUAUAUGGAAUUUGACUGUGACUGAAAGGUUGAAGGAACUUGAGCCGAGUAUAGUUAGUGUUUGGAAUGUUGUGAAAUAUGUGAGGUCUUCCACUGCCAGGAUGCAAGCAUUUCAAAUUCGUGUGCAACAAGAGAAGAUUAAUUCCCGAGGAAGUAUGAUUUUGGAUUGCCCUACUCGGUUCUACAUAUUCCAUAUUGAGUACAUCAUUGAAAUUUAAGCCGGCAUUUGAUCGGAUGGCACUUGAAGAUAACCUUUAUGAUGCUUAUUUCAAUGAAAAAGAGGGGGGGAGGGUAAGAAGAAAAGUGAGGGGCCACCGCUAUAUAGUGAUUGGGAGUGCUCUUCGCAUAGUUAAAUUUUUGAAGACUUUUUAUGAUGCGACUUUGCAAUUUUCUUCUUCUUUGAAGGUAAUAUCACAUCUUUAUUAUGCUUUUGAAUUUUGAUAUAUGAUAUGGAAUUUAUUUUAGCUUUAUUAUACUUUUGAAUUUUUAUAUAUGAUAUGGAAUUUAUUUUAGCUUUAUUAUGCUUUUGAAUUUUGAUAUAUGAUAUGGAAUUUAUUUUAGGUGACAUCGCACACUUGUUAGAAUUUGAUAUGUCAAAUUGAACAAUCUUUGGAAUCGUUGUCUACUAAUAAUGAUAGCCUUUUGGGUUUGAUGGCUAUUAAAAUGAAGGAGAAAUUUGAUAAGUAUUGGGAGGGCUGUUUCAAGAUAAAUAAAAUGUUGAUUGUUGCUUCUGUGCUUGAUCCACGGGGAAAGAUGAAAUUCACAACACAUUGCUUUGAGAAAUUAUAUGGCAAGGAUAGUGCCAAAUGUGUUGAGAUGAAGGAAAUGGUAAAAGAUUUGUUGACUAAGCUUUAUAAGUCUUACAAUGCACAAUAUAAACCGUGUGGUAGUGGGAGUACAAGUGGAAGUGCAAGUGGAAGUACAAGUGGAAGCCAAACUUUAGCUAUUGGAAGUGGAAGUGGUUCGAAUUUUUGGGAUUUAGGUGGUGAUGAUGAUGUUAUGAUUGAGGACCCUUUCUCCGAAUUUAGUAAGGUGGUUGCGGUUAGUGAAGGUAGCCCGGAAUUGUGUGCUUGUGUUAUGGUGGAUGUAGCUAUGGCUUGUGUGCUUGUGUUAUGGAGUUUUAUCGAUUAUUGAUGCUCUGUUAUCAAAAAUACUACAAUACUUUGAGGGUGUAUCAAUCGUCCACCUUAAAUUAACAAAAGCUAUCUGCCGACCACCAAACUGUUAGCUGCCGUUUGAAAGUUAACGAAAUAAUAGUGAAUUGAUGAUUUUACCCCUUAAAAUUAUCACUUGUAUACCCUUAAAUUCUUUUAUUAUCACUUGUAUACCCUUAAAUUCUUUUAUUAUCACUGGUAUACCCUUAAAUUAUCACUUGUAUCAUAUGAAAAGACCAAAUUACCCCUCUGGUGUUAUCCUAUUUAAACGGCAAGUAACGGUUUGGUGGACGGCAUAUACAUUUUGUCAACUUAGGGUGGACGAUUGAUACACUCUCAAAGUGUUGUAGUAUUUUUGAUAAUAGAGCAUUUAUAGGGUAUAUGAAUGAUAAUUUCCCUUUUUUUUGUUGCCAUGGACUUAUAAUUUGUAGUAGACUUUUAAGUUUAAGCGUGUUUAUGAAUUGCGAAUAUUUGUAUUGGGAAUUUUUAUUAUAUGGCUUGUGUACUUGUGUUAUGGAGUUUUAUCAAAUAUUGAUGCACUAUUAUGGACUUUUUUUUUUUAGGUUGCCAUGGACUUAUAAUUUGUAGAAUUGUCAAUUGUAGUAGACUUUUAAGUUUAAGUGUGUUUAUGAAUUGUGAAUAUUUUGUAUUGAGACAUUUAUUAUUUCGCUUUUGAUUUAAUAGUUUUAUACUUGUUUAUUCAUAUUAUAUAGUGUUAUUAAUAUUAUAUGUGUAGAGUGUAGUUUGGUACUUGGUAUUGGUAGUUAAUGGGAGUGUAAAUUGCAAAAUUAAGUAAAAUUAGGUGGAAAGUAUAAAAUCUGAUAAUAUUAGGGUAAAUCUAUAAAAUUAAGAAAAUGAAAAAUCCGAACCGAAUCGAAUUUAGGAACCGAACUGAACCAAACCAAAAUAUUUCAGUUCAGUUCAGUUCAAGUUCGGUUCACACUCUUAAGGCUCGAUCGAUUUUGGUUCGGUUCGGUUCGGAGCCCGAUGUUGGAUUAUUCACAUAUAAAUCCAAUGUUGGAUUAAUGAUCCAACAAUAUUGGAUUAAAAAUCCAACAUUAUCCACCCAAAUGCCAGAGCAAUCUCAUGCAUAAUUUUCCUUGAAAGGUCAAACAUCAACAAGAGAUCAAAAGGUGCAGUAAGAUUUUCUGCCAGAUCAUGAACUGUAGAAAAGUCCUAAAAACGAGACAAUCAAUGUUUUGAAAAAAAAAAUUAAAUGGGAAUAGUGUCCCCGUUAUAAUCCCCAUUCAAUUUGUGGAUUUUUUAGGACAUGCCCAACCUAUCCUCAAUAAAACUUUUUGAGGUAUGAGGUGGGUUUGGGGAUUGCUUCCAAACUGCAUUCAAGUUCGUGCAUCAUGAUCCCCGUCUCGAACCCGGCCCAUUCCUAUCACUACUUAAUAGGAUCAUUAAACACAAAACUAAGGACUGAAAAGUUGAAAAAAACGAACCAAUAAAUGAGAAGACUAACUAAAAUUAGAGACAUAUGAAAUAAACUUGGAAGAAACAUCUAUUAAAUUGAUAUUUAACCAAAAGAAUUGCAAUAUGAUUAACAAAUUUUAAAAUGUUUUCUCAUUCAAUUAUUUUUUAUGUUUAUUAUUUAAAAAUUUCCUUCUUUUUUUCAUUUAUUGAAUUUUUUAGCAUUAAAAAUAAAAUUUAAAAAUUAUUUAAUGAAAUACCGCCAUACGAGUUGUUAAAAUAUUUAUCAGAGGUUAUAUGAAAUUGUAGGAUGACCCUAAGAAAAGAGAAAAACAUUUAUUUGUGGGACCCGACCGAUCACGGAACAUGGGUUCGAAACAUGGAUCCAACUACCUUGCAAUAGUUGCAAGGUACCACAACUUUUGUCUUUUUAUGCAGUAAAUUUCAUUUGACCCCUUACUUUUCUUUUUUUAAUUUAUUUUUAAUUAUAAUUUUAUUUUUCUCUCUCAUUCUUUCCCUCCACUCCAUAGGUGGCCCAAUCUUUUUUCCUUUUAUUAUUAUUAUUAUUAUUAUUUGCUUAAUGAUUAUUUUAAUUAAAAAAAUCUAAUGAAUCAAAAAAUAUAAACCAUAAGCUAUUAACAAUUAGCCUAAAGGAGUACAAAAGCAAGCAUUGAGUUUGGGCUUUGGCUAAAUUUUGGAAUUUUUUUUAACAUUUUAAUUAAAUUAGAAAAUUAAAACAAUUUGAUAUAAUUAGGAUUCCAUCGGGAUUCCGAUUGAAGUCCUGACUAGUCCUGAGUUUUAAUGAGAAUAAAUUUAAUCUCAAAUUCUUAUUUAUUUUAAUUAUUUUUUAAGUCAUAUACCAUUUCAUGUACCAUUUGGAACAGGAUUUGGGAUUCCGAUUGGGAUUCGAUUUUUUCUACCAACUUUAAUUGGCAAAAGAGUUUUAAUUAGCUAUUUGAGAAUGUUAUGUUAAUUAACAAAGUUAUAAUAAUCUACGAUUGUUAUAAGAAUCUACAAUGUAUAACUUAGGAAUAGUAAAGCUCCUAUUAUUUAGCUUAUUUGGGUGUAUAGGCUUAUUGAAUUAAUUCAUACCAAUAUAAUUUGAUUAGAAUCGAAGUAUCUUAAUUAUGAAUUUUAUUCUUCUACUCUUUUGCAAAUGUUAAUAUGUUAAACAUAUUCUUACUAUUUUGAAUAUUAAACAUUGACACACUAAUAUAACAUCAUAAAAAAUAGUAAUAAUUGGAAAAUUUCACUAUAAUUUGGGUGGAAACUUAAAUUAAUAAUCUGGAAUUAUAUUUUUUUUAUUAUUUUAUGUUGAAGUUCCAGCCUCCAAGUACUAAACCAAAUUAAUGGCUUGGGCUAAUGCAAGGAAUAAUUGGUUAAUGCUUUUCUAACUUAAACUAACGAUAUCUAUUAUUUCAUUCUAUGAUUAUUUUUUAUUUUUUUAAUUACUUUCGGUUCCAGUUCAUGGUACAUGAGAUGCAUGAGAUGAAGAAAUUAGGAAUUAUUUUUGAAUUAUUUUUGAUUAUUUUUAAUUUUUAAUUUUAAUUUUAUUCAAAAAUUAAAUUUACUUAUUUUUUUAUUUAUUUUGUAUUUUUAACAAUGAAAAUGUUAAUGAAAUUUCUCCUAAUUUUAAUUGUCUAAUUAUUUACAAUUUUGAGAUAAUUCGGACUUAUGCAUUAAAAUUUGUAACUUUGUAAUUUUUUUGAAUUUUUAAAAAAUAUAGGGACUAUAACGUUAAUUACCAAAUAGACACAUCCUUACCAUGGACGCUACUUUUCCAUUAAAUCGAACGGUGAGGAGCUAAAGUCACAAAAAGAUAAAAAUCCUGGUACGUUGUAACUGUUGUAACGUAGGCGAAUCCUUAAAACAUUUGACAAAGGGAGUACUUUUCUAUAAAAAAUUUAUCAUUUACAAUUUUUUUUACCAUCUCAUUUUGUCACUAACUCCUUUUGCCUUUGGUCAGAGCCACAAGCAAUGAUGAUGAUCCAACUGACAGUUAAUUAUAAUCCAUGAAUUAUUCUUCUUUUGUGUAAUUUUUUUUAAUUUUCUAUAUUUAUAGCACAGUUUAAAGUUUGAAGAAUUUGGUGGAAAGAGGAGCGACUACAAUCUAUACAUAACUUGUAUUUUUAAAAGAAAUUAUCUAUGUACUACCGCUAUUUCCUGAUAUAUACAACUAAUCACUAUAAAAUUUUAACUUUUUUUGCACUACUUUUUUUUUUUUAAAGUUGUAUCAAUGAACCACUUUGACACUAAGAAUCUAAAUAAAAUAAUUAUUUUACUCCUAAAUGAAUUAAAAGAUUAUUUUAUCCUAUAAAAUUUUUAAAAACAAAAAAAAUUAUAAUUACAAUACAACUAAUUGAUAAAAUUUUAUUGAAAAAUAGAUGUGUAAGAACCAUUUAAUCAAUUGAUAAAAUAUUAUUGAUUCUUUCAAUCCUUUUCACCUAAAAUACAUGUACUACUCAUCUCAAAUAUUUUCUUUUUUUUUUUGGUUUUUUUAAUCAAUCAUACAAUCACAAUUAUCAAAUAAUUUUCAUUGUUUAAAUUAAUCACCAAAAUAAUAAUAGUCUCAACCAACUUUGAACAAUAAAAAAAAUUAUAAUUACAAAAAUUAUUGUUUAAAAAUUAUAAUUAUAAAAAUUAACAUCUUGGAUUUUGGUAUUUAUUUGUUUUAUUAAAUUCAGAGCUAUUCUUAUAAUUAUAAUUUUUUAAAAAAAAUUGUAGAAUAAAAUGAUCAUUUAAUUUAUUUAGGGUUAAAAUUGUCAUUUUUAAAAAAAUCUUAGUGUCAAAGUAGUUGAUUGAUACAAGUUUAGAAAUAAAAGUGGUGCAUAGAGAAUUUUCCUAUUUUUAAUUUUACUCAAAUUAGUGCCCUAGUCUUGAUAUUAGCCAUAAAAUUUAAAUAUUUUGAGAAUAUGAAUCAAGUGAAAUGGCUUAUAUGCCCACAAUGAUUAAAUUAACUUAACAAUGAAUUAUAAAUUAUGACAAAAAAUUACCUAACAUGUAUAUGUAUGUAUGUAUGUAUGUAUGUAUGUAUCUUUUAUAUUCACAAGACUUAUUAGGGUAACAAGUUAUUUGUCAAUGGUAUUUGUGUUUAAAAGAGGAAAUUUUUUUAUAUAGGGUAGAGUGAGUUGGAUUUUAUGACAAAAGGUUAAAACAAAAUGAAUGCAUAUACCUACCCGUGGUAUAUUUUUAGGAACCAUUUAAUCAUCUUUUGUAAUAUCCCAACAUAUAUAUUGCAAUGGACACAUAUGCCCAAAUAUUAUUGCUAUGUUAAUUUAUAUAUGAGCAUAUUAUAUUUGCCUCCUCUUUAUAUAGUACUACAAUUUAUGUGGGUGCUCCAGUAGUCACACAUGGCCAAUUGUUAUUGCAAUUUAAAUGGACACUUUAUACAACUAUUAGGGGCAUUUAUGAUAAUUCUCUUACUUGUAAAUUUUCUCUAUAAUUUACAAUUUAUUAUAAAUUAAUUUUAUCAUUAAGGGUCUAUCAGUCAUUUUAGUUAAUCUAUAUUCUCAAAAUAUUUAAAUUUUGUGGUACAUCAAGACUAGUGUAGAAAAGUAAAAUAAUUAUAAAAUUAAAAAUGAUGUAACUUGAGGGAGUUUGAACCUGUUCUAAAAUAUGAAGGUUUUUUUUUUUUUAUUUCUCGAAACAACAAGGGUAAUUCUCAUUUUUCCAAUUAGUUUUGGAACUCUAUUAAUAACAUAUAUUAAUUUCUUUAUUAUUUAACAAUGGGAUUAUGAAUAUAAAUCAUGCUAGGAUAGGCAUAAGCAUGCUGAAUGACACGAGGCAAGUCGAAAUUAAUGACUUUAAUAUAGGGGUAUGCCUGAAAGUGAAAGCAAUAAAGGUUACUCUAAGACUGCCACCAACAUCGACAAGGUGCUUGAUGUGGUUGAAACCCUAGUAAGCCUUAUUAAUCCCUUAGUGAUGCUGUUAAUAAUGAGAGCAAUAUGGUUAUAACAGUGGCGGAUUCAAAAAAAAAAUUAUUGGGAAUUUAAUUAAAUAAUAGUAAAAUAUAAAAAUUAAAAUUUUGAAUAUAUAAAAUAUUUGUUAAUAUAUUUAUAAUUGUUUUCAAAGCAAUUUUAUAUUUUUAAUAUGUUAUCUAAUAGAUUCAUUGUAUUAAAUUUUUUUUUUCAUAAACAACCAAACUAUUAUUCAUCCCAUCCAAUUCUAGAGAUGAUUCUUGACGAAUUUCAUUGCCGAAAAUGUUUUCUUUAUUGUUGCGGCAAACUAGAAGAAUUAUCCUUAUUUUUGGAAAUAGAAAAAUGUUUUGGACGGUGGGCUAUUAUUAUUUUUAAUUAAAGUGUAGGCUUUAUAAUUCUUAACAAUUAAAGUUUAAAUUUUAUGGAUUUUUAAAUUUAUAGAAUGGGGGCCAUUUAGAAACCCAAAAUAAUUUUUUCUUUAAUUCUUUGAUUUUGUUUUUGGCUUGCUUGUGGGGGCUCUGGUCACAUGUUGAAUCCACCACUGCAUUAUACACCUCUGUUUUUAAACUUUUAGGGAAAUUUACCCAUUUGACCACUUUCCAACUUUCAAUAUAAAAAAAGACUUCACUCUAGUUUUUCUUACAAUAACAACCAUUUACAAGGUUCUUAGACCAAAAUACCCCUAAAACUAAACAAACAAACCCCAAACUCCCAAGCAACAGUCGAACAUCUCCACACACCACCAAAAUACUCAUCAUUUCACCUCUCCCACAUUAUCCAACUAUCACUCAGCCUCCCUUUUAUCUAUCUCACAUUCAUCAAACUAUUAUAUUUAUCAAAGUAUUGAAGACAAAAUCAAGCAAUAAACUAAAGAAUAAUAAGAAGUUAGGGUUAGUAUUUCUUCAAUAUCUAUCUUUUAUUUUUUGGUUGGGUUUAAUACAAAAGAUCGGUUGCUCAUUUUACUACAAUGUGGGUACAUUAAAUGGUUAAUGUGAGGUCAGAGAUUUAUAAAUUAGUAAAAUUCUAGCAAAAUUCGACGAAAAUGGGUUUUGAACAAUGUUGAAGACGAAACCUAGAAUCCAGGUGACAAGUACCUGUCACCCAAACUUAGAAUAACUUGUCGUACUUGUCACCUGAAUUCUCGUAUUCAUCACCCAGGUGACAAAAUACUGCAUGUUGGGCGAUUAGUGCUCAUGUCACCCAAUAUACAAUCGCAUGUAAUUUGGGCGACAUUAUCUAUCACCUGGGCGAUAGUACUGUCAUCCGGAUCACCCGAAUUUGUUGAUAAUUAGUUAUUUAAUUAAUAUAGUAAUAUUAUUGUUUGCAGUAUUUUUAAUAAAGUAUUAUUAUUAUUUUGCAUCAGGUUAAUAGAGUUGGUAGUUCUUAUGAUGUAUUUUGAUAGAGCGUGGGAGACUUUGGAGGAUGGUCGUAUGGAGUACGAGAAUGGAAAAGUUACUGCAUUUUGUUUCCAAAACGAUGUAACAUUUGAACAAUUUAUUGCAAAGUUGUAUGAAAUUCUGAAGAAAAGUCCGGAUGAAUAUUCCCUCUUAGUAAAGACAAAUGUGAAAUCAACUCAUCCGACGAAAUCCAUUGAUUCCUGCUUAUAGACAUAGUAGACGAUGAAAUGGUGAGAGUGAUUAUGCGUAUGAACUCUGAUCCAAUUAACUAUGGGUGCACUCUUAUUUAUGUAACGACAAGUCCUAAAGUUCCGAUAGAACUUUCUUUGAUGCCAUCAAUUCAAACUUCAGCCUUUAAACACUGCUCCCCAUUCCGCUCCCAUAAUGAUCCUAUUGAUGACAAUGUUGUUAAUACAGAUGUGAAUGCAUGCAGAAACAUAUAACAUUGAAUCCCAAAUGUAUUCUAAACAUUGCAAUAGUCCAAUCAACAUUUUGGAGGAUGUAGAUCGGUUUCAAGAAGUUAAUGAUUCAUCUCAAAAUCAUCUUAUCAGUCCAAGGACCUGUAGCCAAAACUUGUAGCCAAAGUCAGUCUAUUAGUCUAAUGGCUUGUAGCUAAAGUCGAUCUAGAGUUCCAAGUCCAAUAGACCAACUACAGUUGGAGGCUCCAAUUGUACCAUCAGAUUGGGUAGCUUCAGACAUGGUUGAUGGUUCUAUUUACAGGGGUAUUUUUGUGGGCCAUACCAGUUAUUCAGCAUGAAAAAACUUAAAGUAUUGUGCACCACCGAAAUACUAAUCACGUAUUUGUCACCCAAGUAUUUUUUGUGCAAAUUUUCCACAUUACCACAUUUCAAUCCUGUCACCAAGCACCAUUCUCGAAGAGAGAAACGUAACAUCUCGUUGCCAAUCCUAAACCACAUUUGGUAUUCAUCAUCAACUUGUUUCAUGACUAGUUUGAGCAACAAAUAAUGUACAAGAUUGUCGCUAAAUCCAAGGUCCCCCAUCGUUAGAAAAUGACCAAAAAUUGACUUUUUGAAUAGGCUAAAUUGAGUAUCAGUUAACUGGGUCUGUAUAUACGUAAUGACAAAAUUAAAUCUUGUUAAAUUCGAAACGCAACAGGCGAAAUGAUCCUCGAUUGGUAUCUUCAAUGACCAGUGAUGCAUCUACUUGUCAGACAUAUCUAAGCAAUAAAUUAGGACAGCAUUAGCAUAAAUGUUUCAAAAACAAAAACAAAAACAAAACUGAAACGGUCGGAAAACUUUAGGAUAACAUUAGCAUAAAUGUUUCAAAAGAAAAACAAAACAACAAUGAAACAAUUGGAAAACUUAGGCGACAGCAUGAUUCAGUUGUUGUCACCCUGCGUUGCCCGGUACAUGGGCAACAUGAUAUAUCAUCCAACCAAAUCUGGGCGACACAAUUCUGUUGUCCAGAUUUAGUUCCUGUCACCUAGAACGCACCAAAUCACGUCGUCACUCAUUUGCAUGCCUGGGUGAUGCAAGCUUGUCACCCGCGUUGCUCAGCCUCCCAUGCCACGCAUGGCCAUUUGGUUAGGUGAUGGAGGGGAAGCCACCCACUUUGCCCAAGCUUAACAUGGCCAAAUUUUAGGCAACACAAGCAACCACUCAUGUUCUUGAUUGGCUGGCACACCAACUUUCUCUUUAACCUCAAAAUAAUUCUCAGUAUAGAUCAACAAUUUCUUAGAGAUAUUUAAACAAAUACUUGGUGUGCCAUUUAUUAGAUAUCUUAAUCUUAAGAAAAUUGUAAUAUUUUCAUACCCAAUACACACCCUAAUGAUUAACUAUGAUCAAUGGUGAAUCAACUAGGCAAUUUAAACAAAAAAAAAUUCUAAAUUAAUGAAAAAAUUUGUGAAAGUACCUAAGCUGCCAAAACCGUAAGUGAAUGAACUUGCUGGAACCAAACUAUAACUCACGUAAAUUGCCACUGGAAGUGAAGGAAAUCGCUGCUGGAAGUGAAGGAACUCAGAGGAACUCAAGAAACACCGAAAGUGAAGGAACUCUGGUGGGCGUAAUUGGAGCGAUAUGAGAUGUUUUUAGCUGAAUAUUGGGCUAAAUGUUUUGUUUGUUUUGUUUUGAGAAUUUGUAAGUGGUUGUUGUUGUAAGAAAAAUUAAAGUGUGGUCUUUUUUUAUAUUAAAAGUUGGAAAGUGGUCAAAUGGGUAAAUUUUCCAAAAUUUUAUUAAACCUAGGUUUCAAUCCGAGGUUAUCAUAAGGCAUGUGUUCCAUGGUUUUGAUUAAAUGGAAUUCCUUAAUCCUCCUUUAAGAAUUCUUCUUUCAGUUGGUACUUAUAUAUAGACCAAUUAUUUUAUCAUUUUUAAAUUGACAAGCUCGAUCUCACCCCAUAUACCUAAGAGAAACCAUGAAUCAAAAUAGAAGAACUUUCUCCACCAAUGAGUAAAUAUUUCAUAGUAAUCUCAUUAGACCGUACGUCUUUUUUAUAUAUCUAGAUAAUAGGUAGGACCAUAAACUGAAAUAUUCUAAAACUAUAAAGAUAGUUAUUAAAUCGUUAGCACCCAUAAAAACAUUCCUCCUAACACCAAAUUUUGUGCCUAGUUUCGAAUUUAAUUAAUGCAAGUGAAUGAUUUCGAGUACGAAAGGUGCAAAUCAGCACCAUUAUCAUUAUGAUUGAUUUUUUUUUUUUUUUUUUGUCAAGAUCAUUAGUAUUACGAGAGGAUCAUAGUGUUAUAUAAAGUCAAUGAUUUUGAAGAGAAGAAGCACAUAAAGUAAUAGAUAGAGAAGAGAUCUUGACAUAUUGCUAUACUAGAUCUCAUUCACAAAGAAAGAUAUACUUAAAUAGCCGAUAAUUCACCUUGUUCUAGAUUAAAAAAACAAGAAUUUCCUUUGGUCGUAUUAAAAAGCACAUCGAAAUGUACAUCAAUACACCAUUUUACACUCUAUCUUAUUUGAAAUAUAUUGAGUGAUUGGUGCGUAUUCCCUCGAAGAUUCUUGUUGAGUGUGCGAUUGGUGGAAAAAUAAUCAAAACCCCCUGUUGUUUGUCCAAUUUAAUCAUUUUCCUCUCAUAUUUUAAAAUCUCCUACUGUUAAAUAUUUAAAUGUAACUUCUUGUAUAUAUUGUUGUAUAUUGGGACAAGGUUGUCAAAUUUUCUCGAGCAAAUACAUUUUUUUAAUAUUCUUUGUGUCCCAAUAUAUAUAACAAGUUACAGAAUCAUUAAAAUAAACAGAAGUUUUAAAAAACUUACUAGUAGUAUUCAGAAACGUAACUCUGACGGUUUAAUCUUGGACCUUUUGGAUGGUGUGUUGUCUUGAUAAAAUUAAGAAUAUUCAUUUGAUAUUCAUUUGUGACAAACCAGAAUUCCAGAUGUCCAGUUAAUUUAUGAAAAAAAUAAGUGCCUUUGUCUUUGAACAUUACGUGUUUCAUAAGGUAUUGAUCACUUUCAACGGCUUGUAAUUGGGUAUAAUAAACUCUUUUUUUAUCUUCUUCUCCUUCGUUGUUUUUUUCUCUUUUCCUUUGCUACUAUCGUUGUGAUUGAAACUUUUUGUUGUCGUGAUCAUUAAUUAGUGUCACAAGAGAAUUGUUUCAUUGAUUUGAUGUAGGUUGGUUGCAUGAGACAAGCAGGAUACCCUUUAAAGGUCAUAAUUGAUACUACAAGUAUUUGUUUUGGGCAUAUAAUAUACUGUUUUGAAGUUUGAGAAGAGACAAAGCAAACCCGGAAUGGUUUGCAAAGUUUUGCCACAUGGUCAAAUCAAAAAUUUUAUUUUCCUCCUGUCAUUUUUCAGUUUUAAGAUAUUUUUCUUUUUUUUAAGAUUUGUAUUUUUUUCUAGAUGUCUAAUUUGAGAGUCGUUUGUUUUGUAUUUCUUGUUUAGAUUAAGAGAAUCUUAUUAUAAAAUAAUAUUUCUGAUUUGCUUAUUUUAAUAAAUUCGCGAUAAUUUAAGGUUAUUAUAUAAUGAGACCCAAAACCCUAGUUUUGUUAAUUUAGACUUUUUCAAUAAAACUUUUAUUAUUCAGAAAUUUUGAUUCUUCUAUCAAUCACCUUUAAACGUUUCUGCAUCGUCAAUUCACUUCUAGUUAUUUCAUCUAAUCCAUAAAGUUAAAUUACAUCAUAUAUAACAUGAACUCCAUGCAUGGGCUUUAAUGGCGGAACUCGGAAAAUUUUCAGGGGCCAAAUCUUUAGUGGCGUAAGCAAUAUGCAUAAAUUGUGCACAUAGGGUAUUGAAGAAAUAACAUAGCAGAUAAAAUAUUCAUGCUCAAUUAGAUGGCUGUGAGUAUUAAUGGAAAAAAAAAAGGCCAAAACGAAAAAGCAACCAAAAAAAAAUCUAGGGGCCCUAGAUUUAUUAACAUCGGACUUUUAAAAAUUGCAUGGGCCUUGUCUAUUUAUUUUUUAGAGUUGAACUAUUGGCACCCCUCUCAUCUCCUCAUAAAAUCCCCUUUUUAGUUAUAUUCAUUUUAUUUUCGAAAAUGCCAUUUUUUUUAGAUACAUUUUUCUAAAUUCUCAAUUUUCAUUUGAUUUGUUUUAUUGUUGAAACUCAAAGCAUUAUUGUACUAUUUUUUUAAUUAUUUUCAAUUUUAUUAUUAAUCUACACACAAAUUAAAUUAAAAAGUUAUAUGGAUGAUAAGUUUUUUAGUGUUAAUCAUUGGCUAAAAUAACACAUAUUUAAAAUUAUAAUUUUAAAGCAAUUUUAAGUAUAAAAAUAUUUAAUCAAUAAGAAAUCAAAAGAGAACAAUAGAUUAUUUUAAAUUUGUACAAUUUAUUUUAGUUAAAUAAGAAGUAACAUAUAGAAUUUAUUUUUUUUUGAAAAGGAUUGAUUAUGAAUUAAGUAAUUUGCUGGAAAAAAAUUUAUAUGUGUUUAAUUUUUAAUUUUCUUUAAUUAUAAUUUUAUUUAAAGUGGGGUUUUGUAAGAAUAGUGUAGGGGUGUCAAUACCUCCACUCUAUUUUUUAUUUUAUUUUUGGUUAUUAUUAUUUAUUAACACUUUGACUUUAUUUCAGAUUAACACUUUGACUUUAUUUCAUAUUAACAGUUAUAUUUUUAUCCUAUAUAUAACGGUUAUAUAUCACGAGUGCAUAGGCUAAAUUAGUCUUUUUAAUCGAAUUUUUCAUAUUUUAUUCAGAAAUUCCAAAAACUUUCCAAACUCUGCCGGAGGCAUGACCCCUCUAACCUUAUAAAGCUCCACUGCUAGCUUCAAUUGAUUAUCAUCUUUUGCAUUCUCUGCUUAAUAUCUAGACAUCCUUUAGCCCUCUAUGAUAAAGCAUUGACCAUGUAUUUUUCAAUCAUCUUUCUUUUACUGGCCACUCGAGUUGAAAUCCUAGAGAGAUAUAUGCUAAGAAAUUAAUUUGAAAUUUACCCAGCCCUGUCUUUUAAAUAAACUAAAAAAAAAACUUUAGGUCUCUACAAAAUAUAUUUUCAAUUUUACAUGGAUUAACAAGCUUUAGGAAUGAUAGUAGGAUAGGGUACGGGUGGAGAGGCCUCCUCCAUUCUUGAGCCAAUUAAAAAUUUAGCCCUCAUUCCCCAAUGGAUUUAAUGGGGUUGGGUGAAUCUCUAUGUACAGAAUAGUUUAUCCAUCCCCGCCUUAUUCUCCAUUUAUCUACUUUGUAGUAGAUUUUUAAAUAUAAAUUUCAUGAAAUAAAAAUUAAAAUGACUCAAAUAAAACCAUCACUUACAUUGUAAAGUAUUUAAAAUUAUUAAUAGUAAAUCAUGUUCAAUUUAUUGGAACAAUAUCUUGAAUCACAUAAAAAUGUAAAAUAUUUGAAUAAAUAACAAAAAAAUUUGGAGCCUACCUUUGAGCUCCUGCAUCAAUUCAACAAAAGAGAUAAAAUCCCCUAUAUAUGGCACUACAAGAAAAGGUACCUACUAUGACAAUCCUCUGUGUAACAGUUUUUGGUCUGGAGGCCUACAACAAUAUGAAAUACAAGUGUGCAACCCAAGAGGGGGGGUGAAUUGGGUUUUUAAAAAUUAAGCUAAGCAAACCACACAACAAUUUAAUCUAAUGCCUUAAUGGAAUAAAAAACAAUAAAUUCAAUAAAGCACAAUAAUAAGAGAGUAAGGGAAGAGAAAAUAAACACAAUGAUUUUUACGUGGUUCGGCAAUCCCCGCCUACGUCCAAGCCUCCAAGCUCACCCAGCCUGAGGAUUUCACUAUUCAAGCCUCUCAAGGGUUCAAAUGCUUACAAUUGACUUCCAAGGUGUCAAUCAACCUUUACACCAAGAGAUUAUCUCCAUUCUCUUAACUCAAGUGUAUCCCAACACUUACAAUCACUCAAAACAAAUAGUACAAAUGUGUUUUUUCCUCACACAAAAUAUAUGAUUACAAAUCCAUACUCAAUGUGUGAAUAAAUGAAUCAAGAACAAAUUUAAAGCUUAAUGAAUGUUGUAUUCUCGAUUACAAGCUCAAUGAUAAUGUUGUGAUCUACAUUUCUUUGAAUUUGAUUGAGCUUAUUUAUAGUUGGAGCUGAAAACUAGCCGUUAUUGACUUUCUGUUCGAAGUCGGAUUGUCGUUAACUCAAAGUCAGAUCGCUGUUUUGACUGGUCCAAGUUACCGUUAGACAGAAUUUUAAAUUGUUAGAUCACCAUUUUCAAGAUGUCGGCUCGUCGUUAGUGUCCAAAGGCUAAUAUUUCAAUUCUAUGCAAUGUCGAUUAGCUGUUAUUUAGAUGUCAGAUCGUCGUUAGUGUCCAGAGGCUAAUCUUUAGUUUUGUUCGAUGUCGGCGAGCCGUUAUCAAAAUGUCGGAUCGCCGUUUUCUACAGUAAAUGCUACAGUGAACUAUUUUGCAAAAUGACACUUUGACGCCAAAACUUUAUAUAACUGUACUAUGGCCCACAACGUUAUAACUUUUACAAAUAGGUCCAAUUUCAGAAUUUCUAAAUAAUACUUACUAUUUCCAAAACUUUCUAAAAUUAUAAUAUGGCCCAAAAUGCUAUGAAUACUUUUCAAAUAAAUUCUUCUCCAAAAUUUCAAGCAAUACUUGUUGAUUUCAAAGUUUUCAAAACUUUUUCAAUUAAACUGUAAACUUGAAAAACAACUAAUUUCAUAAAAUCAUUUUUUCAUUAAGUAUAAAACCUUUAAAAUGUGAAAAUAAUGAUUUAUUUAAAAUGUAUAAAAAUAAUUUGAGCUCUUAAAAACUUAAUCAUUCUUAAUUUUGUUUGUUAUCAUUAAAAUCAACCUUAUGAAUACAUAAAUGUUAACACAAUAAAAUCGUGAUAGAUUUACUUUUUGUCAUACACUUAUGACAUAGCUGUGAUAGAAAUAUCGUUUAUCAAGAAAUUAUGAUAUAUUGGUGAUAUAAAUAUCAUAUAUCAAGAAAUUAUAAUAGACUAGUGAUAAAUUAUUUGGCUAUCAAGAAUGAAAGACUGAUUUUUUAUGUUGACUUUAAUUGCGUGGGUUUGACUUGAUUUUUAAAAAUAUUAUAUUACUAAAAAAAGAAGUGAAACAAUGUCGUCUCAGUUGUAUGCCAAAUUAAAAAACAUUAUGUUUUGCAAGUGUUUGAGGAAAACCAAAAACGUAAAUAACAAAAAAUAAUAAUAAAACGUUGUGUUUUGUAAAUGGGGGAAACAAUUUUGUGAGAAAGGAGGCAAAAAUUUUUCUAAGUGUUCAGAAAAUUUGCAAGCGUCACUGUGGAAUCUCAAAAUCGAUUAGCACACUUGUAGCAAACCCUCAAAGGCCGGCCAUAGCAAACUAACGACACCCAAACACCCAUCGUUUCAAAAUCGUUCUGGUUGUUUCAUUGAAUCGUCUCUCUUUACUGCAGUUGUCACUGAACCAUCUCUCUUUGUUGGGACGAAGUCAGUGCUAAUCGAAACCCAAAUUGGAAUGAGAACAACAUACAUGGUACUUUUAUUGACUGAAAGAAACCCAAUCGCUUACCAUGAAAGAAGACCCAAAUCAUUGUUGCCGAAGUUGAAACCCUAGGCUUGACGGUGAAUUGAAGCUUCACACCAACUAGUGAGUCGUUUCUACAUUUGCAUGUAUUUAAUUUUGACUAUUUAUUCAACUUUUAUGUAAAGUAGUAAAUAAUUUGUAAAAAAAUGAAAUGUAUUUGCAUGUAUUGCAUAUAUUGCAUAUAUUUCGGUAAUCAAUUUACUAAAUAAUUUCCUAGUAAAUAAUUUCCCAGGAAGAUAGUCUUUAAAAAUAUUUUGAGUUCUGUUUUAAGUUGUAAUCGUGCAUUGCAUAAUGUUGUUAAUUUUUUUUAUUCUAGGUAAUUCUGAUUUAUAUUCAUGUGUCUGUGUGUGAUUUUUUUUCUAGCUAUUUCUAAUAUUGAAGCUUCGUUAAGUUAAAUGAGUGUUAGUGUAUGAAGAUGGUGAUAAUCUGCAACUUAUAUAUCUUUAUGUUCUAAUAGUUGAUUCUUUAAAUAUUGGCCUGAAAUGUCUAUAACAAAGCCUGAGGAGGCAUUCUUAGUAAUUGAUUCUGUUAUGUAAAAUUGAGGGAUUCUCACAUCUCAUUGUCAUCUACCUAUACAUGAGGUGUUGUAGCUAUUUUGCAUCUGCUGGUAUUGUUGUUACUGUUGUUGUCUUCAGUUGUAACAUUUGUGUGUCAAAUAUAAAUAGUUGUGAUUGCUGCAUAAACGUGACAGUUUGAUGUUCUUGAUUUGUGGAAGACUUUGUAUGAAGGUACUUGAAGCUUUCUUUGUGUUUGCUUUCAUUUUUGUUCUACUGAUGUAUAUUAUUUGAAGUUGUAGUUUAUUAUUUCUUCUUAGGCUUACUCAUAUGAUUAAUGUAAUUUCUUGGUACCUUUUUAGCCCUUUUGAAUCCAAGUUUUGGAAUUCUUUCAACUGAUCAUUCAAAAUAUAUUUCAGUAAUAAAUAUUGUUGCUGGAUUUGUACCUGGAAUUGGAUAUAGCAACAGAUUGUUGUGUUUAAUCUGGUAAGUUCCAUUUCUUAUCCUCUAUUAUUUGACUUUUUGAAGUUUAUUAUGCACUUGCUUAAAAUUUACAUAUCUUUAAAUUUAUAAUUAUGAUACUAUGUAAUGUGUUUGUUGUGGGGCCUAUCUUAUUUAUUAUAUUUAUAGUAUAAUAAGAGAGUGAACUUUUGAAAAGUAUGAAUUUCAAUUUAUUAGCUUUCUUGGGUUGCUAUAUUUUUUAAUUUUGAAAUUUGUUUCUGGACCAUGACUAUGCUUUUCCGUAAAGUAGGUUGUUUCUUUAAUAUAAAAGAGAAAACUAUAUGGGCCAAAUUGUGUUUAAUUUGAAAGGCUUCAUGUAGGUUUAACUUUGUUUAUUUCACAUGGUGCUGUAACAUUAGACAAAUAUUCUAAGUAUGUAUAUUCUUUCUUUGUUUUAUGUAUAUGUCAGGAACAUUAAUUAUUAAGCCAAAAAUGGAUAAAUCUUGGAUUCAAUGUAAUCGACUGUCGACUGAAUAUGAAAAGGGUGUCGAGAAAUUUAUAAAUUUUGCUAUAAAAAAUGCUGGAGGCAGUAGUGUCAUUAGGUGUCCAUGCCUUGAUUGUUAGAAUUUAUCAUUUGAAACACCUACAACUGUAAAAGAUCAUUUAUAUAUGCAUGGUUUUGAUGUGAAAUACGAUAAUUGGUUUUGACACGGGGAAGAGAUUCGUAAGAGUCAUUCUCUUCAAAGAGAAAACCAUUUUCAGUAACAAAAUAUAGAGUUUGACAAUGGUAAUGAGUUAGAAAUGGUUAAUGAUGUUUAUAAGGGUUGUUGUGGGGACCCUAAGGCAUUCAAAGAGUUGCUAAAACAAACUGAGAAACCCUAAUACCUAGGAUGCACAAAAUUUACUAAGUUAUCCUUUUUAGUGAAAUUGUUCAAUGUGAAGGGUAGAUUUGGGUGGUCUGACAGUAGCUUUUCUGCAUUGUUGAGUGUUUUAGCAGAUGCUUUCCAAGAAAAAUAAUGAAAUUCCAACCUAUAUGUAUGAGGCCAAAAAGACAAUGUCAGCUUUGGGCUUAGAAUAUGUUAAAAUUCAUACUUGCCCAAACGAUUGCAUACUCUAUAGAAAAGAGUAUGAAGGUUUUUUUAAAUGUCCUACUUGUGGGUUAUGUAGAUGGAAGAAAAAAGAUGGUACUGUAGACCAAUAUAGGAAAGGGGUUCCUACAAAAACUUUACGGUAUUUUCCUCUUAUACCUAGGUUUAGGCGCAUGUUUCAGUCAUCAGAAACUGCUAGGGACUUGACUUGGCAUGCAAAUGAGAGAAUGGUUGAUAGUAAACUCCGACAUUCGGCUGACUUACCAUCUUGGAAGUUAGUAUAUGAGAAAUGGCCGAUCUUUGCAUCCAAUCCUAGAAACCUUCGCCUAGCUCUACCAGCUGAUAAAAUCAAUCCAGAUAGCUCUCUUAGUAGUACAUAUAGCUGCUGACCAAUAAUUCUUAUUACUUAUAAUCUUCCACUAUAGUUAUGCAUGAAACGAAAAUUCAUGAUGUUGUCCCUCUUGAUUUCUGGUCCUCAACAACCGGGUUUAUACAUUUAUGUGUAUUUGCAACCUCUUAUUGAGGAUUUGCAAACUUUAUGGGAUGUUGGGGUGGAGGCAUAUGAUGCCUACAAAAAUGAGUAUUUUAAUUUGCGGGCUGUAUUACUAUAGACAAUAAAUGACUUCCCGGCAUACAAAAAUUUAGCGGGUUGUACUGUUAAAGGAUAUUAUGCCUACCCAUAUUGUGGUGUAGAAAUACCAAAAUGUAGACUUAAACACAGUGGAAAAAAUGUAUACAUUGGGCAUCGGCUUUGGCUUCCUCAUGGUCAUAAAUUUCGGUUCCAAGCAAAAACCUUUAACAAUAGUGUGUGUGAUGAAACCCCUCCAAAACUGUUAAACGGUGAGGAAAUUUUCCAGCUGGUCAACUCUAUUGAUAAUAGAUGAGGGAAAAGCAAUAGUAAAAAGUGUAAAAGUGAGAACAAUGAUGAUCUCGUGUGGUGGAAGAAGAAAUCCAUAUUUUAUAAUUUAGAGUAUUGAAAGCACUUACUUGUGCGGCAUCAAUUAGAUGUUAUGCACAUUGAAAAGAAUGUGUAUGAGAACAUCUACGGUACACUGCUACAUAUUCCUGGAAAGUCCAAAGAUGGACUGAAGUCGAGGAUGAAUCUCUUGGAAAUGAAAAUUAAGCCCAAAUUAGCACCACAAGUUAAGGGAAACAACAAUCGUACAUGGCUUCCUCCUACUUGCCACACCUUAACUAAGGAGGGAAAAACCUUACUGAAGAAGAAGUGGACAUGAGUGUUCUUUGGAAGAGAGCUCGGCAAAUGAAAAAUAGAGGAUACCACCCUGAUGUUGAACCAGUUAUUAAAAAAAUUAUAAGAAAUUUUUUGCUUACUACUGUAAUUUUAGAUGUGAUUACUUAUACUUUGAUGACAUUAGCUUACUUAAUUCAUUGGUGUGGUAGGAUAACUGGAGAUGGAAGCUAAAAAAGGAAAGAUGCGGCCAUCCGAAAAAAAUGAUAUUCUCACACAAUCUUUGGGAAAAGCUCCAAAAUGUGGUCAUAUACAAGGAAUGGGCAAGUUUGUAACCAUGUCUCUAUAUUUUCAAACUUGCCAGAGGCCUGCUGAUAGAGACAGGCAAAGAGAGAACCAUCUAUGGAGGGAAUCAAUUAACCGGCAGUUGGAAGAAAUGAGAAAAACACAUCGUCAUUCAGAUAUAGCAAGUUCCAACUACCCUCGCGUGCCUGUUGAAAACAAUAAUGCUGUCGGAGAUGAUGGCCUAGAGUUCGUUCAAGCUGAAACAGUUGCUGAAACACCAAGGGUCAGUUUGUUUACUAUUUUACUUAUUAUUUCUGGAUUUAUUUUGUUGCAAUUUUACUUCUUCUACUUAACUGUAUAUACUUGUUGAUGGAUAAGGGUUGCUGUAGUUACUGUUCUUACCUGUUGUUUGUGGAUUUAGUUUGCUGUAUGUUUACUAUUUAUACAUAUGUUAUUUCUGGAUUUUCUUUGAUACUGUUAACUACUUUGUAAGAUAAAUUUAGAGUAUUUAGAAACUACUUAUGCCAAUCACACUGAACAAUUAUGUUUGUAGUAGCCUGAUCAUUUGAAAAAAAGAAGAAGCAAGGGACACCUAAAAACACAGCAGAUAUGAACUUGCCAAUAGUAAACUGUAAGAAAGAGACAGACAUAACAAACAAAAACAAGGAUACACCUGCCAAAAAACUCUCUGUCAUUGCAAGAAAGAGUCCAAGAUUGAACCCAACUGAAAUCUUAGUGGAGAUGCCUGAUGAUUUGUUACAAGGAAAAAAAAAUGGCAACCCUAAAUAUCAAGGCACAAAAAAACAUUUAAACUUUGAAUCAACAGAACAACAUAAUGAUAUAAUAGAGAUAAGACAUACAGAUGCUGUAAAACAGACCAAGGACGAGGGCAAAAAAGUUGCAGUGAAGCCUUUGCCAGCAAGGAGGAACACAAGGCAUGCAGGAGGGGUACAACAAAACAAGAUUCUGUUGCUGCAGUUUUUUGGCACAAUGUGUAAAGCUAAGAUGUCAGACCAAGAAUAGAUUCCAUAUCUACUGGAUGAUGGUGUUUUCCAAUUGGAAUGGAUUAGAGCUCAUAUUGGGCGGCGUGACUGCAGUGCAGUUCUGGCAAUGGAUACUAUAGGAGUAAACGUAAUUGAAGUCUAUAUUGCGUAAGUGAUUUAUAAUCAUUCUAGUUUUAUGUGUACUUUUUAUAAGAGUCCCAAUUAAUGGACUUUAACAUUGUUUGUCUUUUGUUUAUCAGGAUGUUGUAUACUUCCAUUCUCCAUGGGAAAAGAGGAGUCAAACCAUUUGGAUUCAUUCAUCCAGGUCUGGUUUCACUAGGCAAAGAACGUAAUCCUACUACAUCAUUUGACUUUAAGGCACGUGGAGUUUGUGAUUGGUUGAAAAAAAUGAAGAAGUGACAAUUCAUCUUUAUGCCUUAUAAUCCCUAGUAUGCUUCUUUAAUACUUUUCAACUCAUAUUAAUUUCCUUUCUUACCUUAAUUUACUGAAAUUGCUACCUUAAUGUUCUUUCUUUUAUUAUAGUUAUCAUUGGGUGCUGGUCAUCUUUGAUGUGUUGAAAAAAGAAGUUUAUUAUCUCGAUUCUUAUGGGGGAGAUCCUUAUGAUGAUUUAAAAGAGCUCAUUAAAGUAUAUGUUCAAUUUUUUUUUAUUACCAUUGUCAAUAUGAAAUUACUUUUACAUAAUUUACAGAUACUUUGUUACAAUUUUUUUUUUUUGUAUACAACUCUAUGACAAUGUUUAUAGCACAAGAAGAUUAAGAGAAAUGAAAUUAUAAUAAGGUGGUCAGAUCUGUAAAGGUAAAAAGUAUUACCUUAACUAUAAUUAUAUAUUACCAUGCUUAAUUGUUAUUAUAAUGAACUGUGCAAUUGCUGAUUGUGAAUAGGUCCCACAGCAACCAGCAAGUUCAGUCGUGUGUGGAUUUUACGUCAUGAGAUUCAUGAAAGACUUAAUUAAUGACUUCUCUUUGCUAAUGAACAAUGUGAGUUCCUUGAUCAUAAUUUGCUUCAUAAAAAAGAACAUGUCAUGUGUCAAAGUUUCACUACAUAAUAUUUAUUUUUCAUAAACAGUUCAACGGAAAGACAACAUAUUCCGAUGCUGAAUUAGAUGAAGUCCGUAUUGAGUGGGCAAACCAUUUUCCUAGAGUACUUGUUGUUAUGUGAGGUAACCCUUACCUAUUAUGUUGUUAUUGUGAGUUCAUUGAUGAAAUAAAUUAAUUUACUAGCUAUAUUUUACUUGGGCAGUUAUCUAGCUUAUUAUACUUCUAUGUUGCAUUAUGAUAAAGAUGGUGGGUACUGCUGGAGUUGACUAGUUUUUUUCUUUGUUUGGAAAAUAGCUCCUGGAUAUUGAUGCAAUUUUACACAUUUCGAUUGUUCUUAGGUUGGAUUUUCACGUUUGGGAACAACUAACCUUGUCUGAUCAAUAUUUUUGCCUUCCUCUUGUGUUUCUGGAAAUGUUGCUAGAAAUGAACUAUGUUGUUGCCUUUCUUCAUGUUGGUAGAAAUGACUCUGUUGUUGGCUUCCUUAUGCUACUAGAAUUGAAUUGAUCAUGGUUCAUUGGUGUUAUACAUGUUGCUUGAAUUUAGUUUUUAUGUUGGUAUAAUACUCCUCUUCUAUUUAUGUUGGACUUGUCACUCUCAAAUUUGAUUAAAUUAUGUUUGCUGACAAUUAUGAAUAAUUAGUCAAUGUUAUCCAUUUCAUUUUCUUUGUCAGUGAAUUUUUUAUGGCAAUAUUAAUUUUAAUAAUCUAAUUAAUUAGCUAAUUUAUGAUAUAUUAAUUUCUAAUAAAUCAAUUAUAGGAUUGUUAUUAAAAUGAUAAUAUUUUCAUGGUGCAAACAAAAUACCCAAUUUUUAUUAAUUAUAAUUUCAAUUUUUGAUUUAAUUGAAAAAAAUCAUUUAAUUAUAAUUUGCAUUUCGUGCCAAAUUUAAUUUUCCCGCCAAAAAUUCAAAAUAUGGUGCGCAAAUUUUUUUAAAAAAGAGCCAAAUUCAAAUUUAUUAUAUUCCCCUCUAAAUAAAGUUAUGACAGUUAUGUGACUAGUAAUAUCUAUCACAUAUUAUGACUGGUAUUGUUCUGUCAUCAAUUCUUGACGCUGGCUACAAUGACGGUAUGAACAACCGUCAUCCACCCCUACUAUGACAGUUUUUGCCUGUCAUAGUAGGCACUUUUUCUUGUAGUGUGGGGAUUAGGGUGAGAGUGGGAUGAGAAGUACAAAACUAAGGCCACCUCAUUAAGGAUUUGAGGAUUAUGUUUCUUGGCCUAUUCCCCAUAAACUUAUCAAAAUUUAUCUCAUUUAGAAUGCGCCCCUUGGAGUCCCAAACCUAUAGAGAAUUUUGCCUCCCAUAGCGAGCUUAGUAUGCUGCUUACAAUACUCAAGAUUAACCGUUGAUUAUUCAUCACUAUGUCUAUUAUUACAUACGACCUCAUAUAUAUUAUGAGUGUAUACUAGAAACAUAAAAUGACAUAUUGACUCUUAUACGUACCUCACUGUAGUUGCUUAACGUCUAGUAACAGUAGCGAAAUGUACAUCAAUACAUCAGCUUCCACUGUUAUGAGUGUACAUUUUUUUUGCGAAACAAAAAAUAUUGGCUGCUCGGUGUGUAGAAUUCUUGCCAUUGGUGUAUGGAUUUCUUGUAAAAUAUUUGUUUGUGCUCAAUGUAUAUUUAUUUCUCAUUAGGCAGUUGGUGGAAAAAUUAUCAAAUCUCUUACUGAAAAAAUAAUUUUUUUUACGUUUUUUAUUAUUUUACCCCUAAAAAUUUUAUUGAUCAAAAGUUGGUGGGUUUUUAAUGAUAUCAGGAAUAAUAUAAUAAAAGACACAAAAUUUGAAAUUUAACAAUGUCUUUUUAACAUCUUAUGAUCUACAUUGUUUUAAAAAAGAAGGGGAAAUAAUUAUUUUUCUCAAACAAUAGGGAGAUUUUGAUCAUUUCUCUCAUUGCUAGUUGAGAUGUAAAUGUAGAGGACUAAAGAGUGUGUGUAUUUAUGCUGCGAGCGCCUUUAUUUUUUUUUUAACACAAACAAAUUGUUAAGCUGUGGAGUUUAAUAACAUUAAAAACUAACUCUAUUAAACCUCAUAUCUUAAAAGCCUAUCCGCAUAAAAAAAUAAUAAUAGGGUGUCCGCACUAGAGAAUGACUAUAUAUAUAUAUAUAUAUAUAUAUAUAUAUUCAAAUAUAGUUGUUAAAUUUUAAUUUUGUCAAGCAAACACUUUUUUUUAAUAUUCUUUUCUUUUCUUUCUCAAUAUAUAACAAGUUAUAUCACUACAAUAAAUAUUAUCUUUUACAACCAAUCAAAAAUGAUGCGAAAACACAAUUACAACAUUUAUAAAAAAUGUCCUAACGAAGGAUGCAGUAAAUAACAUCAAACUUUUGUAGCCUUUUUCAGCUGUAGUAAGAAACGCUGCAUAAAAUGCAGUUUUCUAGGCCAUUUGCUAUAAGAGUAAAUGGCUGCAAAAAUUAGUAAAUAAAUAUGGAAAUCUGCUGCCAGUAAAAUUGAUAAUAGUUCAAUCAAUUAAGAAUAAUCUCCAUAAAAUCAUUUAAACUUGGCAUCCAUACAACAAAAUUUUAGUUGAAGAUUGUUAAAUCUCUACACUAAAUAUAAUACUCAAAGUGUAAACUGAAACUCUUGCCCAGGUUAAUGUUUUUUUUCCCUUGACUUGUAAGAUUCAAGUAUAUGUAUGAACAAAAUUAGAAACUAUAAGCCUGCUCCAACAAGAUGUAGUUUUUUGGGCAAGCAAUUGUGCUUCCAAUUGCAUCACUAAGAACAUGAAACUCAGAUGUAGCACGAUAUAAGGGAGUAUCUUCAACCAGUGCAAUUAUCACCCAAACUUUCCAGCAAUCUGGUCCAAGACAUAUAUGAUGUACUUUGGCAAGUGGAUCUCUUGAUGCAAUUGUUCCUUCCCCUACAACUUUUCCUGUUCCCAUCCAAUCUAGUAAUCUACAACGAGCAUUUUCAAUAUUUGUGAAAGUGCUUCCACAUGUUUUAGCUUUCUAUAAUAAUAAAUAAAAAAUCUGAUUAGAGGCAAACAAUUAUAAUACGAAUAAAUUCAAACAGUUUUUCCAAGCUCAAAAUUCUAAUAUUUUUUUUUCAUAAAGAGAAUGGUUCUUUAUUAGCAACAACUCAAAAAUCUAUUCAUUUUAGUGUUAAACAGAGUUUUGAGGAUCAACAAUAAAUGAUGCAUAGCAUUUAUAAAAAUCAUCACUUACUUUCGCAUGUGAAGUGUCUUUCGAACAUUUCCUCUUGUGGCUUGUCUCAUUGUGAUCCUGAAAUAUCAUAAAGAAAGAACAAUUCACGUAAGCAAAAUACUUGGUUUACGUAUUAAAUAAUUCAAAGCUAAUAGUAAAAUAUUAACUUACUAGUCGAAUGUCUCGAGAAUUUUUCAUCAUGCUAUCUAUGUCAAUUCGAUCCUAAAAAUAUAUGAAAAAACUAUUAUUAAUCAAGUAUUUCUUCUAACUAUAUUGAACAUAAAUUUUCUUAAUCAUAUUUAUUACCUCUUGUUUGCUAGUGUUCUUAAUGAAUGCAGUCUUGAGUUCCUCAAAUAGUUUUUUGAGAUCUUUUAGUUCCAUUUUAAUUUGUGCAGUAUAAGACUUGCUAAGUGCUUCUAAAUUCAUCAACGUUGGUGUAACUCCAAAUCCAGCUCCUCGUAUACGCCCAUUACGUUCUUUUCCUAUCACAUGGUUCAGAGCAUCAUCGUGAAUUAUUGAGGCAUCUUCACUCACAUGUGUCCUCUGAUAUUCAUUAAUUGUUUUUUAAUCCAUGGAGAAUUUUGAUUGUUAAUAGCAAAAAAAUAAGAAUAAAGAACUAAAAAAUCAUAAAGAAUUUAUCACCAGUUUUUUAGCAACAUCCUCAUUAAUUGUAGUCCUGUCCUUCUUAGUAUGUGCAAGAAUCCACACAUCAACUCUAGUUAUCGGUGAGUUUGGUCUCCCUUGCAUCUAAAAUAUGUAGUGGAGAACAUUUUAUUACUCAUCUAAUUUUUUGUUUAAUAAUAAAUAAACUUAAUGAUAUGAUUUUUCUAACCAUUUCAUGUCUUAAACGAGCCAUCCCUUUUCGACUUGUCCUGUGGAUGUUAGUUUGUUUUGAUCUCAUUUUUUUAAACCUCUUACUCUUCAACUAUAGUAAGAAGAUAUGUUAGAUUAAUGACACUAUUCUUGUACAUUAAUAAGAAACUAUACUUGUACAUUAAUUGGGAAAGAAACUUACUUUAAACCUUUGCCAUUGUUGCUUAGAUUUUAUGUUCCUUGGUUUCAAGUCUUUCAAUGCCUCAAGCUUUCUUGUUACAUCAUUGCUUUUAACCAAUGCUCUGAUUUUAUGUGUUAAAACUGAUUUGUAAUUCCUCCAGCUCCUACCCAUUGCACUCAUUAUAUAUCUUCUAUGACUUCCAUCAACAUUAAAUUGUUGCUGCAUUUAAAGGGAAAAAUAACAUUAAUAAUUAAAUUUGAUAAGUUAAAUAAUAUUUACCACAAAAGUAGGAUGCUACCUUAACACAAGUCCAAAGUCUUUCUCUUAAGUCUGAUUCCACUCUAUGCCAACUAUCCAAGGUCAACGGUACCAUUUGUCGUACUAAACAACCAAUAAAAAAAGAUAACCUAUUUGAAUUUCUACCAACGGGGUUAUUAUUGGUUGCUUCGAAUUGAGAUAAGUGGAUUCAUGCAUAACGUUUAUUAUAUAUAUGUACGAAUUUAUGUAUGAAAAAAAUAAUGUUGUUCAUAAGGAUUGGCAUAUUUAUAGUUUUGAAGUAUUUUGUUGUUAUAGUUUAUAAUAAUUAUUUACAUUUUGGUUUAAAGUUUAUUUAAAAUGUUUUCUUAAAUUUUUUUUAAAAAAUGGCUUUAAAAUACUUGUGUUCCAUAAAUUGUUUUUCCUUAAAAAUUAUAUAAUUUGUAAAGCUUUGCCAAUUAAAUGUCUUAUAAGAGACUUAAUUGAAUGAUUGAUAUUGAAAGAUUGAAAAUUAUUUUAAGGUUUUGGCUCAUUGUCCUUAGUUACCAGUACUGAUAGGAUUUAACAGUUAACUGUAUUGUGCGCUCCUAUUGACGAUUAUUGCGGGGUAAAGUACCCUGAUUGAACUAUCAACCGGCUCACCAAGAGUACAUGUGACACUAUGAGGCAUGAGCAAAAUUAAACAAAUGAAAGGUUUUAUUGACAAAUGAUUAUUUAUUGAAAAUGGUCAUUAUGUUAUGACAUUAUUGGUUAUAAAUUUUACUGUAUAAAUGUAUUAGAUUAUAAAAUGAUUACUGAUUCAUGGCACUUAAUAAUUAUUAUUAUGUACUUCAUCCUUAUUAGCAACCUUAUGUAUGAGUUUACUUACCAAGCUGACGGCUUAUCCCUCGUCUCCAACAUUUUGCAGAGUGAUGUUAGAGAUGGUUUUUAGAGAAGAAGAUUUGUUAGCCGAAAGCUUUGGGCAUUUUCGUGAUGGAUAAAUUGUUGCUAUUUUGGUUAUUAUUUUAGAGUUGAAUUUGGUAUUGGAGGAUUAUUGUUAUAUUUAUUAUUUUAGAGACUAUGUUUCGACCUUGGACAUUAUUGAUUUUCUUUUGGGAAUAGUAAUAAGAAUUAAUUGUUUAGAGAUUGCAUUCUAAAUUUCUUUUAGAAUUCUUGGGAAAAUUUGGGGUGUUACAAAACUAUUGCUCAAGAUUGUUCCAAAGCUCACGACAAAUUUUAAAGUUUAGCAUAAGACUGAGAAUUUCCAAACUGAUAGAGGACAUCAGCCAGCUCAGUAGCACUUGAUUCUUUCUCUUCUAGGUAGUGAAUGCUAGAUUUUCUUAUGUAACUUCCGCAGUGGAGUUGUUAGUUUCAUCAGGAAGAAACUGAUCUAGAUAGUGUUUGGAACUAUCAAGAAGAUCUUCAAGUCCAUUAGCACGAACUGAAGUGAGAGUUUGAGAUUUCCAUAUCAUGUAGUUUCAUAUAUCAAGCUUAACAAGUGAGGUAAAGGUGAAUGAGGAAACAGAGGACACUGUGUUUGGAUUUGAGCUUGAAGUAGCCAUAAGAGCUUAUACAUCUAGCUUUGAUACCAAGUUAAAGUUUGAGUUCUUGUCUGGUUAGUGAAAUGAGGGAAAAUUUAGAGAGUUGUGAAUUGAUUCAAUUAUAUUAACACUGCUUCAUUAAAAUCCACUUUUCCAACCAUAGACGCAACCAAUGAGAUACAUAACCAGUGAGCUAGAUGCAUAGAGUUGUAUGUUUUGGUGCAACUCUUUGUUAUGAUGUAUAAAAAAUCGCCAUCACAUUUCAAUUGUUUUCUAUGAAGCUAAUGAAAUUUUUGUCUGUCAAAGUAACCAUGUCGUUUUCAUUAAUAAGUGGUGGCGGUGUGGUGGCAGUGCCUUGUGGUUGGCCAAGCGGUGAGUAUCUCCAAGGUUUAGAACGACCUUGACGUAAACUUGAUUGGGGGAUGACAAAUUAUAAUAUUGUUGAGUAAGAGGUGUGAAGGUGCUAAGGAUUUUGAUGAGAAGAAGAAAUGAAAGUAAGAGAAAUAGAAAUGAUUCUGCUCACUACAAGAAAAAUGGUAUUUUAUUACAAAAAAUUUCGUCAUUAAAGAUAACAAAUUAGUCAUCUUAUAUUUUUUAUGAUAAAAAAUAUAUCGUUACACGUUAGUCGUGGAAAGACUGUCUUAAAAACUUCUAGCGACCAGAAUUAUUUUCGUCAUAUUAAAGAUAUGUUUUUGUGGCAAAAAUUAUUAUUGUCUUAAAAUUAAGUUAAAAUUGUCACAAACAGUAUUAAAAAAGAUCGAAUUAGAUAUUCAAAAAAGCAAUUAAUGACACUUCAUAUUUGUCACAAUUGUUGAUUUAUAGUGACUAUAGUAUUUGUCUCAAGAGUAUGUAAAUAGAGUCUCAAUUUGUCUCAAGAGUAUGUAAAUAGAGUCUCAAUAAUUAUUAAAAAUUGUCAUUUUAGAGGUUUGGAUAUACAAUUAGCAAUGCUAUUUUUCUGUUAUUGAAGUUCACGCGGCAAUAUACAAUUGGUAAUUAAUUUAGUCUCAAAUUUGUUAUGAAGGCGGUUUAUAUAGUCUCACAUAAAUUUUAAUAACAAUAUGUAGUUAUAGAAAUCAAAAUUUAAUGACAAAAGAACUUUAAAGUGAAAAAUAUUAUUAACAUAAAUACAAUUCAUGACAAAGAAAUCUAAAAUCUAAAAUGUAAAAAAAAAAAAAAUUCAUGUCCAAAAAUAUGAUUACAUUGUAGAAGAAAAAUAAAAGUAACAUUACACAAACGGAGAGAUAUGUAAACCAUAGUUGUUUCAUGAAUUCUUCAACUUCCUUAGAUUUGCUAUUUUCUUCCUUGAUUUUAAUUUUUGAUUCUCGUUUUGUUGAGUCAAUGUUGUGGUAGAUGAUGACUUUAAAGGUACAUGUCAUUUUAAAUCUUUACAAAAUUAAAGAUUUUCCCCAAAACUAUUUAGCAAAUUUAAUCAUAUAUUACUUCAAAAUAAUAAUAUAAUCAAAAGAUUACAAGCACAUAAUCAUCCUCGAUUCACUUGCACAAAUUUUACAUCCAAAACUCUUUAAAUUAAUCUAUCAAAUAGUUGGAGUCAAACUUGAACCAAAUUAAACUAUUAAGCAGUCAAUGAAUCAAUAUUUAUAAUAAAUAUAAAAUUGAAAGAAAUAAGAGAUUGAGUAAAUAAUAAUAAUAAUAAUAAUAAUAAUAAUAAUAAUAAUAAUAAUCAUCAUCAUCAUCAUCCUCCUCAUAAGAUAGCUUACACAUUUAGAUUUUGUAUGGAAACUACUUGAACCUUUUACGCUCACUUUAAUACAUCUUCUGAAACAAAGUAAUCUGGGAGAGACUCCACACUUUUUUAUUACCCCAGUAUAAAAGAAGAUAAAUACAUUAAUUUUAAUUAAACAUACAACAACCACAUUAGGGGAAAAAAACCAAGGCUUGUUGACCUUUAUUAGUUUAUUUAAUCACUUCAUAUAUGUUUCCUGGGAAAUUCAACAACAUUUUGAGCAAAUUGUACCAACCCAAGCUUCAACACCAUCCUGCGAACCAACAUAUCAAAGCUUCAUAAUAUUUGAUAGUUAAGAUUUUGUUCUAUAACUCUAACUUAUAAUUAUUGGUUGGACUUGAAUAACUUAUUAACUCUUUUCAUUAUAUUAAUACUAGCUAAAAUUUUCUUUAAAAAUUAAAGAAAGAUGAUUAAUUACAUACCAAGAUGAAGUGAACGAUAAUAGAAAUAUCCCAAUUUUCUAAAGUUCUUACGAAGAAAUUUUUUGGUUGUUUUGGUGUUUUGGCGGGGGGGAGAAUCUAAUGUCAUCACACCUAAUUCCUAAAUCCACUGCCCAAAUUGAAAAGCAAAGUCAUCUUAAUAUCCUAAUUUUACAAAAGUUUCUCAAAAACAACUAAACUUCGCUUCCAAUUUCCUUCAUUUAUUUUGUGUAUUUUAUGUUUUUCUUUUACUAGAUUAUAUUAGGAAUUUUAUCAAAAACUUGAUAAGCAUAAAAAUAUUCAAAUAAUAGAUCCAAGAAUUUUAAUCUCUAAUUUCACCAAACACAUGAUGCAAUCACAACUAAACUAAUCAAAAUUAAAUUUGAUGAGUUCAUAAAUGAUACUUAAAAGUACUAGGAGAGAUGAGAGUGAAUUUUGUCGAGUGGCUUAUUUUGGCAUGCAUGAGUGGACUGGUGAGGGGUGGCGUCCUUCUGGGCGGCAGCAAAGGGCGUGGUUCUAAUGGCCCGCACGGUGGCUAAGGUAGAAUUAAGAUGUUGCCUCCCCGAAUUGAACGUAUCAAACAACAAACAAACAACAUAUUUUUGAAUUAACGAAAAACAUAAAAGGGGAAACAAGACAAACCAAUGACAAAAAUCAAAUCUUUUACUCAAUAAACAACACCCAUAUAAGAAAAUUGAACCAAAAAUGAAAGGAAAAGUGAAAAAUUACCAUGAGUGGAAGACAAGACAAGAUAGGUAAAGACGACUAUUUGUUAAGGUAAUAGAGCGCCACGUGUCAGCCAAUGGAAUGAUAUCAGCACAAUCGGAGGUACCCUGCAUAAUCCGAGGUGCCCGGCAUGACUUGAGGUACCCCGUAUAAAUAGAGGUACCCUGCACAAUUAGAGGUAUCCCACACAAAUAGAGGUACCCCAUAUGAUAUGAGGUACUCCAUACAAAUAGAGGUACCCCAUACAGAUAGGGGUACCCCGCGUAAUAGGGGGUACCCCAUGUAAUUCAAGGUACCCGGCAAAGCGGAUGCAAGAGAAUCCACCGAAAAUACCCGCCAUGAGAAACGUCUCCGCCUCCUAAAAGAUAUCAUUUGAUUUAGUCAGAAUUAGGAAUCAAAAGCGACGUGCUAAAANNNNNNNNNNNNNNNNNNNNNNNNNNNNNNNNNNNNNNNNNNNNNNNNNNNNNNNNNNNNNNNNNNNNNNNNNNNNNNNNNNNNNNNNNNNNNNNNNNNNNNNNNNNNNNNNNNNNNNNNNNNNNNNNNNNNNNNNNNNNNNNNNNNNNNNNNNNNNNAAUAACGGCCCAAAAACAAUUAUAAAAGAGGUAAAAGGACGUUAGCCAAAAAGGGUAUGCCACGUGGCAGCUGAGGUACUCCAUAUAUAAAGGUGCCUAGGUUUCAUUCUCCAUCAUGUUCUCACUCACCAUUAACACUCACACUCCGAAAAUAGAGGUUUUCUUCAACCUUAAACCCUAAAUUUACAGAGGGCUGGCCAGCUCUCUUUACCAUAAAAGCUUGAGUUUGCUAACUUGAGCGUCGGAGUGUGAAGCCGGGGUACCCCGGCUUCACCUCUAACCUCAAUUUCACUUUUUGCAGGCGUGAAGCUCAUUUGGAAGGACACCUCUCUUGUUUCUGACAUUCCACCAUUGUUACUACUCUCUCUCUCCCCUUCUCACCUCCCCCGGAUUUUAGAUACACCACACCGCACACAACAAACCAGUGAGGUACCCCAUCUCCCCCAAAAAUAUAAAUUUAUUGUUCUAGACUGGUUUGGCUUUUCUUACCCCAAAAUCAGUUGAAAACAAUAGGUAAAGACGACUAUUUGUUAAACUAAUCUUGAAAUAAUCAUUCACACACACCAGCAAUUGGAAGAGGGGUUGGGGUGUUGGGAAGAUAACGUUGGGUAGUUUUGAACGUGAAGUGGCCACUUAAUGUGUCUCUGAAAAUUUAGGUUUUAUUUAAGUUUUAUUUUUUCUAAUAUAUAUAUCCAACUUAAAUAACUAUUAUAAGGUCCUUCUAAAAAUAAAAAAGAAGCAAUUAUAAGGUUAUUAUCAAUGGUUUGAAGAAAAAAAAGUCAAUCAUCAUUUUUUAUUAAUCCAAGUUAAUUAUUUUUAGGCUAUUAUUUUAAUUUUUAUUAAUCUAGCAUUGUUAACCAAAAUUUGUAUGAAGCUAAACAAUAAUGUCUCUCUGAAAAAGAAAAAAUAUCAAUUAUUAUUCUCUUUUUUUUUUAGUGACGUAAUUUUCGUCAUAAAAAAAUUAAUCAGAUACUAAAUAAUUUGUCUCUGAAAAAAUGGUCAUGAAAUACAAUAUUACUCAAGACAAAAUUUUAGACUAUUAUUUUUUAGUUUUGUUACAGUAAGUAAUUAUCUAUGACAAAAAAAAAGGGUCUUAAAAUUAAUCAAAUCCAUAUUAGUUUUGGAGACUAAUAUUUUUCUGUCACAAAUUAUUUGAUCAAUUUCACAUCUCUUCUUCAGUUACGAAAUAAUAAUGUCACCUAUAAUUAAAUUUUGCUACCGUAUUUUUUUAUCAUAAAAGAUGAUAUUUUGUCAGAAAAUGGUCAAAUUUUGGAGGGAAGUUUUUAAGCAAAAAAAAAUGCAUGUCCUUUUGCGACUAAUUUUAUGUUUGUCAUAAAAUAUUUGAUUAGGUGACAAAUUACUGGGUCGUAAAAUAAAUAUUAUUGAUUACAAAAUAUAACAUAAGCCAAGAUGAGAUUAUUGGCUACGAUUUUAAAAAACAAUCGUCAUAAUAAAUAUUAUUUUAUGACAAAAGCUGCAAAAGUCAUAGAAGAAGGCAUCUUAAAAAAUCAAAUUUCUUGUAGUGGCUGUUGUCAUUUAGUUAUUGCUUUUUAUGAUAUUCAAAAAAGUGUUGAGAAAGAUGAUCAUGUUCUCUGAAGAUAAAAUCUAAGUAUUCGCCCUACUUCUUGCCUUUGAUAACAUGAAAUCUUGUAUGAAGUGAAUUGUUGCUUGAUAAAGUUAAGGAUACCAUCCGACAAUGAUAUGCUUACAAAAAGUAGUAUAAAAAAUAGCUCACCAUCACUGAAAGAUAGAUAAAAUAACCAGAGAACAAUUUUUUUUUUUGUCUUUUGUACUUUUUGUACUAAAUUGUAUGAUAUUUUCAAUACAUGUAUCAUUAUUUUAUUAUGUCUUGUUUACCAGUUUAGAGACCUAUGUGGCUUUUGUGUUUGAAUAUUAUGGUAUUUCUCAAAAGUCAAACGAGUCAAAUUGUACAAUUCUGAGAAAAAAAAAAAAGUCUUCUAGGACCCCUUUUUUGUUUUGUUUUUCUUAACAAGACAUAAAGUGAUCUUUAUUUUUUAUUUUUUUUGAAAUCAUGUGAUUUUUAGUUUGAUAUUAUGAUUUACUUUGUCUAAUUAACUGAGUUUAUUUAGAGAAGACUUUUUUUUUUCUUUUUUUGCUUUUAGAAAAUAGAAAAAUAGAUUUGGUCUAUUAUACAAAUAGGAAGGCCUUACAUUGAUGUUUCUUUUUUAAAUACUAAAUAAUAUGUUGGUACAUGAGAUCUACUAAUAUUUAAAAUCACAAAUUUAUUGGGACUAACUUAGAUUAAUUCUCUAUUACAGUUUAGAUUUUAUUCCAACAUAAGGAUAUAUUUAUAAUAUAUCAUCUCUAUUUCAUUGUCUGGGUACAUAAGUGAGAUUUUUUGUGAAAUUUCUUGCAGCAUCUUGAUGAGUUCUGGUGGUGGCAGCAUCUUGCGAUUGACAGAGCGAGGAGUGCUAAUAUAUCCGAUGGCUGGGUAAUACGUCAUCGUUUUGUUGCUUGGGCUCGAGGAAUGCCAGGUUUAGUACGGCUUUGGUGUAGAAUUGAUUUGGUACUGAUGGCAAAUUAUUGCAAUAUUUUUGAGAGAGAGGUGUGAAGGUUAAGAUUUUGCAGCGGAGAAGAAUUGAAAGUAUAAGAAGUAGAAAUGAUUUUGCCAUUCCCAUUGCUUUCUAAUUUCGGAUUAUCGUGUGAGCAAGAUGAUAUAUAGCCGGCUAAUGGACCUUGGAGAAUUUCUAAAAGAGUGGUGAUAUUGUACCAUUCAGAAAUUUUUUUGAUGAUAAAAUUAGUAAUCGCCCUAGUUCUUGCCUUUACAUAAUAAAACCUUUGCAUGAAACAUUUGAUAGAAUUAAUCGAAUUAAAAAAAAUAGACAAAAUACUGACGAAAACAACAGUACUGAAAUAAUAAUAAUUUAAUUAAUUAACACGUUAAAUGGGCAGUAAUACGUCAGUUCUGUCUCUUUAUCAUUUUCUAUAAAUUGAAGAAUAUUAUAUUCAUUUUAGACUAACCGGAACUUCAUGUGUCUAGUUUAUGAGACCCAUGUGGCUUUUGUCUUUGUGAUAAUAACACUGUAGAAUUCUAAAAAGUUUGCAAUUUUUUAAUUUUUAAUUUCAUGUAUUUAAUACUUGAUUUUUCAGUUUGAUUGUGAUUCACUUUCUUGAAUUGAGUUAAUUUAGAGAAUAGCUUAAUCUAUGAUAUUGCGGAGAUUUAGUAAAAUUUUCCGUUCAGAUUUAGCCAUUGUGUCACCUUCUUUCAAUAGAUACAAAUCACCCAAAAGUUCUUGAUUUUGGUAGUUUGCGCUUUGUAUUGCAACGUACGGUGUGUUCUAUAUGAGAAAAAAAAAAUAUUAAACAUUUCUGUUGUUUUCUUGCAGUGCCACCUGAUGCUUGAUCUUUUUAGUCAUCAAAUUGAUGUUUUAUCUGUUCAUUUGUAUCAACGAGUUAAGAGAAUUAACAGUUUUCUAGAUAUUUUGUACACAUAAAAUAAUGCCAUAAUUGAAUUUGCCCAUGGCCAUGCACAUACAAGUAGUCAAAGCAAAAGAAUCCACAUUCUAAUUUAAAAGAUCAAAUCUAAUGCCACGAAUAUAUAUAUAUAUAGUCAUAACUAAAAUUUCGUACUUCUGAUGUCUAAGUUACAGACAACAACAAUUGUUUUUGUGCCCAGCCACUUUUGUCGUAAUCAUUUUGUGGGAAAUAGAAAUUGGAUCAGAUACCCUAAAAUGCUUCUUUAAUAACCCUUCUUAUUUUCCAGUAGAGUUGUAUCUGACUGCUGGCUCCUUAACUUGUCUUCCAAGAAAUCCAAUGCAAAUGACUGCAAGAACAAGUAAAAAGCUCAUAUCACGACAGAAUCUUGAAUCUUCAUCUAUUAUUAUUCAGCAUUAGGAAAGAUAUACAUAUAAUAAUAAUGAAGGGUGAAAAAUAUGCACACCUUUAUGUUGCUUAGGGUCAAUUCACCAUUCAAUACAUACUUCUCGCCAUUGAAAAAGCCAUUGACAGCAAUUACCUGCAUUGAAAUUUGCAUAGCAACCCAAUUUUUCGUAUUUAAUUACGGAGGAAAUUAAAAAAAAAAAGCAUUCAUAAAGAUUUAACAGAAUCUGAAGAUAAAGCAAGGAACUCACUCUUGGAGCGUGACCUGUGAUGCCAAAAUAAUCAGAAAUUUGUCUCCUAUCAGUUUGCAUGCAACAAGUCCAUUUGAAAAUACACAAAGAGAAGCUGGCAAACAAUUAAUUUCAUCAAUUAUUAUUUAAGAUCAUAAUGAUAAUUAUUUUGAAAGGCUAUUAAUUUCAGUGGGUUUCUGUUAACCAAGUUUCGACAAAAUUUUGCUUGAUCUCCCUACAUCUCUAUAUUUACCUUUCCUUUAAAAGCUUUGGCUGCCUCUUGAAAUAUUGAUUUAGUCUCAGAAUCAUGAACAGUGGCAAAAAGCCAUAACUGAGAACAAAUUUAUGAACUCGUUAAGACCUGAAAAUUUUUUAAUUUUUCCAAGGUAAAGAUGAUGUAAACUAAUAAUUACCUCUUGCAAGCGGGAAUCUAAAAUCAAUGCAGCAGUUUCCCUGGUGUAAGUAAUCAUCGGAGGAAUCUUAUUCAAUGAUAUGAAGUCAUAAAUUCUUGCAUCAGUAAAUGGACCAUCUCAGAAAAUGGAGCAAAAAAUGCACAAGGCUUGUGUAAAUUUUCCAUUUUGAAGCACUCAUAAUCAUUUGCAGAGAGAUAACUUCUAAAACAAAGCAAAGUGGCUAAGCUGUUUAGAUUCCUUUUCCAGCAAGACUAGAGCAGGGCGUUUGAUUUCUGGGUCAAUCAGAAACAUCUUUGCAACAUCAGCUCUAGUAGUUUGAAAGAAUAUAACAUCAGGAUGCAGCUUUGAUGCGGCCGCAAGCUUUUCAUUUUCCGUGCCCUAACAAACAAAAUUGAGUCUUUUGUAACAUUUAUGAUUCAAUAAGAGAUGUUAAAAUAGAAACAGUCUAAGAAAUUGCUCAUAUUAUGUGAGUGGGAGUGGACCUUUAAAGAGUCAAGGAAUCCCAAAGCAAUUGUAGAUUCAGCUGUUAGUAAGUGCUCCGCUUUCUCUAUUUUCAUCAAGGUGUAAAGAUCACCAGACAUCUUAGUCUUUAUAUAAUUCACAAUAGCAUCCCUUCAAAACCAAAAUUUGUGUUAGGUUAGGUUAUUCAUUUUGCACACUUUCUCAACAACCAAACAGAUUUAGAAGGGUUAUAUUGAACAAAAAAAAAUCCAACAAAAGAAAACAAAUGUUCAAAGAACAAAAAGAAAACUCACUUCGUCCUGCUAUAAUAAUAAGUAUUCACACGCACUCCAUUAACAAAGAAAUAAACAGUUGGGUAUGCUUGAAUUCUCCAUUUUUUCGCUAACUCUAUCACGCUCAUAGCAUUAACUUUUGCUAGCACUGAUUUUCCCUUCAGCUCAGUGGCAGCGGCUUCAUAUUCUGGAGCAAGUUUCUUGCUCUGGGGGGACCAUGGUGCAUAAAAAAGCACCAUCACAUGCUGAUUCUUGGCUAUAACAUGAUUAAAAUUCUUGUCACUUAGUUUCACCACCACAUCUUCUUUUUCAUCAAUUGCCGGUGGCAACUUGUGCUUUUGAUCAUUGAAACUGUUGUAAGAAUCUGAAAGUUCAACCGUGUUUCCGUAAGAGAUUGGAGGGAGUUUCUUGAAUACGGAAACACACAAUACAUAGCCUCCAUCAUAAUCUAUUUUGUAAACACAGAAAGGCGAAAGCCGAAAAAGAAUAAACAAAAGAAAUAUUGUGGUGGAGAGCAUAAGGAGAUAAGCUUUUGUUGACAUUGUUGAGCAGCCGGCCUAGAGUAGGUGUUCUGUAAUUUGUACUUGAAAUCUUCAAACAAUUGUUGGCUAAUGACAAGAGAAAAGUAAUUAAAUGCUCCUUGUGUUAUUUAUUUUCAAAGAUGCAAACAAAAGGCUAAAAAUAUUUUUUUUUAAAAAGUUAUCUUGAUUUCUUUUCAGAAAUUACAUUGUUAACACAUUGUUGAUAGAAAGGAACCCUCUAGCCUGACAAAGCACAAUCGAUGAAGGCAAGAUCCACAUGCUUCUGUGAACAUCACUAUGGAACAGUACUGUCACUGAAUCUUGAUCAUCUCUUAUUAUAAUCUUUAAAAAGCAUCCGCUUGGAAUUUGUAUUAGAAACUUUCUGUACGUGAAUGGAAUACCUACAUUGGUUCACAAAUUUAAUUAACUUCUCCAAUUAUUUCUUUCUGGAUCAACUUCAGUAUUUCUGAGACGUAUGCAGAGUUACACAAAUUCACCACCAAUUGGAACAAAAUGUCAAAAACAUAUUGUUGCAAAUAUCACAUACUAACGGAAACUUGCUUCUCUUGCUUUCUCAUUUCAAUUGGGACUAGAGUGACAUUUCUUUUGAGUUCAAAAAUGAGAAACAUCUCUGUGUGCCCAAUCCAUAUCUUGCGGAAUCCUUUGAAGAACGGGCUGAAUCACACCAGGAGGAAGAUACAACUAGGCCCAACACAAAACCUGUUGCAGGCCCAUCGCGAAUGAGAAAAUCACCCAGCUGACUAAAGGAUUAUGUUGUUUGAGGAGCAGGAAGUUGUGGAUUCCUUUCUAAAAUCUUUUAUCAGUUUGAUAUUUUCUUUUAGCUUUACAAUUGCUAUUUUUUGUAACCAUCUUCUGUUAGAGAUUUUGUUAGAGGUUGUUAGAGGUGAAGCAUAUAAGCAUUGUAAGGUUUAAAAAGCAAAGGAAUGAAAAUACUCAGUUCUCUUUCUUCUCUAGAAUUUUCUUUCUUCUUAAUCUAUGUUCUGCUCUUAAUUCUUUUUUAUUUGGAGCUGGCACUCGCUCCAAGAGUGUUUUGUUAAGUUGAUUUGCUUGUGUUGUAGGACAAGCGUAUCAUUGGUGCUUUCAUUGACUUUUCCAUGGCUGAUUCAGAGGUGUUGGCAUCAAUGAAGGCACUCCAAACGCAAUUUGAAGGCCAAACAAUUGCGAUUCAUCAAAACUUGUAGCAGUACAUGUCCACAGUGGAUUUUCAUCUUGAGGAUCUACGUUCUCAUAUCCAAGGGUCUUCAAGUGUUUUGGUUGCAUCAUCAGGUUCUGCACAUCGCUCUUCUCUAGUUGCGGAGGGGUAUUCAGGACACACCGAUCUCUCGCUGGUAUUACAAUAAAUGAAAAUGGAGGUUCCCAAGUUUGAUAGCUCUGACCCGAAUGGGUGGGUGUUUCGUAUUGAAGAGUUUUUCGAUUUCCAUGAAACUCCAAAGCACUUGCGCCUUCGCAUCAUCGCAUUUCACAUGGAGGGGAGAGCGGUAGCCUGGUACCAAUGGAUGAAGGCGAACAAACUAAUAACAACAUGGAAAGAUUUUCUAAUUAGUUUGAAACAUCAGUUUGGUGCUUCAAUGUAUGACAAUCCUCAAGGUACACUUUCCAAACUUACACAAACCACCAUAGUCGCAAAGUUUCAGUCAGCCUUUAAAGAUUUGAUGAAUAAGGUCACUGGAAUCUCUGAACCCUUGUUGAUUAGUUUUUUUAUCAUUGUUUGAGAACAGAUAUUCGCAAGGAGUUGAUGUUUUCCCGCCCCACAUCUCUGAUAGAUGUCUUUACUCUCGCAAAAGCUAAUGAAGCUCGUUUAGAGGAGGCUAAAAUGAGUGGCUGCCCUUGGACUAAAUGGCCCCCACCGUCGGCCCCAACUAUGACCAUUCCAUCCAUCAGCAAAAUUCCUCCACCUUCACAUGUGCCUGUUCCUACCCCCACCACAAACAGUUCCCCUGUAGCUCCUACAACACACCAACCUCCUAAACAAACAAACCUUCUAGCCCUUUUACCUACACCAAAUUUACCAGUUCGCCGCCUCACUCCAGCUGAAUUACGAGACAAACGAAAAAAAUGAUUGUGUUAUAACUGUGAUCAAAAGUAUAGCACAAACCAUCACUAUCGUAGUAAGUUUUUUAUUCUUAUGGGGACUGGCGAUGAUGAAAAUGAGGAUACUAUGAAGUUGGCCAUGGCGGAGCCAUUCAAGGAAAUGGUACCGACAGAUAUUUCAAGCUUGAACGCCCUCGUGGUGCAGGUGAAUCCCCAUUCACUUUGACUGAUUGGCAAGGUUGGUAACCACUGCUUUCAAGUGCUUAUUAAUAGUAGGAGUACCCACAAUUUUAUUAAACCUGUGUUUGCUGAACGAUUGGGACUUCCUAUUCAACCCACGACUCAUUUUCGAGUUUAUAUUGGCAAUGGUGACUUCUUGGUAUGCCAACUAUAUUGUCUGCAAGUGGCUCUGACUAUGCAAGAUUAUGCAUUUACUUUGGACUUAUUUGUUUUACCAAUUGAGGGGUCGGAUGUGGUUUUGGGUAUUCAGUGGCUUCAACGCUUAGAGAGGGUGUCUCAUGACUAUGCCGCCAUGACGAUCAACUUCUAUUGGGAUGGGAAAUUGGUCAGCCUUUGUGGGGACGUCACCAAUUCACCGAGUUUAAUUACUUUUAACCAAUUUCAAGCCCUUAUGCAUAGCACAACUGUUCAGAACCUAUUUGAGCUACAAUAAAUACAUUCGCAGCAAGAUGGAGGCUCCGGAGACUUAGAACUUCCAGUUUCACUGCCCACUCUGAUUUCUCACCUCCUUUACAAAUUUCACAACUUAUUCCGCCCCUCAACAGGCCUUUCCUCACACUAUUUCAUUAACUAUAGAAUUCUCCUACUACCAAACACAAAACCAGUGAAUGUUCGGCCUUAUCGCUAUCUUCACUUCCAAAAAACAGAGAUGGAGAAGUUAAUUCGCGAAAUGUUGGAGCAAGGUGUAAUAAAACCAAGCCACAACCCUUUUUCUUCCCCGGUGUUACUAGUGAAAAAAAAGGAUGGCACCUAUCGCUUUUGUGUGGACUAUCGUGCCUUAAAUGCGGUUACUAUCAAGGAUAAAUUUUCUAUUCCAACAAUUUAUGAACUACUGGAUGAAUUGGGUGGUGCAACCAUUUUCAGCAAAUUAGACUUGAGGGCUGGUUAUCACCAGAUUCGAGUGCACAACAGAGACAUAUACUAGAUAGCUUUUCGAACUCAUGAAGGGCACUACGAGUUUCUUGUGAUGCCUUUCAGCUUGACGAAUGCUCCAUCUACAUUUCAAGCUACCAUGAAUCAAAUUUUUGCUGCAUUCUUACGUAAAUUUGUCGUUGUUUUUUUUUCUUUUUUGAUAUAUUGGUGUAUAGUUCAUCUUUGGCUGAUCAUGUCUCUCACUUGGAGCAAGUUUUAAGUUGCUUACAUAGUCAUUAUUUCUUCAUCAAACUUUCCAAAUGCCUUUUCUGCCAAGAAACAAUUAAGUAUUUGGGUCAUUUGGUUUCUACUGGAGCUGUUCGUGCAGAUCUACAGAAAAUUACAGCCAUGGUCAACUGGCCACCACCGACGUCCUUGAAACAAUUGCGAGGGUUACUUGGCCUCAUGGCCUAUUACAGGUGUUUUAUUAAAUGAUAUGCUUCUAUUGCUACACCCCUCACUGACUUAUUAUGUAGAGAUGUUUUCAAUUGGACUCUAACAGCAACCAUCACAUUUGAGGCCCUCAAACAAGCUAUGGUGGAAGUCCCGGUAUUGCGAUUACCAAACGUCGAGUUGGAUUUCAUCAUUGAGACCGAUGCAUCAAAUGUCGGUAUUGGUGUAGCGUUUAUGCAAGACAACCACCCAAUCUCCUACUUUAGUAAAAAGUUGGGACCAAAACUUCAAGUGGCAUCAACAUAUAUCAAGGAGUUACAUGCCACUGCCGAGGUUAUCCACUAGUGGCGACAAUAUCUUCUUGGUCGUUUUUUCAUUAUUCGCACCGAUCACAAAAGUAUCAAGGAACUUCUGCAACAAGUUAUCCAAACACCUAACCAGCAGGUGUAUAUCCGAAAAUUGAUUGGUUAUCACUUUAAGAUUGAAUACAAGCCCAGUCGAGCAAACCAGGUAGUUGAUGCUUUGUCUCGCGUGCAUGAAGAUGAGCCUGUGGAGGCACCCAAGAGAUACUCUGCCUAUUUGCUAUUGGUUUCCAGUCCAACUUUUGACUUGUUAGAAACUCUACGCUUGGAGAAUACCACUUGUCCAAACUUGGUACUCUUUCAUAAGCACUUUGCCACAAGUGAGCUCUCCCUUGAUUUUUCUAUUUAUGAUGGAUUACUUUUCUUCCGCCACCACUAUUAUGUUAGCUCUCAAUCCUCCUUGAAUUCAAUCUUGCUCCACGAAUUUCAUGCUACCCCAUGGGCUGGACAUGCUAGUAUAAAAUGAACCUUGGUUCGCUUAGCUUCGGCAUUUUAUUGGCAUAAGAUGAGAACUAAUGUUGAAAAAUUUAUAGCUGCUUGCCUAACCUGCCAACAAAUCAAGCAAUCAACUCAAGCCCCAGCAGGGUUGUUACAACCACUACCUAUUCAAUUGUUAGUAUGGGAUAAGGUCACUAUAGAUUUCAUUACGGGCUUGCCACUAUCACGAGGGCUCACUACUAUCCUUGUCGUUGUGGACUGUCUAACUAAAUCAACACAUUUUAGAGCUCUACCUUCUCAAUUUUCAGUUAUGACGGCAACAGACUUAUUUGCUAACAUGGUUGUUAAACUCCAUAGUUUUCCUAGUUCCAUUGUGUCGGAUCGUGAUCCAAUUUUUAUGAGCAAUUUUUUGAAGAAGCUUUUUGAACUAAGUGGCAUUUCCCUAAGGCAUAGCAUAGCCUAUCAUCCGCAGACUGAUUGGCAAUCCGAAGUUGUGAACCGCAGGCUUGAACAAUAUUUACUAGCUUUCACUCAAGAAAAACCACAAUCGUUGGUCUCUCUACUCUACUAGGCAGAGUUCAGUUACAACUCCAGCUAUCACAGUGGUCUCAAGAUGACACCAUUCCAGGCAUUGUAUGGGCGUAAUCCACUUACUAUCCUAGCUUACUCUAAGGGCUCUACUUUAAUCCAAGCUCUCAAUGAUGCGCUGACAGAGCGAGAUGCUCUCUUGCGCUUCUUAAAGGAGAAUUUACGCCAAGCUCAGCAUUGAAUGACACAAAAGGCUAAUGCCCAUCAGCGUGAACUCCAACUCAAUAAAGGAGAUCGUGUGCUUGUCCGCCUUCAACCAUAUCGACAGACAUCUUUAGCUCAACGAGCAUCCCUGAAGUUAGCGAAGAGGUAUUACGGACCAUUUACAGUAUUGGAACAUGUCGAGCCAGUGGCAUACAAGCUGAACCUUCCGUUAGAUUGCAAAAUUCAUUAUGUCUUCCAUAUUUCAAUGCUCAAACCCUUCAGCGUUCCAGCCCUAUCAAUGGGUUACCCUUACCUCGUGAUAGCAUCAACAAUCGACCACUCUUAUACCCAGCUACUAUUUGUGCCACAUAGAUAGUCUUGCGUCAUGGGAAAGAAGUUCAACAUGUUCUGGUGCAGUAGUCAGAUAGCGCUCUAGAAAAUGCCACCUAGGAAGAUUUCUUUGAGUUUUCGCACCUCUAUCCUGAUUUCACCUUGAGGACAAUGUGAUUUUUCAAGCCUCAGGGAAUGAUACAGCAUUGCCAAUCUCGAACAGUGUUUUGUUGAGUUGAUUUGCUUGUGUUGCAGGACAAGCGUAUCAGUACCAUUUGUGCCACGUUCUCUUAAUAGAAAAAUAUAACCCAAAAGUUCUUGAUUUUGGUAGUUUGUUCUUUGUAUUAGAACGUACAACGUGUUUCAUGAGAAAAAAUAAUAAAAAUUUGCUCUUACUUUUCUUGCAAUCUAACAAGGUGCUUGAUCAUUUUGGUUAUCAAUUGAUGUUUAUCUAUUGAAUGCGGUUAUCAAUGAGUUAAAUGAAUAUAAUUAAAGGUCUGAUAGAUAUUUUUAUAUAUAGAACAUAUGCCAUUAUUUAAUGUGACCUCUGCCGUUAAACAUAUGAAGGCACGAAUAGUGAUUAACUGGAAUAUCUAAGUUAAACAACACUUCUUAUUGCAUCCAAUCAUUUUGUGGGAAAGGGAAAUUGAAUCAUAUACACUAAAUUGCUUCUUUAGUCAUCAUAUCUGGUACUGGAAGUCUAGUUAAUGACUUUUGCUGAAGUUGUAUUUGAGAAAGAGCUGUUUUUGACUGUUGGUUCCUGAACUUGUCUCCCAAGAAAUCCAAUGCAAAUGACUGUAGGAUCUCAAAUCAUGACAAAAUUGUGAAUCUUAAGCCAUUUUUCUGCAUUAGGAAAAAAAUAUAUAAUAACAAUUAUGGUGAAAAGAAUGCAAACCUUUACAUUGCUCAGGGUCAGUUCACCAUUCAAUACAUACUUCUUGCGUUUACGAAUGCUAGCGACAGCAAUUACCUGCAAGUAAAUUUGUACAGUAACCCAUUUUUUCAUAUUGAUGUAUAAGACAAAAGCUACACCGCAAUCAUAAAGAUUUCACAGAAUCAAGGUAAAGCAGGAAACUCACUCUUGAAGUAUGACCUGUGACACCGAAAUAGUCAGAAAUUUGUCCCUUAAGUUUCGGGUACAUUUGCGAAUACACAAAGAGAAGCUGGCAAACAGUGAUCAAGAUAAUAUAAAAUCAUAAUAAUAAAAUUAUGUUGACAGACAAUUAAUUUAAAUGGCUUUCAGUUAUCAAGUUUCAACAAGUUUUGCUUGAGCUCGCUACAGAGAUUAAUCUACUAAAUACAAGUCUCUGCAUUUACCUUGCCUUUGAAAGCUCUAACUGUCUCUUGAAAUAUUGAUUUAGCCUCAGAAUCAUGCACAGCCGCAAAAAGCCAUAACUGAGAACAAAUUCAGGAACAUGUUCAAACCAUAAAUCUUUCACAUUUUCCCGAGGAAAAGAUGUAAAAUGAUAAUUACCAAUUUCAAGGGGGAAUUUAAAAUCAAUGGAGUAGUUUCCCUGGAGUAAGUAAUCAUCGGAGGAAUCUUAUUCGAUGAUAUGAAAUCAUCAAUUACUGAUAUAGUAAAAGAACCAUCUGAGAAAAUGAAGCAAAAAACGGACAGGGCAUGUAUAAACAGAGGCGGAUGCAGCACAUGACUAGUGGGGGCUCAAGCCCCCAUUGGCCAAAAAAAAAAUUUAAAAAUAAAAGAAUUUUUUUUAAUUUUUUAAUUAACCCCAUUAAAUUUAUUAAAAUAGUCACUAUAAAAUGUAAAACCCAUAAAAUUUAAACUUUGACUUUAAAAAAAUAUAAAAAUAUAUAUUUUAAUUAAAAAUAAUGAUAGCCCACUACUCAAAAUAUUUUAUAUUCUAAAAAAUAUGGUUAAUUCUUCCAAUUUAUAUAAUAAUAGUAGAACGAACAUUUUCAGUAAUAAAACUCAUGAAUGAUCAUCUUUGGAAUCAGAUGAGAUAAGUGAUAGUUUGGUUGUCUAUAUAAGAAACAAUAAAUUUAAUAAUAUUGAUAAUAAGUCUAUUGCAUAACAUUUUUAAAAUAUAAAAAUGCGUAGAGACUAAUUAUAAAUAUUUUAUAUAUUCAAAAUUUUAAUUUUUUAUAUUUUACUAUUAUCUAAUUUAGCCCCCGCUAAAUUAUUUUUUUAGAUCCGCCAUUGUGUAUAAAUCUUCCAUUUGAAGCACUCAAAAUCAUUGGAGAGAUUAUUUGUUUUACGAACCAAAGUGGCUAAGCUGUUUAGACUCCUUUUCCAGCAAGACUAGAGCAGGGCGUUUGAUUUCUGGGUCAAUCAGAAACAUCUUUGCAACAUCAGCUCUAGUAGUUUGGAAGAAUAAAACAUCAGGAUGCAGUUUUGAUGCAGCCGCAAGCACUUCACCUUCCAGGCCCUAAAAUUUUUUGUCAUAACAGUAACAGAUGUUAAGGGAAACACUAAGGCAAUUGCUCAAAUCAUAUGAGUGAGUAUGGACCUUUAUAGAGUUAAGGAAUCCCAAAGCAAUUGUAGAUUGAGCUGUCAAUAAGUGCUCUGCAUUCUCUGUUGUCAUCACAAUGUAAAGAUCACCGGCCAUCUUCGUCUUUAUAUAAUUCACAAUAUCAUCCCUUCAAAAUAAAAACGAUCUCGUUAUUAACAAAUGCACGAGCAUAUAAUAGACUUGCCCCUUUUCACUUUUCCCACUUCUCAACAACUAUAACAGAUUUAAAAGGGCCAUAUUGAACAAAAAGAUCCAACAAAAGAAAACCCCUGUUCCAAAAAAACUCGCUUCUUCCUGUCAUGGUAGUAAGUAUCCACAUGUACUCCAUUAACAAAGAAAUAAAUGGUUGGAUAUCCUUGAAUUCCCCAUCUUUUUGCCAACUCGAUCUCGUUGAUAGCAUCAACUUUUGCUAGCACUGCUUUGCCCUUCAGCUCAGUGGCAGCGGCUUUAUAUUCUGGAGCCAGUUUCUUGCUCCAGAAGCACCAUGGUGCAUAAAAAGCCACCAUCACAUGCUGAUUCUUGGCUAGAACAUCACUAAAAUUCUUGUCACUUAAAUUCACUGCAUUUUCUUUUUCAUCAAUAGCCGGAGUUAAAUUGUACUUUCGAUCUUUGAAACUUUCAUAAGAAUCUAAUGGUGCAACGGUGUCUCUGGAAGAGAUUGGAGGAAAUUUCUUGAAUACAGAAACACAUAAUACAUAGCCUCCAUCAUAAUCUAUUUUGUAAACACAGAAAGGCGAAAGCCGAAACACAAUGAACAAAAGAAAAAUCGUAGUGGAGAGCGCAAGGAGAUGAGCUUUAGUUGACAUUGUUGAGCAGCCGGCGUUGAGUAGGUGCUCUGCAAUUUGUACUUGACGCUUCAAAUAGUUGUUUUAUAGCAAUGAUCCUGUCAGCAAUGCAAAUUUAACCACGAAUUGCUGGCCAGUGACAAGAUAAUUAUAAUUAAAUGCCUCCUUUUUGGUAUGUAGUUUCACAGAGUAGACAACAAGCUAAUAAAUAAUAAAAUUUAUUUUGAUUUCUAUUCAGAAAUUACACUAUUAACAUCCCGUUGACAGAAAGAAACCCUCUAUCCACCACUAGCUUUAUAAAGCACAAUCGACAAAGACAAGAUCCAAAUCUCUAGCAGAUGAAACCAAUGUUCCUACGAACAUCACUAUGCAACAGGAUUACACUGAAUCUUGAAAGCAACGAAUUGAAUGGAAUAUUCUUUUGCAGCCAUAUAAACACGCUUCCUAUAUGGCGUUAAUUUGUAUUCUCAACGCCUUACCAUAAUGUGACAUGCUUGGUCAUCUCUCUUUAUAAUCUUUAAAAAGUGUCUGCUUGAACUUUGUAUUAUAAACCUUUUGUAUGUGAAUGGAUUACCUACAUUUGUUGAUAAACUUAAUGAAUUUCUCCAAUUAGUUCUUUAUGGAUCAGCUUCAGUAUCUCUGAGACCUUCAGAGUUGCACAAAUUUACCGCCAAUUAGAACAACAAUGUUGAAGACAUAUGUGUUACAAAUAUCACAUAUACAAGCAUAUAAUGUGACAUGAUAGAGUUGUAGUUGCAUCACAAACCAAGAUAUAAUAUGAAAGAAUUUUGAGAAAAUAUAUCAUUGCUCACCUCGAAAUGCUGUUGCAAUAUAGGUGAAUGUUGAUGCAGUGUUGUAUAUAUCUUCUCAAGUAAGCCUAUGAGUGCAUCCACUUGAUCGCCCAGCAGAUCCACCUGGAAUCCAAGCCGCGUAAUGAAUCUUAAGAAAAUUUGCUUGAAACACACUUCAAAUGUACAUUCAUCAAAUCCAAGUUAAAUUCAGUUUGUUUAUCCUAAAAAAAAAAAGAAAGAAAGAAAGAAGCUAAGGUGAAUAAAACUGAAAUUGCAGCUCAAAACCUCAGUUUCAGCCUUUUGGAGAUUCUUGCUUCUUCUAAUAAAUGUUGUUCUGUAGAGUAAUUCCCGCUUUUGUACUGAGGAAACAAGCUCAACAAGCAAAUCUAAUUGAUGCGUCAUCUCUUCCAACCUGUACAAAAGUAGCGCAGUAAAGGUCAAUCACUUGUUCAAACAACUAAUUUUGAUGGAACAUAAAUAUCGUAACACAAAUAGCCAUAGUCAAUGUUCACAGUAAGAUUAAAUUAAAGCAUUUGAGGGGAACUAUAUAUAAAUGUAAACUGAAGUACCUCAAAACUUUGUCUGCUAAUUUUUCUUGUGCUUGGAGCUCAAAAUUUCCAAAUACUUGUGAAAACUCCAGUAUAGGUGUAAACAUGGAAUCCAAUUGGUUUCUAGAAAUCUCUUCAUUUUUUUGUUGGAAAGUUAUAGAAUUUUUGUCAUGCACAUUAUCUGCAGGAAUCAUUUGAUUAUCAACUCUUUCUUCAUCAUAGUCGGCUGUGCCUAAACUAGAUUCCAACUCACUCAUUAUUGUCUUACUUGUAGCUAACCGAUCUAGGCUUUCUCAAGUUUGCUUCUCACCGAAGUAAAAGUGGACUCAUCCUCAUCCAUCAGUUCUUGAAAGAUCUCAUGCUCGUUCAGCUGUUCAGUUUCCAUUUCCACCCAGUCAAGUUGUUUCUUGUGUUCAUUUACUUCAGAACUUGCACUUACCAUUAGAUCUCCAUCUUCUUCCAAACACUUCAAUAACAUAUCUAGUUUUUUGAUAAAACUAUCCUCUCCAUUUCCCUCAAAACUUCCGUCUAUAUUGUUGGGGGAACUUUUGUCUUGCUUCCGGGCUUCUCCUUCCGUGAAACAUAGGCAAGCAUCUUUCAUCGUCUCACGAAAAACAAAUUCCUGUAUCUCAUGUCUAAAGAGAUACUCAAUGUUGCAAGCAUCUAUCUCUUUCUUCCACUCAUCAAUAGUUUCCCCGAAUAAAACCAUCUACACAUUCUCCUUCACAAAAUAUUCCGCUAUUUUAAGUGACUUGUCAGGAACCUCAACCUCUUAGAGUUUUGUAAAUGUGUAGUUCGCAGUAUUCACAACAUCUCUGAAGGUCUCAUCAAAGACAGACGAGAAACCUCUUCUGUUAUAAGCCUGCCAAUUCUAUAGUUUCCAAUUUUCUAAUUCCAAUCCUUGCAAAUUUCCCGGUACAAGACUGAGCAUAUAUCCUCACUUAAAGAGCAUUCAUCUCGGAAAUGUUCUAAUUUCCUAUCCAGUGCAGAGCAAAACCCCUUAACUGCCUCACUGCAUACAGUAUAAUAUAUUUCCUCUCUCAUCUGAGCCUCAAACUUGUUACUUUCAACUUCCUCUUUCAACAUCCUUAUUUCAAUUUGUAGUUCUUCAUUGGCUGCAUCAGCGACUGACGCGUUAUUCAUUUUCUUCCAGACACCAUCCAAAUUGUCAAUGUCCGAGUUCAUUUCUUUUCUCACAUCAGAUUUCAAUAGGUUUUUUGCUGCUGAGGAUUCGUCCCAUUGAUCACCUCCAUAUUCUCCAAAAGUCUCAACCAACCUGGCAUUGCAGUUCAUUAAAUUAUCCAAUCUUACAAUAACUUCUUGGAUUCUUCUUUUUAGGCUAACCGGAUCCUUCUCUCUUCUUAAGUUUGAACACCUUUUUUCUGGAAGCAUUUCUCGCUUCAACCAUUUAACCUCUUCACUUUUUCUCCGAAUAAUAAACUCGUGACUCUUUAUGAUCUUAGCAACAGAUUGACCAACACCCUCUUCUGAUUCUACUUCUUCAACCUUUGAGGAAAAAUUGGCACAACUGUCUCCUUCUGAUAAAGAUCUUCGCAGCCUCGGAGGAAUAUUCCUCUCAAUAUUAGUUUUGGUUGAAGAUUUUAAAUUCUCAUUCCCUUUUGCAGCUUUCAGUUGAGCCUCGUUCUGAUUGAUAAAGCUCUCAAGCUCAUUACGCAAGCACGUAACCUCCGUCAUCAAAUCUGACAAAUGCUCACUCAAGCUCAUGAAAACUUGCUUCUCUUGCUUCCUCAUUUCCAUCUCAAAGUUCUCCUUAAAAUCGUUAACAAAACCAUUAAUCAAUGUACAAAUUGCAUCCUUCUCAAUAGUCCACCUCCAUUGCUGCUCCUGGGGCCCCAGCUCAGACAAAAAAAUCGCAUUCUGCAUUUUCCCAAAAGCCUGAUGCAAAGUCUCUUUCAAAAUAUUAAUAUCAGAACCCAUCUGCUCAAUCUUUUUGUGAUCAAUACCGCCAUUCUUUUCCGCAUCAAUAACUUCAUGCUCGAUUUGCAAGACUUGUUGAUCAACUGAAUGCAUCAACUCAGAAAUUUCACUAUCUCUAUCCUCAUCCCGACUUCCAGGACUGCUCAUACUGAGCUCAGCGACACCAUCGCUCUUUGUUCUUUCAAGCUCCACGUUAGCAUUUUGCAAAGCAACCAAUUCUUUUUCCUUCGCAUCCAAUGCUUGCCUAAGCUUCAACUCAUUUUCGAACCUCUCCGUCAAUUCCUUAUCCUUUUCGCGGAGAGCCAUUUCUGAAUACUGAAGGCGACACUGGAGACGGUCUUUAAUUUCUUCCAAGUCUGCCAGGACUUUUUCAUGGCAGCUUUGAAACAUGUUGUUGUCUGCAUCCUCCUGGACAAAUUUCAUGCACCCUUCUAGCUGAAUUACUGCAAGUUCAUAGAAUUUCGAUAUCUCAUUCAAGCGCUGAAUGACGCCAUCUUUGGACUUUACUUUGCCGUGUGCUCUGUCCACGUCGCCAUCAUUGUUGCAUCUGUUAAAGAAAUUCUUAGUGUGCCUUCAAGCAAUCCAAAAAGACCAGCCAUUUUUUUUUUCUUUUUGUUUGGUUCAUCUAUUGAAAAUGAAGCAAUAGAAAUGUGAAUGAGAUCUUCUGUUUUUAUGUUUCCUUGAAAAUUGGAGAUCUAAUUGACUUGUUCUAACUUGUUACUUGUUACACAUACGUUGAAGAUGUGACCAGAGUUAUUCCUAUAUUUCAUUUAAAUACUAAUGCAUAUUAGCGUAUAUGCAAAGAUAACAAGGAAUUGACAAUUUUAGGGAACUCACGUUAAUUUUUUACCUUUUUUUAAUAGAAUUUUUUAACAUUCAAUCAAUAGGAUUUGUUGUAAAUUUGAAGGUUAUGAGACCUUUAUUACUUGAAAUGACUGGUUUGUCCUUCGUUUCCUUCGAGAGCCCGAAAAGUUCUAAACGUUCAACACUCAAGUCAAUAUUUUUUUUUUUGGUCUUAACCACGAGGUAUCCCGGGGAGGGCCCCAACUAUGGGAGGCACCUUUAAAUCCGUACCAUAACCCAGACUAGAAGUCCCCACUUGAACCGAGAGACACAAGUUCUCCCAACAAAGGCGACUUUCCUGCGACUUGAACUGGGGAGCAAACUCAAUUAAACCACCUAAGGGUGACUCUAUUGCCAGUGGAGCCAACACUUUGUUGGUAACGCUCAAGCCAAUAUAGACGGUUAAGAUGUCCUCCUCAAUUAAUUUGAAAGGAAAAUUACAGAUAAUAUGUAUGGUUUGAUGAAGGAGCAAAGGAACAUUAAAAAGGUGUAAUUAACAUUGCCAACGAACGUGCCCAGCAUUAAUUUAUGAGCGCUGCUAUUCACCCCGAUUUUAACCUCGAAACACGCCCCGAAUUUUAAAACGCACCGUUUUGAUAAAAUUGAAAACGGUGCGUUUAACCCAUGUUUCUUCCUUUCCUUUCUUUUGCCAAACCACAGAAACGGACCUUUGCUUCCUUUUCGUUUAAUCCUAUCAUCUUGUGGUCACUGCCGCUGCUGCUUCCUUCAAGACCGAGCUCUCUGCCGCUACUGCUUUCUUCAAGACCGAGCUCUCUAAGCCCCUCACUGCCGAUUUUAACCUUUGCUUCCUUUUGGCUUCACGAUCUAGAAGCCAUCGCCGCUUCCUUCAAGGUCGCUGCCGCUGCUGCUUCCUUCAAGACCGAGCUCUCUACCGCUGCUGCUUCCUUCAAGACCGAGCUCUCUGCCGCUCCUGCUUUCUUCAAGACCGAGCUCUCUAAGCCCCUCACUACCGAUUUUGACCUUUGCUUCCUUUUGGUUUCACCAUCCUGAAGCCAUCGUGGCUUCCUUCAAGGCAGUUUGCUCUCUCUAAAUAAUUUCAAUAAGUUUAAAUUUAUUUUUAAACAUUUAAAUAAUUUCAUAUAAAUUUAUUUUUAAUUAAUACAAAUUAAUUUCAUGUAUCGUUAAAUGUUCCUUCAAGACUCCAUUGUGUUUGCUGCUGAUUGUGUUUGUGUGUUACUGGUGCUGGAAUUAUCUUGCGGCUGAUUGUGUUUUUGUGUUACUGGUGCUUGAAUUGUUGCUGGUGGAAGUGUAACUGGUGCUGGAAUUGUCUCAGCUGCAUGAUUUUGCUGGGGCCAAAUCCGGUUGAUGACAUUCUCUUUUGUUGCGGCUGCAUGUUGUAGAUAUAUUUCCCGCUAAAGGGGCAUGUGCCACCAGAAAGAUUGUUGAAGCAUUUGAAUGUUUUCUUGUAUUUUAGUUUAGUGUAUGAUGACUCUGUAUCGUGCAAUGAUCAUGAUUCUUUCUAUCACUAAAGAAGAUAAAGAAUCAUGAUCAUAAAAUCUAAGUAUUACGAAUGCAAUCUUCAUCGCAAUUGAACAUUGUAGGACUAUUUUCUAAAGUUGAAUGAAAUCAACAUAUUCACGCAUACAGCCCAGCAAAAGAAAAUUUCGCUCAAUGAAAACCGACGCCAAUGCUUUGGCUGAAGAAACAACGUCCAAGUUCAUUCAAAUAAUCCUAAAUCCGCAAUUAUUUAAUCUACCCCCAGCGCAAGUUAAAGCAACAAAACUUCACAUCCACUCUCAUUUAACACUCAAUACCCUGUCUCAGCAUUUUGUCAAUCACCUUCCAUCCACCAUGGUUCAGCAAGCUUGCAAACAGAAUGCCAUCAAAUGCGGCUGUGUUCUGCCGAUGAAGGAUGCUGACAGAAUAAUGUGGGGGAGUGCUGCACUCAUUGAGGAAAGAAGCUAUAAGAGAAUUGGCAGCAUCUCAUAUAUCAUUUAAUUCUUUGCAUGUCUAAGAAUGCCACUUGAUAGCAAAGUGAUAAAUAUUUACUUGAGCAAGCAAGUAAAAGCAGCACUGAGCUCAUAAUAAAUAAAUAAAUUAAUUAAUUAGAGGUUCGAUCAGAGCAUCAAGCAAAAAGUUGGAAAUUCUGAGCAGAAAGCUGUGGUUCACGCGCAAAUAGAAAGACAAACAGAAUGCUCACGUGCUGCACAGCUGGAAUAGUAUUGAAGCAAAGCAAAACGCACCGUUUUUGUCAAAAUUCGGGGCCCGAAUUCGGGGCUAAUGUCGGGUUAAGUAGCUUUUCCCUUUCCUAAUUUAUUAGUUGUUUCAAAUAAAGCAUGCACUUGGCAUACUAUAAUUGGUUGUUUCCUACAGCGGCCACUACAGAUCUCAUUAGGCGCCAGAAUCUAACUCAGCGGCAGGGCGCGAACCAUCACUGCCCUUGGCAGCGCGUGAGGCUCUUUCUCUCAGCCACUCCACCACCUCUCCAGAAACCAACUCAACGUUCUGCUCAGGCUCGGCAAUCAGCUGAUGCCACGUGCCUGGAUAAAUCCUCAGCGCCUUAUCCUUACUGGCUGCAUGUUUAUACAACUCUUCAACGCAGGCGGGAUCGCAAACGACGUCGUCUUCCUCUUGGGGCUCAUUGAGUACUUUUUAUACUCAAAUCCCUUGCAAAUCCCUCGACACGCGUAAAAACUCCAGCACGGUUGCCGCACGCGGCCUUGGCACCGACCUCCUGGGGCUCGACAACACCAGUUUCCUCCUCCACUCCUCCUUGAAGGAGACCAUCGGGAGAGAACCGUGGGUGGGACCUACGCGCCAGGAAGGCACCAGCCAUACGACUGUGAAGAGAAGGUGCUCGAAGGGCCACGGAGGCUUGAAUUUCUGGCUAAUCCCGCACAUGGCCCCAUUCAAAAUCAAACCAUCCCACGCGCCCGUCGGACGGAGCGUGAAGUAAAGAGCUAUGGCCCCACCUAAGGACUCGGAAUACAAAAACGCGGGCAAAUCCGGUGCGUGUCUCAGAAUGACAUAUCACAUGUUAUAUUAAUUAUUUGGGAUGAAAUUUAAAAUAAAUAAAUUUAGUAUGCUUGCUUUUGCAUAAAACCAUCCCACGCGCCCGUCGGACGGAGCGUGAAGUAAAGAGCUAUGGCCCCACCUAAGGACCCGGAAUACAAAAACGCGGGCGAAUCCGGUGCGUGUCUCAGAAUGACAUAUCACAUGUUAUAUUAAUUAUUUGGGAUGAAAUUUAAAAUAAAUAAAUUUAGUAUGCUUGCUUUUGCAUAAAACCUUCUUUUUUUUGUAGGGUUAUUUUGGAUCUAAUAAUUUAAUUUAUAAAUAUAUUUUUGUUUUAUCAAUAAUAACAUUUAAUUUGCAACUGCAGGGGAUCUCUACUCCCUAGUGUUGGCUCGAGGAGACCUUGGCAACAACCAUUGCAACGAAUAUAUGAUAAGUUUUAUCACGACAAUUACUUGUUAAUUAAUUUCUUUGCACUUGAUGUACAACACAUAUCAUAUUAUAUCAAUUUUAAAGCUAUAUACUGAGAAUUCUAACAUAAUCAAAUGCAUAUAGGAGCAAUUAAUUGACAAUCAACACACCAAUUAGGAAAGCUAAACAUGUAUAAGGAAUUUACUGAGUAUCAGUAACAUAGUAGAAAUAUGAUAAAGUUAUGGUGAGACAUCUGUGACAAAAAAAUAAGUCAAUAUUUAAUUAUUAAAUAUAAAUUAUCACUAUAUUUGGUAUUGAGAUGUUGUGAUUAAAAAAAAUGAGAAAGUAUGGUAAUAUGUAAUAAUUUUAAAAGUUAUUAUGACUUUUUAUUAUAUAAAUAAAAUAAACUUAAUUUUUAGAUUAUAGCAGUAAGUAUUUAUUAAGCACAUUCGUGUUGGAAUUUAAAAGCUAUACUUUCCAAAAAUAAUUAAGCAGGGCUAAUACCUAAAACAAGUCUAACAGAAUUUUUUUUUUAUUUCUAGAAAAUAAAAAAUGCAUGUGAUAUGUAAUUUGUGAGGAUUUGAAUUUUACAGAAGCAGAGGAAAGAAAAGAAUUUAAAAAAAGCGAAUUGCUUUAUGAAAUAAUUUUUCUGCAUCCUUUAUUCAGACAGCUUUAGGCUUUUUAUAAGAGCCAAUUGGAAACACGCAAUCUACGCUAGUAACUGCCCUUGGAACAACAAAAGACACCCUAGACAGUAACACAUGAAAUACUAGAAAUAAUAGGAAAUAUGGGUAACAAUAUUGCACAAAUAGUUGAUAGACCACGUGUCAAGCACCCAUUUAUUUCAAAGCACUUAUUAUUAAGUCCUAGACUCCUCCUCUCAAGCAUGGCUAUCAGGUACCUGGGAAGUUUGUCAAAUGCAUGGGUUCUUGCUCGUCUUUGGGAGACAUAUCAGCAUGCUUGGAAAGAGAUACACGCAAGACAAUCAACACAAGAUUUGCUUUAUUUCUAGGAUGCAUGGGCAUGCACUCUACUUAUAGAACUCC